GAACCCGCGUCUUCUCCUUGGCAAAGAGAAAUUUUACCAUUCGACUAUAUCCGCAUUUUCGUUCUUGAUUCUUGAUACGAAAGAAUAUUUGGUCAGAGCUAGGACAGAUACUUUCUUCAGUUCAGGGCGAUUUUAUCAAAUUCCACUACUAAACCAAUUAACAAUCGAAAUUAUAUAACAAUUCAAAUGCUUAUCAAUUAAUCAAAUUACAAGUUAUUAGCAAUUAAUAUUAAUUUAUAUUAUUUGUUAUUAAUAUUAAGUAAUUAAUAAUAUUUAUAUUAUUAUAUUUAUAUUAAUAUAUUUCGAUUUAUAAAUCUAUAUUUCAAUAUGAUUUAUUUUAUUAUUCUAUCUAUUAUUAUAUUAUCUAUUAUUAUCUAUUAUUAUAUUAUUCUUAUAAUAUUAUUAUAUAUAUUAUUAUUAUUUCUAUUUAGUUAUUAUUUAGUUAUUAUUUAUAUUUAGUCUAUUUAGAAUUUUUUAUUAUUUAAUUUAAGUUAUUAUUAUUUAAUUUAAGUUAAAGUUAAAUAGAAAAAUUAAUAAUUUAAUUUAAUUAUUUAGAAUUUCAUUUUUUUUAUUAUGAUUUCGAUUUUAUUAUUUUCUUUUCAUUCAUCAUUCAAAUUCUAUUUAUUUCAUUCAAGUUACAUUACAGAUUACAGAAGUUUGACUGACCCCCCUCUAAUUUUUUUUUAUUUUCAUUUUGGCAACUUAUACUUCUAUAUUAUUGAAUGUGUCUCAAAAUCUGAAAAAUUCGUGGGAGGGGUCAUUUUUGGAUCCAGAAUGGAUAGAUUCAAGAAAUAAGAGAAUUAAGGAUACCCACUAGAAAAACUAAUCCAAUCCAUAAAGAUAUACCAGAAAAUACAAUAUUUUUGUUACUCAACCAACCAUCAGGAGAAGCAAAUACAACAGGUACACUAAUCAGUAAGAUUGACGAAGUAGCAAUUAAUGCAAAAACAGCCAAUUGGAAAGCAAUAGUCAUGUUUCUAAUCGUCCAAGCUACCAACAAAAGAACUAUACCAUUUGAUCCCUCUAUGAUAUUGACCAAAAAAAAAUUAAUAAAAUACAUGGUAGAGGGAUUUUACCAUGAAUCGAUUGAUUCUAUAUGACUUAUUUCCAACCCUUUAACCGCUUUUAUUCGGACAUGGGGUCGAGGGUGAUUUUUUUAUUUCACGUUACCAAAUAGGCAUGCUAGAUUAUGCAUUUCAUCUAUCUAUAUAUACAGAUAAAUAGAUUGACCUAUAGGUUCACACACGAUAUCUUUCUAUACAUAGUGAUGGUAUCAACUCAUAUGGCCAUGUUCGAUUCGGUGGAAUAAAAAUAAAAUAGAAAUUAGCUUUCGGAGAGAUGGCUGAGUGGUUGAUAGCUCCGGUCUUGAAAACUGGUAUAGUUCGAAACAAAGAACUAUCGAGGGUUCGAAUCCCUCUCUCUCCUUUUGCUCGAUGAAUAGAUUUCUUUCUUUAUUGCUUUUUCUUGGCUUCUUAAUUAAGAAUCUUAAUAUUAAUAAAAGGGAAUGGCUCGGCUGGGUGGAAUAGCUGAGCCAGAAAAAGAAAUAGUUUAGAUAGAAAAUGAGUUGAAACGAAAGGAAAACAGAAUACUUUUUAAAUAUCACCUGAUUCCUUCAAUUUAUAUAGUGUAAUCAAAUUGAUUCCUACGUUAAGCACAAAUUGAUUCCUACGUUAAGCAUUGGAUCUCCUGUCUCAGUUAUCUCAGUUAAGAGGAGUCAUGGAAAGAACAGGCUCAAAAUCACGAUCAAUUCCUUUUUCAAAUCCUGCUGCGGCUGCGCGAGCUCUUCCCGCGUGCCAUAAAUGACCCACGAAUAGGAAGAAUCCUAGAACAAAAUGAGAGGUAGCUAACCAACUUCUCGGAGAGACAUAAUUAACUGCAUUGAUCUCGGUAGCUACGCCACCUACAGAAUUUAAAGACCCUAAAGGAGCAUGCGUCAUAAAUUCCGCAGAACGCCGUUCUUGCCAAGGUUGUAUGUCUUUUUUCAACCUACUCAAGUCCAAACCAUUGGGACCUCUUAGAGGUUCUAACCAAGGAGCACGCAGAUCCCAAAAACGCAUAGUUUCCCCUCCAAAAAUGACUUCUCCGGUCGGGGAACGCAUUAGAUAUUUACCUAACCCAGUAGGCCCUUGAGCGGAUCCCACGUUAGCCUCAAGACGUUGGUCUCUAACUAGAAAAGUAAAUGCUUGAGCUUGAGAAGCUUCUGGUCCAGUGGGCCCAUAAAACUCACUAGGAUAAACGGUAUUAUUGAACCAGACAAAGCAACAAGCAAUGAAACCAAAAACGGAUAAAGCACCUAAACUAUAAGUAUAAUAUACUAAGUAAUGGACAACCAAAAAAAAGAGAAGGAAUCCUUAUCGAUUUUUUUUGAUAAAAUAGAAUCAAGGCGAUAAACUUAUAAAAUAAUUUCAAACUUUGAUGAAAUACUAAAAUAAAUUGAGUAAGGUUAGACUAGUCUAGAAAAGGUUUGAUUGAUAUCUGGUCGACAGAAAAAAAAAGAAAUAUUAAAUAUGUGUCAUCCAAUUGAGUGAUUCCUUUUUUUCUUCUAACCUUGAAAGUAUCGAUAGAUACUAUCGAAGAGCAGAUGCUAUGAAUCAAUUAAUUGAAAUUGAGUUCAUUUUUCAAAAAAAUCAUCGAAAAAAGUGAUCUAUUUGUUGUCAUUUAUACGACCAAAAUAUUAUGAUCAUGAUCAUUAAGAAUUCAAUGGGACCCUUCCUCGCGAAUCAGACAAAGAAAGAGGAGGCGGGCCCCGUUGAGUUCUUACACUUUCAUGCCUAUAACUUAGUUCGUCCCAUUAUCCAUUAUUCCAUAUUACAGGGAUGAACCCAAUCCAGAAUAUGAACCAUAAAAGAAAAUACCUAUUAAACCGAUCACAGUAAUACCAGUUACCGUACCUAUUAUCCAAAGAGGAAUCCUUCCAGUAGUAUCGGCCAUUUAUCCCGCUUCCCUCCGCAUUUCAUCAAGUGGUCAUGCUAAAGACAUAAACAUUCAUAGAUAAUUAUAAGAUACAAUCCUUCCGAAUGGGAUAAGAGAAUUCCUACUAUUAUUUAGUAUUCUACUACUCUUUUUUUCUUAAUUGAAGAAAUAAUUGGAAAAUAAAACAGCAAGUACAAAAAUGAGUAAUAACCCCCAGUAGAGGCUGGUACGAUUCAAUUCAACAUUUUGUUCAUUCGGGUUUGAUUGUGUCAUAGCUCUAUAAUUAAUUCGAAUUAGGUUUAUCGUUGGAUGAACUGCAUUGCUGAUAUUGACCCCAAAAAAGAAACGGUAGGUACAGCUAGUCCGUGAACAGCCAACCAUCGCACUGUAAAAAUUGGAUAGGUUCGAUCUAUGGUCAUUGGGUCCUCCUAAAAAGAUCUACUAAAUUCAUCGAGUUGUUCCAAAGAAUCAAAACGGCCAGUUAUUAAUGGAAUUCCUUGUCGGCUCUCUGUAAAAUACUCGUUUGGACGAGGGCUUCCAAACACAUCAUAAGCUAAACCUGUGCUGACGAAUAACCAACCCACGAUGAAUAGGGAAGGUAUAGUAAUACUAUGAAUGACCCAGUAUCGAAUACUGGUAAUAAUAUCAGCAAAAGAACGUUCUCCUGUGCUUUCAGACAUGCCGAGCUCCACAUAUUCUUGUAGAGGAUCGAUUCCGUAAAAGAUGGGAUCAGUAAAUGGGAAUUCACCGAAACUCAAUCUUUGUGAGAUCGUCAAUAUUGUACCAAAGGUAUUUUUAGAGUAUAUCGAAUCAGUAUAGCUAUCCUUCUUCUGACACAGCAACGCAAUUUCAAAUAGUAUAUCGACGUGAAGUGCUAGAUAAUUUCUUUCUUCUUCUUGCUUGUCGAUGUAUAACCAGGUGUCAUGCAAUAGAAAAUUCCUCAAAUUCCUGGAGGUAUUGGCUUGGGCCUAGAAACGGUAGAUCAGGUAACCCGUGAAUCCAACGAGUUGGUUUAUAAUAAUUCAUGAAGGAAAUUAUCAUAUUUCCGCAAGUCAAUUAGAUGCGAAAUAUAAAAAUUGACUUUUUUUCGUAGUUGCACAAGAGGUUUUGUUUUUUGUUGGAAGCCCUCUUUUUUUUUUUUAAGGAAUUGCUUAGUCGUCUAGUAACAAGUAAGAGUAGUCGAUAGUAUUAGAUAUAGAUAAAAAAAAAGAGCAAGGAAUAAAAAAAUUCUACUAAUCAAUAUUUGUGAGGCGGCCUUUCUUGUAUUCUUGUAUUAGAUCCAAAGGUUUUUUCUUGACCUAACUACAAAGAUGAUGAAUCGAUUUCUUUUUCUUUUCUACUCUUGUCCUGCCGCUCUAUUUUUGUGAAUACCGUUUAUAAUGAUUGAUGAAGCAAAAAAUUUCAAUUGAACUUAUUAUUUCAAUUGGUAUUUUUGCUUAUCCCCCUCUCGUUUAAAAAUUGAAACUUAGGUAAGUGCUUUAUAAACAUAUGUAUAAAAAGAACAUAUUUCAUUUAGCUCCUUCAUGCCUACUAUAACUAGUUAUUUCGGUUUUUUACUAGCGGCUUUAACUAUAACCUCAACUUUAUUUAUUGGUCUGAGUAAGAUACGACUUAUUUGAAAAUUAAUUCAAUGAACGAACAAUUCAUAAAAACAAAGCUUUCUGUCCUAUUCCAUAUAUUCUAUAACUCCUUACCGUGUUAAUUAUCAAUUAUUAGGUAUUGAUAUUCAUGGGCAAUAGAAAUUAAUAUUUAGGGAUAGAUAUUACCUUUCUUUUUCUCCUUUCAAAUAAAUUGAAAUGAUUGAAGUUUUUCUAUUUGGAAUCGUCUUAGGUCUAAUUCCUAUUACUUUGGCUGGAUUAUUCGUAACCGCAUAUUUACAAUACAGACGUGGUGAUCAGUUGGACCUUUGAUUAAUUAACAUACCUUUUUUGGAUUAAUUAACAUACCUUUUUUUGACUGACCCCUUUAAUUCUUAAAUUUUUGAAUUUCAAUUUAUUUAAUAAUUUUAAUUUUAUAAUUUAAUCUAAGGAGGUCAAAUUCGAAUUGCUGUUCAAUUUUUUUUUCAGUUCGGUGUAAUUUUCGACCUAACAAGAGCGGAAUCAUGCUCUAUAGGAUUUGAACCUACGACAUUGGGUUUUGGAGACCCACGUUCUACCGAACUGAACUAAGAGCGCUUUCUUAUCAUAAUAAAUAAGACUAAAGAGGAUUCUUUUAUAACCCCAAUACAUCGCGCACAACUAUACUAUCAUAUAUCAUAUAUAAUAUGAGAAAAUGAUAGAUUAUGUAUGCUUAAUUUUAAUCAAUCUAAAACGACUCCCUCGUUACUGCUCAAAGGAGAAGUAAUAGGUAGGGAUGACAGGAUUUGAACCCGUGACAUUUUGUACCCAAAACAAACGCGCUACCAAGCUGCGCUACAUCCCUUUCAAUUGGCCUACAAUGUCAUUGUAGAGAAUCCCUGUCUUGUUUUCCACACCCUUAUUUCAUCUAUUGAUAUACAAAACGGAUCUUUCCAUUUCCUCUUUUUGGUCUCAUAUAACAACCAUAUAAUGAAUAAUAAAUGAAUAUUUUUAGCGGGAAUUCUCAGGCGGAAAGGGACCUAUUUUGUUUUGCUAUUUUAAGAAAGGGAAAAUCUUAUCUAUCGAAUCAUUGUACAUUUAAAUUUGAAUUUUGAAUUAGGAAUUCCGGGUACAAAUAGACAAAUCCAAGUGGUCUUUAACCACACAUACAUGCGAUUAUAUAUGUAUUACCAUAAUGUAAUAUGAUAAAGAAGGAGGAUUUUAAAUGCGAUAUCUAAAAACAUAUCUUUCUGUAGCACCGGUACUAAGUACUCUCUGGUUCGGUUCUUUAGCGGGUUUAUUAAUAGAGAUCAAUCGUUUCUUCCCGGAUGCGUUAACAUUCCCUUUUUUUUAAUUCUAGUUAUUGCCGCGGGACGGGGCGAAAAAGAUUAGAUCGAGAUACAAUCAAAUAUCUGUGACUACUCUCUCGCCCCCCCCCCUUUUUUUAGUUUUUUUCAAAUUAAAUAAGAAUUAGAUAAAAUAAAUAAGGAAGGUAGAACGAAAAAAGUAGAUUCAACCUCACCGAAACUUGGGUUCAAGCUCCAAUUAAAUUCCUAGUAGAGCAAAAAGAGAAAUGUGGCUGGAACAACAGUAUCCUACAAGAUACUUAAAGAAAAUACCGUACGGUGGUUUGAUUCUAAAUAGAGUUCGAAAUCGUUGUAUUACUUAUUCUUAUUAUUUACUAUUACUCUAAAUCUAUAUUGAUUUACUAUAUUGAUUGCAACAAAAUCUUUCAAGAUUUGGUUUUGAGUUAGCAACUUUUAUUUCUUUUUUUUUUCAUUCAUUUCUUCUUCGCUUUUGAUCGGAAAAUAGAAAAGUUGGGUGAAUUAAAAACUCAAAGGAGGUUCAUGGCCAAGAGUAAAGAUGUCCGAGUAACGAUUAUUUUGGAAUGUACCAGUUGUGUUCGAAACGGCGUUAAUAAGGAAUCAACGGGUAUUUCCAGGUAUAUUACUCAAAAAAAUCGACACAAUACGCCCAGUCGAUUGGAAUUGAAGAAAUUCUGUCCCUAUUGUUACAAACAUACAAUUCACGGGGAGAUAAAGAAAUAAAUCGAAUCAAGUGCUCGUAUGUCACCACUUACCGAGAAUAUGAAAAUAUGACAUUAAGUAUAUAAUUAGUUAUAUAUAACGCAUAUUUUCUUUCUAUAUUAUUAAUAAUAUUAUUAAAAUAUUAUUUAUAUAUUAUUAAUAUAUUUUAAUUUAUAUAUAUUUCAAUUAUAUAUUUAAAUGAUAAAUAAUAAUAAAAUAAACAAUAAUAAAAUAAACAAACCAAAUCCUAUUUAUUAUAUUAAUUCUAUAAUUUGAAUUUUCAAAAUAGGAUUUUAGAAAUAGAGAUAGGGAUAGGAUUCUUUUCAGAAAUAAGGAAUAAAGAAAUCAUGGAUAAAUCCAAGCGACUCUUUCUUAAAUCCAAGCGAUCUUUUCGUAGGCGUUUGCCCCCGAUCCAAUCGGGGGAUCGAAUUGAUUAUAGAAACAUGAGUUUAAUUAGUCGAUUUAUUAGUGAACAAGGAAAAAUAUUAUCUAGGCGAGUAAAUAGAUUGACCUUAAAACAACAACGAUUAAUUACUAUUGCUAUAAAACAAGCUCGUAUUUUAUCUUCGUUACCCUUUCUUAAUAAUGAGAAACAGUUUGAAAGAAGCGAGUCGACCACUAGAACUACUGCUCUUAGAACCAGAAAUAAAUAGGCUUACCCCUUCAAAAGAAUCGAAUCCGGUUGGGGAAGAAAAAAAAUAUUUUUUUUAUUGAGCGCCUUCGCUCAUCUUGUUUUGAUGACCUUAUCAGAACCUUAUCAGAAUCAGAAUUUUUUAUCAUAUUAAUUUCUACUCUACCUUCCCCGAGUUCAUUCUCGAGGGAACCCCAUUUCAUUUAAAGCAUUUCGUUGGAUUCCUUCCGAUCUCCUUAUUUUCUAAUCUCAUUGGAAAUCAUAUAAAGACAAUUCCUAUUUGAGAUAGCUAUUUGUGCAAGUAUUUUACGAUUCAGAAGCAACUAUUUCUUGUACAGAUUGUGUAUUAAUCUACUAUAACUAUAGGAUACCCCCACUCCGCGAAUUACUGCAUUUAUUCGAGUGAUCCACAAACGACGAAAAUCCCUUUUUUUCCUAUCUCUAUCCCGAUGAGCCGAAACCAAAGCUCUUAUUCCUUGUUGAGUAAUAGUUCGAGUAAGUCUUGAAUGAGCCCCUCGAAAGCUUGAUGCAAAUAAACUAAUUUUUUUUCGACGUCUACGAGCUAUAUAUCCCCAUUUAAUUCUUGUCAUUGAAUAAAAGAAAUUUUGAUGAAUAACUAAUUCUUUCUUUCAGUUAUUCUUUUCUAGUCUAUUAAUAACAAAACGGAUUCUUCCAAUGUAUAAAAUAAAAAUUCCAAUGGCUUUUGCUACUCUAACCGUCCCGACCACGAUUUUUCCUUUUUUCUAGGCAUUUAUUUUCACCUUGAAAUAAGAAAUUGUAUUGAUACUAGGUAUCAAAAAAAGCAUAUUAACUAAAAUAAAGGAGUAAAUAGAAAUGGAUAAAUAAAUAGUGGGUUCCAUCGUUUCUAUGGUUACUUCUUAAACGGUGAGGUCCUCUCUAUACACCGGAGCUCAUUCCUUCAUUUAAUUGGUAACUUGUACAGUUCACACUCUUCGGCUCUACUCAUAAAUUUUCCAGUAAUAGAUCUUUCACAACGAGAUCUAUCUUAUACAGUAACGGUAUGUAAGGAUGAGGAUUAAUUGGGCAGCUGACCCUGUUAGUCCGUUCUUCGCAAGAGUCGAAGCAUAAUCUUUUUGCUUUUUAAAUAGGAUUUUCCCCGCUUAAUGGAUAAGCAUUUGCUACCAAUGGGGAAUUUUUUCUCAUCUUAAAUUCCAAGAUUGGAUUUGCGCCAAUGGAAACCAUAAAUUUCAUACACAAUAGAAGGAUAUGGUAGAUCUAUCUUUUUUAGAUAGUGAACGGACGAACCCCAUUCUAUUCACUGGUACGGAUCGUUGAUACUGAAAAAGUUGUUUCUUUUUUCUCAGCCCAUGAUCUGAACAAGUCACACAUACACCCUAGUACAUGUUCCUCGGCGCUGAGGACAUCCCCCAAGAGCAGGGGAUUUCGUGACAUUUCUAACUGACUGUCUUGCAUUUCGAAUAAGUUGUUUAAUAGUUGGCAUACUGAAUCAUAUACAUAAUAGACUGGUUUAGAUCGAUCCUAACCAGAUGAUUCUGAAUUACUUCUUUUUCUAUUUAAUAGAUUAAUAAAAUAUUAACCCCUUAGGCUUAAGUUAAGAAGGAAAAGAAGAAGAGGGAUUAAAUCAAUCUUAAUUAAAUUGUGGAUUGGUGUUAAAUCGUUGCUAUUGCUAUUUGUUAUUUAACUUAUUUAACCGCUACAAGAUCCACAAUUCCAUGAGCUUGGGCUUCUGUUGCUGACAUAAAAACAUCUCUUUCCAUGUCUUCGGAUACAACCCAUAGGGGCUUGCCCGUUCUUUGUACAUAAACCCUUGUGAGGCUUUCGCGAAGUUUCAGUAGUUCUUCCCCUUCCAGGAUAAAUUCUCCUGUUUGUGCCUCAUAAAAAGAACUAGCAGGUUGAUGGAUCAUUACCCUGAUGAUAUAACAUAAUAAAAGGUUCUUCUAACUCACAUAAUGAGGCGAGAAGAAUAGCUAAAAAUAGCUAAAGAAUAAUAAGAAAAAAAAGAUAGAAUUGAACAACCGUACAGGCAUUUUUUUGUGCAUUGCAUACGGCUUUACAAUGGAAUUCUCUUUUUUCUUUCAUCGAAAAAAGAAAAAGAGAAAAUAUAGAGAGCGUCUAUUAGACCCAGAUCACUAAAUAAUCCAAUUACCACCCUUCUUUUUUUUCUUUUUUUUCGGAAAAGUUCAAAAAUACUAUGAUGGCUCCGUUGCUUUAUAUAUUUAUUUCGUCUGUAAUUUAGCAAUCCCAAAGUUUCUUUUUUUUUCAAAAAAAAGAAAGAAAAAAAAGAGUCUUUUUUUUCGUACUCUUUUAUUUUAUAACAUAAAUAUUGUUAUAAAUAUUGUUAAUAGCCUCUGGUGUGAAAAGAAAAAAGUUUGUGACGCUGAGAUGGGCCCAUGAAAGCUAAGAUAAAAUUGGAAAUGCCCUUUCUCUCAUACUACUCUUUCGAUACAUAAUCUAAUGUUUUGAAAAAAAAAAGAAAUCAAAAAAAAAUUUCAUAUCGAAUUCGAAGUGCCAUGCUAUUAUUACUUACUAAUUCAUAUUUCAUAUGGCGAAGGCAUAGUCUUCUUUUUUCUUUCCAUCAAAUAAAAAAACUCAUUGGCGCCGAGCGUGAGGGAAUGCUAGACGUUUGGUAAUUUCUCCUCCGGCCAGGAGAAAAGAUCCCAUUGAAGCAGCCAAUCCCAUGCAUAUUGUAUGCACAUCUGGUUGCACAAAUUGCAUAGUAUCAUAAAUAGCUACUCCGGGUAUUACCCAUCCGCCAGGAGAGUUUAUAAACAAAUACAGAUCUUUGGUAUCAUUCUCUAUACUGAGAUAUACCAUAAGACCAAUAAGUUGAUUCGAGAUCUCGCUAUCAACCUCUUGGCCUAAAAAAAGUAAUCUUUCUCGAUAAAGUCGGUUGAUUAGGAUAAAAUUGUAUCCCUUAGUAGCCGUACAGGCACCUUUUGAUGCAUACGGUUCAACAAAAAUUGCGAAAAAAAAAUCAAUGUGUAGAUUCUAGCCAUCUUUCGUUUUUUCUAGUGUGCCUUUUCUAACUUCUAAUUUCUAACGAAGGGGCUUUUUCUUACAUUUUUAAAAUAAAAUUCAAAAUGAAAUUAAAGAAAGAUAAGUUUUGGCCUGUUUUCCUAUAAUCUAUUAUAUAGAAAAAAUUCGCUAAACUUAUCGCACAAACUUUUCAUUGAUCUAUUUUUUUCAUUGGGAUUCAAUCCAAAUCAUGAUGUCAUUUUCUUGUUCCUGAAUGGGUUUCAUCAAUUUUUUAUUCAAUUUUUUUAGGUUUAUUCUCUACUCCGAGUAAAGAUCCGCCCGAUUUUGAUUUGCGCAUAUAGGACAAAUGACCCAAUACCUCAUCUUUUUGCUAUGAUUUCAUUUCCUUUUUUAUUUUAAUUUAAUUCCUUUUUCUUUCAUGUUUUCUGCCAAAUAUUCAACGUAUUUCUCAUAUUAUUCGAUUGAUUAAUAGUUUGAAAUCGUUCUUAUUUCUAUUUCUAAUUUGCAAAUAAAAAAGAUGUCUGAUUAUGAUAUAGGUGGUACUCAUAAAUGUAUUACCAAUUGGGUUUUUUCUAAACGGAGCCUGGAUGCUUCAUUUUUUCGGUCCAACCAAGCCAACCAUAAAUCAGUCUAAUUGAAAAUAUUAAUCUGGAUACCCCCCAAAAAAAAUGAAAUGGAUGUCUAAUUGCACUUCAUUACACUUCGCACUACAAAUUUUUGAUAAUUCAAUCAAUCUUUUUGGGGCGAAACAGAGGAUAUCUCGAUCGGGCGAGAGAACGGGGGAAUCCCAUAUGACCCAAUAUAUUUGACAAGUCGCACUAUACGUCAACCAAAACUGCAUCUUCCUCUCCCGAAUUUCGAAAAGGAACUUUUGGAACACCAAUAGGCAUUAAAGGAAAGAAAAAGAAUUAAAUACUAUAUUUCACUUUGAUCUGGAAGCGUAAUAAUGGUCUUAAUAAUAUUGGCCUCAUAUUUUAUACAUAGAUAGAAUAAGGCCACAAAAUAAAGAAAGACAGAAUGAAUGAAAGAGAAUUCUUACCAAUAGGUCCUUUGAAUGACGAACAAAUAGAGAUGCGUUCAUUCAUAAAAAAUAGGAUCAACCCCCAUUGCGUAUUGAUACUUAUCGGGUAUAGAAUAGAUCUGCUUCUCUUUUUUCUUCUGAGCCGAAUUCUUCCCUUAAUUACUAAUGGAAUAGAACAAAUAUUAAUCCUUUCUCCGAAAGAAUCCACCAAAAAGGGGAGGUAUUCCAAUGCAAUAAAGUUACAUACUGUCUAUUUUUCGUUGAUAAAGGGGUAUUUCCAUGGCUUUGCCUUGGUAUCGUGUUCAUACUGUCGUAUUGAAUGAUCCCGGUCGCUUGCUUUCUGUUCAUAUAAUGCAUACGGCUCUGGUUGCUGGUUGGGUCGGUUCAAUGGCUCUAUAUGAAUUAGCCAUUUUUUAUCCCUCCGAUCCCGUUCUUGAUCCAAUGUGGAGACCAGGUAUGUUCGUUAUACCCUUCAUGACUUGUUUAGGAAUAACCAAUUCAAGACCUUCUAUGGAGUUUUUCAUCUUUUCAAUUCGGUGAAGAAGCAAUGUAAAAUAUGAUAAAGCAUUUUGGCUUAAUUUAAUUAUCAAAUUCCUAUUUUGUCCCUUUUAUAAACAUCCAAAAUUUCAUGCUUUUAGUUUCCCAAAACUGUCCACUAUAUUUUUAAAUGGCCUAAUUACCAUUUAAGCCCAUUUUUCUUUAGUCAAUUAACCAUUUAAUCACUCACAUCAAAUAGUGAUUAAAUUUUACAUCGUUUACAAUUUAGUCUUUUUUCAUUAAUUUACUAUCGAAACGUCAAAAUCUUUCAACGAAACAUUAAUACCACCUUAAUGACACUUUGUAAAUAUUUAUAAAAUAUUUACGAAUCCAUUUAUAAAAUGAGGUCCUGAUGCCUGAAUUUUUAAAACCACUUGACCUUAGGGUCAUACCACUUGAACUUAAUAAAUCACUUAUAAAACAAAAAUCACUAUGUCAAAAACAUUUUCAAAGUCACAAUUAACUCGUACAUAUUAACUAUAAUAUUUAAAAACUUACUCAUCAAUUUUGGUGGCUCAAAACCAAAAUUUCCAACACCACUACAAAUGGGUUGUUAUAACUCUUCCCCCCUUACGAAAAUUUCGUCCUCGAAAUUUCUCACCUGAUAAAAGUCGUCAAGUCGAGUCUUUCUGUCAUCUUCUUAAUGGUAACCCACAGAUAAGUCCAUCAUAACUCAUUUCGAUUAGAAUUUGAUAUUAUACUAAAUUUAAUUGAAUAGCAUGAUGUUUUCCUAUCACAAAUUUAUCAUUAGCAGCAUAACUACUAAGAAAUUCCGAGUGAUUGUCAGUCGAAACAUAAUCAAGAAACCCGGAUUAUCAGCUCUGACUGAUGCUUCUGACAUAUUUGUAUCUGUAACUUUCAACUGAUAUAUGUUCCCCUUUUUCCUGAAAAGCGUCAAGCAAUAUCAUUUAACACAAGCACGAUAGCUUCAAGUAUUAAGACGACUUUAACUCUAAUAACAUUCCCCAAUUAUAGUUGAUCUGAUAGAUAUAUCUUUGUAUCAUGUCUUCUAGAAUAUGAUUUCUUCAUUCAGACUAUCCGUCUAUUUACCUGUGAAUCCACAAACUUUAUUCCCAAACCUGAGGAUAGACUCAAAUGCAUAUAACUCAAUUAACUUUUCAAAUGAAUAACCCGCUCUGAUUAAAAAAACUGAGUUGAUUUUAUCAAUCGAAUAAUAACAUUAAAUUUAAUAAAAAAAAUACGUAGUACAGUUCAUAUGAACUUACUGGCUAAAUUGUAAAAAAUAGCAAAGUUUAGGGGAAUUUUGGAAAUUUUACUUUUUCCUCGAUUAUCCACCCGUUUCUUGACCUAAAUUAAUUCAUUCAAUUUACAAUUUAGGUAGGUAAAACAAUGCACUUUCAUGCAAUUUGGUCAUUUCUAACAUUUUUAGAAAAUUGUCCCUAAAGUUUUACUUUUAUUUUAUUUAGGCCUUGAGCCCCAAACAUGCAAAUGAACCAAUUUUUAGGACAAACCCAAGCUAACCAAAUGUUCAUAGGAUGCAAAACAGCCCCAUGGAUGAAAAAAUUGCACAGUAAAUUCGCGUACUUUAGUAAUGUAACAAAUAGUUCGUAAGUAGAAAAUUUUAUCAAAAUCACUUAACAAACUACUGGUUAAUAUAAAUCGACAUGCCAAUUUCACCAUCGGACAAAAAAAAGCACAAGAUUCAUCAAGGACAAGAAGCAAAGCGUAGCAGUGGCAAAAUAGAAGGUACGUGCUAGCUGGACCUAAUUGAAACAAUCUCAAAAACAUAAAAAUUACAGAAAAUGGGGCUAAAUUGAACUUACAUGCACCAUCAAAAGAAUGGUCGAAGCUUCAAACCUUCGAUGGAGUUUUUCAUCUUUUCAAUUCGGUGAAGAAACAAAGUAAAAGAUGAUAAAACAUUUUGGCUUUAUUUAAUUAUCAAAUUACUAUUUUGUCCCUUUUAUAAACAUCCAAAAAUUUCAUGCUUUUAGUUGCCAAAACCAUCCACUAUAUUCUUAAAUGGUCUAAUUACCAUUUAAACCCCUUUUCCUUUAUUCAAUUAACCAUUUAAUCACUCAUAUCAAAUAGUGACUAAAUAUUCCAUCUUUUACAAUUUAGUCCUUCUUAAUUAAUUUACUAUCGAAACGUUAAAAUUUUUCAUUGAUAAAAUACUUAUGACUCUAUUGAUAAAAAUGAGGUCUCGAUACCUGAAUUUCUAAAACCACUUGACCUUAGGUUUAUACCACUUGAACUUAAUAAAUCGCUUAUAAAAUAAAAUCGCUAUAUCAAAAACCUUUUCAAAGUCACAACUAACUCAUAAAUAUUAAAUAUAAUAUUACAAACUUACUCGUCGAAUUUGGUGGCUUCGAAAGCACAGUCUCUAACACCACUAAAAACGGGUUUUACAAGUCUUCCCCCCUUACGAAAAUUUCGUCCUUGAAAUUUCUCACCUGAUAAAAGUCGUCAAGUCGAGCCUUUCUAUCUUCUUCUUAAUGGUAACCCACAGAUAAGUCCAUCAUAACUCAUUUUUAUUCAGAACUCAUGUCAGAAGUUACAUUAGAAUUUGAUUUAUACCGAAUUAAUUGAAUAGCAUGAUGUUCUCUUGUCACAAUUUAUCAUUAGCAGCAUAACUACUGAGAAUUCCCAAUGAUCGUCAAUCGAAACAUAACGAAAACCGAAUCAUCACUCUGACUGAUGCUUCUGACAUAUUUGUAUCUGUAGCUUUCAAUGAUAUAUGUUCCCUUUUUUUCCUGAAAAGCUCAAGUAAUAUAUUUUAACACAAGCACAAUAGCUUCAACUAUUAAGACGACUUUAACUCUAAUAAUUCCCCGAUUAUAGUUGAUCAGAUAGAUAUAUCUUUGUAUCAUGUCUUCUAGAAUAUUAUUUCUUCAUUCAGACAAUCAGUCUAUUUACCCGUGAAUCCACAAACUUAUUCCCGAACCUGAGGAUAGACUCAAAUACGUAUAACUCAAAUAACUUUUCAAAUGAAUAACCCGCUCUGACUAAAAAAGUUGAGUCAUUUUAUCAAUCGAAUAAUAACAUUAAAUUUAAUAAAAAAUAUACAUAGUACAGUUCAUAGGAACUUACCUGGCUAAAUUGCAAAAUAGCAAAGUUUAGGGGAAUUUUGGAAAUUUUACAUUUUCCUCGAUUAUCCCACCCCUUCUUGAUCUAAAUUAAUAAUGUCAUUUAAUUUAUCAAUUUAGGUAGUAAAACAAUGUACUUAAUGCAAUUUGGUCAUUUUUUGACAUUUUUACAUAAUUUUCCCUAAAGUUUUACUUUUAUUUUAUUUAGUCCUUGAGCCCAAAACAUGCAAAUUAACCAUUUUUAGUACAAACCACAAGCUAACCAAAUUCUCAUAGUAUUCAAAAAAUCCCAUUUAUGCAAAAAAUUCACAUUAAAUUCUCGUAUUUUUAUUAAUUUAACAAAUUAGUCCGUAAUAAAAAAAUUAUCAAAAUCACUUAACAAAAUACUGUUAAAUAUAAUUGACAUUCCAAAUUCACCAUCGGCAUAAAAAUCAAGAUUCAUCAAUGGACAUAAUCAAAAUCUUUAACUGUUUCAAAGUCGAAGGUACGUGCUAGCUGGACCUAAUGCAACAAUCUCAAAAACAUAAAAAAUACUAAAAUGGAGCUAAAUUGAACUUACAUGCACCAUCAAAGAAUGGACAAAGCUUCAAAACCUUCCAGGAGUUUUUCAUCUUUUCAAUUCGAUGAAGAAGCAAUGUAAAAGAUGAAUAAAACAUUUUGGCUUAAUUUAAUUAUCAAAUUACUAUUUUGUCCCUUUUAUAAACAUCCAAAAUUUCAUGCUUUUGUUGCCCAAAACCGUUCCACUAUAGUCCUAAAUGGUCUAAUUACCAUUUAAGCCCCUUUCCUUUAUUCAAUUAAUCAUUUAGUACUCACAUCAAAUAAUGAUUAAAUUUUACAUCUUUUACAUUUAGUCCUUUUUAAUUAAUUUACAUUCGAAACGUUAAAUUUUUCAACAAAACUUAAUACCACCUUAAUGACACUUCGUAAAUAUUUAUAAAACACUUAUGGCUCCAUUUAUAAAAUGAGGUUCCCGAUACCUGAAUUUCUAAACCCCACUUGAACUUAAUAAAUCGCUUAUAAAAAAAAAAUCGCUAUAUCAAAUACCUUUUCAAGGUCACAACUAACUCAUAAAUAUUAAAUAUAAUAUUUACAAACUUACUCGUCGAAUUUGGUGGCUUCGAAAGCACAGUCUCUAACACCACUAAAAACGGGUGUUACAAGUCUUCCCCCCUUAAGAAAAUUUUGUUCUCGAAAUUUCUCACUUGAUAAAAGUCGUCAAGUUGGUCUUUCUGUCUUCUUCUUAAUGGUAACCCACAGAUAAGUCCAUCAUAACUCAUUUCGAUUCAACUCAUAUUCAAGUCACAUCAGAAUUUGAUGUUAUACUGAAUUUAUUUGAAUAGCCAUGAUGUUCUCCUAUCACCAAUUAUCUUAGCAGCAUAACUACUGAGAAUUCCCAAUGAUUGUCAAUCAAAACAUAACUGAGAAACCCGAAUUAUCAACUCUGACUGAUGCUUCUGACAUAUUUGUAUCUGUAGCUUUCAACUGAUAUAUGUUCCCUUUUUUUCCUGAAAGCAUCAAGCAAUAUCAUUUAACACAAGCACGAUAGCUUCAACUAUUAAGACGACUUUAACUCUAAUAACAUUCCCGAUUAGUUGAUCUAAUAGAUAUUUUGUAUCAUGUCUUCUAGAAUAUGAUUCUUCAUUCGGACUAUAGUCUAUUUACCCGGGGAAUCCACAAACUUUAUUCCCGAACCUGAGAUAGACUAAAUACGUAUAACUCAAUUAACUUUUCAAAUGAAUAACCCACUAUGAUUAAAAAACUGAGUCGAUUUUAUCAAUCGAAUAAUAACAUUCAAUUUAAUCAAAAUACAUAGUACAGUUCAUAGGAACUUACCUGACUAAAUUGCAAAAAUAGCAAAGUUAGGGGCAAUUUUGAAAUUUUACAUUUUUUCUUGAUCCACCCUUCUUGAUCUCAAUUAAUAAUUUCAUUAAUUUAUCAAUUUAGGUAGUAAACANNNNNNNNNNNNNNNNNNNNNNNNNNNNNNNNNNNNNNNNNNNNNNNNNNNNNNNNNNNNNNNNNNNNNNNNNNNNNNNNNNNNNNNNNNNNNNNNNNNNNNNNNNNNNNNNNNNNNNNNNNNNNNNNNNNNNNNNNNNNNNNNNNNNNNNNNNNNNNNNNNNNNNNNNNNNNNNNNNNNNNNNNNNNNNNNNNNNNNNNNNNNNNNNNNNNNNNNNNNNNNNNNNNNNNNNNNNNNNNNNNNNNNNNNNNNNNNNNNNNNNNNNNNNNNNNNNNNNNNNNNNNNNNNNNNNNNNNNNNNNNNNNNNNNNNNNNNNNNNNNNNNNNNNNNNNNNNNNNNNNNNNNNNNNNNNNNNNNNNNNNNNNNNNNNNNNNNNNNNNNNNNNNNNNNNNNNNNNNNNNNNNNNNNNNNNNNNNNNNNNNNNNNNNNNNNNNNNNNNNNNNNNNNNNNNNNNNNNNNNNNNNNNNNNNNNNNNNNNNNNNNNNNNNNNNNNNNNNNNNCGAGUAUCAGGUGGGAGACAAAGUGUUCCUUAAGGUUUCACCUUGGAAAAAGAUACUCAGGUUCGGCCGUAAGGGCAAGUUGAGCCCAAGAUUCAUUGGGCCGUACGAAAUCUCCGAACGAGUGGGGCCAGUGGCGUAUAGAUUGAUUUUGCCCCCGGAGCUUGAAAAGAUUCAUGACGUCUUUUAUGUUUCGAUGCUUCGACGCUAUCGAUCUGAUCCAUCGCAUAUAAUUAGCCCAUCAGAGGUUGAAAUUCAAGUCGACAUGAGCUAUGAAGAAGAAGAACCGAUGCGUAUCCUAGCUCGUGAAGUGAAGGAGUUGCGAAAAAAAAAAAAAAAAAAAAAAAAGGGGGUUCCGUUAGUGAAGGUGUUAUGGCUCAAACACGGGAUCGAGGAAGCUACUUGGGAAACCGAGAGCUCGAUGAAAGAACGAUACCCAAACCUAUUUACCGGUAAAAUUUUCGGGGACGAAAAUUUCUUAAUUGGGGGAGAGUUGUAACAGCCCAAAGUUGACCCUAGUCGGGAAGUGGUCUCGGGACCGCUAAACCGAGUCACCAGAAUGUUUGAAUGUGAUACUUAUUGUCUAGAAUAUGUAAUUAUGAAGGUGUGAAAAUUUCAAGCUUCAAUUUGGUUGAUUUCAUGAGAAUUUAGUCAAUAGGACUUAUGUGAGAAAAUUCUAAAAUGUGAUAGGUCAAUGUGUGAGGACCUAUUAGUGCAUGUGGACAAAGGGGGGGACUUGCAUGUCAAAUUCCCCCCCCUAAUGAGUAGUGGCCGGCCAUGACAAGGAAGGAUGGGCAAAACAUGUCAUGAAACAUGUUUUGUUAGUGGAAGAAUAAAAUAAGGAGUAUGGGUAAUAAAGAAAUGGAAAACAAAAGAAAAAAAAAUGUGUGUGUGGUGUUUGUCCCCCCCCCCAUUGCCGUGAGCUAAACAAGAGAAAGGGGGAAUUUUGUUCAUCCUUUUCUCAUCUUCAUGCUUGCCAAAAACUAGAAAGAAAAACAAAGAAAAAAAUUUUCUCAUCCUUUGGUUCAUCCUUGGCCAAAAAUUUUAAGGAGGAAAGAAGAAGAAAGGUGAAGAGAUUCGGCCAUGCAUGUAGCUAGGCUAAGGUAUGUUUGAUGAUGUUCCAUGAGAGGCAUGCAUGUUUUAGUUGUUAGCUUGAGUUCUACCUAACCCAUGGUCUAAAUCUUGCUAUGUGAUGGAAAUGGCACUUGACCAUGGAUGAAUCAUUCUUGGUUGAUGUUUGAUGUUGUGGUGAUGAGGCAUGAGGAUGAGUUAAGAUUCGGCCUAGGUGGAGGUUGUGUUAAUGCCAUUGCAUGCAAAAUAUGAAGCUUGUUAAUGAUGCAUGUGAUGAUGGCUUGAUGAUUUUUGAACCUCCUUUUUAACAUUUUUUUUUGUGUGAGCACAUAUGUGCAUUGAUUGCUAAAUGGAGAAGAAUCGGCUAGCAAGAUGUGUGCUAAGGCCGAAUGUAACUUUGCAUGUUAAUGAGCAAUGCAUGUGUUAAAUUGAUGAAAAGAGGGAGGAUGCUUUACUAGUGUGUAUAUGUGUGUAUUAAGUGUUGAAAUCGACCCCAAAAAUAGGCAUGCAUAUUCGGCCAAGGGGAAAGAAAUUAGCUAAUAUGUUGUGUUGAUGCAUGAUUUUUGCAUGUAUGAGACUUUAAUGUCUAAUGUAUAAAUAUGGGCUAAGUGCCUUGUGUUCAUCUUUUUGAUGCCUAAAUGAUGAAAUUGUCGAAUGAUUAGUUGGGUAACAAAAGAAGCAUUCGGCCAUCACUUGAGAGUUUGUGUGAUGUUGGGUUUAAAAUUAGCAAAGGUGACUUACCUAAUGCAUGUGCAUGUGUGAUUAGAUUUUUGAUGAUAUGGUAGUUGCGUGAGGUUAUUAGCCGAAUAUACUAACAUACAUAUACAUGUGAAAUUGGAUUGUAAAUAUUUAGCAAGGUGGUUAAACUAGUUAAAUUAUUGAUUAAGCUCAAGGAGUUAAAGGAGGUGAAUCGAGCAAAGGCAAAGAAAAGGUCAUCGAGUAGCCGAGUUGGAACCGUCUUACCCAACACGAGGUAAGUCAUUAAGCAUGUAGUUGGUAUUGUUUUAAAUGGUCAUAAUGUGUAUGUAUUGAUGCUGAAUGGAAUGAAUAAAUAUACAUAUAUAUAUAUAUGCAUGUACGUAUGGGAUGAUGAAAUUGUUGAAUGAAAAGAAAAGAGGUAAGAUGUACUAAGUUGUUGAUCUCGGCACUAAACGUGCGGGUAUAACCAUUUAUGACCAUGAGAUUGGCGCUAAGUGCGCGGGAGUAAAUUGUACAGCACUAAGUGUGCAAUUUGGCUAUGUAGCACUAAGUGUGCGAUUUGACCAUGUUGCACUAAGUGUGCGAAAUGAAAAUGAUGCACUAAGUGUGCGAAUUGACCAUGCGACACUAAGUGUGCGAGUUUGAUUAUGUGGCACUAAGUGUGCGAGUUGAUUAUAUAGCACUGAGUGUGCGGACUUAAUAUAUAUUCUUGAAUCAUUAUGGACACUAAGUGUGCGACGCUAUUGAGUCGAUCACGGACGGCGGAUCGGGUAAGUGUCUUGAGUUCAUGGCUAAUAGGUGCUAUGUCGAUACUUGGUGAUGAGCUUGGUAAGUUUGAAUCUAUGUGACAAAUAUACUUGAAGUCACGUACAUGAAAUUUAUCGUAGAAUGGGUGAAAGGUAGUUUAGUUGUAUGAUGGUAACGAAAAUAAAAUGAUUUAUGAAAAUGCCUCGAAUAUCCUAUUGAUGAGUAUGUGGAUUGUGAAUGCAUAAAUUGGUAUGAAACCAAACCGAUAGGUCGGAGGAACUACGGUAUGGUUCGGAAUGGAUGGAGUAAUUAGCCUCGUUCCAUUUUGUUUUCUCUUGUGAUAAUGUUUUGGAUGGAUGGUAGUGCAUAGCUUAUGACUUACUGAGUUAUAAACUCACUCGGUGUUUCCUUGUCACCCAUUAUAGGUUGCUUGGACUCAUCUAUUUUUGCGGGGUCGGGCCGUCAUCGAAGUCAUCACACCGGAUAGCAAGUUUUGGUACUUUCUUCUUAGUUGGAUUAGAAGAACAUUUUGGCAUGUAUAAGCUAUUACGUUGUGUUUGAACUUUGGCAUUGUAAACUUUAAGCCAUGCGAAAAUGGCACGAAUGUUCGAUUGAGUUGGAUCAAGGGUAGGCAUGAAAUGGGCCUAGAUACUUUCGUAACAGAUGCUGGCAGCAGCAGUGUCAUGAGAUUGAAAAAUCACUAAAAAUAGUAGGAGUGGAAUUAAUUGACGAAUAAAUUAUGUAAUCGAAGCUCGAUGAGUCUGUUUUCAUGAGGAAGUAACGAAAAGAUCAUAUGGGCAGUAUAUUGAGAGAUAAUCAGAUUUUUUUGGGACAGGGCCAGAACGGUUUCUGGAUUCCCUGCUCCGACUUUGGAAAUUCAUUAUAAAUUAACCAGAGAUAAUUAGGGGUUGUACCAUAUAUGUACAGAUUCCUCUCUGAGUCUAGUUUUUAUAGAAACAAACGGAAUCAGUAUUGGAGCCCUGUGCAGUGAGAUAUCCAAGUCGUAAUGGGCAAAGGUCAGUGUAGUCGACCCCUGCAACAUGGGAGACUUUGACUAAUAAACUGUACUAAUUGGCCCAACCAAAAAUUCUAGAAAAAAAUACAUAGAUGGGCACAUGAGUCUAGUUUCUGGGAAAAAUCACGAAACUGAUUUUCGAGUUAUGAAACUCAAGAUAUGAUUUUUAGAACGACUAGUACACAGAUUGGGCAGUGUCUGGAAAAUAAACUUUAUAAGGGGUUAAAGUCAGUUAACACCUCGUGUUCGACUCCGGUGUCGGUUUCGGGUUCGGGGUGUUACAGGGGAUGCCUAUGAUUUUAUGACUAAAAAGCUCAAUUUGGAUUGUUUGAAACUUUGAUGUUCUUAUAAUUUUGAUUGUUUGAAACUUUGAUGUUUUUAUAGUUAAGCUCUUAAUGUAUGAUAACUUGUGGAUUAUUUCGAACACUAUUGAUAAGAAUUAUAAGUUGAGAAGGAUUUAUUUUAAUUGUAAGUUGAGGAUUUUGCUUGAGGACAAGCAAAGGCUUAAGUGUAGGGAUAUUUGAUAAACCAUAAUAUAUACAUAUUUUUACCCCAUGCUUGGCAUAUUUAUGGAUGAUUUUUCCUUAGUUUUAUUAAAUUCAAUGCUCCUAAUCCUUUAAAUUCAUGUUUUAUACUCAGGAAAGCUUAGGAUAACAAAAAGAGCGAGAAAUGGGCCAAAAACAGACAAAUUGUGUCUAAAUCAGUGUUUCACACGGCCUAGGAACUUCUACACGGGUGAUCCACACGCUCAUGUGUGACACACGGGUGAUCCACACGCCCGUGUAUGACACACGGGUAGACCACAUGCCUGUUGUCAUGGCCGUGUCGACAUUAAUCCAAGUCAGAAUUACACACGGCCUGAGCACCUUGACACGAGUAUAGGACACGACCAUGUCCCUGUCAAACGUAAGUCUAGUUCUACUAGGAAAAGGCUUAUUUCAGGCUGAUUUGGGCAUUCAAGAGUCUAUAUAAUGACCCUAGAAGAGGAUUAGAAGGGGACGGAGAGUGGAAGGCAGGAAAUUACUUAAGAACAGCCAUCGGAAUCACCUCGGAGCCAGUAUCUACAUCAAGACUGAAGAUUUCCAGCCAAUUUCUUAAAAUUUCUUUGGGUUUCUUUAUGUUCUGUUGUUUUCCAAACUUUGAUAUGUUUUCCAUUUUUAUCAUGAACUAAACUCUCUAAAUACCUAAGGGAGAUAAAACCUAAGACGAAUCUUAUUACUCUUUGAUUUUUAUGAUAAAUAUUUGCUCUUAUUCUUAAUUGUGAAUUUUAAUCCUUGCUUUAAUAUUGCAGGAUAUUUAUUUAGGUUUUUGAUGUGCUUAUUCAGUAGAGCAAAAGUCCCUGUUUAAUAGUAGAUCAUUCAUAAUUAAGCGGAGUUGCAUACAAUCCUAGAGAUAGGACGAUAUAAAUCUGUCAGAUUAGAGUCAAAUCUAAUAAGGGAAUCCAUAGAUCGAGUUAAUGCGACAAUAGGGGUUUUAAUUAGAAAGAUAUUUUGAUUAGUCAACCUAGAGUCAGUUUUUUUUAGUCACGAAAGGGAUAUUAACAUAAAUCAGGGAUUUCUACGGAAUGACUCAAGUGAAUAAAUCAUCUAAGUCAAAAGUCAUAAGUGAAGUUUAGGUAGAUUCUUUCUUGGGUAUUAUCUUCUCAAUCGGUUUUUUUAAAAGUAUUUUCCAACUUUAAUCUCUAUCGUUACUUUAGUUAAUUAGAUAAUUAGUCUUAGAUAAAACAUCCCCUAAAUUUUUAGGCUAGAUAAUAAAAAGAUAGUAAUUACUAGUACUUUUAGUCCUUCUAGAUACGAUAUUUCCGAUCUCACCAUAACUAUACUACUGUUCAAUAGGUGCAUUUGCCUUAAGUCGAAUUUUUUAAUUAGUUUAGCGACCAUCAAUAGGCCCAUACGGGCAAGCCACAUCGGCGUGUGAGCCCGUUUUCCUGAAAUGUUUGCUAAGGUUGCACGGGUCACCCAAGUCAACUGUGAACCAACUGUAGGGUCGAUAAGCACUACUUAGACCCCUAUUGGACUGAAAUGACUGUAUGACCAUUAUGUAUAUUUAUUUGCAUGUUAUCGAGCAUGAUGAUAUUUAAUGAAGUGAUAUUGUAUGAACUGUUGCCAUGGUAGAGCAUGUCAUUACUGUAUGUUGCAUUGCAUUGGGAUGGGGGAUUGAUAUUGUUCGGAGGAAGUGUAUUGAAAGGCCUCAGCCUAAUUUACUGGCAGCUCAGCUACAAACCACUGUUUAGUGCCACAUUCGGUACUUUUUGGAGUGUAGGGAUGGGUGGGUUGAUUAUAUCCCCACAUGGAGUGUAGGGUUGGACGGCGAUGGUGUGUAAAGGCUGGCUGGGUAGGAUUUUGUGACUGUAUAUCUAUUACUGUACUGAUUACUGAUUCUAUAAUGGGCCAAGGCCCUAAUGAAGGAUCGCUUCUAUACGGAAAGGGCUUAAGCCUAGACUGUGACUGCAUGUUGUUUGCUUGUUCUAUAUAGGGAUUACACACUGAGUUUUCGUAAACUCACCCUUUUGUUUAAAUGUGCGCAGGUAAUUCCCAGACUUGACGGAUCGGUGCAGCAGAGGACUCAAUGGUGACCACACAUAUUAUAAGCCAUUUGACUUUAAUUUUGGUAUUUAAUUCUUAAGUAUUUUUUGGGUUAAUUUUAGAUGUAAAUUGCGGAUUUUCUGGGACUUUUACUUAAAUUGGGUUAUUUAUUUUUAUGGAUUUAUAGCUGCUCGACUUUUAAAAACUCAGUUUUCAAAAGGCAAAAUUUUCUAUAAACACACGAUUUACACAAAAUGACUUUUAAAAGCUUCCGCAACGAAAUAUGUUAAAACGAUUGACUAAAUAAGUAAUGAUUUUGGAGAUAACAAGAGUAAAUAAAUGAAAAUUAUUUACCCGUAACAACUUAGUUUCAAACGCUAUCAUGUGACAUUGCCAGAUUUGGCCACAACGUCUAGGCUAAGUUUGGGGUGUUACAAAAAGGCCUACUUGUUUACUUGUAAAAGCUUUUAUGAAAAAUAUUUUCAAUAUUUUCCAAUGUUUGUUUGGUGGAAAAUGAAUUCUGACUAUAAAACCUUCUUCAAAACACGGAAAAACUGCUCCUAUUUUUAGGAAAAUGUCUUUCCCUUUUUUUCGGUAAGAUAUUUUCCAAUCAAUUUUCUCUUCACAUCCCAGCAUCCUAGCGCUUGCUAAACGCUCUUCUCUUUCCGCUUCCCCAGUUGUUACGACCUCGACCCAAGAUUCAUAUCUGUACCGAAAACAACCAGUAAUUUUUUGACAAAAAAAGCCCUAACUAUUUCUAGUCUUUUCAUAAUUGGAACUCUCAACAAUUGGGUGAUUUUUUAUGUUCAAUUUCUUCUUUUAUUUCCCUUCAGUGACUUGCCACUUCAAGCGAAAUCAUCUGAUUCAAGUUCGAAACUCAAUUGUCAAAAUGGACGUUGAGGCAAUUAACUAUGGGAAAUUAAUGAAAAAUUCAGAACCAUUUUGGAAUUAUAUGAUUUGGUUGCUUGCUUCUAUUUGAUUUUUUUCUAUUUUUUAGUUUAAUUAUUACUAAUUCUACUUGUGAUAAUUAGGUGAUGUAAUGGCAAGGAUUACUCUAUUCAAAGUGUAGAAGCAACACUUUGGUUAGUCUUUUUUUAAGGUAUUUUGGACAUGAACAUUGCUUUGUUAUUGUUAUGCUUUUAAUUUUGAAAAAGGAAUUAAUGUUUUUGGGUGUUGUAACUUUCGUAUUUCUCCUUGUGUGUCUGCAUUUGUGAUUUGUUGAUAUGAUUCUUUCUUUUUAGCUACAUGGCUAUUCUAAGUAGUGCCAUUCUUGAGUUCACUAGUAGUGGUAUUAUGGUUCUUGUUGUACCUUAUGUAGUAUUUGAACCUCUUUUUUGACCAGUAAAGAUCUCUUCUAGCUUCAAAAAUAGAUGAAGGAAGCUUAGGUGUCCUAGAAUUAUAUAUUAAUAUAAUAAGGCCAUUAAAAAAGACAUUGUCAUUUACUUAUUCGUGCUUUCCUAAGUUUUACUAGUUUUGUAAUUUUUUAAGUUUUAUUAAUAUUGUGGAUUGAUGUAUUUCCUUAUUAUAUAAGAAGGGUACUUCUUAGAUUAGAAUUAUCAAAGACAUAGCAGAUCUGACCUUUAGGUGUUUACACUAAAGUAGAGCCAAGAUGAUUUGACAUCUCUGUAUUGUCAGAGAGCGGAUUGAAGAAACAAAUUUGGCAUCUCCAUAUUUGACGGAGAGCAGAUCGAAGACAUAGCAGAUCUGACCUUUGGAUGUUUUCACAUCGAAGCAGAUCCAAGAUGAUUUGGCAUUCUUGUGUUUACAAACAGAAAAAUGAAAACAUAGUAGAUUUGACCUUCAGGUGUUUACACUGAAGCAGAUCCAAGAUGAUUUGAUGUCUCUAUAUUGUCAGAGAACAAAUAGAAGAAACAGAUUUGGCAUCUCCAUAUUCGACGGAGAGUAGAUCGAAGACGUAGCAGAUCUGACCUUUGGAUGUUUUCACAUCGAAGCAUAUCUAAGAUGAUUUCGCAUUCUUGUGUUUACAAGGAGCAAAUCGAAGACAUAGCAGAUCUGACCUUCAGGUGUUUACACUAAAGUAGAUCCAAGAUGAUUUGCCAUCUCUGUAUUGUCAGAGAACAAAUCGAAGAAAGAGAUUUGGCAUCUCCAUAUUCGAUGGAGAGAGGAUCGAAGACAUAGCAGAUCUGACCUUUGGACGAUUUCACAUCGAAGCAGAUCCAAAAUGAUUUGGCAUUAUUGUGUUUACAAGAAGCAAAUCGAAGGCAUAGCAGAUCUGACCUUUAGUUGUUUACUAUGAAGUAGAUCCAAGAUGAUUUGCCAUCUCUGUAUUGUCAGAGAACAAAUCGAAGAAACAGAUUUGUCAUCCCCAUAUUCGACGGAGAGCAGAUGAAGACAUAGCAGAUCUAACCUUUGGAUGUUUUCACAUCGAAGAAGAUUCAAGAUGAUUUGGCAUUCUUGUGUUUACAAGGAGCAAAUUGAAGACAUAGCAGAUCUGACCUUCAGGUGUUUACACUAAAGCAGAUCCAAGAUGAUUUGGCAUCUCUGUAUUGUCAGAGAACAAAUCAAAGAAACAGAUUUGGCAUCUUCAUAUUCAAUGGAGAGCAGACCGAAAGCAUAGCAGAUCUGACCUUUGGAUGUUUUCACAUCGAAGCAGAUAUAAGAUGAUUUGGCAUUCUUGUGUUCACAAGGAGCAAAUCAAAGACAUAACAGAUCUGACCUUCAGGUGUUUACACUGAAGCAAAUCCAAGAUGAUUUGGCAUCUCUGUAUUGUCAGAGAACAAAUCGAAGAAAUAGAUUUGGCAUCUCCAUAUUCGACGGAGAGGAGAUCGAAGACAUAGCAGAUCUGACCUUUGGAUGUUUUCACAUCGAAGUAGAUCGAAGAUGAUUUAGAAUUCUUGUGUUUACAAGGAGUAAAUUGAAGACAUAGCAGAUUUGACCUGCAGGUGUUUACACUGAAGCAUAUCCAAGAUGAUUUGGCAUCUCUCUAUUGUCAGAGAACAAAUCGAAGAAACAGAUUUGGCAUCUCCAUAUUCGACGGAGAGCAGAUUGAAGACAUAGCAGAUCUGACCUUUGGAUGUUUUCACAUCGAAGUAGAUCGAAGAUGAUUUAGAAUUCUUGUGUUUACAAGGAGUAAAUUGAAGACAUAGCAGAUUUGACCUGCAGGUGUUUACACUGAAGCAUAUCCAAGAUGAUUUGGCAUCUCUCUAUUAUCAGAGAACAAAUCGAAGAAACAGAUUUGGCAUCUCCAUAUUCGACGGAGAGCAGAUCGAAGACAUAGCAGAUCUGACCUUUGGAUGUUUUCAUAUCGAAGUUAAUCGAAGAUGAUUUAGAAUUCUUGUGCUUACAAGGAGCAAAUUGAAGACAUAGCAGAUCUGACCUUCAGGUGUUUACACUAAAGCAGAUCCAAGAUGAUUUGGCAUCUCUGUAUUGUCAGAAAACAAAUCGAAGAAACAGAUUUCACAUCUCCAUAUUCAAGGGAGAGCAGAUCGAAGACAUAGUAGAUCUAACCUUUGGAUGUUUUCACAUCGAAGCAGAUCCAAGAUGAUUUCGCAUUCUUGUGUUCACAAGGAGCAAAUCGAAGACAUAACAGAUCUGACCUUCAGGUGUUUACACUGAAGCAAAUCCAAUAUGAUUUGGCAUCUCUGUAUUGUCAGAGAACAAAUCGAAGAAAUAGAUUUGGCAUCUCCAUAUUCGACAGAGAGCAGAUCGAAGACAUAGCAGAUCUGACCUUUGGAUGUUUUCACAUCGAAGUAAUCCAAGAUGAUUUAGAAUUCUUGUGUUUACAAGGAGUAAAUUGAAGAAAUAGCAGAUCUAACCUUCAGGUGUUUACACUGAAGUAGAUCCAAGAUGAUUUGGCAUCACUGUAUUGUCAGAGAACAAAUCGAAGAAACAGAUUUGGCAUCUGCAUAUUCGAUGGAGAGAAGAUCGAAGACAUAGCAGAUCUGACCAUUGGACGAUUUCACAUCGAAGCAGAGCUAAAAUGAUUUGGCAUUAUUGUGUUUACAAGAAGCAAAUCGAAGACAUAGUAGAUCUGACCUUUAGUUGUUUACUCUGAAGUAGAUCCAAGAUGAUUUGGCAUCUCUGUAUUGUCAGAGAACAAAUCGAAGAAACAGAUUUGCCAUCCCCAUAUUCGACGGAGAGCAGAUCGAAGACAUAGCAGAUCUGACCUUUGGUUGUUUUCACAUCAAAGCAGAAAGAAGAUUAUUUGGCAUUCUUGUGUUUACAAGGAGCAAAUCGAAGACAUAGCAGAUCUGACCUUUAGGUGUUUACACUAAAGUAGAGCCAAGAUGAUUUGACAUCUCUGUAUUGUCAGUGAGCGGAUUGAAGAAACAAAUUUGGCAUCUCCAUAUUUGACGGAGAGCAGAUCGAAGACAUAGCAGAUCUGACCUUUGGAUGUUUUCACAUCGAAGCAGAUCCAAGAUGAUUUGGCAUUCUUGUGUUUACAAGCAGAAAAUCGAAGACAUAGUAGAUUUGACCUUCAGGUGUUUACACUGAAGCAGACCCAAGAUGAUUUGAUGUCUCUAUAUUGUCAGAGAACAAAUCGAAGAAACAGAUUUGGCAUCUCCAUAUUCGACGGAGAGUGGAUCGAAGACGUAGCAGAUCUGACCUUUGGAUGUUUUCACAUCGAAGCAUAUCUAAGAUGAUUUCACAUUCUUGUGUUUACAAGGAGCAAAUCGAAGACAUAGCAGAUCUGACCUUCAGGUGUUUACACUAAAGUAGAUCCAAGAUGAUUUGCCAUCUCUGUAUUGUCAGAGAACAAAUCGAAGAAAGAGAUUUGGCAUCUCCAUAUUCGAUGGAGAGAGGAUCGAAGACAUAGCAGAUCUGACCUUUGGACGAUUUCACAUCGAAGCAGAUCCAAAAUGAUUUGGCAUUAUUGUGUUUACAAGAAGCAAAUCGAAGGCAUAGCAGAUCUGACCUUUAGUUGUUUACUAUGAUGUAGAUCCAAGAUGAUUUGCCAUCUCUGUAUUGUCAGAGAACAAAUCGAAGAAACAGAUUUGUCAUCCCCAUAUUCGACGGAGAGCAGAUCGAAGACAUAGCAGAUCUAACCUUUGGAUGUUUUCACAUCGAAGCAGAUUCAAGAUGAUUUGGCAUUCUUGUGUUUACAAGGAGCAAAUUGAAGACAUAGCAGAUCUGACCUUCAGGUGUUUACACUAAAGCAGAUCCAAGAUGAUUUGGCAUCUCUGUAUUGUCAGAGAAUAAAUCGAAGAAACAGAUUUCACAUCUCCAUAUUCAAGGGAGAGCAGAUCGAAGACAUAGUAGAUCUAACCUUUGGAUGUUUUCACAUUGAAGCAGAUCCAAGAUGAUUUGGCAUUCUUGUGUUCACAAGGAGCAAAUCGAAGACAUAACAGAUCUGACCUUCAGGUGUUUACACUGAAGCAAAUCCAAGAUGAUUUGGCAUCUCUGUAUUGUCAGAGAACAAAUCGAAGAAAUAGAUUUGGCAUCUCCAUAUUCGACGGAGAGGAGAUCGAAGACAUAGCAGAUCUGACCUUUGGAUGUUUUAACAUCGAAGUAGAUCGAAGAUGAUUUAGAAUUCUUGUGUUUACAAGGAGUAAAUUGAAGACAUAGCAGAUUUGACCUGCAGGUGUUUACACUGAAGCAUAUCCAAGAUGAUUUGGCAUCUCUCUAUUGUCAGAGAACAAAUCGAAGAAACAGAUUUGGCAUCUCCAUAUUCGACGGAGAGCAGAUCGAAGACAUAGCAGAUCUGACCUUUGGAUGUUUUCACAUCGAAGUAGAUCGAAGAUGAUUUAGAAUUCUUGUGUCUACAAGGAGUAAAUUGAAGACAUAGCAGAUUUGACCUGCAGGUGUUUACACUGAAGCAUAUCCAAGAUGAUUUGGCAUCUCUCUAUUGUCAGAGAACAAUCGAAGAAACAGAUUUGGCAUCUCCAUAUUCGACGGAGAGCAGAUCGAAGACAUAGCAGAUCUGACCUUUGGAUGUUUUCACAUCGAAGUUGAUCGAAGAUGAUUUAGAAUUCUUGUGUUUACAAGGAGUAAAUUGAAGACAUAGCAGAUUUGACCUGCAGGUGUUUACACUGAAGCAUAUCCAAGAUGAUUUGGCAUCUCUCUAUUGUCAGAGAACAAAUCGAAGAAACAGAUUUGGCAUCUCCAUAUUCGACGGAGAGCAGAUCGAAGACAUAGCAGAUCUGACCUUUGGAUGUUUUCACAUCGAAGUUGAUCGAAGAUGAUUUAGAAUUCUUGUGCUUACAAGGAGCAAAUUGAAGACAUAGCAGAUCUGACCUUCAGGUGUUUACACUAAAGCAGAUCCAAGAUGAUUUGGCAUCUCUGUAUUGUCAGAAAACAAAUCGAAGAAACAAAUUUCACAUCUCCAUAUUCAAGGGAGAGCAGAUCGAAGACAUAGUAGAUCUAACCUUUGGAUGUUUUCACAUCGAAGCAGAUCCAAGAUGAUUUCGCAUUCUUGUGUUCACAAGGAGCAAAUCGAAGACAUAACAGAUCUGACUUUCAGGUGUUUACACUGAAGCAAAUCCAAUAUGAUUUGGCAUCUCUGUAUUGUCAGAGAACAAAUCGAAGAAACAGAUUUGGCAUCUCCAUAUUCGACAGAGAGCAGAUCGAAGACAUAGCAGAUCUGACCUUUGGAUGUUUUCACAUCGAAGUACAUCCAAGAUGAUUUAGAAUUCUUGUGUUUACAAGGAGUAAAUUGAAGAAAUAGCAGAUCUAACCUUCAGGUGUUUGCACUGAAGUAGAUCCAAGAUGAUUUGGCAUCACUGUAUUGUCAGAGAACAAAUCGAAGAAACAGAUUUGGCAUCUGCAUAUUCGAUGGAGAGAAGAUCAAAGACAUAGCAGAUCUAACCAUUGGACGAUUUCACAUCAAAGCAGAGCUAAGAUGAUUUAGCAUUAUUGUGUUUACAAGAAGCAAAUCGAAGACAUAGCAGAUCUGACCUUUAGUUGUUUACUCUGAAGUAGAUCCAAGAUGAUUUGGCAUCUCUGUAUUGUCAGAGAACAAAUCGAAGAAACAGAUUUGCCAUCCCCAUAUUCGACGGAGAGCAGAUCGAAGACAUAGCAGAUCUGACCUUUGGUUGUUUUCACAUCAAAGCAGAAAGAAGAUUAUUUGGCAUUCUUGUGUUUACAAUGAGCAAAUCGAAGACAUAGCAGAUCUAACCUUUAGGUGUUUACACUAAAGUAGAGCCAAGAUGAUUUGACAUCUCUGUAUUGUCAGUGAGCGGAUUGAAGAAACAAAUUUGGCAUCUCCAUAUUUGACGGAGAGCAGAUCGAAGACAUAGCAGAUCUGACCUUUGGUUGUUUUCACAUCAAAGCAGAAAGAAGAUUAUUUGGCAUUCUUGUGUUUAAAAGGAGCAAAUCGAAGACAUAGCAGAUCUGACCUUUAGGUGUUUACACUAAAGUAGAGCCAAGAUGAUUUGACAUCUCUGUAUUGUCAGUGAGCGGAUUGAAGAAACAAAUUUGGCAUCUCCAUAUUUGACGGAGAGCAGAUCGAAGACAUAGCAGAUCUGACCUUUGGAUGUUUUCACAUCGAAGCAGAUCCAAGAUGAUUUGGCAUUCUUGUGUUUACAAGCAGAAAAUCGAAGACAUAGUAGAUUUGACCUUCAGGUGUUUACACUGAAGCAGAUCCAAGAUGAUUUGAUGUCUCUAUAUUGUCAGAGAACAAAUCGAAGAAACAGAUUUGGCAUCUUCAUAUUCGACGGAGAGUAGAUCGAAGACGUAGCAGAUCUGACCUUUGGAUGUUUUCACAUCGAAGCAUAUCUAAGAUGAUUUCGCAUUCUUGUGUUUACAAGGAGAAAAUCGAAGACAUAACAGAUCUGACCUUCAGGUGUUUACACUAAAGUAGAUACAAGAUGAUUUGCCAUCUCUGUAUUGUCAGAGAACAAAUCGAAGAAAGAGAUUUGGCAUCUCCAUAUUCGAUGGAGAGAGGAUCGAAGACAUAGCAGAUCUGACCUUUGGACGAUUUCACAUCGAAGCAGAUCCAAAAUGAUUUGGCAUUAUUGUGUUUACAAGAAGCAAAUCGAAGGCAUAGCAGAUCUGACCUUUAGUUGUUUACUAUGACGUAGAUCCAAGAUGAUUUGCCAUCUCUGUAUUGUCAGAGAACAAAUCGAAGAAACAGAUUUGUCAUCCCCAUAUUCGACGGAGAGCAGAUCGAAGACAUAGCAGAUCUAACCUUUGGAUGUUUUCACAUCGAAGCAGAUUCAAGAUGAUUUGGCAUUCUUGUGUUUACAAGGAGCAAAUUGAAGACAUAGCAGAUCUGAACUUCAAGUGUUUACACUGAAGCAAAUCCAAUAUGAUUUGGCAUCUCUGUAUUGUCAGAGAACAAAUCGAAGAAACAGAUUUGGCAUCUCCAUAUUCGACGGAGAGCAGAUCGAAGACAUAGCAGAUCUGACUUUUGGAUGUUUUCACAUCGAAGUACAUCCAAGAUGAUUUAGAAUUCUUGUGUUUACAAGGAGUAAAUUGAAGACAUAGCAGAUCUAACCUUCAGGUGUUUACAUUGAAGCAGAUCCAAGAUGAUUUGGCAUCACUGUAUUGUCAGAGAACAAAUCAAAGGAACAGAUUUGGCAUCUGCAUAUUCGAUGGAGAGAAGAUCGAAGACAUAGCAGAUAUUACCAUUGGACGAUUUCACAUCGAAGCAGAUCCAAAAUGAUUUGGCAUUAUUGUGUUUACAAGAAGCAAAUCGAAGACAUAGCAGAUCUGACCUUUAGUUAUUUACUCUGAAGUAGAUCCAAGAUGAUUUGGCAUCUCUGUAUUGUCAGAGAACAAAUCGAAGAAAUAGAUUUGUCAUCCCCAUAUUCGACGGAGAGCAGAUCGAAGACAUAGCAGAUCUGACCUUUGGUUGUUUUCACAUCAAAGCAGAAACAUGAUUAUUUGGCAUUCUUGUGUUUACAAGGAGCAAAUCGAAGACAUAGCAGAUCUGACCUUCAGGUGUUUACACUGAAGCAGAGCCAAGAUGAUUUGACAUCUCUGUAUUUUCAGAGAGCGGAUUGAAGAAACAAAUUUGGCAUCUCCAUCUUUGACGGAGAGCAGAUCGAAGACAUGGCAGAUCUGACCUUUGGAUGUUUUCACAUCGAAUCAGACCAAGAUGAUUUGGCAUUCUUGUGUUUACAAGGAGAAAAUCAAAGACAUAGUAGAUUUGACCUUCAGGUGUUUACACUGAAGCAGACCCAAGAUGAUUUGAUGUCUCUAUAUUGUCAGAGAACAAAUCGAAGAAACAGAUUUGGCAUCUCCAUAUUCAACGGAGAGUAGAUCGAAGACGUAGCAGAUCUGACAUUUGGAUGUUUUCACAUUGAAGCAGAUCCAAGAUGAUUUGGCAUUCUUGUGUUUACAAGGAGAAAAUCAAAGACAUAGCAGAUCUGACCUUCAGGUUUUUACACUGAAGUAGAUCCAAGAUGAUUUGCCAUCUCUGUAUUGUCAGAGAACAAAUCGAAGAAACAUAUUUGGCAUCUCUAUAUUCGAUGGAGAGAAGAUCGAAGACAUAGCAGAUCUGACCUUUGCACGAUUUCACAUCGAUGUAGAUCCAAAAUUAUUUGGCAUUAUUGUGUUUACAAGAAGCAAAUCGAAGACAUAGCAGAUCUGACCUUUAGUUGUUUACUCUGAAGUAGAUCCAAGAUGAUUUGCAUCUCUGUAUUGUCAGAGAACAAAUCGAAGAAACAGAUUUGGCAUCCCCAUAUUCGACGGAUAGCAGAUCGAAGACAUAGCAGAUCUAACCUUUGGAUGUUUUCACAUCGAAGCAGAUUCAAGAUGAUUUGGCAUUCUUGUGUUUACAAGGAGUAAAUUGAAGACAUAGCAGAUCUGACCUUUAGGUGUUUACACUGAAGCAGAUCCAAGAUGAUUUGGCAUCACUGUAUUGUCAGAGAACAAAUCGAAGAAACAGAUUUCACAUCUCCAUAUUCAAGGGAGAGCAGAUCGAAGACAUAGCAGAUCUGACCAUUGGACGAUUUCACAUCGAAGCAGAUCAAAAAUGGUUUGGCAUUAUUGUGUUUACAAGAAGCAAAUCGAAGACAUAGCAGAUCUGACCUUUAGUUGUUUACUCUGAAGUAGAUCCAAGAUGAUUUGGCAUCUCUGUAUUGUCAGAGAACAAAUCGAAGAAAAAAAUUUGUCAUCCCCAUAUUCGACGGAGAGCAGAUCGAAAACAUAGCAAAUUUGACCUUUGGUUGUUUUUACAUCAAAGCAGAAACAAGAUUAUUUGGCAUUUUUGUGUUUACAAGGAGCAAAUCGAAGACAUAGCAGAUCUGACCUUCAGGUGUUUACAGUGAAGCAGAGCCUAGAUGAUUUGGCAUCUCUGUAUUGUCAGAGAGCGGAUUGAAGAAAAAAAUUUGGCAUCUCCAUAUUUGACGGGGAACAGAUCAAAGACAUGGCAGAUCUGACAUUUGGAUGUUUUCACAUCGAAUCAGAUCCAAGUUGAUUUGGCAUUCUUGUGUUUACAAGGAGAAAAUCGAAGACAUAGUAGAUUUGACUUUCAGGUGUUUACACUGAAGCAGACCCAACAUGAUUUGGUGUCUCUGUAUUGUCAGAGAAUAAAUCGAAGAAAUAGAUUUGGCAUCUCCAUAUUCAACGGAGAGUAGAUCGAACACGUAGCAGAUCUGACCUUUAUAUGUUUUCACAUCGAAGCAGAUUCAAGAUGAUUUGGCAUUCUUGUGUUUACAAGGAGCAAAUCGAAGACAUAGCAGAUCUGACCUUCAGGUGUUUACACUGAAGUAGAUCCAAGAUGAUUUGGCAUCUCUGUAUUGUCAGAGAACAAAUCGAAGAAACAUAUUUGGCAUCUCUAUAUUCGAUGGAGAGAAGAUCGAAGACAUAGCAGAUCUGACCUUUGGACGAUUUCACAUCGAAGUGGAUCCAAAAUGAUUUGGCAUUAUUUUGUUUACAAGAAGAAAAUCGAAGACAUAGCAGAUCUGACCUUUAGUUGUUUACUCUGAAGUAGAUCCAAGAUGAUUUGGCAUCUCUGUAUUGUCAGAGAACAAAUCGAAGAAACAGAUUUUUCAUCCCCAUAUUCGACGGAGAGCAGAUCGAAGACAUAGCAGAUCUAACCUUUGGAUGUUUUCACAUCGAAGCAGAUUCAAGAUGAUUUGGCAUUCUUGUGUUUACAAGGAGAGAAUUGAAGACAUAGCAGAUCUGACCUUGAGGUGUUUACACUAAAGCAGAUCCAAGAUGAUUUGGCAUCUCUGUAUUGUCAGAGAACAAAUUGAAGAAACAAAUUUGACAUCUCUAUAUUCAAGGGAGAGCAGAUCGAAGGCAUAGUAGAUCAAACCUUUGGAUGCUUUCACAUCGAAGCAAAUCCAAGAUGAUUUGGCAUUCUUGUGUUUACAAGGAGCAAAUCGAAGACAUAACAGAUUUGGCCUUCAGGCGUUUAAACUGAAGAGGAUCCAAGAUUAUUUGGCAUCUCUUUAUUGUCAGAGAACGGAUUGAAGAAACAGAUUUGGCAUCUCCAUAUUUGACGGAGAGGAGAUCGAAGACAUAGCAGAUCUGACCUUUGGAUGUUUUCACAUCAAAGCAGGUCCAAGAUGAUUUGGCUUUCUUGUGUUUACAAGGAGCAAAUCGAAUACAUAGCAGAUCUGGCCUUCAAGUGUUUACACUGAAGUAGAUCCAAGAUGAUUUGGCAUCUCUGUAUUGUCAGAGAGCAGAUUGGGCAUCUCCACAUUUGACGGAGAGCAGAUCGAAGACAUAGCAGAUCUGAUCUUUGGAUGUUUUCACAUCGAAGCAGAUCUAAGAUGAUUUGGCAUUCUUUGGUUUACAUGGAGCAAAUCGAAGACAUAGUAGAUUUGACCUUCAGGUGUUUACACUGAAGCAGAUCCAAGAUGAUUUGGUGUCUCUGUAUUGUCAGAGAACAAAUCGAAGAAACAGAUUUGGCAUCUCCAUAUUCGAUAGAGAGUAGAUCGAAGACGUAGUAGAUCUGACCUUUGGAUGUUUUCACAUCGAAGCAGAUCCAAGAUGAUUUGGAAUUCUUGUGUUUACAAGGAGCAAAUCGAAGACAUAGCAGAUCUGACCUUCAGUUGUUUACACUGAAGCAGAGCCAAGAUGAUUUGGCAUCUCUGUAUUGUUAGAGAGCGGAUUGAAGAAACAAAUUUGGCAUCUCCAUAUUUGACGGAGAGCAGAUUGAAGACAUAGCAGAUCUGACCUUUGGAUGUUUUCACAUCGAAGCAGAUCCAAGAUGAUUUGGCAUUCUUGUGUUUACAAGGAGAAAAUCGAAGACAUAGUAGAUUUGACCUGCAACUGUUUACACUGAAGCAGACCCAAGAUGAUUUGGUGUCUUUGUAUUGUCAGAGAACAAAUCGAAGAAACAGAUUUGGCAUCCCCAUAUUCAACAGAGAGUAGAUCGAAGUCGUAGCAGAUCUGACCUUUGUGUGUUUUCACAUCGAAGCAGAUCCAAGAUGAUUUGGCAUUCUUGUGUUUACAAGGAGAAAAUCGAAGACAUAGUAGAUUUGACCUGCAGCUGUUUAGACUGAAGCAGACCCAAGAUGAUUUGGUGUCUCUGUAUUGUCAGAGAACAAAUCGAAGAAACAGAUUUGGCAUCCCCAUAUUCAACGGAGAGUAGAUCGAAGACGUAGCAGAUCUGACCUUUAUGUGUUUUCACAUCGAACCAGAUCCAAGAUGAUUUGGCAUUCUUGUGUUUACAAGGAGCAAAUCGAAGACAUAGCAGAUCUGACAUUCAGGUGUUUACACUGAAGUAGAUCUAAGAUGAUUUGGCCUCUCUGUAUUGUCAGAGAACAAAUCGAAGAAACAUAUUUGGCAUCUCUAUAUUCGAUGGAGAGAAGAUCGAAGACAUAGCAGAUCUGACCUUUGGAUGAUUUCACAUCGAAGUAGAUCCAAAAUGAUUUGGCAUUAUUGUGUUUACAAGAAGCAAAUCGAAGACAUAGCAGAUCUGACCUUUAGUUGUUUACUCUGAAGUAGAUCCAUGAUGAUUUGGCAUCUCUGUAUUGUCAGAGAACAAAUCGAAGAAACAGAUUUUUCAUCCCCAUAUUCGACGGAGAGCAGAUCGAAGACAUAGCAGAUCUAACCUUUGGAUGUUUUCACAUCGAAGCAGAUUCAAGAUGAUUUGGAAUUCUUGUGUUUACAAGGAGCAAAUUGAAGACAUAGCAGAUCUGACCUUCAAGUGUUUACACUAAAGCAGAUCCAAGAUGAUUUGGCAUCUCUGUAUUGUCAGAGAACAAAUCAAAGAAACAGAUCUGACAUCUCCAUAUUCAAGGGAGAGCAGAUCGAAGACAUAGUAGAUCUAACCUUUGGAUGUUUUCACAUCGAAGCAGAUCCAAUAUGAUUUGGCAUUCUUGUGUUUACAAGGAGCAAAUCGAAUACAUAACAGAUCUGACCUUCAGGUGUGUACACUGAAGCGGAUCCAAGAUGAUUUGGCAUCUCUGUAUUGUCAGAGAACGGAUUGAAGAAACAGAUUUUGGCAUCUCCAUAUUCGACGGAGAGUAGAUCGAAGACAUAGCAGAUCUGACCGUUGGAUGUUUUCACAUCGAAGCAGGUCUAAGAUGAUUUGGCUUUCUUGUGUUUACAAGGAGCAAAUCGAAUACAUAGCAGAUCUGGCCUUCAAGUGUUUACACUGAAGUAGAUCCGAGAUGAUUUGGCAUCUCUGUUUUGUUAGGGAACAAAACGAAGAAACAGAUUUGGCAUCACCAUAUUCGAUGGAGAGCAGAUCGAAGACAUAGCAGAUCCGACCUUUGGAUGUUGUCACAUCGAAGCAGAUCCAAGAUGAUUUUGCAUUCUUGUGUUUACAAGGUGCAAAUCGAAGACAUAGCAGAUCUGACCUUCAGGUGUUUACACUGAAGUAGAUCCAAGAUGAUUUCGCAUCUCUGUAUUGUCAGAGAACAAAUCGAAGAAACAGAUUUGCCAUCCCCAUAUUCGACGGAGAGCAGAUCGAAGACAUAGCAGAUCUGACCUUUGGAUGUUUUCACAUCAAAGCAGAUCCAAGAUGAUUUGGCAUUCUUGUGUUUACAAGGAGCAAAAUGAAGACAUAGUAGAUCUGACCUUUAGGUGUUUACACUGAAGCAGAUCCAAGAUGAUUUGGCAUCUCUGUAUUGUCAGAGAACAAAUCGAAGAAAUAGAUCUGGCAUCUCCAUAUUCGAUGGAGAGCAGAUCGAAGACAUAGCAGAUCUGACCUUUGGAUGUUUUCACAUCGAAGCAGAUCCAAGAGGAUUUGGCAUUCUUGUGUUUACAAGGAGCAAAUCGAAGACACAGCAGAUCUGACCUUCAGGUUUUUACACUGAAGCAGAUCCAAGAUGAUUUGACAUCUCUGAGAAUAAAUUGAAUAAACAGAUUUGGCAUCUCCAUAUUCGAGGGAGAGUAGAUCGAAGACAUAGCAGAUCUGACCUUCGGAUAUUUUUCACAUUGAAGCAGAUCCAAGAUGAUUCAGCAUCCUUGUGUUUUCAAGGAGCAAAUCGAAAACAUAGCAGAUCUGACCUUUAUGUGUUUAUGCUGAAGCAGAUCCAAGAUGAUUUGACAUCUCUAUAUUGUCAAGGAACGAAUCAAAGGUAGCGGAUUUGACAUCUCUGUAUUCGACAGAGAGAAGAUCGAAAACAUCAACAUGACAAUCCUGAGUUUGCAAGGAGUAGAUUGAAGACCAUGAAGUCUGAAGUUGAUGAGACCGGGAAAAAUGGGUCCUUUUAUAGUCUUUGCUCUAUUCUCGUUACACAACAAUUAGCAAAGAGGGGCAGCUGUAAUAGCCCAUUUUUGCCCAGCCCAUUCCAGUAUUUAAAAUAAUAAACCCCCAAAAAAUAAAAACAAAACAAAGUCCAAGUCCAGUACAUAAUUACAAACAUAUAAUUUGGCCCAAUCGGAAUGGCCCAUUACUUGAAAAGAUUUAAGGUCCAUCUAUAAGCUUGACUCAUAUGGAAAUAUAAUCUUUAAGGAUAUGCAAUCUUAGAUAUGAUAUUCAAUCUUAGAUAUGAUACAAUCUUAGAUAUGAUAUGCAAUCUUAGAUAUGAUAUGCAAUCUUGAAGAUAUGAUAUUGUAAUCUUGGAGAUUUAAUUUGUAGAUAUCCUUUAAUCUUAACCGUUGAUGUAAUUGAUCUGUACCGUUGGAUUUGGGGAGGCUCAACUAUAAAUAGAGGCCUCUCCCUUCAUUGUAACACACUUGAGUUUUGGGAAGCAAUAAGAAUUCUUGAGAGCAUUCACUCAAAUUUCUCUCCCUCUUGCGUUCUUACUCUCUGUGGUUUGUUCUUAUUUUAUUCUUCGUCUAUCUUAGUUUUUCAACCCUUUUUUUAUUUUAAUUUCUUCAUUUUUCAAAUAUGUAUAUUUAUUCCUAUCUUUUAUACAUUUGAUUAUGUAUUUUAUAUAUUAUAAUAUUUAACCUUUUUAUAUAGUUUAUUUUCAAAUAUAUAUUUUUUAUGCAUGUAUAUAUAUUAUAUUAUCAUUUCAUGUAUUUUGAACUAUUGCAUUAUAUUUUUAUAAUUUGUAAAUGUUCUAUUUAUUCAUUUUUUUAGUGUAUGUCAUUUAUCUUAUUUGUGCAUAGUUUCAUUUUUUUUAUCUGCUAUGUUGAAUUAUUUCUUUUAUGUGCUAUUUUAUGAUAUAUAUCGUUGUAUAAUUUUUGCAUGUAUUAUGUUUUUCUUUUAGUUUACUCAUGUUUUUAUUUGUUUAUUAUCUUAUAUUUACCCUAGUAUGAUUUUUUUUCAUUAAACGUAUGUUCAUGUUAUUUAGUUUUGUCUUAAUGAUAUUAUUUAUGUUUGUAUGGAAAUGUUAGAAUAUUUUGUACAUCUAUGCUUCAUGAUGCAUUAAUAUGUCAUCCUAAAACGUCAUUUAAAAUAAUAUUCCAAGGUUUUUUUUUAAAAAAAAAUAAAAGGCAAUGCUUGAUGUUUGGAAACUUCGAGAAAGGUAGUGCCCUAACUUACUGGGUUGCGACUUUUCUUGUUGAAUUCGAAUAGUCAAGCACCCUUCUAAGUGAUUUUGAGUUUUCAAAACUUAAACAAUUAUUUCGAGAUUUCAAAACAUAGUGUCCUAACUUACUGGAUAUGGCAUUUUGUUGUUUCGAGAUAGAAAUUUUCGAAAGACGAGCUUAGUUUCGAAGGUUUUAAAAUGUUGCGUCCUAACUUACUAGAUGUGAUGUUUUGACUCAUUUAAAAUAAGUUAGCCUUAAUUUUCAAAAUUGAGACAUUCUAAUUAAAAGAGGUUUGCAUCUUAAAACUUUCAAAUUUCCGACAUUAAAGACACUUGAUAAUCAAUUAGGUACCAAUUUUUGGGCAUUAUGAGGGUGUGAACCCUUCCUCGUACGUAACCGACUCCCGAAUCCGUUUUCUCAACUUUCGUAGACCAAAAUUAAUGUUUUAAAACAAAACAUUUUAUAAGGUGAUCCAAUCACACCUAAAAAGAUUGGUGGCGACUCCCGUUUUCGUUUUUCUUAAAGUCGAUUCCCAUUUUCCAAAUCUCGAUUUAAAAAAAUGGUUUUGACAAUUAUGUUCAUUUCUAUUCAAACACGCAAUUCACUUCUAGUUUCAAUGAGCUAGCGAAGUGACCGAUCGGACAUAUGUAGUUAAAGCUCAAAUGAUUUAUAAUUAAGUUUUGGCUUUUCGCCUAAUAAUCAUAAACUCAUUUAGUCAUGAAGUCAUUCCACUAUAGUAUUAUGACUGAGCUCUUCCCAAUGAUAUAUCAUUAUGAAAGAAACUACUCAGUUCUCAUCCAAUGACCUUGUCAUAAGUGUGUUAUCCUCAUAGGAUAAUAUUCGUUCUCCCAAUAUGAUUCUAUUUUAUCUCAUGGUAACCAUUACAUCUUCCAUCAUGAAAAGUAAAUCAUUAUCAAAUAGUGAUCAACUCAUCCGUCACAAAGACGAAUGACCCAUGGCCACGUUUAUUUUUCAUCAACCAUGUAAUGUCAAUGAGAGGAUAUCAUUUACCCAUGCUUUAGGCUAUGAAUUCCAUUAUUGUGAAUGAUGUUACAUAUAACAGAAGUCGUAAUGUAACGGCCCAUUUUUUAGUGGUAUCGAAAAUAGUAGUUUCAGGACCACAAUUUUGAUGAGUGAGACCGUAAAUAUUAUAAUUUAAUAUUUACGAGUCAAAUAUAAUAUUAUACUAAAUUUUAAUUUGAUUAUUUUUUCUAGUUGAACGAACAGUUAAGUGUAAGUGGUUUGUCUCUAAAGUCAAGUGAUUUUAAAAAAUAGGGUUUUAGGACAUCGUUUCUAUAAAUCGAGCCCAUAAAUAUUUUUAUUAAAUAUUUAUGGAUUGUUUAUAUAGCUGUAUUGAAGUUUGAUUUAGAUAUUUUAGUGAUUGAAUUUUUAGUUAAGGAAAAUGACUAAAUAAUAACAACUGUAAAAAAUUGAUUUCCAAUGAAUUUAGUUGUCUAGUGACUUAAUAAAAUUUUAUUAAGGGAGUUAAGAGGUAAUUUAGCCACUUCCAUAAUUUUUGGACGGUAAAUGCAUGUUUUGCUAAUUAUAUUAUAAUGUUAUUUUAAAUUUUAACUUAAAUAAAUAUUAGUUUAAUAAAACAAAACUAGGGUCAUCUUCCCCAUUUUGUUUUCUUCAACUGAAACAAUAAAAGAAUAAGAAUCCAUAGCCAUUUUCUUGAAGCAUAAUCUGCAUUUGCAUUUGAGUACUCCUUAAGUCUGUUUUUAGUUAUGUUUAUGUUUUUGUGAUCAUUGUAGCUUAAUUUUGCUAACUCGAAGGUUAAUUCGUAAAACUGUUAAAUGUUAUGAAAUGUGUCAUUGUUGAGUUUGAGAUGUUUUUGAAGUUUUAUGAUAGAUUUAUAAGCUUGAUAGCUAAAUAGGACUAUUUUAUAAAGUAGUUUUACUGAUUUUAAUGUUUAAGGACUAAAUAGUUAAAAUAGCAAAAUAUCAUGAAAUUUGGAACGUGGGAAAUGUGCAAAUGUACACAAUCGCAACAAGUAAUAAAGUGACAAGUAAAUGUCAAGUUAUCGUACCUACAAGGACAGUGUAAAGAAUUAUUUAUGAAUGCUAAUUUAAACACUUUGGUGAAAAAAAUAUUUUUUUUUGUAAAGGGUUAUUAAGAAAAGUAAGAUUUUAAACUAAAUAAAAAUAAAAGUUCUAAUGCACGAUUUCAAAAUAUGAUUUAAUCAAGAUGACAUAAUUGUGUUGGAUUAAUUACAUUUCUUUAACUUAGAAUUAUUAAACUCAUGCUUAUGAUGUUACGAAUAAAUUUUCAGCAACUCGGUAAUUUGCUAACUUAUGAACAUAUUCACCUACACAAAUCUAUUCAUCUCUUAACAUAUCCCUAUGUUAAUUCAAAAGAUUAAACCGAUUUUAAAUAAGCAAACAUGUUAUUGAACAUACAUACUCAUUAAAUUGAACUAUUCUCUUGCAUAUUCGUAUGUCAAUUCAAACGAUUAAUUAAAUCUAAUGAGCAUAUAAAAGACUAUGUGAGGGUAACAAGUUAUUCUUACUGUAGACACUCAAUUUUGCCCGGGCCCAGAAAUAAGUCCAAAAAACAAAAAUAAUAAACCCAAAAAAAAUGAAGUCCAAGUUCAGUCCAAAAUUACAAACAUAUAAUUUGGCCCAAUCGGAAUGGCCCAUUACUUGAAAAGAUUUAAGGUCCAUCUAUAAGCUUGACUCAUAUGGAAAUAUAAUCUUUAAGUAUAUGCAAUCUUAGAUAUGAUAUGCAAUCUUAGAUAUGAUAUGCAAUCUUGAAGAUAUGAUCUUGUAAUCUUGGAGAUUUAAUUUGUAGAUAUCCUUUAAUCUUAACCGUUGAUGUAAUUGAUCUGUACCGUUAGAUUUGGGAAGGCUCAACUAUAAAUAGAGGCCUCUCCCUUCAUUGUAAAUCACUUGAGUUUUGAGGAAGCAAUAAGAAUUCUUAAGAGCAUUCACUCAAAAUUCUCUCCCUCUUGCGUUCUUAUUUUCUACGGUUUGUUCUUAUUUAUUCUUUGUUCAUUUUCGUUUUCAACCUUUUUAUUUUGGUUUAAUCCCUAUUUCCUUGAUUUUUAAUUGUCUUUUAUAUUUUAUUUUUUUAAUAAUUUUAGUAUUAUAUCAAACUAUUUUUUAUUAAAUUCUAUAUUAUUCAUUGUUUUAAAAAAUAUAUUUCAUUUAAUUGAAAAAGUUUUUCUUAAAUAAGGCAAUGUUUGGUGUUUAGAAAUUCGGGAAAUAGUGCCCUAACAUGCUGGGUUGCGAUUUUUCGUUUGACUAAAUAACCAAAUAUCCUUUUUAAUAAAUUUUCAAAAUCAUGAGAUAAUUUUAGUUACGAGGAUUUAAAACAUCGUGUCCUAACAUGCUGGAUGUGAUGUUUGUAUACUUUCGAAAUAAAGGAAUCUCAAGUUUCAACUUUAAAUUGUUCAAAUUUUAAAAUCUUUUCAAAUUUUUGACAUUAGGACAAUAAAUAAUCAAUUUGGUACCAAUUUUGGGCGUUACGAGGGUGCUAAUCCUUCCUUGUGCGUAACCGACUCCCGAACUUGUUUUCUUGAAUUUCGUAGACCAAAAUAAAGGUGAUCCAAUCACACCUAAAAAGGUUGGUGGUGACUCCCAUUUUCAUUUUUCAAAAAGUCAAACCCCAUUUUCCAAACACCCCUUUAAAAAAUAGUUUCGACACUUACCUUGAAACAGAUUAAUCACAAAAAUCUUACAAGUUAUGCAAGGCAAGUGUAUCGCCAGAUAUAUUGCUAAUUUAACCUUCAGCUACCUUAGAAGAAUAAACAUGCACUAAUUAAGUAUUGUGUCAAUUAAUUACAAUUUCAAUCUGUUUAAAUAAUUAAUUCAUUAGCUACCUCACAAUUGUAAUGCAAGAAUAACUUAGGCAUGAUGUUACUUAAUCAAGCAUUUUACCGAGGCCUAUAACAGCAUAAACACAAUUUUAAUAAUUUAAGCAGAAGAAAUGCAAUCAAACCAAGAUGAAUUAAAUUCAAGCUAAGCUGAUUAAAUUAACCAUUCCAACAACAUAAAUAUUCAUAGAUAUGUUCAUCAUAACAACAACAAAAAUUAAAGAGAUAGGAACAAGAAUCAAAUCCAGUGUUUCUCCCUGGCUUGACUAGUUUGCUUCGGCUUCGUUCUCUAUUUUCCUCACCGAUCAAGGCUGCUAUGAAAACUUCAAUUUGCUCCAAAAUGGCUGAUGAACACCCAUUUUCGAAGGGAAGAAAUUGGCAAGAGAGCGAAAGGGCUUGGAAUGGGAAAAUGAGAGGAGAAAUUGAGAGAGGAGAGAAGAGAUGUGAAUGAAUGAGGGAUCAGCCAAGGGGGUUUUAUAGCUGAAUGUGGAAGCUAAAAUUUUCUAAAAAUAGCAGCCAAAGAGCCGCCCCUUGGCAGGCCAUCUAUGUGGCAAAGUUGAUAGCUUCAACAUUGCUAAAUAUGGCUUGGGGCAAGUCUUCAAAGCCAUCAAUUGUGGAGGGGUUGAUUUGCAAUUCGAACAAGUCUUCAAGGGCUUCUUUGCAGCUUAAAUAAUCAGCUAAUGAGCUGAAUUGGGUCAGUACUUGGACGGUUUUGGGCUAUCCUCUUUUUGGCCGGUUCGGUUCAAUCAGACCAUUUUUCAUAAUAAUUAAUAAUAAUUUAUUAACCCAAAUUAACUUGGAUAUAAAUUAAAAUUAAUUAUAUUAUGAAUUAAUAUAUAAUUUUGGACUGUUUUAGGCUAGAAAUUAAUUCAUCUCAAUACUUCAAAUUGCUUCUCGAUUUUGUCCUUCUAGUAGUGUCUGCCGAGUCAUUUUUCGCCCUUUGUGCAAAUUUGUCGAAAAUAACCAAAAUUCAUAAAAUUAACUAAAAUUCAACAGGUUCAUAUUUUAAGUGCACUUUAAUUAUUUUAUAAAAAUUAAUUAUUUUUCGACAAGAAUUUAACCGAAUUCGCAUGUAUUUAAGUUAAAAAAGAUAUGAAUAAGUGUGUAAAUUUUUGUGUUUUCAUACCCCCAAACUUAAUUCAUUGCUCAUCUCGAGUAAUGCACGUAUUUUGAAAAGAAUUUCUUGGAAACACGUUUGAAAAAAAAUCCUUCAAAACAACAUUUUUCUCUAAAUUAUGAAUUUAAUAUACUUAUGCUCAAAGACAAGAAAUUUGAUAGUUAUGCUACUUAAUUAUACAUAUUGUUCAAAUUAAUCUCAACAACUAUUAUGAUAGCAAAAAUUAGACUAAAUGCUUCCUAAUAAAGUCAUGUUAAACCUUACCAAUGUAAUUUUAUUCCCUUUAUUCAAGAUUAAGCUGCAAUCAUUAAGUUUUACUUUUGUCUUCAUAUGUUGUACGCAACAAUUUCUCUCCACUAAUGUAGGUAACAUUGGAACUUUGAAUCAAUAGGUCUUUAACAAGGUUGUAACAUGGCUGGGCUUAGAUAAAUUUAGGCUUUUAAACCCUAGACUCAACUUCAAUUGAACCUUUGGAAUAAUUUCCCUUAAUACACCAACUUGCUUUACUUUCAUAUGCUCCUUUGUACAUCUUAUUUUAAGAACUCAUGCUCUUUUUUUUUUUCAACACGAACAUUUACUAAAUAUACUACAAUUUAGAGCAUUUGAUAUUUCUUUUCAACUCCCCCAAACUUAUUUUUAAAGAAUACUUUGAAUAGUACUGGGUCUAGUGUUUGGGACAAUUUUAAGAUAGUUAAGAGAGAAGUGAUGGCUAAUUUGCAAGGGUUCAAACAAAAUUAGGCCAAAUAGUCUCAAAGUUGGGUUUGAAAGGAUAAAAAUUUCACCAUGGUUGGCUUGAAAGGUUCAAACGGUCCAAACAAAAUUGCCUAAAUCAUUUUCAAUGUUCCAUGCUUCCUAGGAUUUCACCUUAAGAAACUACUAAGUCAAUUCUAAAGACAUAAACUUUCAUACAUGCCUAACUUUUGUAAGGAACUAAAAAUUUAUGGUAUGAUUUGCAUGCUUUAUUAAAGAUACAUUCAUAUCAUUAUUAAGCUAACAUAAUAAUUUAUUGAAAUAAUAGAACUUUAUUUAUACUGAAGUCGAGCAUACUUAACAAAAUUUCAAAUUAUUGAACAAAAUAUAUCGUAAUCAUAAUUAAAAGAAAAAUUUAUUCUAAGUAGAAAUAAUUCAAAUUUAAUUUUUCGGUCACCUCUACAUAAGAUGAACAAUGUUCUCAAUGUUUAAAGUGAAUAGAUACUAUACACCAGAUAGGAUUCUAAAAAAGAGGAUGUGAGUCAAAUUGACUUCUUAAGUACCAAGCUAUCUCUAGAUCCAAUCCUAGACAUGUAUAUACAUAUUGCCACACAUUAUACUUUGCGACUUGUUCAUUAUUCAUGAUUACCAUCUCUUGAUUUAUUAUGCGAAAAAUAAAAAGUUCUAAUUAAACUUAAUCCUAAAAUGACCUAAGAACAAAAAUAAAAUACAGUCAAGAUCCCCCUUUUUAUUUAUUUGCAAACCCUUCUGAAUUUGACUCAUCUUUUGCUCCAUUAUUGUUGCCUUUGCAUGAAUCGCUUCACUCCUUCUUCGAUAAUGGAUUCCAUGGUUCAAAUAUCAAAUCUGGAAAUUCAGGCACAAAAAUAAACGGGUCAUUGUAAAUUUUCUUAAGAGCACUACUCAUCGAGUCAUCUCUUAUUUUUGAGUAUCUCCAGUAAGCUUGUUGCUGCCAUUGCAUAUGCUGCAUUAUGUCCAUCAACUUUGACAGCUCAUCUUGAAGAUCUGGGCUAGGCGGUUGAGCUCUAAACAUUGAAGUUUUGUCAUCAGGUUCAACUUCUGGUUCCAUUGGUUCCACCUUACCAGGGACUUCAACCGAUUGCAUCGGCUCGAUCUCUGUGGGAUCUUCUUCUUCUUCAGGAUCCUCACUUUCUUCAGUUCGUUGCUAUAGAACAGAAUCUCCAGCUAUUCGGUAGAGGUCUCAAUCUGUGAUUGUGCCCUGGCUAUACCCUGUCUUCUUUAUGUUUGCAGGAAUUUUAGCUUUCAAGCACAAAAUUGUUAUUGUAAAGGGAAAGUAGGUAGGGUCAGAACGUCUAACGACACAAUUCUGCAUUAUUCUCAGGAUGAUUUUCCCACAUCAAUGGUCUUUCUAGUUAAAAUCGAGUAUAAGAGGAUCAUUCGCUCUAAUGAAAUCAUAGUUCCAUGUGAACUAGGCAUAAGGUUGAAAUGGAUCAAAUAGAACCAUACCUUUGCAAGUGGUGUCAAGUAUUCUCCCCACUUAUAACUUAGAACUGUAAGUUCCUCGAGAAUUUCUUGCAAAUUUUCAGGCUCUAUAUUACUCAUUAAGGAAGAAUAUUCGUCGUUUUUGAAAUUAGGCAAUUCGCAUAGAAUUCGCGCAGUAACUCCUCAUCCAUACUAGGUCUCUUCUCACAAAACAAUUCCCAAUUGAGAGCUUCAGCAACUUGACAAAUAUGUGCCAUAAAGUCUUUGUAGUUGCUCUCUUUCAUUGUAAAGUCUUUCUCUGGAUGCAUCUGUUGAUUUUUAAAGAUAUUCUCGUAUCUUGUUUUGGCUUAUUCACAAUAGAACUUGUUUUAUGUUUCAUCAAUUUGGGCGCAGGCACGAGUUCUCUUGCGAGGCAUGAUUAACAUGAAAAAGAUGAGAAAAUUUAUUUUCUCAAAAAUUUAAUUAACAAAAAUUAUUAAUGAUUCAAUAAAUUGAAAAAUUAUUAGAAUAAAAUUAAAAUUUAAGAGAAAAUUUGGUCUUACCACCUUUUUCGUAAAAAUUAAAAGCUCCUAAGGAAAAUAAUUAUGAAACAAAAGUUGGCAAAUAAGAAUAGAUUGGGGGGUUUUUGGCUGAGGAUGGGUGAAAGGGUGGUGUGAGUAAUUGGGUUAAUGCUGCACGGAUGUUGGACAGCCAGCGGAUGCGUUGAGUAAGGCCAAUGAGUGACACAACCUAGUGUGAGUAGCUACACGGCAACAAGCAGUAUGGGGCGCACGGGUUGGGGCUAACCACAGCAUGGGAUGUACGGUUCCUUGCAAGCAGGCCUGUCGAGCGCUGGAGCUAAAGCUAGUGUGGCGCCAAGGAGCAAGCUAGGCGAUCUGCUAGUGCUGGAUGGUCGCAUACCAUGUCCGUAAGCUACUGCUGGCUGAAUAAGGCUAUCAGUUAGGGGCUUGCGGCACUUAAAGGUUUGGGUGUUUUGGGGUUUUGAGUGAUAAAUGAUGGAGAAGGUUGGUGGUAUUUAGAAUGAGGGAAAUAGGAGUCAAAAUAGAAUUCUUAGAAAAAAUUUAAUAAUUAAAAAUUCUAAGUUCAAAUUCUACUUAGAGUUAACAACAAUUAAUAAUUAAUAAAAUACAUAUUAAAUUAUUAAUUGUUAUUAAUUUAUUAAGAUAAAAACUUAUCAAAUAAAAUAUGAUUAAAUUAAAAUUAAUCAUAGCUCUAUGUAAAGUUGAUAAUAAUUAAUAUAUAUUAUAAUGGAUAUAAUUAUAUAUUAAUAAUUAUCAUCUUUUUUUAUUAAACUAAAAACAUUUAUUCUAGAAGCCUUUUGAAAAUAUUUACAAAAAGAGGCAUCUAAUUUUUAUUAUUUGAAAAAAGAACAACCAAAUUUUAAAAAUAAUUCAAUUAAGUCCCCAAACUUAAUGAAAAUUUGAAAUUGAGUUGCAAUUUAAAACUUGGAUCAAAAUCCAAGUUGAGUUGUCAAAGGUCCCAGUAAGCUUUGUGCUCUAACUCCAAAGGCAGAUGACAGGCUUUCCCAAAGACCAACCUAUAGGGUGACAUCCCUAAAGGUGUCUUGUACGCUAUUCUGUAAGCCCAUAAAGCAUCAUCCAGUCUUUUGGACCAAUCUCGUCUGUUCGGGCAAACUACCUUCUCAAGUAUGCCUUUGAUCUCCUUGUUUUCCAAUUAGCUUGCCCAUUCGCCUGCGGAUGGUAAGCUGUAGCGACCUUGUGUUUCACUCCAUGUUUAUCUAAUAACCAUUUCAACCACUUGUUCAAAAAAUGGGACCCUUCAUCGCUGAUAAUAGCUCUUGGGGCUCCAAACCUUGUGAACACGUGUUUUUGUAAAAACUUCAUCACAACCCUGGCAUCAUUUGUUGAAUAAGCUUUAGCCUCGACCCACUUAGACACAUAUUAUACUGUUACCAAUAUAUACUUGUGACCAAAUGAUGGGAGGAAAGGACCAAGAAAGUCAACACCCUAUCCAUCGAACAAUUCUACCUCAAUGAUAUUUGUUCAAGGCAUCUCAUUUCUGUUGGUGACAUUUCCAACCCUUUAACAUCGAUCACAACUCUUUACGUAAGCAUACGCGUCCUUGAAUAGUGUUGGCCAAAAGAAUCUGGUUUCUAAUACUUUGGCCGCAGUACACGUACCUCCAAAGUGUCCCCCACUCGAAGCAACGUGACAAUGGUAUAGAAUCUUUUGUGCUUCUUCUUCUGCCACACAUCUUCUGAUUAUUUGAUCUUUGUACUUUUUAAACAAAUAUGGAUCUUCUCAGAAAUAGUACUUCACAUCAUGAAGAAACUUUUUCUUUUGAUGAUACGUCUUAUCAAUUGGCAUCAAACCACAAGCUAAAUAGUUAGCAAUAUCAGCAAACCAAGGUGUAUUAUGGACAUGAUUUACCUUUAGUAUGUGUUCAUCUGGAAAUGUCUCCUAAAUGGGUAUAAGUGGAGAAUUCCCUUCUUAUGGAUCCAAUCUAGACAAGUGAUCUACUACUUGAUUUUCUACUCCCUUUCGAUCUUGAAUUUCUAAAUCGAACUCUUAAAGUAGAAGCACCCACUAGAUCAGUUUCGGCUUAGCGUCUUUCUUNNNNNNNNNNNNNNNNNNNNNNNNNNNNNNNNNNNNNNNNNNNNNNNNNNNNNNNNNNNNNNNNNNNNNNNNNNNNNNNNNNNNNNNNNNNNNNNNNNNNNNNNNNNNNNNNNNNNNNNNNNNNNNNNNNNNNNNNNNNNNNNNNNNNNNNNNNNNNNNNNNNNNNNNNNNNNNNNNNNNNNNNNNNNNNNNNNNNNNNNNNNNNNNNNNNNNNNNNNNNNNNNNNNNNNNNNNNNNNNNNNNNNNNNNNNNNNNNNNNNNNNNNNNNNNNNNNNNNNNNNNNNNNNNNNNNNNNNNNNNNNNNNNNNNNNNNNNNNNNNNNNNNNNNNNNNNNNNNNNNNNNNNNNNNNNNNNNNNNNNNNNNNNNNNNNNNNNNNNNNNNNNNNNNNNNNNNNNNNNNNNNNNNNNNNNNNNNNNNNNNNNNNNNNNNNNNNNNNNNNNNNNNNNNNNNNNNNNNNNNNNNNNNNNNNNNNNNNNNNNNNNNNNNNNNNNNNNNNNNNUUCAUCUUCAGGAAGUCUUGCUCUCCCUCGCUCCCGUCUUGGUCCUUGAGGGGUUCCUUCUUGUGUUCCCCUUCCUUCUACUCGAUCUAGCCUCUCAUUGAUGGAUUCAAGUUCAUUUUGAAGCAUUCGUUGAAAUUCUCUUAAGAGGGCUUGUUGGCCUAAAUCGGGAACUCCUCCUCCUCCAAGAACAACAUUUCUUACCGGUUGCCUUUCGGGUCUUUCCGCCAUGUUUCGCUCAGGACUUUGUGACAUAGUAAGAAUUCCUCACCACAAAUACUCACGUUCACUCAGAAAAGAAAGAAAGAACGACACUCACACUCGUGUUUACACUAUUUUGGCGUUUACCUCCUCUCAGAUGUGCUCAUAGACUCAUGCCUUUUUCCUCUCGUUUCUUCUCUUGUACUUUUGUAUAAGACUUGGUAAGGCUAAAUCUUUAGUUUAGAAGGUCGAUUUCAAAGGGUUACAAAGGACGAUAGAUGUAAUGGUGAUGGGUAGGCUUGAAAUAAAGGUAGAAAUGGGUUUAAGUGUGGCGCAAAAGGUUGAUCAAAGACUUGAAAGAACUUUUGCUGAUCGGAAUUCAACCAACAUACAUGUUGAAAAGAUUUUUUUAUUUUUUUCGUAUUCUUUUUUAACAAUAUAUUCGAAAUUAGCAAGCUAAUUACAAUACUAGAACUUGAAAUUACGAAUUUUUUUUCAAAUUUUUUUUUACAAUAGACCUACUCCGGAGUUGUUCCGAACGUCCGAACUCUUUGUUUUAAGUAGCUUUGAUACCAACUGAUACGAACCAACCUCGUUUGAUUGAGUUAAGUCGCUUUUGUUGCCCGAUCGUCUAACGAAGUAGUCUCGUUCGUCUUGCUUCAAUUAUAAAUGUAAUCGUCUUUGAAAUUUUACUUGGGGUUCAAAUUAUGUGCAAGGGAGUUGUUAUGUGCAAUGGUUUGGUUACUAAAAGGAAAAGGUUUAGUUGGCGAAAGAUAAUUUUGGUUUGAAUGGAAAACGAAUUGAUAGGCUUAAAAACAAGAAAGAACCAACACUAAGGUUAAGUGCUGACCCGAAUCUUAUAUGUUCUUAAGGUGGAUGAUGAAUGAUGUAAAAGGACCUCGACCCACUAUCUAUCAGAGAUAGGAACCUCGGUAUAAGUAGAACGCCACACUUUGGUUGAAAAAGUGAUAAGUUCAGUUUGGUUGACGCCACUGACUAGUAGAUAAGCCAACGGAGUCUUUGGAUGAAAUUGAGAGAAGAAAAUUCUCACAAAAUAUUCAGUAGAUUAUAAAAUUGGCAAAAAUUCCUUUUACAAAUGAUCAAGCAAAUAUUUAUAGUUCUGCAUAAGCUAGCCGAAUAGAUAGACUUAAAAGCUAAGAAAAAUCAAGAAAAUUCCAGAAUUAAUUCCCUAGAAAGAUUCUGCUAAAUGGGAGCUCCAAUGGGCAGCUUAAACAUUAAGCAAAUGAAUCUUGUAGAGAUGAAUGCACCGGUAGACAAAUUGCCAUGUCUAGAUUCGGCCAGGCUUUUAAAUGACUCCUUAAAUUGGCACUUGUUGGCUGAAAAGAUAGAAGCAUUGAAGAGAGUCUUUGAACAGCCACACAAGUGUGAAAAGUCAGUUUUGGAGAGUCACUUGUGUGAACAUCAUCAGCUGAAAAGUCCUUAGUGUGAAUGCCUAAAAUGAGCUGCAUGUGGAUGUUUGGAGAUGACAAAAUUCGGCUGAACAUUCACUUGGGGUGCCAUGCAUGUAUCGCCCAAAUGCAUUGAACCUAAGAUGCAUGCACCCAUGCUGUCCAAGGAAAAUUCCUGCAUCAAAAUAAAGUAUCAAAUUAAUCAUGUAUCAAGCACAUUAAAUUCGGCAGCAAAUGAAUAAAAAUCUGCACAGAAAAUUCAGUGAACUAAUUAAAUAUUUGUAUGAGUUUUAGGACAUAUUUAAAACACUUAAACUAAUUAGGACAUAUUUAAUAACAUUCAAUUAUUAUUUGACCAGAAUUAAACUUAAUUAACUACUUAACUACUUUAACUAAAAACAAAUUAAAUAAUUAUUUCAGCAAAAUAAAUGCACGUUAAGAUGAGCUGAAGUUGAGCUGAAUAAGCUAAGGACAAGCUCAAUGAGCUAAAGUUGAGCUGAAUGAGCUUGAAGUAGAGUGCACGGUUUGCUCAUCUUGCUGGUCCAUGAGCUUUCAAGUAGGCCGGCCACGUAUUCACCCCAAACCCGAUCCACCAAAGUUGAAAUUGCAUCCUUGAACUUCUUAGCCCUAGCUCGAGUAAUGGGUCCUUUGCGCAGCUCGAGAGAAGUGUCGUUAGCACUUGAUAGCUCAUGGGUCUCGAUUGCAUCAUGCUCAUGAUAUUUUGUAUGUUUUCAGAUUCAGUGGCCACUGUCAAUUGUUAUAUCAAGAAAUGCUUUGACAAAAUAUCAGUUGAUUUUUCGCUUCCUUUUUCAUUGUAAGCAUGUGGAACGCCAGCUCUGUGGGGCUUGGCGAAUGCACCAAGUAUGGACUUGAACUUAUUGAUGUAGUCUGGUGACUUUUUACAUGUUUGCUCUAUGUGUCCUAUAACUUCAGCAAAAUUUGCAGGGAGUUCGUGCUCUUAAUUCUCAUGGAACUGCCAUCUCUAGAUCAUCUCUCCUCUGUCGUAGGAUGCUGAGAUUUAUUAACAGUCUUCUGCAUUAUCUAAUAUUUGAGGCAGGUUUCUUUGUGUCCUUUGCACCAUAGCAGCUCUGAGUACUUUUGUAAGGCCUAGAAAGAAAAGCUCAUGAAGUCAGAUGAGUCUUGCAUACUCUUUAUCUUCCAUUCCACUUUAUUUCCACCCCAGUAUUUCUUUACUUUGGGAAAUCUCUGCAUUUGUGGUAGUCAAAGUCACUAGCAAGAUGGGCUUCGGGAUUUGACUCCUAAAUUUAUAAAGGGAAGGCACAAAAAAGGACGAGGAAGAAAAUAUAAACUUAAUUGAGAUGUUCAGUUAUUUGGCUCGGUGCUUUUAGGUAAUGUUCUUGAAAUCCUUCUUUUCAGAUUCUUGAACCCAAUUGGCAUGUGAUGCAUGAUAGACUCCAGACUGCAAAAAGCAUUGAUGAGGUAUGAUCCUAAUUAGACUUGUAUAUGCUGCAUACCUGUUUUUAAUAUAAAAUAUAAUUGUUUUUGGUGAUAAACUAGUGCAAGUUAUAUUUGAACAUCCUUUUGUAACAGGUUAUCCAGCAUCAUGAUUUUUUCCUCGAUAAGUGUCUGAAAGAAUGCUUACUUCUUUUGCCUGAACUGAUAAAGGUUUGUUGCUUCUCAUUUAUCGGUAUAUUUGGGACAGCAUUUAGUAAAUUGGACAUACCAGUCUGUUGCUAUUAGUUAGACUAAAUGGUAUUUUAGAGUUAUAUUAUUAGAAUCAAAUAAAAACUGGUGAAUCAAGUGUAUUUCAAUUUUUGAAGUGAAAAACUGAAGUUGCAAAUUAAGUCUGAAAUAGCACUUGAAUACACGACAUUUUAUUGUGGGAAAUUCACUUUCAUUGUUCAUGUUUGUUUGAUUUUUUUCUCUUGUUAGUAUAUUGUUUUUACUGUCGCAGAACGUGGAGAAGUUGAAAUCAUUGUGCCUACAAUACGCAGCAGCAACACAAUGGUUAAUUUCAUCGUCUAUCAACAUUCCCAAGUUAGAUGAGCAGUCUGAUGGUUCGGUUGGCUCAGGAAAGUCGAAGCAGUGGAAAUUAAAGAAUCCAUCUCAAGCGCAAAAAGCCGUGACUAGAAACUCAGCAGUUACUGAUUCCAUUCUAUAAGUGUGGAGAAUGGGUGGCUAUGAUGACAUCUCUUUCUCUCAUCACUCUCUAACUUAAAACAAAACUACAUUGCAGUAAAUUUGAGAGGGAAUUCAAUGCUGAGGUUCAGAGUCUAAGACCAAUUUUGAGCAGUAGCUCCCAAGCACAACCAUUUUUGACACAUCUUGCACAGUGGAUACUCGGUGUUGGAAAUGAACCGUAAGUUCAAAUAUUGUUAUUGUCUUGUGUUACAAGUUCUUUAGGUAGGGAUUAUUGUUUGUGUUGUGUUUUGUCUGUAUUUUUGUUUCGUCUUUAUACUGUAUCUCGUUUAUAUGGGUAACAAUGCAAUUUUUAGGUCUCUAAUUUAACAAAACAAUUGCCUGCUAUAUAUUUAGUAAACAGUGAACGAAGCAUUUGACCGUGAAUGAAAUUUUGGGUUACAUCUAUUAUGAGAUUUUUAUUUGGCUAGUCUUGCUUUUUCUUUAUCUUAUGUUAGACGUAAUAUCAAUAAAAAACUUAAAUUAUUGUUGAUUUUGAGUAAAAUUUUGCGUAUAAUAUAAUACAUUCUAAUUAAAUUUGUAUAUUAAUAUCAAAUCUAUUGGCACAAAUAAUUUUAUAAAUUUAAGUUCUAUAAAUCAAUUUGUUAAUUAGUUUACUAUAAAAAAUUACGUAUUAUCUUAUUGAUAUAUAGAACAAUUGAUGAAAUCUAAUAUUUACUGUUUGGGGUCUGAAUUUUUUUUCAAGUUAGGUUCUAAAUUUGGGUCCUAAGCUAGGUAAUUGUUUUCACUUUGAGGUUUGAUUUUUUUUUCUAAGUUAGCUUCUAAAUUGAGCAAUUAUUUUCAUAUUAGGGUUUAAACUUGGGCAAUUGUUUUUACAUUAGGGUAUAAUUUUAGGAUUUUCAAGGAAAUAUUUAAGAUUAAUUUGAACGAAAAGAAAAUUCAAGCUUUAAUGUGAGAAUAAUUGUAAAGUUCAGGGUCUAAGUUGUUAAGUUUAAUUUUCAAAAAGUGAUUUAACUCUGUAUUUAUGAUUUAUGUUAUGCAUGAAUACUAAUGCAAAUAUAAUUAUACACUUGUAAUUUCAUAAAAAUGGACGAAGAAUUAAUUUUUUAAGAAAAAUAAUAUUUAAGCCAAUGUCAAAAUAAACUAUUACUAGUUAAUCGAUAAAUUAUUUAUUAUGAUGGUUUAGUUUUUAAACUUCUCGUCAAAGUUUACUCAUUGAGUUUUUUAAAUCAUGAUUUGUGUGCAAUCGAGUUUUGUAAUUUUUUUUUUGUUAAGUUGUUUAGUGUUGAUGUGACAGUUGAAGUAAAAAGUUGAUGCGACUAUUAAUAUAAAAAACUAAAAAGUUGUUUAGUUUUUUAUUAUUUUGUGAGGGCUUAAUUAAUUAUUUAGUCCUAUUCUUUAAAAAAUUAUUAAAAUAUUAUAAAUAUAUAUGAAAAUAUUAAAACAUCAUAAAAUAUUAUAGAUAAUACAAAUAUUAUAAUAAUGUUAGGAAUUAUUAAAGAAUAAUACAAGCUAUAAAUAAGUUAUAAAAAAUUAUUAAAUAUUAAAAAGUUAUAAUAUAUAUAUUUUUGUUGGUUUGAAGUCUUGAGUUUUGAUAAUAAGAAAAUGGGGAGAAUGUGGCAUGAUGGUGAUCAAACUUGUGUGGGUGUUGAGUAAGUGACUUGAGUGACAAUAACUUUAGUGCUUGAUAGCUUAAGGUGAGUGAUGAAUAGAGGUGUUCAUAAGUCGAUUUCAUUUAUUAUUCAAAACAGAUUAAAAAUAAUUUAAUAACAAUAUUUUCUUUUUUAUAAUUAAAUUUAAGUAAAUAUAUAUUAUUUUUAAGAUAGUGAGAUGAAUCAUUUCGACUGGCCAAGUCUAGUUGAGCUUGGGUGAUACAUGCAUGGAUGGGGUGAAAUUUAUUAAAGUAAAACCAACUAAGUUGUCAAUUUUUAAGUUUGAAAAAUUAGUUGAUUUGCGACGAAUUCUUGGAGAGGACCCAGACAUUUUUGGGCUAGGAUGUCUGCAUAGCGUUCAAAGAGCUAUAUCUUAGUUUCGAAACAUAUUUUGAAUCACACGAUUUUGAGUCUAGGGCUCAAGUUAUAACUAUUUUUUUGAAUAUUGUGCGAGUAGAAUUUUUGGAUGGAAUUAUUAUGGGAAAUUACGAGUUUUAGGCUUUAAUUCGAGUUUAAGGCUUAAUUUUGUUUAUCUAUGGACACAAUAUUGUACCUAUUAGGUUUUAUUAUUUAUUUAUUCCGAAUUUUAGGAUAUUUUUAAGUAUCUAAAGUUGUUUAAGAGUUUUACGUUUCUUAGUCAACAAGAAAGUUUAGUUCUAUUCAAAUUACUUAUUGUUUAAAUUAUUAGAGUUUCAUUAUACUUAAAAGAGUUUUAUUUGGAUGUAAUUAGUUAAUUUAUAUAAAGACCUCUUCAUUAUUCAAGUAUCGAUUCAUUCAUUAAUAAAAUUUACUGUUUGAGUUAAUUUCUUUCGUGCAAGGUUGCUUUCUUGUAAUUUUUAGAAGCAUUUUUUCUUAAUUGUUUUUUUCAAGGAGUUGUGGGAAAUCAUUUUUCAUCUUUUAAUUUGCCAAGGAUUAUUUCUUGGAGAGUUGACUAAAGCCAUUAAUUGAAUUUGUUGAGACUUAUAUGUUAAAGGAUUCAGUUGGACAACUAUCUUUUACCUAUAUCCAUCAAUUUAUUUGAUUCAUAUUCCACAAUUUAAUUUUUGUUUUUAUUUAUUUAUCUAUGUUUUGAAUUUUUUUUAGUCUUUAAUUUAUUUUUUUAGUUGUUUUCAUUUUCUUAGUUUCUAAAUUUGUUUGUUUCUUCUUUUAAGUUAGAUUCGAAUCUUUUUCAAGUUGAACAAUUAGAAUAUGAUCUUGGCCCGUUCCCCUAUCGUAGAGCUUAAGUUUGACUCGACAAAUGAAUAGCUCUAGUGAUGGGUAAUGUUUUAGUUGAGGAAGGAUGAUGUGAGAGAAUUUGAUAAUGAUGGGUUGAGGUAUGAUGCAAGACACUGUAUGAGAAAAAACAAAAUGGUGUAGAAAUUUUUAAUUUCUAUAAAUUUUUUAUUUUUUAUAAGUUUAAUAUAACAAAAAGUCCCUUAAUCAAUUGAGCUCUCAAUAGAAAACAACAAUCAAUUGAACCCUUAAUCAAAUAUAAUCAAUCAAUGAAGCCCUCAAAAAACCAACUUCUGUGUAAGUUCCUAACAAUCAUUAUGUUUGUCACGUGGUACUUAAGAACUGAGUCACGUGGUGAAAGCUUGUAAAUCUUCUCUAAAAUAUUUAAAAAAACAUAAAAAAUUAUAAGAAAUUAUAAAAUUACAUAAAAUAUAAUUUAAAUAUGAAAAAUAUAACAAAUUAUAAAAUUAUAUGUUAUAAUUUAUAACAUGUGACAAAAACUGAGUAAUCAAAACAUAAAAUAUUGGUUGCGAAGUGUUGAUGGCAAUGCAUUUUGCGAAGUGUCAUAAUUUAUAACAUGUGACCAAGUGUCCAUAAUCUCAGUUUGGUGUUCUAUUAUGUUGUCAUUGUAUCAAAUGUUGCUAAGUGACAAGAUGGAAACGUUUAUGGAUGAAAUUGAGUUAAGUUUAUGAUUAAGAUUAGGGUCAAAUUUGUUUUAUAAUUUUAUAAUAUUUUUAUAGUUUUAAAAUAUUUUUAUAAUAUGUUAUGCUUUCAUAAUUUUUAUAUAAUUUUUAUAAUUUUCUAUUAGUUUUAAUAAGUUUUUUAAGGAAUUUUUAAUAAGUUUUUUUUAUAAUUUUGUAAUUUUAUAAUUUUUUAUAAUUUUUAUUUUUUGAAUAUCUAAAAAAAAUUUAUCAAUUUUCGCCACAUGACACAAUGUUGAUGAGGCACAUGGCGAACAUAAUAAUAGUCAAGGAAUUACAUGGAAGUUGGUUUUUCGAUGGCUUAAUUGAUUGAUUAUAUUCGAUUCGGGCUCAAUCGGGUGAUAUUUUUGAUUGAAGGGUCAAUUGAUUAUUCAAUUAUUUUACAGGGACUUUUUAUUAUAUUAAGAAUUUUUUAUAAUUAUAUAAUUUUUAUAACAUUUGAAUAAUUUGAAUAAAUUUUAUAUAUUUUGCUAAAAAGAUUAUAACAUUUAAAAUUUCUCUAUAAUUUUUAGUAUUUUUUUAUAAAUUUCUAAUAAAUUUUAUGAUUUUAUAAUUUAUAUACAUUUUAAGAAAUUAGAAUUUCAAUAAAAUUAUUUACUUAAAUAAUCAGUUAAGCGCUUUAUGUCUUCAUUUUUUCAUGUUAGCUUGUCAUGUUAGUUGCCUAGUCAUCAUUUUUCAAAGGCAACCACCAUGUUAACUUGUCAUGUCAAUUACCACAUCAGCACUUAACGGCUUGUCAGAGAUUUCAACUCAAACAAUAAAUUCAAUAAGCUUAAUUAGGUACAAAUCAUAAUUUAAAGGGCUUAAUUAAUUUUUUUAAUUAUUUUUAGAGGGCUUAUUUGACAUGUUAUCCUAAAAUUACUCUAUAUCUAUGUUGAUAUUAUGAGUUAAUUUCACACCAAUUAAAUUAAAAAAAAAACCUUGAAUUUAGUACACCAAAAUCUCAACUUUGCUAUUCCAAUUAGUCUCAUUGUUUUUUUAAAAAAAUGCCAAUUAUUCAUUUUUCCAAUAGCCAUCAAAGUCUUGAAUGUUGUCAUCAUAGCAACUCGGGAAAAAGUCUCAAUAUUGUAACGAAUCAAUUUUAGCUGGUGUCAGAAAAUAUGAUUCCGAAAUCGGAUUUCGUAAAUCGAAUUAGUGUGAAUAUUAAUUGAAGAAUUUACAUAUCAAGUAUGAAGUUAUAAUAUAGAUUUAACAAGUAAUUAAAUCGCGAAAGUUGUGAACUACAUAGUUCAAAGACUAAAUUAUAAAUGGUUGCACAAGUGAGAUUUGAUUGAGGAAAUGUUUAAGGCCUUAUGUAGCAAUUGAACCAAGAACCGAAUUGAUAUUAAGACAUCCUUAAUUCAUGAUUAGUGGAAUGGAAUGAUCUCUUCCAUCCAUCUCCACUAACUAAAUUGAUGUUAGAUCAUAGUCAUCCAUUUUCACUUAAUUAAGCUUAAUUAAGAUACUAAUGACAUGUAUAUAUAGCUAGAGAGUGGGAGAGAGAAACAAAAUUAUCUUCUUCUUCUUCUUCAUUCUCAUUUCCAUCCAUGGCUAAGGAAAGAAAAGAAAAUCUAGGUGUUUCCUUAUUCAAUUUCAAUCAUCAGUUGCUAGAGGUAAACAAGUCUUUUUCAUGAAAUCUUUACGGAUUCAUGUUCAUUUUUGCUUGGCAUGUUCAACCUAAAGCUUAGACUUUUAGAUUGUUGAUUAUCCUCAAGUUUACCAUUGUUCAUCUUUUAGUGCAAUUGAAGCUUGAAAUUCAAGAAUCGAUGGAUACUAAGCUCAGAUUAUGUUAAAAUCAUGUCAGAAACAUAGUGAGAAGUCUUGAUUUAAGCUUGAAUUUGGUUUAAUUUAUAUAGUUAAUUAUGUGUUAUUAGGGACCAAAUUGUAAAGAAUGGAAGCUAUUGGAAGUAAAUGCUAUAGAUUGAUAGUUUGAGUUCCCAAUAAGUACGAAGUUAGAUUUAGAGUCGAUUAGGUAGAUUGUGAAAUACAAGCAUUUUAGACAUUAGGGUUAAUAAGGGAAUGGAUUGUAAAGUAUGCAUUCAUGUUUGAAUAGUUAGCUAUAUUCUAGUUGAAUGUGAACUAAUAUCAUUUUUGUAAUUGAAUUUAUCAAACGUAGCUAAAGACGAUGCCAAAACUUUGAAUGUAAAAGGAAAGGAGAAAAUGACAAACAAGUAACCCCUCUCAAUCUGUGCUUUCAUAAUUUGAUUUCAAUUUGUAGCUUGUUAAAUAGUGUAACACCCCUCAUCUGGCCUGGUUGACGGACUCGAGUUUUAGGAUGCUACUACAGUUAUUAGAACAUUUACGCGCAAAUCAUAACAUUGGAUUCAAUUUAAAUAAUCAAGUUGUUCUAAAUGCAUGCAUAGUAGAAGUUAUGAACCAAAUAUAGACUAAAUCGAUUAUACAAACAUAAUUUAAUAGAUUCGAACAUGAUUAAGGAAAAAUAUGAAAAUAUUCAAAACUUGGAACUAGGUAUCGAUACAAAAGAAACAAGUAUCGAUAUUUUUAUCAAAGGUAUCGAUACCAAAAAUCAACAUCCAUGCUGUUUUGGCAUUCUGUCAUUUUCAAAACAUUUUUCAUUUGGUCAAGUAUCGAUACUUUUACCCAAACGGUCAAAAUCACAAGUUUAAAAGUUCAUUUCAUGCCUAAAUCAACUACCAUAUUAAGAAUGCAUACAAACACACACACAACAUCUACAUGAACUUAUUUAAUACAUCUCAAGCAAACAUAAUUCAACCAUUCAAACCCAUUCCUUCAAUGAUACUUAGACAUACACAUUCAACUAUACAUGUUAUACCAAAGUGUUAAGCAUAAGUUUAAUAUAUAUAUAUUCAUCCUUACUAAGCAAUGAACACAAAACCGAUUCUCUAAAGCAUUUCAUCAUGGACAUCUAUAGUCACAUGCAAUUUUCAUCAAUUGCAAAACAUACGCUUUCCAAAAUUCAAAUGAAUGCAUUCACCUAUCAAGGACUAAGUGCAUACUAUGCCCCAUUCAACAUAUAUAUACAUGUUAUUCCAUCAUCAAUCCAAGAUCCACUUACACUUAACAAAACACAUACACACACAUGAACGAACAUGUCCUUAAACAUAUUUAAAGUAAAUGAUUAAUUGUUGGAUCGCAAGUACACCCUGUGGCGCAACGGAAAAAAUUAUUUUGGCAAUCAUCAACCAUGGAUUUAUGUACGAGGAACGAAUCGGGUUGAAAAUAUACCUUCUUUACUAAAAACGUUGAAAAAGAUGCCACUGAUUUGAAGUUGAUUCCAAGCCACAACGAAAACAUCCCGACCUCUACGUAGUCCACCCCAUAAAAAAGAACAACCACUUUCUCUUGAACUUUUCAGAGGGAAUAAUUAAAAAUGGUUGCUAGACCUUUAUUUUAUUAAGUUGGUAAUCUUAACACACUAAGGGAUUAUCUUCAUUUUAUCUUCUUUGAUAUCACAUAUUAAAAAGGAAAACCAAAAUUAUUCCCUUCUUAAUAGAUAAGGCAAAUGGAAAGUUAGAAAAAUGAAAUAUAUUCUUUUCGAAAGAAUAUAGGAUUAUUCCCUUAUUAAUAGAGAAGACAAAUGGAAAGUUAGAAAAAUGAAUUAUAUUCUUUCCAAAAGAAUAUUAAUUUCCAUAUCUUUUAUCUUUUGACCGAAAUUUAGGGUUAUAAAUGAAUCGAGCUUGAACGAACAAACCUUUGUUCAUGUUCGUUUGUUUAUUUUUAAGCUUGUUCAUGUUCAGUUUGUGUUCGUUAAGAAUUUCAAAUUUUUGUUCAUGUUUGUUUGUUUAAUGUUCACAAACAUGUUCAUUUAACUUAAUCGAACAUGUUUACGAACAUUAAACAAACAUGUUCAUGAACAAAUAAUUGAACAUAUUCACGAACAAUGUUAAUAAAUAAAUAAAUAAAAUAAUAAAUAAAUACAUAAAAACACAUAUAUUGUUUUAAGAUAAAAUAGUCAAAUAUAAAUAUUAAUAAUUAUAUUAUAAAUGAAAAAAAUACAAACCAAGAUAAUUUUAUUAAUAUAUAGUAAUGGAAUUUUUAUAAGGAAAUAUCAUUAAUAAAUAAACGAGUUAUAAACGAGCUUAUAAAUGAGCCAAUAAAUGAGCUUUUUAAUGAGCUUAUUCAUGAACAUAAACGAAUCGAACACAUAUCUGUUCGUGUUCGUUCGUUUAUUAAACGAACAUGUAAUAACCCAAAUUUGCCCAGCCUACAUAUACUUCAAAAAGAAAAAAACAACAACAAAUAAAUAAAUAAUAAAACCAAAUAAAAUUAAUAAAUAAUAGAGUCCAAUUAAAAUUCCGUUUACAUCUGACCCAUUACACUAGUCCGAAUACUAAACUUAGACAAUACCCAGCUAUACUGGCCUAAAUGGCCCAAAUAUUUCCAGAAAUGUUUAGGGUUUCUAGAUUCUUCUAACGCCGUAGCAGUCAGCAACUCUAGCACAUCCGCGCACCUCCAACCGCCCUGCAAUGCACUGCAUCUGCGCCAUACGUGCACCUCAGUGCCAGGCUGGCUCCGUACCUGCAAUAGACACACAAACAAACAACAAGAGAAAAGUAGAGAAAAAGAAAAGAAAAAAGGAGUUUGGUAUUUUUUUUCAUUUUUGUUUCGGGGGCUAUAAGAAAGCCUUUCAAAAACCUGUAACGGGGGGGAUUGAAUACACACAGAGAGGCAUAUUGUAUCAAAAACAAAAUCAAUACAAAAAUGAGGUUUUCUUUUGUUUUCCUCUUUUUUCGGUUCUCUUUUCGAUUUAUAUUGCUUUCCUUUUUCUGUUUGUUUAUCAGAUAGAUAUAUAUAUAGGAAUAGAUAUAGAAUAAAGGGGGGUUACCUUUGCCAGCCCACCGUUGGCCCUCAUCUGCUUUGAUCGGAGUUUGAAAGGGGGAAUUGUUUCGACAAGGAGCGACUGGAAAAGGCCUCGGUUUUGCGGCGGAAGGAAAAGGGGCUAGGGUUCUUUUUUCUUUUUAACUUUUGUUUUAAAUGAAAAAGGUUGCUAAUUAGGUUUUAAUGGGACAUUUAUGUGUGUUGAAAAAUGAUGCCGUUUGAUAGCCCUCGACCUGCGUGGUGACCCGACCCAGGGAAGGAUCCGCGCCUUUUUGGCUCAACGGUCUAUUUGCGCUUAAGUCCCUCUGUGUUUGGGUGUUGUUGCGAUUCAGUUCUCUUUCUUUUUUAAUUUGUACUGUGUAUUUGACUCGGUUUCCAUUUCAGUCCACAAACAAACGGUGUCGUUUUCAUUAAUCAGAUUUGAAUUCCCGAAUUUAUGUGUUUAUUUGCUGCUUUGGUCCCUCAAUGUGGAAUCAGUUAUUAAUUUAGUUCAAAUUUGUUCUUCUUUAAAUUUUGGUCACAAUUUUAAUUUAGUUUUUUUAGUACUUAAAUUUAAAAUAUAAUUAGAUUUUAUUCUGACAUAUUUAUUUCUAAAAAAUCUAAUAUUAUUUCAAUAUGUAGGUUUGGUAUUGUUUUUAAACUUAUUAUUAGUGUAAUUUUAAGAUAUAAUAUAUUAUUAUUAUUAACAACAUUAUUUAAAUUUGUCAAACAUUAAUGUUUUAGAUAUAUUAUAUAUUUUUUAUUAAAUUUAACAUAUUAUAUUUACUUCAUCAUUGAUUAUUUUAUAUAUUUUAUGGAAACUUAAUACAAGUCAAAUAAAUUUUUGAUGUUUUAUUUUCUAUUGUUUCUAAAAUUUAUCUUUUUAUAUAUUCCGAUAUGAUAAAUAUUUACAUAAUAAUUUUUAUUUAUACUAUUAUUCAUAUAAAUAUAUAACUUAUGAAAUUAUUCUUUUCUUAGCUAUAUAUUAAUAUUUUGAUUUCAUUAUGAUUAUUAAUUUUAAGUUCUUUUAUAUUUAUAUAUGUCUUUUAAAUCGAUUUUAUUUAUAUAAUUAUGUUUUUUUUUAAAUGCAAUAAUAUACUUUCCCUAUUCUAUUUUUUACUAGUAUAUAUAUAUCAUUAUUAUUAUAUUUUUAUAUGCAUUAUUUAUAUAUCAAACUAAUAAAUGCAUAUUGUCUAUUUCAAAUUUAUUUCAAAUACCAAUUAUUUAAUGUUGUUUUAUUUUUUGUCUAUUUUGAAGAUCAUAUAUGUAAUUCAUUUGGAAGCUUUCAUACAUAGGAUAUAUUGUUUUAUUAUCUUAAUGUAUCUUUUGAAUUUAUGAUGAAUUUAUUUAGCUUUUGAGCAUUGACAUCGAUGUUUGUAUAAUAUAGUUAAAAUCAUUAUGGUUAGUUGCAUCUACCUACUAUUUGUUUGCCACUUGUUAGUGUAUAUUUGGGUUGUGAUUUAUUUUUUACAUUAUAUAUUGCUUUUGUCAUGUCUCAUUUGUAAAAAUUGUAUUUUAUUGGAGCAUUGCAAUCAUUUUUAUUUCAUAAUUUUCAAAAGGACCUGGUCUUCAUACCUCUCGAGAGAAUUGUGCCUUAACUUACUGGGCUUCAAUUCUCCUCGACAAAUUUGAAUAGCCAAGCGUUUAUUUUAGUAAAACCAUACAAUUUUAAAAUAAAGCUUUUGAGACUUCAAAGUGAUGGAUCCUAACUUACUGGAUACAACAUUUUGUUAUCUCGAUUUUAAAAUAAAGACAAUGUUUGAUGUUUGGGAAUUCAUCAAUGUCUCUCUAGGAAUUCAUUUCACGCAUUCGCAUUACAUGCAUUAAAGUCCAUUAAAAGAGUCUAAUUGAGUAAGUUUAUUUCAGCUAAUCUGGAAAACCAACCAAUCCAGCACCCUUACGGUACUCGUCGCAAAGCCAAAGAAAUGGAUCAAAGAUUAGAGAAAUUGGAGCAAAUGCAAAAGGAUAUGCAAGAUCAGUUACAGAUGCAAAUGAAUGAGCAAUUGGAAAAAAUUCAACAGGACAUGACAGAAAAGAUACUGAAGUCUCAAAAGGACAUGAUGACUGAGCUGACGCAAUUACUAAAAGGAAAAAAUAAGGGGAAAGAUCCUAUGAUAAAUGAUAAAGAAGAAGACAAAGAUAGACCUUCCUAUCCUCCAGGAGUUACUCCCCUGUAUGCGCAGGUUCAGACUGAAGUACCUCCACGCAGAUCCUCUAUUUCAAUUGGGCCUCAGAGGUUUCAAACCGAUGUUUCAUUACCGAUGAAAAUUCUGACCGGAUCGGGUCCUAACCCUGGUGAUAAUCUGGUUAAUCUUGCCGUCCCGGAUUUUGACGAAACAGCUGAGGAAGGAAAGGCGAACGCGGAAUUGCCAAAACAGUGGGAAGAUAGGUGUAAAUGGUUGGAGGAAAAAUUCAAAGCCCUGGAAAGUGCUGAUAGUCACCAUGGAAUCGAUGCAAAAGAUCUGAGCUUGGUUCCAGACUUAGUACUCCCUCACAAGUUCAAGAUGCCUAAAUUUGAGAAAUAUAGUGGGACUAGCUGCCCCGAAGCCCAUAUCACCAUGUUCUGUAGGAGAAUGACUGGGUAUAUUAACAAUGAUCAGCUAUUAAUACAUUGUUUUCAGGAUAGCCUCAUUAGAGUAGCGUCGAAAUGGUACAAUCAAUUGAGCCGUACCGAGAUUGGUUCAUGAAGGGACCUAGCACAGGCAUUCAUGAAAAAAUACAGUCAUGUGAUAGAUAUGGUUCCCGAUAGAAUCACCUUGCAAAAUUUGGAAAAGAAAUCGAAUGAAAGCUUUAGAAAGUAUGCACAGAGGUGGAGAGAGGUUGCAAUCCAAGUCCAGCCGCCACUCCUAGAGAAAGAAACUACAACGCUCUUUAUCAACACAUUGAAGGCCCCGUUCAUCACUCACAUGCUGGGAAGCGCUUCGAAGAGUUUUUCAGAUAUAAUCAUGAAUGGCGAAAUGAUUGAAAAUGCCAUAAAAAAUGGAAGAAUAGAUGGUGGAGAGAGUAAUAAAAAAUCAGUCGCAAGGAGAAAAGAAGAUGAGAUGAAUACCAUAAGUUACUCAAGGUCAGUAAGUCGUCCAGGUAAAGGGGUCACGAGUCAACAAGGUUCAUUGAGACAAGAAUCUGGAGUGAAACCAAGUAUUGAGAAGCUCCAGUUCACACCAGUUUCGAUGUUGUAUAAAUAGCUGUAUCAACGCUUAUUCGAUGCGCGCAUUGUUGCCCCUUUUUACUCAAAGCCCCUGCAACCUCCGUACCCCAAGUGGUAUGAUGCGAAUGCACAGUGUGAUUAUCAUGCGGGAAUUGGGGGACAUUCGAUAGAAAAUUGCACUGUCUUUAAAAAGCUUGUUGAAAGGCUCAAUAACAUGGGUGUUGUCAAGUUUGAUGACUCCAGUGCAGAAAAUCCGUUACCCAAUCAUAAUUGAUAAUGGAGUGAAUGCAUUGCAUGAAGAAGAGUGGGAAAUGUUCACAUCGAUGAAAAGCAAUUGAAGAAGGGGCCUUGUUAGAUAUCUGCCCUUAUAAAUUUGGGAGUGCUCUAAGCAAUUAGACUGCAGAAGAAAGCCCUGUAGUUUUUAGAACUUAUUUAGAGUAAUGUUCAGAACAUUUUUGUUGUUUUUAGCCUAAAAAUGAUAGAAAUUCCUUUAUGAAAAAGGCUCAUGUCUGAAUUUUAUUAUUCUAAUGAAAUACAUCUUUGCGAUCAUUUUUGAGUCAAUAUUCUUUCAUUCUUUUUGAAUAAUUAUCUUUGAUUACUUCAUUCUUUUGGAUUUUCUUCCACAUCAUUCAUUCAUUCAUAAUCAUAUUGUAUAAAUAAUUAUUCAUAAAUUUAUACAUUCUUUUGUAUAUUCUUUGGUACUUAUUAUGGGUCCCCAGAUAUCAAUUACGUGAAUGACUCUACUACAGACCCAGAUUUUCCUUUUGAGCGAGGCAUGUGUUCAAAGGGAUCUCAUGACUUUGAAAAUGACAAAGAUUGUAGCUUAUCUCUGGACUUAUUGAAGAUGGUUGAGCAGGAGGAUAGACAGAUCCUACUUCACAAGGAAUCAUUAGAAAUUGUGAGCUUAGUGAAGAUCAGAAUUGACCUGACUGCAAAGACGAAGCAACACCUUGUUGAGUGACCUCUAGAGUUCAAAGAUGUCUUUGUAUGAUCAUACCAGGAUAUGUCGGGUUAAAUGCUGAUAAUGAAAUCUGUACAACAACACGAUGACAAAAAAUUUGUAGUAUGAGCGAUGUAAUUCUUUGUCGGGGUAAUGUCUCUCUCGUUGACUCAGCAUAGCUUUGCCCAUUUGAAGUCGAGUUUCCAUCCCUUCAAGAUUAAAGAGGAAGAUCCAAAGUUUUCUGUUGUAGUUGCGCCCCAAAAGGCUCUAUGAAAGAAAUCUGAUACCAAAGAAGGUUUUUCGCGUACAAGAUGAAAGUGAGAGAUCUUAUGUGGAGGACUUUAUCUAUAAAAAUAUUGAUUCUGGUCGAAAGGGGAUAACAAGGACUUGCCUAAUCCCAAGAGUUUAAAUAAAAAAACAAAAAAAAUCGAAGUCAAAAGCAAAAAGAAAAAUCUAUCAAGGUCAAAAUGAAAAUGAAAAAGAAAGAAGAGAAAAAGAAAAAAAAGUAAAGGAGAGGCCAAAGCGAAAACCCACAAAGGGCGCUUUGUGACCAAAUGUGGUUUUGAGUUGAAAACCCGAAAAGGGCGACUCAAAUUUUGAGCAAAAUGGGGCAUGGACAUCACCAUUAUCGAAGACUUCUAAUGGGCAUUGCUUCAUUUUUGAGAUCAUUAGAGGCUACUUCAUACGUCAAUGUCAUCAUAUGCCGAUAUAGAAUUCCAAGAAGAUGGUAUUGGAAAAUGCAUUGAACUUGAAUGAUAACGCGAUAGCUGAGAGCUGUAAUCAAUUCAAAAUCAGACACCACAGUUUGUCACUGUAUUGCAAGAUAAUGAAUUGCAAAAAUGACUGCGACUUACAAGUACUGGCAUGAAAAAUCACCAUUUGCCCUCCUUUCUUGUCGAACAUCUAUCAAGAUUUCUAUCAGAGCAACGUUGUUCUCUUUGGGUUACGGGAUUAAGGUAGUUUUACCUAUUGAAAUCCCCUCUCUACGGGUAUUAGAGUUGGAAGGAUCCAAUCGCGAUGUGAUCAGUUGGACCUAGGAAAAGGGUUAAAAGCUAUGCAUCAGGGCCGGAUGUAUCAGAAACAAAUGAUACGAGCCCAUAAUGAACAGUGUCAUCUCAGCGAAUUCCACGAGAGGGUUGGAUGUUGAAAAAGAUCCUUCGAAAGGAUUCUAGAGAGAAAUGAAUGCCAAACCAGGAAUGUCCCUAUGUUGUAAAGAAGACAUUUUUCAGAAGAGCACUGAUCCUGAGUGAGAUUUCUAGUCCUAUAAACUUAGAUCCGGUCAAGAAGUACUCUGGUGAAAACCUGCAAAUGGCACUUUGAGUAAAAAAAAAAGAUAAAAAAAUGAAAAUUAAAAAUGAAAAAAUGAAAAAGUUAAAAUGGAGAGGCUAAGGGGAAAACCCACAAAGGGCACUUUAGGCCAAAGGGGAUUUGAGUUGAAAACCCGAAAAGGGCGGCUCAAAUAUUGAUUAAAAUAAGGCAUGAGGCGAUCAGAGCAACUCGAAUUUUGAUCAUAUUGGGGCAUGUGGUGAUCUUGCUAUGCCUGAAUCAACAGGAAAGGAUAGGCGACAUCUUGGGGCAUCGACAAAGCAAUGUAGAUUUCCUAAACACAUGUCAAACUCAGAAUGAGCUUCAGAAAGUUUGUACAGAGAAGUUCAAGCUGCGAUAUCUGGGGUACCAAUUCUCAUAUUAUUUAUAUUGAAUUUUUUGUUCUUGGAAUACUUUUCCAAGAUAUAGAUUCUCAAUCAAUUUCUUUAUUAUCCUUCUUUACUGUUUUUGAUAAUUUAUUCCUUUUGAGCAAUGCCCAGAACCAACUUUAUUCUUGUCCAUUGUUAUGACCCUUUUUGCAAGCAUGUCGCAUUGGAAUAAUGAUUAAUGGACUAAUAAAACUUUCACAAAGGAAGUUUUGUAUAUUACUCUGGAAAGUUUCUAAACAACACAGGAACCUGAAACAGGACGAUUGUUUAGAACACACCAAAUUUAAAGGUUGGAAAUUUGAGAAGGAAUAGUCUAAAUUUGGACUUUCUCUUUGGGCUUUGUUGUCAAAAGCACUAAUUGAACAAAAUGACAAGGAUGUCAAAUUGACGAUAAAGCUUAAAUAAACAAGCAAUCGAUGAUCAUCAGGUAAGAGGAAGAGUUUAACUUGGAGGAGAGAGCCUUCAUCUGCGCAUAGGUCUUUGGUACGACACCCUAAUAAUGGUGUAAGAAACCAGAACGAUUUAGAUCCUAUAUCCUUAAAUUGUGAUAAGAGAGGAUUGAGGAAAAGCCACCUAUUUCUACCAUUAGAUUGCAGUCGGAAAAUGAUGGUACAAAUUUUGCGCCCCAAUGGAUUAAACUUUGAGGUUUACAGUGGGGGGCAACCUGGCUAAAUGAUUGUUCAGAAAAGGCCAGUCAAGCAGGAAGGUGCUGUAGCACGCCAGUCACAAAACCUUCGAGUAAUGACGACCUAAGCGGGAUCAUUUUUGGAAAAAUAAAACUCUGCAUUCAUGCAAACAUUAUUCACAUGUCUAGUUAAGAGCAUUUGAUUCAUUUUGAUCAUGCCAUCCUAAUCAUUAGGCAUAAUUAGGUCUAUUAUACAAGUCAUGUUCCCCAAAGAACAGAUCUGGGAAAUUACAGAUCUUGUCUCCCUAAGCAAUAGCGGAGCAAAUCGAAGACGAAAAAUCUUAUCUUUAAGUGUAAGGAAGUAGAUUUAAGCCACAGGUCUUAUCUCCCUGAGAUUAUGGUGGAUUAGACCGAAGAAUUCCUAAUCGGAAAUGGUGAAUCUUAUCUCCCUGAUGUUACAAUGGAGCAGAUUGAAGCCAGAAAUCUUAUCUCCCUGAGAUUACAACGGAGCAGAUUAAAGGUAGUAAUCCUAUCUCCAUGAGAUUACAGUGGAGCAGAUUAAACUAAAGGAUCUUAUCUCUCUAAAGUUACAGUAGAGUAGAUCGCAUCAGAUUGAAGCCAGAAAUCUUAUCUCCCUGAGAUUACAGCGGAGCAGAUUGAAGCCAGUAAUCCUAUUUCCUUGAGAUUACAGUGGAGCGGAUUAAAAUAAAGGAUCUUAUCUCUCUAAAGUUAUAGUAGAGUAGAUCGCAUCAGGUCUUAUCUCCCUGAGAUUACAGUGGAAGAGACCAAAGAAUUACAGAUCUUAGUUUCCCUGGCGGUGCAGUGGAACAGAUUAAAGCCACAACGGUGAAUCUUGCCUCCUUAACAUUGCAGUUAAAAAGAUUAAAGCUACAACAGCGAAUCUUACCUCCCAGGCGGUGCAGUGGAACAGAUUAAAGCCACAUUGGUGAAUGUUGCUUCCCCGACAUUGCAGUUAAAAAGAUUAAAGCCACAACAGCGAAUCUUACUUCCCUGGCGAUGCAGUGGAACGGAUUAAAUCUACAAUGGUGAAUCUUGCUUCCCCAACAUCACAGUUAAGUAGAUUAAAAUUACGAGUUACAAAUCCUAUCUCCCCGACGUUGCAGUGGAGUGGAUCGAAGCACCAAUUCCUAUACCUCUAAAGAUGUAGUAGGAUGGAAUGAUCCCGUAGGACCAGGCAAAUUUGGCCUUAUUAAAGUCUUUACUUCAUUCCCGUUACACGACAAUGAGCAAAGAGGGGCAGCUGUAAUAACCCAAAUUUGCCCGGCCCACAUAUAUUUCAAAAGGAAAAAAACAAAAAAUAAAUAAAGAAUAAUAAAACCAAAUAAAAUUAAUAAAUAAUAUAAUCCAAUUAAAAGUUCAUUUACAUCUGACCCAUUACACUGGUCCGAAUACUAAACUUAGACAAGACCCAGCUAUACUGGCCCAAAUAUUUCCAGAAACCUUUAGGGUUUUUAGAUUCUUCUGACGCCGCAGCAGUUAACAACUCUAGCACAUCCGCGCGCCUCCAACCGCCCCGUAAUGCACUGCAUCUGCGUAACACGUGCACCUUAGCGCCAGGCUAGCUCCGUACCUGCAACAGACACACAAACAAACAACAAGAGAAAAGUAGAGAAAAAGAAAAGAAAAAAAGGAGUUUGGUAUUUUUUUUUCAUUUUUGUUUCGGGGGCUAUAAGAAAGCCUUUCAAAAACCUGUGACGGGGGAGAUUGAAUACACACAAAAAAAACACAUAGAAAGGCAUAUUGCAUCAAAAACAAAAUCAAUACAAAAACGAUGUUUUCUUUUGUUUUCCUCUUUUUUCGGUUCUCUUUUCGAUUUAUAUUGCUUUCCUUUUCCUGUUUCUUUAUCAGAUAUAUAUACAGGAAUAGAUAUAGAAUAAAGGGGGGUUACCUUUUCCAGCCUACCGUCGACCCUCAUCUGCUUUGAUCGGAGUUUGAAAGGGGGCGUUGUUUCUGCAAGGAGCGACUAGAGAAGGCCUCAGUUUUGCGGCAGAAGGAAAGGGGGGCUAGGGUUCUUUUUUCUUUUUAACUUUUUUUUAAAUGAAAAAGGUUGCUAAUUAGGUUUUAAUGGGACAUUUAUGUGCGUUGAAAAACAACGCCGUUUUAUAGCCAUCGACCCGCGCGGUGACCCGACCCGCGGAAGGAUCCGCGCCUUUUUGGCUCAAUGGUCUAUUUGUGCUAUAAGUCCCUCUGUGUUUGGGUGUUACUGCGAUUCAAUUCUCUUUCUUUUUUAAUUUGUACUGUGUAUUGGACUCGGUUUCCAUUUCAGUCCACAGACAAACGGUGUCGUUUUCAUUAAUCAGAUUUGAAUUCUCGAAUUUAUGUGUUUAUUUUCUGUUUUGGUCCCUCAAUGUGGAAUCGGUUAUUAAUUUAGUUAGAAUUUGUUCUUCUUUAAAUUUUGGACACAAUUUUAAUUUAUUUUUUUAGUACUUAAAUUUAAAAUAUAAUUAGAUUUUAUUCCGACAUAUUUAUUUCUAAAAAAUCUAAUACUAUUUCAAUAUGUAGGUUUGAUAUUGUUUUUAAACUUAUUAUUAGUGUAAUUUUAAGAUAUAAUAUAUUAUUAUUAUUAGCAACAUUAUUUAAAUUUGUCAAACAUUAAUGUUUUAGAUAUAUUAUAUAUUUUUGUUUUAAAUUUAACAUAUUAUAUUUACUUCAUCAUUGAUUAUUUUAUAUAUUUUAUGGAAACUUAAUACAACUCAAAUAAAUUUUUGAUGUUUUAUUUUAUAUUGUUUCUAAAAUUUAUCUUUUUAUAUAUUCCAAUAUGAUAAAUAUUUUUACGUAAUAAUUUUUAUUUAUACUAUUAUUCAUAUAAAUAUAUAACUUAUGAAAUUAUUCUUUUCUUAGCUAUAUAUUAAUAUUUUGAUUUCAUUAUGAUUAUUAAUUUUAAGUUCUUUUAUAUUUAUAUGUCUUUUAAAUCGGUUUUAUAUAAUUAUGUUUUUUUAAAUGCAAUAAUAUACUUUCCCUAUUCUAUUUUUUUACUAGCAUAUAUAUAUCAUUAUUAUUAUAUUUUUAUAUGCAUUAUUUAUAUAUCAAACUAAUAAAUGCAUAUUGUCUAUUUCAAAUUUAUUUCAAAUACCAAUUAUUUAAUGUUUUAUUUUUUUGUCUAUUUUGAAGAUCAUAUAUGUAAUUCAUUUGGAAGCUUUCAUACGUAGGAUAUAUUGUUUUAUUAUCUUAAUGUAUCUUUUGAAUUUAUGAUGAAUUUAUUUAGCUUUUGAGCAUUGACAUCGAUGUUUGUAUAAUAUAGUUAAAAUCAUUAUGGUUAUUUGCAUCUACCUACUAUUUGUUUGCCACUUGUUAGUGUAUAUUUGGGUUGUGAUUUAUUUUUUACAUUAUAUAUUGCUUUUGUCAUGUCUCAUUUGUAAAAAUUGUAUUUUAUUGGAGCAUUGCAAUCAUUUUUAUUUCAUAAUUUUCAAAAGGACCUAGUGUUUAUAGCUCUCGAGAGAUUUGUGCCGUAACUUACUGGGCUUCAAUUCUCCUCGACAAAUUUGAAUAGCCAAGCGUUUAUUUUGGUAAAACCAUGCAAUUUUAAAAUAAAGCUUUUGAGACUUCAAAGUGAUGGAUCCUAAGUUACUGGAUACAACAUUCUGUUAUCUCGAUUUUAAAAUAAAGACAAUGUUUGAUGUUUGAGAAUUUCGAGAAAUUGAACCCUAACUUACUGGAUUUUAAUUGCUCGAUUGACUUAAAUAAUCGAAUAACCUUCUUAAAGCACAUGAUUUUCUUAAAAAAGGGGACGAAUUUAAUUUCGAAGAUUGAAUUGUUGCACUCUAACUUACUGAGUGUAACAAUUUAUUUCUUUGAAAUAAGUGAACCUUAUCAUCCAAUUCAUUUUAUUCAAGAUAAAAGGAUUGUAUUUUAAAAUCUUUUCAAAAUUCUGACAUUAAGACAUUAAAUAAUCAAUUCGGUACCAAUUUUGGGCGUUACGAGGGUGCUAACCCUUCCUCGUGCGUAACCGACUCCCGAACCUGUUUUCUCAAAAUUCCCAGACCUAAAAUUAUUUUCAAGGUGACCCGAUCACACCACAACAAAAGAUCAGUGACGACUCCCAUUUUAUUUUCAAAGUCGAUCCCCAUUUUUCAAAUCCAAAAAAGUGGUUUCGACAGAACAUAAAAAUUUUGUUUAUACUCAUUUAUUUAGCUUAAUAAACAAACAUAAACGAACAGUUCACGAGCACUUCAUCGAACGUUAUGUUCAUUUACACCCCUACCGAAAUUAAUUAAUAUAACUAUUUAUGUUGUGUCUGUUUUUCAGUGUUGUCAAAAACAAUAGUUUCGGGACCGCAAAUCCGACGAGUAAUUCAUAUUAUUAUUUAACUAAUAUAAGUCAAUUAUAAUUUUAUAUAGAAUUUUGAUUUGAUAAUUUUUAGCUAAUUAAAUAAAUAAGUUAGAUAUAAGUGGUUGUCUCAAAAGUCAAGUGGUUUCGAAAAAUGAGAUAACAAGACCUCUUUUUUGAAAACCGAGCCCUUGAAUAUUUUUAUUUAACAUUUACAAAGUUAUUAUUUUGAUAAGUGAAAGUUCAAUUCAAGAAUUUUAUUGUUUGGUUUGUUACUUAAAGAAAAGGACUAAGUUGUGAAAAUUGUAAAAUCUAGUUAUAAUUUAAUUAUAGUGAUUAGAUGGUUUAAAUCACCUAAGUGAAAUGUUUUAAAUGACAAUUAUAUCAUUCUUAUUUUAGCAUGGAUGGUUAAGGCAUGAAAAAUGGUAAAAUUGUAUGUUUAAUUGAAGGGUAAUAUUGUAAUUAAAUAACUAUAAUUGAAGUAAAUAAAAUAAAAAUAAAGCAUCAUCUUCCUUAGUGUUGCUUACCACCAAAAAUUGAAUUGGGAAACACCAUUGCAAGGCUUGAGUUUCGGCAAUUGAAAAUUCCUCUUGCAUGGUAUGAAUUCUUAGCUCGUUUCUUGUCAUUUUUAUUUUUUUGAGAUCGUGGCAACUAGGUAUAGCUAACCCGUACAUUUUUUUUGAAACUGUUAAAUAUUUUGGAUUUUACCAUUAAUGAAUCUUAGGUGUUCUAGCCUUAGUUGUUGAUUAAGAUUAUUUUGUAAAGUGAUUUUUGUUAGUUUUUAGUUAAAGGACUCAAUUGUUAAAAUAUUAAAAUUGAUAGGGAAUUCUUGUGAAUUCAGAAUAAUUAUGAGCUUUAGUUAUAUAAGUGAAAAAUUGGUUAACAUGAUAAAUUAUGAAAUUCUGAUAAAUUUGGAAUUUCGAGUUUAUGGACUGAAUUGUGAAAAAUGUAAAAGUUUGAGGAAAAUGUGUAAAUAAUAAAACUUAAGGGUCAUAUGCAUAAAAUGAGUUGAAAUAUGUAUUUGAAUUUGAUAAUUUAAUUUAAUCAUUAAAUAGAUCAAGAAUUGAAUCGUACGGAGGUUAACCAUGGAAAAGAGAAAAUUUCGAAUUAGUCCCUGCGAGUCAACCAAAAACAUAAAUUAUAUAAGUUCAUAGUGUAAUGAUUUUUAAAUGUGUAUUUAUUUAUAAUUAUAUUAUUUUUCACUAGUUAAUUGUACAAAUGUGAAAUUUCAUUAGUGAUACAUAUAUUAUUACAUGUUUCAAUUAAGUAUAAAGUAAAAGUGUACUAUUCGGAAGUUGACAAAAUAGUUGUGAAAAAUGAAUGAUAGUAUCUCAGAAUGAAUGAAAUAAAUAUACGGUAUGUGUACAAAUAUUGUGGAAGUGCCUCUGUUUUCUAAUGUGAUGAAUUCAGUUUAAAUGCUCGUUUGAACGUAGUAAACGAUUAGGACACAAUUGGCAUGCCAAUAGGGUUAGAAUGUGUGCUUGUACGGGAUUGCACUUUGGUGCCUCUAUUUGCACUUCAGUACCUUUGUUACCCAUCUUUGAUGCCUUUGGUGUGGUGUAGUUACUCUAGUAUCCGAGUCGAGUUACUAUAGUUCACUGGGCUAUGUAUUAUUUGACUUAAAACUUAUUUACUUGUUCCAUUCUAUUGAACGUUUAAAUUGCUACUAUGUGGUAAAUAGCAUUAUGAAAUGCUUGUGUAUAAAUGUGGAGAAUUAAUUUGAGAUAUGGUGAUUGAUAGAAUUUGGUUAGUUCUUUUCAGAAGUAUCAUUUAGGUUAUAUAUGAUUAUAUACUAAUGCGAUGUGAUUUUGUAUUCAGUUAUCAGGAAUUAGAAAUUUAUCCUCCUUAUUAUCUAUUUGAUUAAGGUAAGUUAAUAUUGAAUUCAUAAAUUAUUUGAAGAUGUUAAGUGAUGAAAUUGAAUGAUUAAUGAUUUUGUGCUUAAAAGUUGUUGGUAACAAUACUGAAAUGAAGGGAAAGUUUAGAGUUAUAUGUAUGAAACACAAGCUUUGUAAAUGUGAUAUUGGUGACAAAGUUAUGUAUUUAACUAUCAAAGGAUGAUUUGUUUUGAUUUGAACUCUUGUGGUUUAUGAUCGUUCAAUUGAAAGUUUUGGUACUGACAUUAUGUGAUUUCGGAAACGAUUGUCAGGUUUAGAAAAAUGAAUGCUCUUUUAGUAUUCAUUUAUGGAUUGAGGUAAGUUAAUUUUAAUUCUUAGCUAUGGACUUAUUUAGCUUCUUAAGUUUACCUAUUUUCGAUUUUGUUUCUGUAGUUAAUGUUUCGCGGAACUAGUUAGGUGGAUCAAAUUUGGAGCUCACACCAUCCAAACUCUUUCGAUAGCUAUUGUUUGAGUUAUCAUAGUUUGUGGCAUGUAUAUAGGUUUUGAUGUUGUCAAGGUUAAAAAGUUAGUUGAAUUGAAAUUAAGCUUAUAUGGUUUUGAAUUGGUAAUCUAUGUUUUAUGUUGAUGUUAUUUUGGAUGUGGUAAUGUUCGAUACACUUGUUAUUUGGCAUUGUUUUGGUUUGAUUUCUCUUGUAAUGAUGAAAUAUGGUCAAUUUGGUAGGUAGAUAAUGAUAAUGGACAUGUUUGAAGUGUCUUUGGUUUGGUAUGUGAUUUGAUAUUUGGUAUUUUGGGGCUUUGUUGAUAAUUGAUUGACAUGAAAAUGAAUUUGAUGUUUUAGGUGAAUUACUUAAUUGUCAUGUAUAAAAACUGUGGUGUCAAUGAAGGCACAUUGGUUAGACAUAUAGGUUGAAUGUUUUCAACAUGUUUUGGGUUUGUUUAGGUGUGUUUUAAGUAGGAGUAAUUGCUGGUAAAUGAGUUUCUUACGGUCUAAGUAAGUUCGAUUUGGUAAACUUGCAUUUAAAGGUUUAAUUAAGGGCACACAGGCUGUUACACGGUCGUGUGCUGCACACGAGCUCUUCACACGAUCCUGUGUUUCAAAAAAGUAUGUUGCACGGUCUGGGACACAACUUACGACACGGUCGUGUGAGCCAACAUCGAAGCUAACACGGGCUGGCACACGGUCUGUGACACGGCUAUAUGACCUUAUUUCGAAUAUACACACGGCCUGUAACAUGACCGUGUGAGGGAAUUUCGAAAGUUACACGGUCUAUCACACAGUUGGUGUAACGCUCGGUGUGUGCAAGUGUACAUAGUCGUUAUCAAGUAAUAAGUAAGUAAAAGAAUUAUCGUCUUCACAGGGACUGUGUAUGUUAAUUGAUAUAUUGCAAAAUUAAAGUUAACAAUUUGAUGAUAAAAGCACAAUAUCUUGAGUGAUGGGUGAUUAACUAAAUUAAAUUAUCUAUAUGCAAGAUUGAUCCCUAAUGCAAUUUAAUUUAAAUGCAAAGUAUGAAAUGAAAUGUAUGAAUGAAUUUAGCAAAAACACAAACUUCAACAAACAAUAACAUGAAUAGGCUAGGAUAAUUACAUCAUUCAACUUAGCUUAUUUUUAUCAUGCUUAAUAGUAUUCGGAAAUUAUUCCAUGACAACUCGAUCUUUCAUGAGUUUGGAAACCAAAUUAAGUCCUUUCGGAAUCUUCUACUUAGUAAAACAUGCAUUUUACUGAUCUUAUUAAAUUAUGGGUUUCUUAGGAUUCAUCUGAAGUAACAGGGACGAGUUAUGUUUGAAAUAGUUUAAUCACAUAAACCUAAAAACUAUGCAAAAUAAUAGAGCUCGUUAAAGUUAUUAUGAACCUUUAAUUUAGUCAGGUUAAAAUCUAAAUUAACCAUGCACAUUUAAAUUAUUGUGUCCACUAGCCAUCAUCUAGUUAGGAUUGCUCAGCUAAUUCUAAUGCAUCCAAGCAUGUAUGAAUGAAAUACAUACUUGAGUUUAAGUGAAAACAUGAUCGACUGAAGCACAAACACUAUAGACAUGAUUUAAACAAACUUCAUUAAAUAAAUGUAAUCAUCCUAGAUAAACAAAAUUAAGCUACCAUUGUUGAUGAAAAGAUAAUAAGUCACAUUGCAAACAUGAUUAAAAUCAAAAUAAUAAAGUAAAUGAAGAAUAAACUCUAUUGAAUCAACAGUCUCGUAAAAUAUGAUUUAAUAUAUUUUCCACCGAUCUUCGUGUUGCUCCUUUGCUAAUGGCUCCUCAAGGUGGUCGGCUAAGAGAUAAUCUUAUUAAGGUGUUUGGCUAAGAAAGAAAAUAUGGGAUGCUAUGCGUGGAAAUGAAAAGAGGAAAUGAGAGAAUCGAAGAAUGAUAUGAAAUGAGAGAUGAGAAGAAUGAAGGAUAUAGGGAUGAAGGAUGAUUAGAAUGGAGAAUGAGUGAGGGUAUUUAUACUUGAAGUAAAUGGUAGAGUUUACUAAAAAUAGGGAUUGAAAUCCCUUUAUUUUCUCCAUUGCUUGGCCGACCACAUUUAAAUUAAUAAUUAAAUGGAUAAAUGUUGUAAAUUGUUUGUUAUGCACUAUAAUACUCUGUAACCUUAAUUCGGUGAUGGAGAAGAGCUAGGGGUGUUACAGUUUAUAUUAAUAAAUUCGGUAAAAUAUAUCCAAUUAAUAUUUUAUAUAAAUCAAAUUCAUAUACUAAUUAUAUUCUUUCCAAAAGAAUAUUAAUUUCCUUGUUUUUUAUAUUUUGACCAAAAUUAAUUAAUAUAAUUGUUUGUAUUAAUAAAUUCGAUAAAAUAUAUACUAUUAAUAUUUUGUAUGAAUCAAAUUCAUAAAUUAAUUAUAUUCUUUCCAAAAUAAUAUUAAUUUCCAUGUCUUUUAUUUUUUGACCGAAAUUAAUUAAUAUAAUUGUUUAUAUUAAUAAAUUUAGUAAAAUAUAUACAAUUAAUAUUUUAUAUGAAUCAAAUUCAUAUAUUAAUUAUAUUCUUUUCAAAAGAAUAUUAAUUUUUAUGUCUUUUAUAUUUUGACCGAAAUUAAUUAAUAUAACAAUUUAUAUUAAUAAAUUAAGUAAAAUAUAUACAAUUAAUAUUUUUGUAUGAAUCAAAUUCAUAUAUUAAUUUUAUCUAUGUUCUCUAUUUGUGUACAACAAGUUUGUACAUAUAAGGUGUUUAAUAUUUAACUAUCAAAUUAAAUUAAAUCAGCAAUUAAUUUAAUUCAUGUGACAACUAAAUACAAUACCAAAUGUAUUUGGAUUCUGUUCGUUUCAACUAUAGGAUGUGACUCUGUAGGCUCUUGUAACGUUGGUAGUAAUACUAGAGCAUGUUUAACUUUACAAGCAAUGAAUGACAUCUAGCAAUGCAUCAUUGCCACCCAAGUUAGAAGAAUUCGUGAUUUGACAUAACCUUUCUGUGGUAAUCUUUUCAUGUAUUAUAUCAUUUUAUCCUUAAUAUCUAGAUUGGACACAAGUCAUGGAAUAAUCACACUUGUAUAGUGCAAUCUCAUAUUUCUUAAUUUUCUGAGCAGACUACAAUAAACGAAUAAGUGUGAUAUCUCAUAUCAACUUAUUCGAGCAUGCCUAUGAAUUUCUAGUCUCACUCCAUCAAGAGGCCUAAGAUAUUGCUCCCAUUAUUUAGGAGGGGUAAAUCCUAUCUUGAUCAACCAUAUCCCACUACAUGGAUUGUGGUUUAUCCAAUAUCAGUCUUUAUAGUACAACUUAUUAUGGUAGACAUUUUGACUGUAUCAAAAUAUAUAACUCAUGAUGUUGGGACAAUGAUGAUCUCAAGUCUGAGGAUCACAUGCAUUGUUAUCACUAUGAGUAAUAUUGUGACUAUUACAUAAUAAACCAAGAAACAUACUCAUAGCGGGAUAGUCCAAUAUGUUGUUCUCUAACACAUACUCAUGUAUUGAUUUUGACAUCCGUAUGUCAAUGACAAUUCUUUGUCAUCAAUCAACUACACAUUAGUUUCAAUGCAUUAUUGUUGUCCAAGCCCACAAUAAUGCUUGACUAAUGACCUUUUAAAAAUAAUCAUAUUUUUUAGGACUUUAUUACAAUUCAGUUUAUUUAUAUACAUAAAAAAAGAAAUUGAAAUAAUAAUGGUAAUACCUUAUACUAAUAAACAAGGUAAAAUGAAUAUGUUAUUACAAUCAUCUCAUGAUUGGUCUUUGGACAUACUCUAACAUUAAUUUCAUAUGGACCAAGACCAUUUACAUUCAAGAGAAGUCAUUGUUUAACAUUCAACCUAUGUGCAUUUAUAACUCUUUAUGCAAGCCAAAAUAUCAUAUAUCUCCCUUUCAAAACAACUAGUUCAACAUUUCCACAAUUUGACAUUUUUCAAUCAGCAAACCAAUAUGCCUCAAUAGGCACCAGAACAUACAAAAAUCACUUAUUCAAACUUAGUCUAUACUUUCAUACUUUCAAACCAUUCAACAUCAACAUAUACCAUAAUUCAAACAUUAUCCAAGUGCAAACCAACUAUGCAACCAAGGUAAACAUAUAUAAGUACACCUAUGUACAUGCCAUAAAACCAAACUUUAAAUGAUGGAGAGACAACCAAAUCAAUACCGGGAUAGUGUGAGUUUCCCAACAAUUAGCCUGACACGUUUCGUAAGUUGACCAUCUACAAGGAGAAGGGAAACAAGGCAAUAAGCAUUACAAAUGCUUAGGAAGUUCACAUGUAUUAAAACCAAGUAACUUACCGUAGGUUAUAAUUAUACACUACAUGCUACUUAGCUUGGUAAAGUUUGCCUAUCAUGACAAAUCACAUAACAAAAAUGUUAGUUUAACAUUUAUCAUACUAUAUAUUAACUUAAUCAUAUAACAUUUCACUUCACUUAAUUCAACAUUUCAUUAUCAUUCAUAAAACAAACAAUCAUUUAAUCAAUUCACUAUCUUAAUCAUAUCAUACAACCUAUUUACCCGUAAUACAUCCCAUUUCAAUUUUAUGUCAAACAUUAUUUUUCAUUUCAUAAUUUGAAUUCUCAAUCAAAUUCAUAUUAAAUCAUAUAAACUUAAUUCCCAUUUCAUAUCAGUUCAUAUUUAUACCAAAUAUAUAUUUCAAUUUCCAAUUUAUUUUCAACUAAUACUUUAUUUCAUAAUACAAAUUAUGAAUCACAUUUCAUCUUAAUUUCCAAAUUCAUGGAUUCAUUGAACAUAAUCAAUCAAUGGUCCCAACUUAUUCCACAAUUUUGUAUUCCAUUUCUCCUUUCACUUCCAUUUCACAUCAUUUUUCAUUUCAAAUAUCAGAUAUUUCAUUUUUACCAUUUAUUUCUCUAUUAACACGACUCGGACUAGGACGGAUACACGGGUCCAACCAACACACCAGUUUGACAUCCAGUGGCCUCAUCGGAUAAACCUUAUAUCAUACUAUUAUAAAUAUAUAUCAAUUUAAUUUUCUUAUUCAAAUGCCCUUAAACUUUUACAUUUUAUUCAAUUUAGUCCUUAAAACCAAACUUAUUAUAUCUUCCAAAUUUGAAAUCAAAAUUUUAAAAUCACUUAAAUUAUGUCCAUAUACAGCCUCCUGUUAUCACAAUUUAUAAAAAUUUCAUAUCAAUUUUAAGAUAUUCGCAAUUUAGUCUAUAAAUUCAAAACUAACAAAAUUUAUUUAACGAAAUAACCGUAUUUCAUUUCUAAGCUUCAAAAUCUAACAUAAACAUUCAAAAAUUCAAUUAACAUCAAUGGAAACUUUAGAAAUCUUUAACAGUUUUGAAAACAGAGAUCUGGGUUAGCUGGACCUAGUUGCAACGGUUUUAAAAACAUAAAAAUUACAAGAAACGGGCUUGAUUUUGACUUACAUGCAUGAGAAGGAAGCUUGGGGAAGGUUUGACUAUGACUUCUCAAAUUUCUCUUCUAUUUUGGACGAUGAGAGGUUGAAGAAAACAUAAAAAAUGGUUUUUAACAUAUUUUAUUAACUUUAACUUUAAUUUAAUUAAAUUUGAAGUAUAAAAAAAUCUAUUAAAGCUUAUCAUGACCGACCACUAACAAUUAAAAGGGUAAAUUACCAUUUAAAACCCUUAAUUUUAAUUUAUUAUGCAUUUUAACAAAUAAAAACUAAUAUAUAUUAACUUUUAUAUUUUUUACAAUUUAGUUUUUUUUCUUAAUUAACAUCACAUCACCAAUAUUGUAACACCCCAAACCCGGUCUAGACGUUAUGGUUGAAUCUGGCGUAUCACAUUGAAGUGUCUUUCAAAAAUUAGAUUUGUUGGUAAAAACUCAUUUCUAAGUUUUAAAAACCUCUUUUUAAUGUUUAACAAAACACCCAAUCAAAUGUUUGCCUUGUUACCUGCUAUUGCUAUAUUAAGUUGAUUUAAAACGUGGAAGCAUUUAAAAGCUCCAAUCGUCUAAAGUUCAUGACUUUGAAAAUAGUUAUUAUUUUGAAAAUUCGUCUUCCCUAAACUAGCAAUUUAAAGUAAAUAAGCAAAAGCCUAAUUAAAACUUAAACAAACUUAAAAGGACCUUAUUACAUAAACAAACCCAACACAAACUUUAAAAUUUAAAUAAAAACUAGUAAAAAAAUAGCUGGAGUAGUGUGGCCAGCUCCGAGUCCCUCACACACCAAAUCACCUAUGGCCGAGGAUUUCCUGUAAGUAAAUAAAAGAAAGGGUGAGUUUACAAAAACUCAGUGUGUAAUCCUCUAUCAGUCAUUCAGUAAACAACAUGCAGUAAUAAUCUGGGCCUGAGCCCUAUUCAGUGACAGUAUAGUAUGGGCCUUAGCCCAAUACAGUAUCAGUGUGGGCCUUAGCCCAAUACAGUAUCAGUGUGGGCCUUAGCCCAAUACAGUAAUAGUGUGGGGCUUAGCCCAAUACAAUAACAAUGCAGUGCAAUAAUACAAUCCAUCCCAAUCCAGCCAACACACCACUCCGUACCACCAACACACCAUGUGAGGAUAAAAUUGACCCACCCAGCCAACACACCAAUGUCGCAGCAAAGCUACCAGUAAUAGAAUCGUAGCAAAGCUGCCAGUAACAGUAUAUGUGGAAAAGCCAUCAGUAGGUCCACUGUCGUCUUGGGCAACCCGUGCGACCUUAUCAAUAUAGUACACUUCCUCCAAAUAUAACAAACCAACCCCAUGCAACAUGUCGUGACAUAAUAUCAUACGUGUAUGCAAAAUGUCAUGUUCAGUCAUAGUAUACAUAACAUAAGGCCAUAAUAGUCAUUUCAUCUCUUAGGGGUAUAAUAGUCAUUUUACCCUAUGGGGGUAUUUUAGUCAUUUUACCCUAUAGAGGUAUUUCGAUCAUUUUACCCUAUAGGGGUAUUCUGGUCAUUUUACCCUAUAGGGGUAUUCUGGUCAUUUUACCCUAUGGGGGUAAUUCGGUCAUUCUACCCUAUGGGGGUAUUUCGAUUAUCUUACCCUAUGAGGGUAUUUCGAUCAUUUUAUCCUAUGGGCGUAUUUCGGUCAUUUUACCCUACAGGGGUAUUUCGAUCAUUUUACCCUAUGGUAUAUUUCGGUCAUUUAACCCUAUUUUGGGGUCUCAGUGCAGAUAUCGACCUCUCAAAAGGUACGCAUUCGCCUCGUGCGACUCAAGUACCCUAAAUGGUCAUAACAAUGUAAAUAGGCCCAAGGCCAAUUACUCGGCCCAAAUGGGCCCACACGCUCGUGUGGCCCGUUCAGCCUAAAUUUCGCCACGGUUAUGAGAUCUACACAACCUAGUCUAGAAUUUGUCACAAAUCGUGGAUUUCAUCCGUGUAGGGCUCAAAAGCCCAUUGAGCCCAUGUACACUCCACACGCCCCUUACCACUAGACCAACAACUCCUUUGUAUCAUAUUUUAACCACAAUAAUUUAAGAACCUAUUAUCUAGAUCCAAGGAUUUCAUUCACUUAAAAUAAAAAUUUUGCAUAAGCCAAGACUUGAACCCCUGACUUCUCAGACAUUUCCAAACACUCCUAAAUCACUUAGCCAUUAAAGCAAAUAAGAAAUUUGAGUCACUUCCUUGCACAACUAAAUAUUUAUGUGCAGUCUCCUAACUGUUCCCUUGUUCAAAACCUAUUUCUUCUAGGCCCAAAAUUUGAGGUGUUACAAAUAUUACCAAACCAAACUUCAAUCCAUGUAUAUUAUAACUUCAAAAAUAUUCAAAUAUAAUAUUUAUGAGCUCGGUUUAUGAAAACGAUGUCUCAAUACCUCAUUUUCUAAAACCACUGACUUUUGGUACGAACCACUUGUAUAUUGACUAAUUGACCAAUUAAUAAAAUCGAGCAAAUCACAAUUCACAAUGACACCAUAUUUAACUCAUAAAUAUUAAUUAAUAAUAUUUAUGGACUUACUCGUCCGAACUGUGGUCUCGAAACCACUGUUUCCAACACCACCGAUAAUCGAGUUGUUACAACUCUCUCCCCCUACGAAAAGAUUAGGGGUACUAUGAAUCUCAUGUUUAUUUUUUGACUUUCUCAUACUCUAUUCUGUAUUGUGAUGAUACCAUAUUACUUAUUCUCUAGUCUAAAAUUUGAUAUCUUUUCUUUAUAAUUCAACACACAAUUCUGUCAAUCUAUGGUGACUUUCAAACUGUCUCGAAUAAUACGGAUUUUAUCUUCUGUCUUACGUAUCAGAUCAAUCCCUAUAAUAUUUCUUCCGCUCAAUUCUAACUAGUACAACAGAGUUUUGUAUUUACAUUCGUAUAAAACCUCGUAUGGUACCAUUUAAUACUCAACUGAUAACUAUAAUCACAUACAAACUCUACUAAUGGUAGAAAUUUUCUUUAGCUAUUUUCAAAUUCAAUCAUACAACAUUGCAAUUUGUCUUCUUGUAUUAAAAUUGAUUGAUAGUGACACAUCACAUAAUCUAGAUUGCAUCUUUCUUUUUCAGCAACAAAGUAAACCCGAUAUAAAACUCGUAGUAACUGUUCUCACUUCCAAUCCUGAGUCAUCACUAGUUGUAAUAAAUCUAAUAGAUUGUAGUGCUCGAUUUUAACUUUUUGAUAUAACGACAUUUAAGCACACAAUUUAAAAUUUUCGCUUUUCAUUUCUGGCCAUUUGUGUAAAUUUCUCGGUGCACACAAAUGAUUUCAAAAACAUAGAUUCCCAUCAUUAUCAAUAUUAAACUCUCAAGUUUGAUAAUUUUUAGCAAGUCUUCUUUUAGCUAACAACUCCAGAUUAUCUUUCUGUAGUUCUUAAAAUUUAUAAAGGAACAUUGGUUUUGUUCUUAACUCAACUAAAAUAGAACCGUCAAGUUUUAGAGUUAAUUGGGUUUCUGUCGCUUGUAACUAUUGGAAACUCUGUUAGCAUUUACUCGACCAAACAAAACUGACAUUUUUUUUUGUAACAUUUUCGUUACUGGAAGAGCUAUCAUUGAGAAGUUUGUAACAAAUCAUCUAUAAUAUCCAACAAGUUCCAAAAAAACUAUGUACUUCUCUACCAACUUUCAAAGAUUUCCAGUUCACAAUUGCCAAAAUUUUGUUCAAAUCAAAAUAGAUACUUCAGCCAAUAUCACAAGUCUUAGAAACCUUACUUCUCGAAGUUAGAAUUCACAUUUACUCAACUUUGCAUACCACUACUUCUCUCGAAAAAUUUCCAACAUUGUUCUCAAAUACUAAUCAUGUCUAGUUCACUAGGUCUAAAAAGUGAUUGUGCAUUCAUUAAUCCAAUCGAUAUUACCAGAAACUCACUUUGUUCAUACCAAGUCCAGAAAGUAAUCUUUGAUACAAUUGACUAGUAACUCUAAGCUGACAACAACCUAAGUGUAGUAUUUUCGUCAAUAUACACGUAAUUUUUUCGAGUAGAUUGGUUAAUAAAACAAAUUCAUUGAUUACAUUAAUAUACUUUGUAUAAUUGUCUUCACAUGGUUUUUUGCACGCAAAGAAAAAUGGAAGCAAAUGUUGCUCAUUGGUUAUCUAAUGUUUAACUAAUACUAAGCGGCAUUACGUGGUCGAAUCGUAGUAUGAAAAGACAACGUUAGUAGAUGAACCUAAAAAUUUCCUUAGUCUAAUCGAAAAUGAGAAAACUGAUUGAAAUACUAACAUCAUGUUUGGUUGGGGGGAAUAGGAAUGCAUUCCCCCCCAAUUUGGUGGGCCCACCACCAAACUAACAUUUGGUUGGCCGUAAUACCACUACAGCCUGAAUCCAUUCAGGCCCUAUUACAUGAAAAGGUUGUAAUAGCCAUUCCUUACCUUCAGAUCUGAUUAGCUAUUCCAUCCACCUGUUCCAAUUUUCUUUUUCCCAUUUUCCAAUUUUUGCCCUCAACUUGAUCUUCUACUUCCGUAACUUUCUUUCCAAUCAUCUCCACGUUUCCCUUUUUUUUCGUUGAUUGCAGAGGAGACCUAGAUAUUUUAGGUAAUUUAUUUUUUUCUUCUUUAUGAUUUUUCCUUCUUUAACAUUUGGGUACUUAGAAACUGAAGCAAAGGCGAAGAAAAUAGAGAAAAAGAUGACAAAACAAGUUACUAGAAAUGUUAGACAGUGUUUCUUUUAUUCAUUUUAUCAGGAACAAAAUUUUUAACUCUUUGCUUAAAACCCUUUUCUUGGGUUUUGUUUUUUUUCAGGGUUAUUUCAUUUGGGUUUCUAAAAAAAAUAAAUUUUCGAGGUAAUAUGCUUUGUACCUUUUUACUUCUACUUCUUAUUUUAACCCCUUUCUUGUAUGUGAUCUUUGUUGAGAUAGUUAUGCAUUCUAUGGUCUUGCUUUUUAUUCGUCCAUUUUUCCAAAGUAGAGAGUUCCUUGUGUAGUUGAUCUUUAUCAAGGUGAGUCUUUUCAUAUUCCAGAUAUAAGAGGAAAAAAAUCACCUAAUCUCUUUGUUGUUUACCCGGCAUGAUUACUUUGUGAAGUUAGGUGGCUAAAAUUUCUUGUUUUUGGCUAUUGAUUCUCAUCAUUAUGGUUCAAGCUACCAGUUCAUUAAUAGAAAAAGCAUAAUAUAUAUUUUUAACAUAAAUAUAGCUACUAUCUUAUGAUCGUCCAUGCCUAUAUUACUUAGACUUAAGUGUGAGUGUUGGUAUGUGUCCAACACGGAUAGGUAUGUUUAUUUUUUUUCUUUUUUAAAGUUUGGGGGGUUUCAUCUAUCCACAGACUCUUUUUUGUAAAUGAGUUAUACAUAGGUGUUGUAGAGGGAUAUUUUAAGAAAAAUGAAGAGAGGGAAUAAUGCAGGUCGAUGAUUCAUGGGUUUGAAAUGGGUAGUUUUUGAGUCCCCUUCAAAUUAGGAUAGUCUAUAUUACUAAAUGAAUUGUGGUUUUAUUGAUUUUGUUAGUUGGUGAAUUGAAAUGACAAAAUCUUUCUUAUAAAUAAUGUGUAGUUACUUUAUUACUUGCUUUUUUGAGUCUCCUGUUUAAAGAUGUUUUAAACUUGCUAAAAAUGCAACAAUUUCAUAUGUUAUUUAAUUAAUUAAAUAAAUGAUACUGAGUUCUUUAACUUUUCUUCCUUGGUUGUUUUGUUGCAUCUUUAUGCUGGUAUGAGUGACGGAAUUAAGUGAAAUUUUAGUGAAAUUUCUAGCUGUCGAGGGAGCUGCUGAAGCAUGCAGUUUGCAUGCAUGCUGUCUAAUUUCUUACCAAUUUAGGUGGUCUGAUCAAUGGUUGUUUAUUGUUGUCCAAAUAAUUAAAGAUCAUCCAAGUGAUAAGGAAAUUAAAAUGGUUUGAACAAUGUGAAACUAAAUUGUUAAAUGUUAACUAUUGAUGUCCAAAUGGAUAUGAAUUUAUGAUUUAGCAAGCUAAAAAUUUAAGCGCUCAAUGCUGCAAUUUAUGGUGUUUGAAAGUUGUGAUUUAUGAUAUUCGAAUGAUGUAUUUUAAGUUGUUCGGAUGUGUUAAAGAGUUGAUUUAAUAUAAUGCCUAAUGGUUGUUUAUUGUUGUUCAAAGCAUGAUGGAAUAAACAUGUUAGGCGUAGUUUAAUAUAUGCCUUGCUGACCCGUAAGGUUGUCCAAAAUAAGACAAAAUUUAGUUGUCUUUAAGAUGUUCGAAUGUGGCUGUUCGAAUGGUUCUUCAAAUUUUCCAAAUGUGUCUUUAAAGUGCUCGAAAAUGUCAUAUUAAUGUUGUCCAUAUAUGAUUUAAUAUUUUAUCAUUUGGCGCUUUAAUAUUUUAACACAAGUGAUGUCAAUUUCUUGUCUUGAUAACAUCUUUAUUAUUUACUGAUGCAGGUGGACAGACAAGUAUCAGGUAACGGACAUAAACAAAUAUCUCCACUUCAAUGAUGAUACAAUUACUCUUUUCUAAUAAUACGGGAAAGACAAUAUAUACAUGUUAAACUACAUUUACAAUUCGGAUUUGAUCUUUUUACUUUAAACAAGAACAUUUUGGUUAUAUUUAAUUUUUCAUAUGUUUUUUUUGAUAUGUUUCAUUUAAAACUAUUUUAAUCUUUUAAUAUAUUAUUAAACUAUUUUUAUUUUCGAUAUCUUUAAUUUAUGCUAUAUUUAAUUUUGGUCUUCAAACAAUGUUUUAUAUUACUUAUAUUGUUUAAUUAAAAAUUAUAAUUUACACUACAAAAAUUAUCUCAACAAAUGAAACAAAAAAAAGUAAGUAAAAUGCUACAAACAAAUCAUGUUAUGGUAAGAAUGUAAUGCAUAUGGAGUUUUAGAUCUUAUUUAAAUAAAAAUUAUCGAAUGUUUUAAAAUACAUAAUUUUUAAGAUAUUUAACACACUAUAUUAAUCAAAUGGGUAUUUUUUUAAAAAAUAAUUAUUUAACAUUAGUCAUUAAUUAAUCAAAUCCACAAAAAUACAUUCUUUUCUUUAUAUAUGUCAUUACAAUGUUGUAACUUUUUUAUGUUGGAAAAUUUUAUAACAUAUGGAUUAUGACAUAUAAACUAAUGAAAUCAUGUAACUUUUUGUUAAUAUAUGAAUAUUAUGUUUGGAUGUGAAAUAUAAUUCUCAAGUUAUUUAUUACUUCUAAUAUUUUUUUAUUGUAGAAUAAUUUAAUUAUUUGUUUCACUAAUGAUAUUUUAGCACAUUAAAUAUGUAUUGCAGUUUAAAAAUAAUAAAGUAGACUAUAUAUUAUUUUUAUAGUAUUAUAUAUUAUGAUUUUAGUAAAUUCAUAUAAUAAUUAUAUUAGGAAUUUUAUUAAAUUAUAUAUUAUUUUAUUAAAUUAUAUUUAAUAAUAAUUAUGUUAAAAUAUGAUUAAAUUAUUUAUUAUUUUUAUUAAUAAUCUUAUUAAAAUUUAAUAACAAUAACAAUAACAAGAAUCAUCUGCCUAAAAAAAAUUCUGCUAAGGGUAUUCUAGUCAUUUUAGUUUUUUUUCCUUAUGCUAUUAUAAUAUCAUUCCAUUCAACCAAACACAAGAAUACUAUUACAGUUCUAUUUCAUCCAUUCCAUUCAACCAAACAAUUAAAUUACUUAUUACAGCUCUAUUUCAUUAUAGGUCUAUUCAAUUAUAGCGCUAUUCAAUUACAGCUCUAUUCCAUUACAGUGAACCAAACGUACUCUGAUAUGUUGUCUAUCAAGUCCAAUUUGGGGAUAUGUCUUGUCUUGGUCAUCGGAGCGGAUGACUCCCAAAAGAUAGAGACAUAAAUGUGAAUGAUUAGACUGAAAGUAUACCGAAUAGGACCCAAGCAGAAUAGAUCCAGGUUCCAUUUAUGGAUUUAUUCACUAGUGACGUUCAUAGUGUAACAUGCCUAAGUCUUGAGUGGAUGGCAGACUAUGUAUGCAUGACUUGUACACUUUGAUGUAAGUAAAAGCCUAAGUUCAAAUAGAUAAGGAACCAAAAGUUGGUGCGUUGGGUGUACGACUUAUGUAGUAUGUAGUGUCAUUCACAACAUGGAAUUCAUACCCCAAAAUAUGGGUAAAUUAUAUCCUCUCAUUGGCAUUACAUGGUUGAUGAAAAGUAAACGUGGCCACGGAUCGUCCGUCUUUGUGAUGGAUGAUUUAAUCAUUGAUUGAUAAUGAUUAACUUUUUAUGAAGAAAAAUGUAAUACUUACCAUGAGAUAAAAUAAGAUCAUAUUGGGAGAACAAAUAUUAUCCCAAAGAGAUAAAAGAUAUCUUAUGAGGGUAAAACACUAAUGACAAGGUCAUUGGACGAGCACUAAGUAUUUGCUUUCAUAAUGGUAUGUUGCUGGAGAGAGCUUAGUCACGAUACUAUAGUGGAAUGACUUCAUAACUACAUGAGUUUAUAAUUAAUAGGUGAAAAGCCUCAACUACAUAUUUCCAAUCAGUCCCUUCACUAGUUUGUUGAAACCAAAAAUGAAUUUUGCGUUUAAAUAAAAAUGAACGGAAUGAAUAGGAAAAGAGAAAUGAGAAACAUUCAGGAAUGAUUAUAGUUUUCUCCGAAAUGGAUAAAUGAAUCAUUUUGAAAUGAAUGUAGGUUUCCAAAAAUAGAAAUGGAAACUUGCAAUCCUAUAGAGGAUUACUUAAUAAAUGAUGGAAGAAUGAGUUUAUGUUAUUAGACUGUUUUGAAGUCCGAAAAUGAAAAUAAACCAUUCAAUCAUAGUGAACAUGUUGAGUUGUGACAUAUUGAACGAAUUGUCUCACAAUUUUACCGAGAUAAAAUCGUCAAAAUUUUAACGGGGGAAAAAUCGUCAAAAUUUUACAGGAGUAAAAUUAUCUAAUAUGUAAAUAUUAAAUUUUAUUUUGGGAAAUAGAAAAAUUGAAUCAGGUUGGAUCACAUUAUAGAAUACUAGGUUAACAAUACCUAGGAAGUACUCGUAAUUAUACUUGAUGUGAGAAAGGCCCAAAAUCCCUCAUAUAACAUGAACGGAGUGACAACCCUAGUAGAAAUACAAGGGUGAGUCGUUCACCCCUCUCCUACUCUAGGUAGGAUAUUGUUUUUCUAUUUAAAAUAAACCUCUACAACUUUACAUGGCUUCUAAUUCUCUUUCUAUAAAUAGAUGACACCGGUAGAGCUAUUAACACAACUUUUCAGAGAUUGUUAUUCUACUGAAAAAUAGAGAGAAUAUAUUCUAAACUUAUAAACAUACUUUUCAGAAUAACAAUUUUACCGAAUUCUAUUAAAAAUUCUAUUAAAGAAGAGAGAUUUUUCAUUUUCACCCCAAAAUAAGAGAAAACUUUUUCUAGUUCUAUGUUUCAAUUCAAUUGGUUCGAGCCUAAACUUGAAGCAAUUUGUGUUACGAGAAUAGCGGAGAAGAUUGGUUGGUUGAAAGAAAAAAAAUCAAGGAUUCGUUUAUCCGAAAACACAUGUACAAUUUCGGUCUAAGGUUUAUUGCUAUAAAUAUCACAAACCGAGUUGGUUUUCAAAAUUUUAAUUUUCCGCUGUGCAAGAAAACCAUGUUCAAACUUUAAUUUUUUCCUACAAUUGGUAUCACGAGCCAGGUUGUGCUAUGUUUAUGGUGUAAAUGGAGACCAAAUCUUCCUCUUCAUCUUUUUUUAUUAAUAUUUGAAAAGAUAUGACAUUCUUGUAAUUAUUCACAUGUUUAGGGGAAUGUAUGUGAAUAAAUGAAAUAUUAUAUAUAUUUGUUAUAUAGUUAUUUUUUUACCAAGGUUGUGGUUCUUAGGAUAUAGACCGUGGACUAUCAUCUCCAUGUUGGAUUAUUUUUCAUUUAUAAAAUUCUUGUGAGCUGGAAACGGGCAUAGGAAAUAAAUUUAAUUUUUCUAAAAAAGAGUCUAUGAUAAGGAGAAGAUACAAGGAAUGCCUUAUGAUGAAAAAUUAUGUAUUUUUUUUUGGUUUUCAUUUAUUUUCUAGAAAAAGUACCAUCGAAACCUUGCCUGACAAUUUUAUUUUAUUACCCAUCUCUUUAUAUAUUUGUAAAUUAUGUAUUUAUGUGUUGUAUUGUUCCAUUCACUUCUUUAGGUUAUUCGAUUACUGCGAUAAGUGUGGUAAUGAUAAGGUGUAUGUAAAAGAUUGGAUCUGACAAUAAAAGGCUUAUUUUUUAAGUGGUCAAAUACAACUCACUUCCCUUUCCUAAGAACCUCCCUGGUGCACGAUUCACAUUCACUUCUUUGAUUUUUCCUUUAAAAGAAAAACUAUAGAGAAUCAAAAUUGUUUAAUUGACUCUUGUGAAUAAUUGAAUGUGAAUAUUAUAAAAUUUCCAUAGCAUGUCAUGCAUACAUGAGAUAAGCAUGCCAGAUAGUUUAAGAAAUAAUUUCUCAUGUGUGAAUAUAAUAUGUGAAUGUGCAAGUGUACACGUCGGAUCAAUUAAUCAAGUAGUAAGUAAGAUCAUCUCCUCAGGGAUCAGAUAGGAUUAAUGUUAAGCUAUUACUAUAAACUAUAUGAAUCAGGCUGUGGCUAAACUGAAUACCAAUUUGUAGAGGAAUAAUCACGUAUGCAAUAUUAAAAAAAAAUAACCAACUUAAAAUGUUGUGGCAAAGAUAUGGAGACAAAGAUACCUAUGCAGUCGUAGCCAAUCUAUUAUUCAAAUUAAAUCUAAGGUCGUCUGCUUUUUUUGAGAGUCAGACUUCAAGCUACCCUACCUAAGGCUUUGCAUGUCUACAAGCCUUAAGGACACCUAGCACUGUUUCUUCCUUUCUCUGUACAAAAUACAGCUCUAUGUCUAGAGUUCUAUGAGUAUUCUGUUGAAUACUCACUUGUAUCAUUCGAUCACAAUCCAACUCAUCUAACUUUUUCAGAAUUAAAUCAGGUUUUUGAACAUACCAUACAUUUAUCAAUGUUUAGAGACUGUAUGCAUAUAUUUUAAAAUAGCACAAAUCGAAUGAAACAAUAAAUCUAAUCAAGAUAGUGCCUUGGUUAUUAAAGGAACUAAAUAUUCAUCCAGUAAUCCCAACCCGAUGAGAUUAGCUCAUGAGUUGGAAAUUAAAAUCCAAAAUGAAAGUAUCAUUUAACGACAUAUUUCCAUAGUUAAAAUUCACAUAAAUCAAUUAAGAUAUUGAAGAAAGAAAUAAAGGAAGCUUUCGCCACUCCAAGCCUCAACUCUAGUGUUGCAAUAUCUUGUGAAGCCCAGGGUUGAAUGCUUCUCUUCUUCCUUCUGUUGUUGCUCUAUUCCUUAGCUGCUACCCUAUUUCCUUGCAUCUCUAGAUCUCUCACGAGAAAUUGUAUGAGAGGAAAAAUCUCCUCCUUCUUCUCUUUCUCUUUCUUCUUUUUAUAGAGUAGGUCCACCUCUCAGCACACAUUCUUUACUUCCUCUUUUUUAGGUGGAUAUUUUUGGUACAAGUACAGCUGACUAAGAGUAACACAGAUUGACAGUUGAGUCAGCAUCUUCCUGAAAUUCCCAUGGCAUUUGUGUUGGCAAUCUAUCCAACCAUUUGUCAUGAAAAAACUUCAUUCUUUCACUUCUUUUCCUCCUUUCUGCACUUGCUAUAAACAAAACAUAAUUCCUUUCCUCCCACAAGUAAAAGUAACAUAUAGUGACAUUGAAAGCACAAUCAAAGCUUUAUGAUGCAAUGUAUAAAAAUACUAAUACAAUUUCCUAAAAUGCAACUAAAUUUACUCAAGUACGAACAAUUAACCAAGUUUAAAAACCUAAAAUAUAAAUAUUUUCAAGAGUUAUCAGAAUGCCACAUGUACUUGUCUUGCAUAUAUUGAUCAUACAUGAUUGAAACUAGAAAUUCAAAACCUUGCAUGUUUUUAAAAUAUCAAGUUAGAGAAGGUCCCUAAAUAAGACUUAUGACCUCCAUCAAUGGUCUCUUCUGAUGGCAUGAAGAAGAAUUGCUUUAAGGUAGACGUUGUCAUGUGGAUUUCACUGAGGAAAUUUCCUGAAAGUAAGUAAAAUUUUCUUAUGAUAAUAUGAUAGUUGGACCGGCCCCUGUGGUAGGUAUUAAUCAUUCGAUACAUUAAGAAAUUUUGUCUUCAAAGAGGACAACUAGUCACAACAUGCUAUUCGGUGAGAUUGCCUCGAGAUGAAUCAUUUGUGGUGAAUGAUACAGUAGGUGUUGAGUUGAUGGUUAUAUACUCAAUAUUAUUUGGUUAAGUAACUCCCCAAGGAGCUAUGCUUAAGUUAGAAUGAUGGUCAAACGUUACAUGAUUAUUAGUACAUGCGAAUGCCUAAGGAAUUAGGUUCAUGUACUAAUUGGAUGGAAAUCCAUGUUCUUACUAGCUGUUCAAGAUCACCCCAAGGUGGCUUGAUUCAAUAGGUGUAGGAAUUAUUGUUGUGAUGGCUUACAAAUGUUUUCAAGGUUUAAUGUAAGACGCAUGCAUCAUCUUAAUGCACAAAAUGUUUUCAAAUAUUUUCUUAAUACAAAGAUAUUAAUAUAUGAAUAUUUUAUUUUUAGUUUGAAAGUGACACCAACUCCCUUAUUGAACAUACUCACUGAAAAGAAAUUGAAUGAAAAUAACUAUAAGGAAUGGAAAAGGAACUUGAUAAUUGUCCUGAGCUAUGAGAAACUCAAAACAACUCUUGAUAAUAAGUGCCCAUCAACCACUCAAGAUGAGGCUAGAUAACAUUGGAAAGAGUCUGAUGAGAGAGCUCAUUGUUGUAUGCUGGCAAGCAUGACCAAUAUUCUUUAUAAGUAACUGGAGAGCUUUAAGUAUGCUAAAGUGAUUCUAGAUAAGCUAGAAGAUAUGUUCAGAGGCCAUGUUUCCUUGGCCUGACAAUCUGCCAUAACAAGCUUGGUGAUUGCCCAGCAAAAGCCUCACACUCCGUUCAAAGACCAUAUGAUCACUCUUAUGGGCUACAUUGCUAAGGCUACGGAAAAUGAGGCCAAUUUGGACGAGAACACUCAAAUUGAGAUAGUGUUUAACACUUGUCAAAGGAUUUUACUGGUUUUUGAGUCUCAUAUAACCUUGGUAAGAAAUAACUAAAGCUUACACAACUCAUGAAUGAGUUACAAUCCUAUGAAUUGAUGUUGAAUGGUGGUCAGCAAGUCUGNNNNNNNNNNNNNNNNNNNNNNNNNNNNNNNNNNNNNNNNNNNNNNNNNNNNNNNNNNNNNNNNNNNNNNNNNNNNNNNNNNNNNNNNNNNNNNNNNNNNNNNNNNNNNNNNNNNNNNNNNNNNNNNNNNNNNNNNNNNNNNNNNNNNNNNNNNNNNNNNNNNNNNNNNNNNNNNNNNNNNNNNNNNNNNNNNNNNNNNNNNNNNNNNNNNNNNNNNNNNNNNNNNNNNNNNNNNNNNNNNNNNNNNNNNNNNNNNNNNNNNNNNNNNNNNNNNNNNNNNNNNNNNNNNNNNNNNNNNNNNNNNNNNNNNNNNNNNNNNNNNNNNNNNNNNNNNNNNNNNNNNNNNNNNNNNNNNNNNNNNNNNNNNNNNNNNNNNNNNNNNNNNNNNNNNNNNNNNNNNNNNNNNNNNNNNNNNNNNNNNNNNNNNNNNNNNNNNNNNNNNNNNNNNNNNNNNNNNNNNNNNNNNNNNNNNNNNNNNNNNNNNNNNNNNNNNNNNNNNNCAGUAGCUCACUUGUCCCUUGAUGUGCACGAAGAGUUGCUUGGGCAUUUCAAUCAGUAGCCCACCUUGCAUUCAUGCCGUUCAUGUAUGUAGCUGCACCUAGUGAAUUCAACAAUUUAAUUAGCUUAAGACACAUUAAAACACACACACAUUAAAAUCAGCAGCAAGCUUAAGACAUUUUAAACCUGCACAUUAAUUCGGCUGAACUAAGACAUAUUAAAUUGGCAGCAAGACACAUUAAAUGGAUGUAAUGAGCUGAACACUUUUAAAUUAUGUACUAACUACUAAGACAUAUUAAAAACAUGCAUUAAAAAUGUUCAGCUAAAGACACAUUAAAAUGCUGUAGCUAGACAUAUUAAAAACAUUAAUUAAGACUCAAAUUAAACUCAACAGCAGCUAAGACAAAUUAAUUAAAAACACGAAAUUAAUUUGUCUCAACUUUAGACACAUUUAAACACUUCUAUUUAAAACGUCCAGAAUUAAAAUGCAAUUUAAUUAUUUAAGCUGAAUAAACUAAUUGGCAUUUAUUUUAUUCCAGCAACUAAAUUAUAGAAAUUAAGUAAGAUCAAAAUGAGCAAACAAACUCAUUGAGCUGGAAACGAGCCGAAUUGAGCUCAACGAGCUAGAAUCUAACUAAUUCAGGUUGCAAAGGAUGCAAGCAACGCUUUGAGAGCUGGUUUAAGAGUGUGCUCGGAGCAUGGCCAUAUCUUCCCUCCCUCUUUUAAAGCGAUUUGUCCUCAAAUCGGGCCGCUUGCUGGCGAAAAUUUUUUCUUUGUCACGAAUCCCUUUGUUGAUGAAUUGGACAAAGUUGUUCCCAAGAAACCUGAAAAUCAAAAAUAAACUCGAAAAGAAAAUAGAUCAUGUUCAUGCCCUCCUUCUUUAGGGAGGAAACAACUUUGAAGUGUCUCCUACACAAAAAUGAAAUAGAUUAGUGACACCAUGUUUAUAAGUUCAAAAAGACUUCCUAAGAUCUUAUUUCACAAUUUGAAAAAAAUAAACCAAAACCUGGAUCAAAAAUAGAAAUUAGUCUUACCUUUUCUUGAUGGAAACAAACCUAAAUCAUAAGGCGUUCGGUAACUAUGGUUUUGAAAAUGAACUUCCAAGGUUCGAUUCCCUUAGACAAGAUAUCUAAUGAUGUGCACCAGGGUCAAAGACAAAGUAUUCUCUUGCCAUUUCAAUUUGAUGUAACAAUUUCAAGAUUGGCAUCAUAGAAAGGAACGAUGCAUCUUAAGUCAUUUCUCAUGCAAAACAUGUUCAAUACCUUUUAACCACAACAUGGAGCAAUUUCCAAAAUCAUAAAUCAAAUUUUGGUUUUUGCAAGCCAAUGAUAUUCACAUGCUUUGUUCUCAAACAGAAUAAAGAUAAAACUCGGAGCAAAUAGAAGGGGUCAACACAUUGAUUCAACAUACAAAUCUGAUACUCACCUUCGCUUGACGUCAACUUAGGAAUACAUGCUCCGGGUUUAAAAACAUGAUUUUGAUCGGUCGUUCCAUAACGUAACAAAAACUUCACUUUCACCAAGAUAUCACACAUGCCAAAUAAAGAGGAUGUAGGCAAGAAUGAAUUCAAAGAAUCAGACUUCUUGAUUCUCUUUUGAACUGACAUGUAGAGACAUGAAUAUAUCAUACAAGAAUUUAAAGAUGUCUCAGGAACAACACAAUCAAAUAGAUUAAUUGUCUUACACGAAAACCUUUUACCAAAUGCAUUAAACAAAGAAAAUGUGAACAUAUUAACAUUCGAACAACCAUAUAUCUCAAAUUUCACUUGAUCAAACUUACACAAACAUGUAGAAUUUACACAACAAAGCAGAAACGUCUCACCACCAUCACAAACAAUCGAACUAUGAAUUUUACAUGGCAACGUUUUAACACUCAAGUUUGAAAGUUGUUUGUACUGAUUUAUACUUACUUCACCAAUACACUUGUCAGUGCGAUAAUUUUCAUUAGAGAAACUCAUCUUGCCAUCUUUUAAAAGAGGCGCAUCAACAUUAAACGAAGAAUGGCAGGUAACCAUAUGAGCUAUAUUAUCACAAACAUUGAGGUGGGAUAGUGGAGGCUUAAACGUCAUAGAAUCCUCAACUUGCUUACCUUUAAGUGCUGGUGGACUAGGGUAGUCUAUGAUCUUACCUUUCUCGAUGAACUUGAACUACUUCUCAUUAGGAAAAUAUUGUAGUUUAAACUUGUCAAUUGAUUCCUGGAAACCUGGAAAGAAGAAAAUUUACGUGGCAAACUUGCAAAUGGGUUAGUUAGGACAUUCCUCACUUUGCUCGAUUACUUUCUCCUUUUUCACUCGUCUCUUUUCAACCCUCUCUCUUUUUCCAUGACACUCGUUUCUUUUACACUCUCAUUUCUUUAUACAAUCUCACUCUCUUUUUCAAUUUAUUGUUCUUUUUCUUUCAUUUCUUUUUUCAUCUCUCGAUUUCAUUCCAUAUACGCUCAUUUUCUCUCAUCAACAUUUCUGUCUUUCUUUUCUUCUUAUUUUUCUUUUUGCCUCGCUUUUUCAUUAUAAUAUAAAGAUGUUACAAAUGAGUCAGAUCGACAAACUUUUUGUUCAAAGGAUGGGAAAGCAUCUACAAAGUGGUCAUGAUCAACUCUUUGUGAAUAACCCUCUGAGGGCAAAUAUCUUGAUGCAUAAGAAACUCGUUCAUCUCUUUGUGUUUGAUCCUUUGAGGAUGAGUACUUUGAUGUAUACAAAUACCGACUUGUGAUUUCUUGUUUGUCACCUUGAGAAACUUCAUAGUCGAAACUUGCUUUGCAUCAUCUUGGAUUCCUCGUUGAAUAGGAAUCAUGAUAUAAAUCUCUUCUCGAAUAAUCAUUGGAUGUGUGCUUUCGUGAUGAUCUUGUCUUCGUCUCUUGACCUAGUGAAUUUGGCUUCUGUCGGGCUCUUUCCUCCACUCAAUCCAAUCGAUCAUGCAAUUUCUCAAAUUUUGAUUUCACCAUUCUACGCAUCUCUUGCAUCAAAUAUUGAAAAUCUGAUUCUAAAAGCUCUUCUUGAAACAUGAUUUUAUUAUUGAAAAAGAAAAGUGAUUAAAACAAAACAAAAUUUAAAUACCUCAACUCAAAACCUCACAUUUCACUCACAAAGAAGAUUGGAUGGCACUCCACUCGUGUUUCACUCUUAUUUUGGCUUUUUUUCUUGAUGUAUUUUCACUCCUGCCUUUUACCACUCGAUUCGCCUCUCGAACUUCGUAAUUGACUCGUUCAGACUUCAAGCAAGCCUAGAGGGUCGGCGUCAAAGGGGUUCACAAAGGUAGUCAAUGUAAGGAGUGCAAGGUAGGCUAAAAAGAAAAAAAAUUUAAAAAACAGGAUGGUGCUAAGUGUGGCGAUUGGUUUGUGUUCGGUACAAAAGCACUUUAAGAUCGGGAAAACUAUGAAGUCUUCAAAACAGAUUCUUUCUUCUUCUUGUUUUUUUGCAACAUUUCAACUCUUUUUCUUUUUCUUUUUAAUUUGAUUUUGUUUCUCCUUUUUUUUUCAAUCACAAAAUGCCAAAUACAAAUAGAGAACUUCAAUCCACGAAUUUUUUUUGGAUUUUUUUCGAAUUUCUUUUGUUUUUUCAAAAUUUUUUUAAACACUUACUCCCACAACUUCACGAACGUUUGUACUCCUUGAUUUUGACUAGCUCCGAUACCAAAUGAUGCGAAUCAGCUCGGUGAUGUGAGUCGAUUCGUUAAUGUGCCCAAUCGUUAAAAUGAGAAGUAUCGCUCGAUUUAAAAUAAAGGGGUUAAAUUUAGCUAAGUGUGGUAUUUAUCUUCCAAAAUAGGUUCAAGAUGGCUAAGUAUGAUAUGUAAUGGAUUCAGUUAAGUGAAGAGGCUAAAGGUUAUUUGAAGAUGGAUUUGCGGUUGGCUCAAUGGCUUUAAGGUCAAGAAGGAACCAGUACUAAAAUGGAGUACUAACCCAAAUCUUAUAAGACACUUAAAGGUGAUGAAAAUGACCUUGACUCGCUAACUAUAAGAGUUAGGAACCAGAGGUAUCAAAUGGUUGAACGCCACACUCGGGAUUGAGUGAUAAGUUAGAAGAAACAAGGAAGACGCCACUAGUAAGCUAGAUAAGUCUACUUGAGUCUAAAACGAAAUAAGAGAGUCGAAAAACUUACAAAAUAUAUAAACAUUAAUCAAAGGUUCAAAAGUCUGAAAUACAAUGAAAUAGCUAAGUAUUUAUAGUUAAAGAAUUAGGCAAGCUGAAUAGGCAAUUUGGGUAGCCAAAUGGACAACAUGCAGCAACUUAAUGAGCUGAAACUUCUUGGCACCUUCCUAGAACGUCCCUUGAAAGUUCCUUGAGCAUGGAGAAUGUCAAUGGGCAGCUUCUAGAGUGUCUUUAUUCAGUUGAAAUUGUUGUCAAUUAAUAAGGAGCUAAAAUGAGCUGAAUGGCCUUAAUUAGGUUCGGUCAAAGUGAUUGAAUGAGCUGCAUUGAAGAACUGAUUAGUCUUGGACUUUAAAUAGCAGCUUAGGGCACUUCAAUAGCCAUGGAGUGUGAACCAACGAAAUUGAGAAGCCUUUGUGUGUGAAAGCAAGUGACCAAAUGGUCAUGAGUGUGAAUGGAACCUCCAGCAAGUGUGAACACGUUUGGGACUGUUGGAGUACACGAUGAGGCAACUUGGGGAAGAGAAACCAGCAAUCACUUGUCCCUUGAUGUGCACGAAGAGUUGCUUGGGCAUUUCAAUCAGCAGCCCACCUUGCAUUCAUGCCAUUCAUGUAUGUAGGUACACCUAGUAAAUUCAACAAUUUAAUUAGCUUAAGACACAUUAAAACACACACAUUAAAAUCAGCAGCAAGCUUAAGACAUUUUAAACCUGCACAGUAAUUCAGCUGAACUAAGACAUAUUAAAUUGGCAGCAAGACACAUUAAAUGGAUGUAAUGAGCUGAACACUUUUAAAUUAUGUACUAACUAAGACAUAUUAAAAACAUGCAUUAAAAAUGUUCAGCUAAAGACACAUUAAAAUGCUGUAGCUAGACAUAUUCAAAAAAAAUAUUAAUUAAGACUCAAAUUAAACUCAACAACAGCUAAGACAAAUUAAUUAAAAACACGAAAUUAAUUUGUCUCAACUUUAGACACAUUUAAACACCACUAAUUAAAACGUCUAGAAUUAAAAUGCAAUUUAAUUAUUUAAGCUGAAUAAACUAAUUGGCAUUUAUUUUAUUCCAGCAACUAAAUUAUAGAAAUUAAAGUAAGCUCAAAAUGAGCAAACAAACUCAUUGAGCUGGAAACGAGCCAAGUUAAGCUCAACGAGCUAGAAUCGAACUAAUUCAGCUUGCAAAGGAUUGCAAGCAACGCUUUGAGAGCUGGUCCAAGAGUAUGCUCGGGGCAUGGCCGUAUCAUAGUUGCAUCAUGUCUUGAUACAAUCUGACGACAUCAGAUUUAGCCUAAACGCAAAGGGCCAAGUGCAAAAUAAAGCUUUUAAUUUUAGUUUGUUAAUUUGGUUUUUGGAAAAUAUAGACUUUGAUUUAUUUUAUUUAUUUUCGUUACUAUAAAAUGAGUCGAUAAUUAGGUCUUGUUUACUAAAUGCAUCUUUAAUUAAUGUCUUGAAUUAUUGAUCUACAUCUUUUAAUUAUGACAUGCAUUAUGUGUUCUGCAUUUAAUAAAGUCAUGCAUUAUGUAACUCUCAUGUUAGUUAAGUUUGCAUCAUAAAUUAUGACAUGCAUUAUGUAACUCCCAUGUUAGUUUAAAUCUGCAUCAUUAAAUUUAGUCAUGCAUUAAGUAACUCAUUUAUUCAUUUAGUUUGCAUCUUAAUAAAAUCAUGCAUUUAAGCAUCAUAGUUGUUUGAGUUAGUUUAUAAGUGUGUUAUUUAAUUUGGCUAUUUUUUUAAUGCAUGAAUUAUAGUUUGUUUAAUUUUUUUGUGUGUUUGCUGUAGGAAAUUUCAAAAGGCUGGUCACAUAUUUUAAAGCUACAAUAGGGCUAUUAAUUUGCCAAGAAGAAUCAAAUGCUGUCACAUUGAAUUGGCUGUCCAGUUUUGGCAUAAAAGAGUGUGCAUUUGGUCACUUAAUUGAUGGUUCAUGUUUGGAACGUUUUUGGGGGGAUAUUGAAGCACUCAAAACUCAUUAUGGUGACUUUUCAAAUGGUCCAAGAGUGACUCUUCAAGUCUGAUCAGUUUCAUGCACUCAAAGCUAGUUACGGUGCCAAUUAAAGAGAUGAAUACACAAGUAUUAAGGCAUUUGGUUAAAGGGGAAAAUGAAAGGACAUCAAGCAGCACAUUUAAUGGACCACUAAACCUUCAUCAAGUGAAGAGGCAUGACUUUUCAGCUAUGCAAGAAUCAAGUGAAAGGACAUGGCUCUUUGGCUGCCCAUUAAGAGUUAUAACUGAAUUUUAAUAGCUGAUAUGAAUGUUGAAUUUGAAUAGUCAUAAUAAUGUCUAAAAAUAGUUUGUAAGAAAACAUUGUUUGGUUAGACAAUAAACUUCAACAUUUUAUGAAUUUUAAUUCAUUUGUGAGUUUAUUCAACUCCCUAAAUUCGUUUAAGACUCAAGCUGACUUAUCUAGAAUAGCUAGUGGCAUCUUUCUUGUUUCAUUGAACUUAUCACUCAAACAUGAGUGUGGCGUUCCCCCAUUUUGAUACCUUUGGUUCCUAACUCUCUAUAGUUAGCGGGUCCAGGUCCUUUGUUUCUUUUCCAGCUUCUUAAGUGAUUUAUAAGUUUUGGGUCAAUACUCUUAAUAGUAUUGGUUCACUCUUGUCUUUAAGCUCAACUAUCCAUUCUAUCCAACAUUCUGAUUUGUUUACUUCAAACCUUAGCUGAAUUUUCACCAUCAUUCACUUAGUCAUUUCCAUCAUCAUUUCAUUUAGCCAAAUUCCUUCAAACUCUGACUUGAAUGAAGCUUCUUCAUUUUAUGAUCGGGCACACACAUACGACUUGAAUCAUUCCAAAACAAGUUCGUAUCAAAAUUAAGACACAUUAACUUUAAUUAAAAUGUCUAGAUUAUGACACAUUAAAUGCAACUUUAAUUAUUUGAGCUGAAUAAACUAAUUGCAUGUAUUUUAUUCUAGCAACUAGAAUUGGAAAAACUAAAAUAAAUUUAAAACGAGCAAACGAGCUCAUUCAGCUGGAAACGAGCUGAUUUGAUGACGUGAACCGACUCAAUGAUGUAGAGUCAAGUCACUUUAAUUGCCCGAUCGUCGAUGAGAAGUUUGUUCGAAACUGGUCAAAAAUGAAAUUUGGUUAAUUAGUAACAGAAGUCUUUUUAAGGUAUUCAAAGAUAGGCUAAUUUAGAUCUUUGUUAGGUUCAAUUCCAAAAAGAAAUAAGGAUAAUAUUUAAUAGAUAGGGUGGAAUGGAAUUAUGAACUUAAGUUUCAAGAAUGAUUCAAUACUAUAGAGAGUAUUACACCGGGACUUAUAUCACUUAAGGUGGGAAUUAUGGAAGGUAGAAGAUGGACCUUGACCCGUUACUUAUAAAGAAGUACCAAAGGUAUAAAAAGAUGGAUGAACGCCACACCAGUUUGGUGAUAAGUUCAAUGAGUUCGGGUUGACGCCACUAGCAAGCUAGAUAAGUCGCUUCGAGACUCAAACGAAAUAAGAGAGGAAGAAAACCUCACAAGAACAAAAGUUCAAUUAAUAAUUUGGCAAAAGUCCUUUAAAAUUUAAAUGAGCAAACUAUUUAUAAACCUAAAAUGCCUAUUCAUACUCGGCAUCUAUAUUAUUCACACUAACUUAAAUUCUGUUCACAUUCGUUUUUAACAUGUUCACACAAAGGCAUUAAAAUUUGUUUCAUGCUUGAAAAUGGUACAUGAAUUGGCCAAACCAUCAUGUUACUUCACUUGAUGUAUUCAUGCAUACUUAACCUUGAAGAAUAGCCAUAAUUCCAUGAAUGUGCAGCCCUUUAAUGCUCAUACAUCUCCCUUGGCCGAAUAAGGCUUUAAUGUGCCUGAAAUACUUGAUUGGUCAUCUUGAAAAUGCAUGAAUCAUGCAUGAAACCUUCCAAUGUAUUUUCCUCCAUAAAUACGAUCCAUGAAUCUUCAAAUACAUGAACAUUCAGUAGCUCCCUCUUGCAUGAACAUCCCAAAUACAUGUGCUCCUUUAAAUGCCAUCCAUUGAACCUCAAUUGUGCAUGCACCCUUCCAAACUUUGCACUAAGCCAUACAUGAAUCAACUUUAAUUGUUCCUUCUCACAUUCGGAUGAACCUACAAAACAUUUAAACAAUUAAAUAGUUAUAGAUUUGGCUGAACAUGGACUAAACAGCAUGUAGACAAAUUAAAUAAUAUGCUAAGACAAAGUAAAAACACUGGCUAAUAUUGAAGUUCAUCUAGCUUACAAGCAAGUGAAUUAAUUUAACGAACUAAAAUGAGCUGGUGAAUUCGACAAUGAGCUGUGUUAAUUAAACUAAAAGAAAACGAAAAUUUAAGUUAUCAAAUGAUAAAAUGAAAGAGCUGAAAUAAAGCUAAGUUGAGAUCAAACGAGUUUAAUUAAGCUCAAGUGAACUAAUUCGAGCUAGAUAGAGCUCAGGGAGCUGGAGAUAAGCUAAAAUCAGCUUUCACCAAGGUGCAAGGAACCUUUGUUGAGCUGGACCGAAACUCUUCUUGAACAUAGAUGAUAGGGGGUUGCGCGCGGACCAAGAUCAAGUUGUAAAGUCACGGGAAAGUCCUACGAGAUCUAUAAACAAAUUGGCUGCAACGAAAACAAAAAAUAGAGAACUAAACUUGUUAGAUCAAGAAACCCAAAUCGAAUAGAAUAAGAAAUACAUGGGUGACAAGAAAUCUAGAAAUUAUGAAUGAAGAAUGUUUCUUGAUGCCUAAGAACAAAGCCGAAUCAGAUCUUGAAGUUUGGAAUGGCUGAAACGCAACAAGAACAAUUAAUCCCAAUUUAAUCAAUAAAUCAGCACAAGCAGAAAUUAAUAAAGAAGAACGAAUAGCAAGAAAAUAAAGAAAGCCCUAAGAAGCCUUGAAAUCUCGAAAGAUUUCACAACUCCCUUCAAACGGCUCUAAUCUCCCGUCCAAUGUAGGCACACGGCAAGAAGAAGGCUGAAGAUGGCUCCCACAAUAAAAAAGAUUGUUAAAACUGCUUCUAAAGAAACUUCCUAUAAAUUUCUUUAAGAAACUUCCUUAAGCCUCUUUGAUAGCUCCUUAAGCCUUAAGUUUCUUUAAGAAACUUCCUAGAAAUUUCCUAAGAACAUUCUUAAUUAAAAUCUGAAAAAAUUAUAAUUCUAGAAUGGAUGAUUCAGUUGGCCUCUUAAUGAUAAAAAUCCACAUUCAGCUAAGGUGUUUUAAUGAGCUUAAUUGAUGCUUUGGGGAAGAGAAAUGGUCAGCUUGACAACAUAUGCUCAUUUGGCCGAAUAUGAGUAGCCUCCAAGCUUGCUAGCUGCUGGAAUUAAUGAGGCAACUAUUGGCCAUUGCUCUCCACGAAAUUGGCUCUUGGAAAAGCUCAAAAACAGUAGCUGGAAAUCUAUUAAGCUGUACAAACAGUCAGCUGAAAGCACAAGGCAGCUGCACCUUAAAUGUCGUCCAUGCAUGUGCCAAAUAUAUGCUCCUCCUUUAAUGACUUCCUUUGCCUUUAAGCCAGCUGAUUCAUCUGAAAAAAAUACCAAAUAAAUUCGGUUAAGACAUAUUUAAUACUCAUGAAAUCAGCAACUGAAACAUAUUAAAAAUCUGCACAUUAAUUCGACUAAGACAAAUUAAUUAGCAGCCACUAAUAAAUUUGUCUUGACAAGGACAUAUUAAAAACAUGUACUAAUAUAAGACACAUUUAAUAAUCUAAAUUAAAAUGUCCAGAUUUAAACACAUUUAUUUAAUUAAAUGAUUUGAGCUGAUUUAAACUAACACAACUAAUUUUAUUUUAUUCAAAAUAAAUGCAAUUAGCUCAUUGAACUAGUUAAGUGCCGAAUUGAGCUGACACGAGCUAAAUCUGCUUGUAAAAACGUGUAAAUCAAGCUAGUUGAGCUGGGCAUUUUAUGUUCGGCCAACCCAUCACUCCACACUCGAGCAAUGUAGCUUGCUACGGCAUCUUGGAACCUCUUGGCGAGUGCUCGAGUGAUUGGCCCCGAAGGCAGCUCCGUGGAUUCGGCAUCUAGUUUCUUGGGCGAACUCAUAUCACUUAGUUCCAAUGAUGCCUAGACAAGUUUACGAAGACCAGUUGAAACUAAGAGACUUUAUUGAAAAAUUUCGAGAGAAUGGACAAAAAGAAAAUAAUGAAAAAGAGUGUGAAAAGAAAAUGAAGAAGAAAAAAGAAAAACAAUUGAAAAAUGUGAGAGAAAAAAAUAAAAUGUGUGAAAAUAAAACGAGUGAAGAAAAAGAGCACAAAAAGAUGAGUGUUUAUGCAAAAAGAGAGUGUUUUUUGAAAAUCCUACUUGAUGAAGCAAUCAGUUCUUAUACUUAUGUACAAGGAAAAUCUUUUCAAUACUAACGAUUUGGAUCAAAAUCUGCCCUCUUCGAUUGUUUCUCUUUUGCAAGACUUUGAAGACGUAUUUCCGAAAGACAUCCCUAGUGGAUUGUCACCCAUUCGAGGGAUAGAACACCAAAUUGAUUUCAUUCUCAGAGCGUCUAUUCCAAACUGCCCAGCAUAUCGUAGCAAUCUCGAAGAGACCAAAGAGUUUCAAAAGCAAGUUAACGAACUUAUGGAGAAGGGGUAUAUACGAGAAAGCCUCAACCCUUGGGCCAUACUGGUAUUAUUGGUGCCAAAGAAAGACAGAACAUGGCACAUGUGUGUGGAUUAUCUCGUAGUGAACAAGAUAACUAUCAAAUACCGGCAUCCAAUACCACGACUAGAUGACAUCCUAGAUGAAUUGAAUGGUGCAAAACUAUUUUCCAGAAUCGAUCUAAGAGCAGGUAUCACCAAAUCUGAAUGUGUGAAUGGGAUGAGUGGAAAACUACGUUUAAGACAAAGCAUGGUCUAUACGAGUGGUUGGUCAUGCCAUUGGGCCUAACCAACACGCCUAGCACCUUCAUAUGACUUAUGAAUCAUAUUUUACGUUCUUUUAUCAAAAAAUUUUAUGUUGUCUAUUUUGAUGAUAUACUUAUUUAUAGCAAGUCUUUAGAUGAUCAUGUGCUGCAUUUGAAAGCUGUGUUGGAUGUUCUUCGAAAAGAAACUUUGUAUGCUAACCUUAAGAAAUGUACCUUUUACACUAACAAGGUUAUUUUCUUAGGUUUCGUGGUCAGCUCGGAGGGACUGGAAGUAGACCAAGACAAGGUGAAAACAAUCCGAGAGUGGCCUAGACCAACGAGCAUCAGCCAAGUGAGGAGCUUCCACGGAUUGGCAAGCUUUUACCGGUGAUUCAUCCCAAAUUUUAGCACCUUGGCAGCACAUCUAACUAGCGUGAUCAAAAAGUCUUCUCCCUUUUAUUGGGAUGAAGAACAAGAAAAAUCAUUUAAUGCUAUUCAAUAUUGUUUAACUAAUGCCUCAUUGCUUGUGUUGCCUGACUUUCCUAAAAUGUUUGAAAUUGAAUGCGAUGCCUUCGGUGUCAGAAUUGGAGCUGUUCUAAUGCAAGAUGGAAGGCCCGUGUCGUAUUUUAGUGAGAAGUUUAAUGGAGCCGUUCUCAACUAUCCAACGUAUGACAAGGAGAUGUACGCUCUAAUACAAGCUCUAAAGACUUGGCAGUACUACCUGUGGCCAAAGGAUUUUGUAAUCCAUUCGGAUCAUGAGGCAUUGAAGCAUAUAAAAGGCCAAACAAAAUUGAAUAAACGACACACCAAAUGGGUAGAGUUCUUAGAAUCUUUUCCUUAUAUUAUUUAGUACAAGAAAGGUAAGGAAAAUAUUGUGGCUGAUGCAUUAUCUCGGUGAUAUACCUUGUUGUCAUAUUUGGAUUUAAAGUUGCUUGGGUUUGUUUUCUUGAAGGAAUUGUAUGUCGGUGAUGCUGAUUUUAGGGAAAUCUAUAGAUCUUGGGAAAUAUUGCUGUUGAUGCAAACCGUUCGCAUCAUGUGAUGAUACAAAUCAACGUCAUCGAGAGUGGCCUAAGCUCGAGGGGCCCAAGUGCAAAAUGAAGCUUAAUUACAAGCUCAUUCAGUUCACUAAGGGUGCAUCACAAUUUAUGCAAAGCUAACCAAUUCGAAUUAGCUCAUUGAGCUUAAGUCAGCUUAACUUGGUUCAACUGAGCUCAUUUCUAUCUUUCUUCCAUGCUUGCAUUUUUUUAAUUUGCUGGAAUAAAUAAGUAUGUUAGUUAAAUUAGUUAAGUUUAGCUCAAAAUAAAUUAACUUGCAUUUUAAAGUCUCAAAUUCUGGACAUGUUAAUUAAGUUUAAAUGUGUCUUAGUUUGUACAUAGUUAUUAGCUAAUUUUAAUGUGUUAAGCUUAGGACAAAUUUAUUAGCUACUGCUAUUUAAUUUGUCCAGCUGAAUUUAGUCAUUAAUUUGUCUUUGCUGCUAUUUAAUUUGUCCAACCGAAUCUAGUCAUUAAACUUAUCUUUGUUGCAGCUGAUUUUUAUGUUGUUUUAAGUCUAAUUAAUGUGUCCUAAAAGGGAAUUAAUUUGCUGAAUCUAUUUGGUGCAGGUACAUGCUUGGAACGGGAUUAAAGAGAGGAGAAUGAACCUGGUUAAGUGCAUGAAGCAGAAUUUAAGACUAGCAGCUGAUUUGAGUUUCUCCAAGUGGCUGUUCAUAAAGUUCAAUGGCCAAGAUGCUGUUCACAUCAACACCCAUCAGCUAACAACGUUUUCAUACCUUGGUGGCUGUCCAAAUCUAUCCUUUCACACCAUAAGACCGUUCGAAUUCAAGAGUUCACACCAAGUGUCCAACCGAGUUCCUAUGUUCACAAUUGGGCUGUUCGUGAGUCGCAACAGCAUUAACAUUGGCUGCUGCCCAUUCAGUUAUCCAAGGGAAGGAAUUUGACUAUUGGAGCUUGCUUAGCCUUUAAGCCUGCACAAAUUCGGUGCAUACACUAAUGAAUAGCCACCACCAUUAUUUCAAAUGCACAGAUGGGUGAUAGAGUGUUGCGCGCGGACCAAGAUCGAGUUGUCAAGUCACAGGAAACUCCUACAAGAACGAUAGACACUCAGAUCUGAAACAAAACAAAUAAUUAAACUUAGAACUAGCAGAUCUGAAACAAAAACAGAAAAUCAAUCUUAGCAGUAAUAGAUCUAUAAAGAAACGCCAUAAAACAAGAAGGAAUCAGACAAUAAUCAACACACUUAUUAAUAGGGUUGUUUGGACACAAUGAAAAUGAAAUUUAACUUCAAUAAAAGAAUCCCCAAGGCAAAUCGGACAAGGUGAUACGAGUCACAAAGGCCUUAGAUGCGUAUACACAGGAAAAAGAAAAUCAAGAUUCACUUUCUUGUUUUCAAGAAAAUCAAGAAACCGAAUCUUGGUCCAAUUUUGCUGUUUUGAGCGAUUUCAAGAAUUAAGAAAAUCAAGAUUUCAGAUCUUGGAAAUCUUUGUCCAAGAAACCGAAUCUUGCAAGUAAGGCGCAUUGGAUCUCAGUUACGAGCAUUAACAAGCCAAUUUCGGGAGAGAACGGAUUACAAGCCCAAGUUCUUGAAGAUAAGGCCCAAUAAGAUGUUACAAGCCCAAACAAGAAAUUUAAAUUAAACUUAGUUGAAAAUCAGGCCAAAUUGUCAAAGUGGUCCAAUUCGUUAAGUUUUAAUUCUUUAAAUACUUAGUCUUCAUUUUUAGACUUUAUAAAUAAAUUUCUAUGUAAAAAUUCAGUCCAAGAGGCCCAUUUAAAGUCCUUGGCCGAAUUUCCCCUUUAAAGUAAAAAAAAAUUAGGUUUUUUUUUUAGUUUUCCUAUUAGGACUAGGAAAAUAGUUAGAAGGCCUAUAUGUAUGGCUUGGCCAGCCACCCUUAUACGCAUUACACUUGAAGAAUACAUUGAAAUCAGGUUUGUUUUGUUGAGUGAAAAUUCGCUUUGAAUUCUCCAAGAAUUUUCUCUUGAGUUUUCUUUAGAAGGAGUUUUAACAAUCUUUUUGAUUGUGGGAGCCAUCUUCAACCAUCUUCUUGCCAUUGUUCUUCAUUGGAGGGGAGAUUAGAACCGUUUGAAGGGAGUUGUGAAAUCUUUCUCGAUUUCAAGGCUUUUUAGGACUUUAUCUUUAUUUUUCUUGAUGUUCAGUCUUUUUAAUUUUCUGCUUGUGUCGAUUUCAUUAUCUAACUUGUUUAAACUCUCUUGUUGCGUCUCCAGCCCCGUUCAACCUUCAAGAAUCUAUUCGACACCAACCUUGGACAACAAGAAACAUUCUGAUUUCACAAAACCCCUCUUUAUUACUGUCCAAACCCUAGAUCUAAUUGAUUUCGUGAUCUGCUGAGUUUUUUUGAAAUUAACUUACUAUUUUGUGUUCUUCUUUGUAGAUUCGGCUGGUUGGAACCUAUCUUGAAUUCAAUUUCGUGUUCUUGGCUUCCAAGAUUAGCUAUUCCUAAGUUUUUUUAAUUCUUGGCUGAUAUUUUAUUGAUUUGGGUGUUUUCGUUUCAGAUCUAAUUGAUUGUAAGCUGAAUUUUCUGUUUUGUUUCAGAUCCAAGCGUUUAGAGUUUUCGUAGGAGUUUCCUGUGACUUGACAACUCGAUCUUGGUUCGCGCACAAUCCUAUAUCAUUUUGUAUCAGAGUUUGGGCGUUUUGGGUGCUCUUGGGUGAUUUCUAAAUUGAUCUCCUUUUAAAAACAUUAAAUAGCAGUUUUUACCCAGAAAAAGUUUUGGAAAAAAAUUCAUUUGAGUGGGUAAACAUUUUCCGAUUAGUCUGAAAUUUUACAUGCAUAUUUGUGGCACUAUGAUAGAGUAUUAAAAAAUAUUUUCCAUGAAAAAAUCACUAGAAAAAGUCAAAAAAUUGAAAAAUACGGAAUCAAGUAAAAAUUAAAAAAUAUUCAGCGGGUUGAGUUUAGUGCCGAAACUUUCCAGAUCCAAAGUAAAAUAUUUAAGGACAUUCCAGUUUAAAUUUUGUGAUUUUUUGAGAUCAAGAACACCUCGAACGAAGUUGUCAAGUUAAUCUGUAGUUUUUCGAGUUUUCGGGUGUCAACAAAUUUUAUUGAUUCUUAGCUGUAGGUUUUCAUUUGUUUUGCUUUUAUUCUUCCUUUACACUAUCUAACACCUUAUUUUUUCUUGUGUUAGUAGGAUUUAAAAGUGUGCACAAUUCUUCCUCGGUGCAACACAAAUCAAUUGGUGUCUCGUCAGUUUUUGGACUCAUAGUGCAAUUAGGAUUCUUUGGUAGUUACGGUUCAUACACUUUCUAAUUGAUUGAUAUAGACUCUACUAAAGAACUCACAAGACUGAAUUCUACCUCUUUGAGAAUUUGAUUUUCCAUUUUGAGUGAUUAAUGGUGAGGUUUGCUAAUUUUCCUUUUUGAGUGUUUAGUGUUUGUUUUGCAGGUUUUUGAAAAAGAGAAAAAAUGUCUAGAGUUGGUCAAGUUGAUGAUGACCAUAAUGAUGUCCAUGAUAAAUUUAAAAUGAUCCAACAACAGUUAGAUGAACGGGCUGCCAUACUUCAAACAUUGAGUGCUACUAUCAAUGAGAUGCGAGUGGAGAAAAGAGCCCAACGAGGAUAACUUAAUUCAAGUGAAAGGGCAAAAAUGAGAGUGCCAAGAAGACGAACAUCCAACAAAUAUUCGAGAAGAGAUUCAUAUCAUGACUCCUAUUCAACGAGGAAUUCAAGACGAUGCAAAGAAAGUUUCGAGAGUGAAGUUUUCCAAGGGGAUCAUUGUUCGUAUGCAAGUCAUUCCGUACAUACCCAACGAGAGUCUUUCCAUUCUGAUUCAUUUGUAACAUCUCUAUCUUGUAAUGAAAGGAAGACACAAAAAGAAAUAAAAAUAAAAUAGAGGCAAGAGAUGUUGAUGCGAGAAAAUGAGCGAAUAUGGAAUGAGAUUGAGAGACGAAAAAAAGGAAAAAAAAAGAAAAAGACGAGGAAAGGGUAGUGAGGAAUGUUUUCACUAACCAAGAUACGAAUUUUUCUUGUGUUGCUACUUCUCAGGUUCCCGAAAUACCGAAAGAUAACUUUAAACUUCAAUACCUCUCAAAUGAAAGAUGCUUUCAUACGAUCAACAUAGGCGAAGAUGAAAUCACACUACAUGAGCCCGAAGGUAAGCAAGGUAAGGAAAUUUUAGCAGCCGAGUCCCGUGCAGAUUUGAAAAUUAUUGAUAAAACUUUUGGUGACUUAGUUCUUAAAAGAUCCCCUCAUUUUGAUCCAAUUAAUUGUUAUUCUUUGAUUGUGGUUGAUAAAGUCAUUACGAAAGGAAGAGUGAGUUGUUAUUCUCUUGAUUUUCCAAGUGUAAAAUCCGCGAAUUUGUGCAAAUCUGUUUUGGUGAAUAAAAAAAGUUUUGAAUAUAUGUUGGUAUGUAUGCGAAAAUCUUCAUGGUUUAACUUGAUUGGUUUAAUGAAAUCUUUGUUACACUUCGGCAUGACUAAUCAAAAUCAAGUUUUUAAACCCGGAAUCUAUUUUGGUUUAUUUUGUUGGAAAAUCAAGCAUCAUCUAUUAUGUGCAAAUACUUUCUAUUGUUUUGAUACUUGGUUUUUGAAUAAGGUAACGAAAUUUGCCAAAUUUGUUUUCAAUUUAUAUUCGUGCCUUAAACAAUUUAUGUGGUUGUACAUGAAGUUUGAGUUCCAUUUGACAAAGGUUAACUCAACAAUGGAGCUUCGACUACACUAUGGCCCCAGUGAGCGAAGGUUUGUAUUAAAUGGAAAAGGUAAGAUUGACCCUUAUUCUUCUACUUAUAAAGGUAAGAUGCUUGAAACUUCUGAAACACUUUUGUACUCCUCGGAUAGUGACAAAGAUCGUGUUGAUGAUUUAAUUUUUGUAAAACACUUAGGUCGAAACAUGUUUGGCUGUCCUAUUUUAUUUAUUGAUGAUCUAUCUGUUUUAAUGGUUGAUAAAAAGAUUCUUGUUUUUGAUAAUGCAUGUGUGAGUGAAUCUAUAGACCGUCGAUUAAUGCAUGGUAUGAUUGUGCAACUCUGUGAAUCGUGUGAACCUUUUCAAAUACCUACUUAUGAUGAUUACAUUUACCAUUUAAUUUAUUACUCGCGAUUUAUUCAUGGUUUGUGGAAACAAUUUGAGAUGAUUGAAUGCCUUAAAGCAUAUCCAUCUUUGUUUCAAAUAUUUGACGAGGCAUUGGCGAGUAAAUUAGCUUGUUUGCAUGGUAAUCUGAAUCUGUCCAUUCGCAUGCGUUAUACUUGUUUUGUUAUGCUUAUGAUUGGAUUACAAGUUCUACUUUCAAUGUGGCUGACUUAUCUCCAUUUGAUUUUUCAGAUUCGAGGAUGAAUCUUUUUGAGGAAGGGGGGAAUGAUACGAGUCACAAAGGCCUUAGAUGCAUAUACGAAGGAAAAAGAAAAUCAAGAUUCACUUCUUGUUUUCAAGAAAAUCAAGAAACCGAAUCUUGGUCCAAUUUUGUUGUUUUGAGCGAUUUCCAGAAUCAAGAAAAUCAAGAUUUCAAAUCUUGGAAAUCUUGGUCCAAGAAACCGAAUCUUGCAACUAAGGCACAUUGGAUCUCAGUUACGAGCAUUAACAAGCCAAUUUCGGGAGAGAACGAAUUACAAGCCCAAGUUCUUGAAGACAAGGCCCAAUAAGAUGUUCCAAGCCCAAUCAAGAAAUUUAAAUUAAACUUAGUUGAAAAUUAGGCCAAAUUGUCAAAGUAGCCCAAUUUGUUAAGUUUUAAUUCUUUAAAUACUUAGUUUUCAGUUUUUGGCUUUAUGAAAAAAUUUCUACGUAAAAAUUCAGUCCAAGAGGCCCAUUUAUAGUCCUUGGCCGAAUUUCCCCUUUAAAGUAAAAAAAAAUAGGUUUUUUUUUAGUUUUCCUAUUAGGACUAGGAAAAUAGUUAGAAGGCCUAUAUGUAUCGCUGAGCCAGCCACCCUUAUACACAUUACACUUGAAGAAUACAUUGAAAUCAGAUUUGUUUUGUUGAGUGAAAAUUCUCUUUGAGUUCUCCAAGAAUUUUCUCUUGAGUUUUCUUUAGAAGGAAUUUUAACAAUCUUUUUGAUUGUGGGAGCCAUCUUCAACCUUCUUCUUUCCAUUAUUCUUCAUUGGAGGGGAGAUUAGAGCCGUUUGAAGGGAGUUGUGAAAUCUUUCUCGAUUUCAAGGCUUCUUAGGACUUUAUCUUUAUUUUUCUUGCUGUUCAGUCUUUUUAAUUUUCUGCUUGUGUCGAUUUCAUUAUCUAACUUGUUUAAACUCUCUUGUUGCGUCUCCAACCCGUUCAACCUUCAAGAAUCUAUUUGGCACCAACCUUGGACAAUAAGAAACGUUUUGAUUUCACAAAACCCUCUUUAUUACUGUCCAAACCCUAGAUCUAAUUGAUUUCAUGAUCUACUGAGUUUUUUUUGAAAUUAACUUGCUGUUUUGUGUUCUUUUCAGAUUCGGCUAUUUGGAACCUAUCUUGAAUUUAAUUCCUUGUUUUUGGCUUCCAAGAUUAGCUAUUCCUAAUUAUUUUUAAUUAUUGGCUGAUCUUUUAUUGAUUUGGGUGUUUUCGUUUUAGAUCUAAUUGAUUCUAAGCCAAAUUUUCUGUUUCGUUUCAGAUCCAAGCGUUUAGAGUUUUUGUAGGAGUUUCCCGUGACUUGACAACUUGAUCUUGGUCCGCGUGCAACCUUCUAUCACAAGGAGAACUCAAACAGCAAAUUAAACUUGAAAACCCAGCAAACCGUAUUGGAUUAGAAGCAGUAUACUUGGAUGGCAUGAAAGGAGGAAAAUUAUGAAUUAUAGGACGUUUCUUGAUGCCAAUGAAUGUUGGCAUAACGAGCCACUCGUAAAGUCCAUGCUUCGUCUUGAAGGCAGUCUUCCACUCAUCACUUUUACGCACAUGUAUUUGGUGAUAUCCGCUUUUAAGAUCAAUUUUUGAAAACAAACUUGCACUACUCAAUUCAUCAAGCAUAUCAUCCAAUCGCGGUAUAGGAUGUCGAUACUUGAUGGUUAUCUUGUUUAUAGCGCGGCAAUCUACGUAUAUUCUCCACGUUCCAUCCUUCUUAGGAACAAGCAAAGCAGGAACAGCGCAGGGACUAAGGCUUUCACGCACAUAGCCCUUCUCAAGAAGUUCAUUCACUUGUUUUUGUAGUUCUUUUGUUUCUUCAGGAUUGCUUCGAUAAGUAGGACGAUUUAGAAUUGCGGCUCCCGGCACCAAAUCUAUUUGAUGUUCAAUUCCACAAAUAGGUGGUAACCCACUCGGGAUUUCUUUCGGGAAUACGUCUCUAAAUUCUUGCAACACAGGCAAAACAGAAGAGGGUAACUUGUCAUCAAAUUCGUUAGUACCAAGCAGACUUUCUGUGUACAAAAGAACCAACAAUGGUUGUUUUAACAACAUCGAUUUCCUGACUUCUCUCUCUUUUACAUACAAACUCUUUUUUUUCAUUCUCAUCACUCAUCUCAUUUUCUUUUUCUUUUGCAUUGUUCUCUCUUUUUUUAUCACUCAUUUUUUUCUUUAAAUCUUUUCUACACUCUUUUUCUUUAUUCUUUUCAUUUUUUUGUUCUCGCUCAUUUUCUUUUGAUUUUUCAAUGGAACUCCUCAUUUUGAGCUGAUCUUCAUAAACUUGUUUGGGUGUUAACGGAGCUAACAUCAUCAUUCGUCCCAAAUGUUUAAAGGUAAAUCGGUUUGUGUAUCCAUCAUGAAUCGCACGUUUGUCAAAUUGCCAGGGCCGUCCAAGAAGAAGAUGCCCCGCAUGCAUCGGCACAAUGUCACACAUCACUUCGUCUUGAUAUUUUCCAAUUGAAAAUGAAAUCAGCACUUGCUUUGUCAACUUAAGUUCUCCACCAUCAUUAAGCCAUUAAAGCUUAUACGGAUGGGGAUGUUUGGUGGUGGCCAAUCCGAGUUUCUCCACCAUCAACGUACUAGCCACGUUCGUACAACUUCCUCCAUCGAUUAUGACACAACAAAUCUUACCUUGCACUUGACAUCAUGUAUGGAAGAUAUUUUCGCGUUGUUGUUCAUUUUCAACGCCUUGCAAAAUAAGGCUUCUUUUCACAACUAAAAUUUCUCCAUUUUCGGCUUGUUCUACUUCUUCUUCAUCUUCGAGUUGGUCAAUGGCCUCAUUCUCUUGUUCACUUUAAGAUUCAAUCUCUCCAUUGUCUCGAACGAACAUCGCAUUCUGGUUUGGACAUUGGCUCGCGAUGUGACCCCUUCCAAGACAUUUGAAACACUUUAUGCCUUGGGAUCUAUUUGGUUGGGCUUCCAUCUUUCCCUUACCCGUUUCAGCAUUCGAUUUGUUGAACUUGGUUGCACUACUCACUUCUUUAGUUUGACUUGGUAUGUCACGUUUGUUGGUCACUUGCCCCCACCUAGAUGUUGAAGAAGUAUUAGGGAAAGUUCAUGACGUACCUUCUCUUUUAAGUUGUUUCUCAACCUUUAUGGCCAUAUGGACCAUGUCAAUGACCUCGACGUAGUGGUGUAGUUCUACAAUAUUUACAAUGUCACGGUUAAGGCCGGCGAGAAAUCGUGCCAUGGUGGCUUCUCAAUCUUCUUCCACAUCAGCAUGGAUCAUGGCCACUUUCAUUUCCUUGUAGUAAUCCUCCACGCUUCGUUGGCCUUGAGUUAAACUUUGUAACUUUUGAUACAACUCCCAGUGGUAAUAAGUCGGAAUGAAUUGUUUUCUCAUUAUUGCCUUCAUUUUCGCCCAUGUAGACACGGGGUGUUCACCAUUGCGUCGUCGACUCAAAGUGAGUUGAUCCCACCAUAUUAUGGCAUAGUCGAAAAAUUUUAUAGCAACUAGUCUAACCUUCUUGCUCUCUGAGUAAUUAUGACACUUAAAGACUAAUUCAACCUUCUUCUCCCAUUCAAGAUAGGCUUCAGGAUCCGACCUUUCUUGGAAAGCAAGAAUCACCAUCUUAAUGUUCUUUAAGUCAUCAUCAGGCCGCUCUCGAUCUCUUUGUUCCCGUGCUCGAUGACCUCGUCUUCUUUCACUUUGUUGUGAGGCUUGUUCACUUUUUACAUCACUUGGUUCGUAUAAGUCAUUUGCAUGUUGACAAGGACGUUCUUGCUCUCUUCUUGGGAUCGGAGGGGUGUUCGCACGUUGACUUCGUACUUCCAUUUGUUCUGUUCGUUCAUUAAGGGAAUAGAAUUGGGGUUGGAACAAUCGGGAGAUUUCUCGUACAAUGGCUUGCACUUGAAGGUCGGGCACUCCUCCUCCAGGAACAUUCCUUCUUGGUUCAAGGUUUACUCCUUCACCAGCGGCAUUCGAAGCUCCUCCACUUGUUGCUCGACGUUCCGGACUCCUAGACAUGAUGAUUAAAAUAAGAAAAUAUCCUCACCACAAAACCUCACAAAGUCUCUCACAAGAAAAGAAUUCACUCCUCUCGUGUUUUCUCUGAACUUUGGUUUUUAUCUUGAUGUAAUCUCUCGUGCCUUUACCUCUCAAAUCCAACUCUCGAUAUUCUGAAAAGCUACCUUAGACUUAUCCACAACUUGUGGGUUGGCUUCAAAGGGCUAAUACAAAGGAAUUAUGAUAUGUUUUAGGGUAGGCUCGAAAGAAGAAAUUUGGUUUUAAGAUGUAGGGUAAAGAACGAAACAGUACUUGAAAAGAGUAUCAACUGUUCGAGCAAUAAUCAACACUUGCAAAUUUUUUUAAUCGAAUUCUUUUUUUUAGUAUGAUUUUUUUUAAAAUUUCGUAUAUAUAUUCUUUUUUUUUAAAUUCAAAUUUUUUUUAUUCUGAAUGACGAUUACCUACCUAAUUUAACUAGCUCUGAUACCAACUAAUACGAUCUCGUUUUGGAUGUAAUGACGAGUCGUAAUGGAUUCCCGAUCGAAAUUAAGUAGUGUCGACUUUAAAAGAUUUCAGGUUUUUGCGUUUUAAAAGUUGUACGACUAAAGAAGCAAAGGUGUUUGUUAAAUGAUGAUUGUUGGGUUAUUCAAUGAAACAAGAACGAACCCCUAUUAGAAAAUAAGGACCCGGGUUAAAACGUUUCAAAGAAAAAGGGAUGAAUAUGAAUAAAACUGAGACCCUCUAUUUAGCAAAAUAGGAACCUUCAGUAUAAUUUUGAACGCCACACAAAGGGUGAUAAGUUCGGAAACAAAGUCAGAUUGACGCCACUUGUGAAGAUAAGUCAAUUGAGCUUUGGAGAAUAAAAAGAGUGAAUUAACUCACCAAAAAUAUAGUUCAUUCAGAAUUUUGGCAAAAAGUCCUUUUACAAGAAAAUCAACAACUAUUUAUAGCCUAAAAGUCUAGUAAUCGAAUGGACAAGUUCAUGACUUAAAAACUAAGCAAUCUUGAAAUAAAUUCCAGCUUUUGAUUCAUUGGAUGGCUGUAGCAAAGAUUCGGCUAAAUGGAGAUCAAGGGGCAACUUCUAAAUUAAGCAAAUGAAUUUGGAGAUUCAUGCGGUAGCUAAAUUCGGUUAAUGAGUUUAAUGGACUCAUUCAAUAAGCAACUUUUGUUGAAAAAUCACCAGAAUUAAAGAGGGAACUUGAGCAGCCAAUUCAGGUGUGAAUGGAAUGUUUUGGAAAGCCUCAUGGUGUGAACAAGCUGAACCGAACAGCCAAGGUGUGAACGGUUGGUGUGAAAUGCAUUAGGAUACUUUGGGAAGAUAAUCGGCCAACCUUGAAGAUUGAUAUGGCUGCUAACUCUUGGCCGAAUAGUUGUCUUGAAUAAUCCCAAAUUAAUUCAUCUUCAAUGCAUGAAAUGUACAAGCUGCAAAUGCAUCUCCCCAUGCAAGAAUCUACAUGCAUGAAUAUGUCCAAUGUAUCAUAAAAUUUGGCUGCACCUAAACAACACACAUGAACUUAAUUAAAUUAAACAAAUUCAGCUGAACUAGUUUAAAACAUAAAGUAAACAUUCUAAUUAACAUUGUGACAACUUAAAUAUUAACUAAACAUGACACAUAAAUUCAGCUGGACAAUUUUAACACAUGUAUUAAAUUAAGACAAACUUAAUUAAAUCAAGACAUAUUUAAUUUAACUAAGACAAGACAACUUAAACACUUAUAUUAAUUAAAGACAAAUUAAAAAGCUGUAGUAAAACUUAAGUAAAUGCUUAAUGUAAUGGUCCAAAUUCCAGCAGCAAAUAUAUUAGCUGGAACGAAAUUAAGCUUCCCAAAAAUUGAAAAUAUUGACUUCGUUUUUGAGCUCAUUGCUUUCACUUUCCGAUGUUCAUUCCAACAUUGCUGAAAUAGCUUCCUUAAAUUGUUUGGCUCGAGCUCGCAUUAUCGGACCAAUUGGCAACUUGAUGGCCUCUUGUUCGAACUCCCCUUGGUUCGCAGGCAAGCUCACAUCAAUUUCUCUUCUCGCAACGCCUGCAAACAGCUCGUAAAUGUUCUAUAUGAUCCUGCAAAGUAUUGCUAUAAAUUAGUAUGUCAUCAAAGUAUACAACACAAAAUUUUCCUAUAAAAGAUCGCAGAACAUGAUUCAUCAGUCGCAUAAAAGUACUAGGUGUGUUCGUUAAUCCAAAUGGCAUCACUAACCAUUCGUACAAACCUAGCUUUGUUUUGAAAAGCUAUCUUCCACUCGUCGCCUUCUUUCAUGCAAAUUUGGUGAUAUCCACUCUUCAAAUCAAUUUUGGAGAAGAUAGUCGCUCCGCAUAAUUCAUCCUGCAUGUUAUCGAGUCGAGGAAUGGGGUGUCGAUACUUGAUUGUGAUUUGAUUUACUGCUCGACAGUCAACACACAUCCUUCAAGUCCCAUCUUUCUUAGGUACCAACAGCACUGGUACGGCGCACGGGCUUAAACUCUCUCGAAUGUAACCUUUAUCCAACAACUCUGAAAUCUGUCUUUAAAGCUCCUUUGUCUCUUCAAGGUUACUUUGAUAGGCUGCUCUAUUUGGAAUCGUGGCUCCAGGAAUGAAAUCAAUCUGGUGCUUAAUGCCACGAAGAGGGGGUAAACCCUUGGGUGUUUCAUCCGGAAACACAUCUUGAAACUCCUGCAAAAGAGAUGAAAUGGAAGCAGGCAAAACAUUAGAAGUUUCAGACCAUAAACAAGAAUCUUUAAACAACAAAAUGAGCAAAGAUUGUUGAGAGCAAAGACAUUUCCUGAUUUCAUUGCUACUUGCAUACACAUUCAUCUUGUUUUUCCCACGAACUUCUUCAGUAUUCUUUCGCAAUCUCUCCUGAUCUUCUUGCACUUGACUCGGUGUCAAAGGUGCUAAGGUGAACUUCUUUCCUUUGUGCAUAAAAGAAUAUCUAUUUGUAAAACCAUCGUGCGUCGUCCUUUUAUCAAACUACCACGGACGACCUAAUAGCAAAUGGCUCGCAUCCAUUGAAACGACAUCGCAAAGUACUUCAUCCUUGUACUUUCCAAUGGCAAACGGAACUAACACCUGCUUGUUUACUUUAAUCUCUCCUCAAUUAUUCAGCCACCACAACUUGUAGGGAUUGGGAUGCUUUGUCGUUUUCAGUCCUAACUUUUCAACCAUCACAGAACUAGCAACGUCAGUGCAACUACCACCAUCGAUAAUAAUAAUCUUUUAGAUUGUGGGAGCCAUCUUCAGCCUUCUUCUUGCCAUUUUUCUUCAUUGGAGGGGAGAUUAGAACCGUUUAAAGGGAGUUGUGAAAUAUUUCUCGAUUUCAAGGCUUCUUAGGACUUUAUCUUUAUUUUUCUUGCUGUUCAAUCUUUUUAAUUUUCUGCUUGUGUUGAUUUCAUUAUCUAACUUGAUUAAACUCUCUUGUUGCGUCUCCAGCCCCGUUUAACCUUCAAGAAUCUGUUCGGCACCAUCCUUGGACAACAAGAAACAUUUUAAUUUCAAAAAACCCCUCUUUAUUGCCCUCCAAACCCUAGAUCUAAUUGAUUUUGUGAUCUGCUGAGUUUUUUCUUUGAAAUUAACUUACUGUUUUGUGUUCUUCUUUUUAGAUUCGACUGUUUGGAACCUAUCUUAAAUUUAAUUCCAUGUUCUUGGCUUCCAAGAUUAGCUAUUCCUAAGUGUUUUUAAUUCUGGGCUGAUCUUUUAUUGAUUGGGGUAUUUUCGUUUCAGAUCUAAUUGAUUCUAAAUUAGUUUUGCUGUUUAGUUUCAGAUCCGAGUCGUCUAUAGCUUUCGUAGGAGUUUCCUGUGACUUGAAAACUUGAUCUUGGUCCGCGCACAACCCUCUAUCAUUUGGUAUCAGAUUUUGGGCGUUUUGGGUGUUCUUGGUUGAUUUCUAAAUUGAUCUCCUUUUAAAAAACAACAUAUAUCAGUUUUUACCCAGAAAAAUUUUUGGAAAAAAAUUCAUUUGAGUGGGUAAAUGUUGUCUGAUUGCUUUGAAAUUUUAUAUACAUAUUUUUUGCACUGUGAUAGAAUAUUAAAAAAUAUUUCCCAGAAAAAAAUCAGUAGAAAAAGUCAAAAAAUAGAAAAAUACGAACUUAUAAAAAAAUUAAAAAAAAAUAUUCAGCAGGUUGAGUUUAGUGCCGAGACAUUCCAAAUCAAAUAUAUAAUAUUUAAGGACAUUCUAUCUUAAAUUUCGUGAUUUUUGGAGAUCAGGAACACCUCGAACAAAGUUGUCAAGUUACUCCGCAGUUCUUUUGGGUUUUCGGGUGUCAGCAAUUUUUGUUGAUUCUUAGCUGUAGGUUUUCAUUUGUUUUGCUUUUAUUCUUCCUUUACACUAUCUAACACAUUCUUGUUUCUUGUGUUGGUAGGAUUUAAAUGUGUGCAUAAUUCUUCCUCAGUGCGAUACAAAUCAAUUGGUGUCUCGUCUCUUUUUGGACUCCUAGUGCUAUUAGGAUUCUUUGGUAGUUACGGUUCAUACGCUUUCUAAUUGAUUGAUAUAGAAUCUACUAAAGAACUCACAAGACUGAAUUCUAGCUCUUUGAGAAUUUUAUUUUCCUUUUUGAGUGAUUAACAGUGAGGUUUGUUAAUUUUUUUUGAGUGCUGAGUGUUUGUUUUGCAGGUAUUUCAAAAAAAAAGAGAAAAAAAUAAGAUGGUAGUCUGCCGCACCCUUAACAUCCAAAUGAGAGAUGAUUUUGAUAACCAAAGGACCAAUAUUUUCCAUUCUAGGUGUUUUAUAAAAGGUAACUUAUGUUCACUUAUUAUUGAUAGUGGGAGUUGUUCGAAUGUAGUUAGCAGUUUUUUCGUGGAUUCUUUAAAGUUACCUUGUACCAAGCACCCUAAGCCGUAUCACCUUCAGUGGUUUAAUAAAUGUUGGGAAAUUAAAGUUACAAAACAGUCCUUGAUCACUUUUAAGCUCGAGAAUUACGAGGAUGAGGUAUGGUGUGAUGUGGUCCCAAUGCAUGUGACACACUUGCUCCUUGGACGACCUUGGCAAUUUGAUCAUGAUGUUACACACCAAGGCACACUCAAUAGAUACUCUCUUGUGUUUAAAGGUCGAAAAUUCACUUUUGUUCCUUUAAAUCCCAAUGAUGUAUAUAAAGAUCAAUUAAAAAUGAUGAAAUUUUGUAAGGGGGUAAGGGAGAAAGAACAAAUAAAAGAGACAGAGAGAAAAGAGGCUAGUAGUGAAAAAAGUCAAAAUUUAAAUGGCCCAAAGGUGAGUGAAUCCGCAAGUGGUAAAACUAGAGUGAAAAAUUUAAUUGCAACAAAAAAAGAUGUGCGGAGAGCCCUACUCAAAAAACAGCCUUAUAUCCUUGUGAGGUUUAGGUAAAACUAUUUAUCGCUAUCGAACAUUAAUGAAAAUUUUCCUAGUGUGUUUCAAUGUCUUUUGCAGGAUUAUGAGGAUGUUUUUAGUGAGGCCCUAAAGGUUUACCACCUUUACGUAAGAUAGAACACCAAAUGGACUUAGUAAUUGAUAGAGGAUUGCGCGCGGACCAAGAUCGAGUUUCAAAUGGAAUCAGAUAUUAGGCUAAAUGGAGUUUUAGGGUAACAAGGAUAGGCGUAAGAAGAAGGCUAAGUCAAUUUAGAAGGUUCGGUGAAGAAAGAAAUUGGAAGCUUGGUGAUUAGGUUUAAAAACAAGAACUUAAGAACAAGAUUGAACCAACGCUUUGGUUAAAGGUUGACCUAAAAUCUUAUAGGUUCUUAAAGUAUUUUCGUAUGAAUUGGGAAACCUUGACCCACUAUCUAAAAUAGAUAGGAACCUUGGUAUAAUUUUAGGUGAAUGCCACACGAAUUCGUGAUAAGUCCAGUCGAAUAAAAAUGCGUUGACUCCACUAACUAGUUAGAUAAGUCAAUAGAGUCUUUGGACGAAAUUUAAGAGAAGAAUUCUCUCAACAAUUUCACAACAAUUCAUUAAGGUUUCAAAAAAGUGCUUUACAAAUUGAUUUCAGCCUGAAUUUAUAGGCAUUACAUGGCAACCGAAUAGGCAAUCUUAGGGGCUAAGUAAAUAGCUUGAAAAUUCUAGAAUUUUGGAGGAAGGUUCCUUGAAGCUUCCCAUGCAUGGAGAACGUCAAUAGAUCUUCUAGAAGGCUUUAAUUAGGCUGGAAAAAUAAAUGGAAUGAUUGGGAGCUGAAUUUUAAUGAUUAGGAUCAGCUAAGUUGCUUGAAUCUCCUUUAAUGGGCUGCUAGGUUCAGCCGAAUGUGCUUGGAAUAAUUAAGCUGCUUAGGUCACUUCAAUGGCCAUGAGGUGUGAAAAAAUGAAAUGGAAGAGCCAUGUAAAUGUGAACACACAAAACCGAACAGCCCCUAAUGUGAAUGGAAUAGUCUGCUGGUGUAAACAACCUUUAAAAUGCUUUGGGCAGCCAAAUGAGUCUUCUUGAAGAGCUGGAAAGUUGGCUGAAAAGUCACUUGGGAAACUAUCCUCAGGGUCACCAAAGGCUAAUGAGGUUUCUCUCGAGCUAUCUCUAGGACUGAUUACCCUAGCUCGUGCUAAGAAGUUCAAAGAUGCAAUUACAGCUUUGAUUGACCGGGUUUGGGGUGAAUCCGUGGCUGGACUACUUGAAAGCUCGUGGAAUAGCAAGCCAAACAAACUUUACAACUUCAUUCAAGCUCAUUUUAGCUCAACCUUAGCUCAAUGAGCUUGAUUUGAUUUCUUCUUUAAUUGGCAUUAAUUUGCUGGAAUAAAGCAUUUAAUUUGUCUUUAGUUAAUUUAGUUAUUUAGUUAAGUUAAUUAAUUGUUUUAAAAAUCUUGACAAUUAAUUAAUUAAGUAUUUUAAUUAUGUCCUAAUUAAGUACUUAAUUAAUCAAAUGUUUAAUUAUGUCCUAAUCUAUUAAAUGUUAUAAAUAUGUUUGGACGAAAUUAAUGUACAAGUUAAUAAGUUUAUAUACUGUCAAAUUAAGAUGUUUGAAAAUGUGAUUAAUGUGAUGAUUUAUUUGCUGCAGGUACAUUCAUCUUUGGAUGGCAAGCUGUCCAUUGCCAUUCUCUAUGACUAUGAAGCUUCAAUGAAAUUUCCUUAGGAUUUUUCGAAUUUUUAGCUGGCCAUUUAGCUCCCUAAAGAGCCUAUUCGACUAACCCAUGUAAAGCCUAUAAAUAGAGGCUUAUUUCACCAUGUAAAGGACUUUUGCCAAUCUUGAUAUUAUAGUGAAUAUUUUUUGAGAUUUCUUCUCUCAAUUUCGUCCAAAGACUCCGUUGGCUUAUCUACUUAGUUAGUGGCGUCAACCCUGCUCUUUGCUAUUCCGAACUUAUCACUUUGUACAGAAGUGUGGCGUUCAACUUAUGCUGAGGUUCCUACCUCCAAUAGCUAGCGGUCGAGGUUGAUUCUACUUACUUAACCACCGAACCAUCUUAAGAACAUAUAAGACAAACACUUAAAUACACACAGUGUUGGUUCUUUCUUGUUUUUAAGCCAUUCAUUCCAUCUCCCAUUAAACCGAACUAUUAUCUUUCCAAAAUUCUUUCUUUCUUUCUUAAAAGAACCCUAGCACAUAAACAAUCCCAUUGCACAUCAUUUGAACCUCAAAUAUUAUCCUAAAACAAAAACACUUCUUUUUGGCACAAGACGAACAAAGCUUCUUCGUUAUACGAUCGGGCAACAAUUGUGAUUCAACUCAAUCAAACGAGGCUAGAUCGCAUCACCCAGGACUUCCAAAAGUAGUGUAUCUACAACAAAUACAUUCAACAAAUUAAAUGCAAUUUAGACACAUUAAUUCGGCAGCAAAUAACACUAAAAUCCUGCAUAUUAAAAUCGACAGCCCUUAGAACAUAAUUAAAGCAUGUUUGAGUUUUGGACAACUUAAUUAUUUAACAUAAAUCCGGCUGGACUUUAGACACAAUAAAGCAUGUAAUAAAAUAGAUUUAUCACAAAAUUUAAUAUGUCCAGAUUUUAAUAAAUUAAUUAAUUUUAAACUAAUUAACUAAUUUAACUAACAGCAACUUAUUAAUUUAUUCCAGCAAAUUUAACGAAAGCUAAUAGGUGAGCUCCUCGAGCUAAAUUUGAACUAAUUGAGCUUGCAAGAGGUUGCAUGGUUUGCUUGUUUCGAUAUUCUCAAGCUGUCCAGCCAUGACAUUGCACCAAAUUCCAUCUAUGAAUGCUGAAACUCCUUCCUUGAAUCUUUUGGCAAGAGCACGAGUUAUAGGACCCGUUGUAAAUUCCAAGGGUUCGUCAAUAUCCUUAGUUGGUUCCCUAGCCACGGCCGUAUCAUCCCCUCCCCCUUCGAAACGACCUGUCCUCAAGUCGUCACAUACAUCGUAAGGAGAUAGGUCAGAAACAUUGAAACUAGCACUCACACUAUAUUCACCAGGAAGGUAAGAAUUAUCAUUGAUCCUUUCCAAAACUUGAAAAGGACCAUUACCCCUCGGCAAUAGUUUGGAUCUUCAUUGGGCUGGGAACCAUUCUUUCCUCAUGUGUACCCAUACCAAUCUCUGGGCUCGAAGAUGAUACGCUUUUGACCUUUAUUGGCUUUUUGCACAUAUUGCUUAGUCAUUUCCUCAAUGUUCUUUCGCACCUUUUGGUGUAAGUCCUUCACAAACUGAGCCUUUUAUUUUGCAUCUGCAUUCACAAAUUGUUCGUUAGGUAAUGGAAUUAAGUCUAGAGGUGUCAAAGGGUUAAAUCUGUAAACAAUUUCAAAGGGAGAAUGUUGAGUUGCUGAAUGAAUAGAACGGUUGUAGGCAAACUCUAUGUGCAGCAGGCAUUCUUCCCAUAUUUUGAGGUUCUUUCAAACAAUAGCUCGCAAUAACGUCGACAAGACUCGAUUCACCACUUCUGUUUGCCCGUCCAUUUGAGGAUGGCAAGUGUUCGAGAAUAGGAUCCUUGUGCCUAUCUUUUCCCAAAGUGUUCUCUAGAAAUAACUCAAAAAUUUUGCAUCUCGAUCGGAGAUGAUAGUCCUUGGCACUCCAUGGAAGUGCACCACGUCCCUGAAAAAUAAAUUAGCAACAUGCGAGGCAUCAUCAGUUUUUGACGUGAUCCGGCUCGCUUGAUUGAGUCGAUUCACUUGAUUUCCCGAUCAUUGACGAGAAGUUUUCAUUCGAUGUUGUAUGAAGAUAGAGUUAUGGAGAUGUACAAACGAAAGCCGGUAAUUUAGGAUCAAAAGAUAGGAAAAAUAUAGCUAGGUUCGGUUUAACAAGAAAUAAAAAUUAUUAGUUGAUAGUUAAAAUGGAAAUGGAAAUUGAACUCAAUCUUUAAGAACGAUUCAAUACUAUGUAAAGUAUUGCCCUGGGACUUAUAUUGCUUAAGGUGGAUUAAUGGAAAGUCGAAGAUGGACCUUGACUCGUUACCUAUAUAGAGGUAAGAACCAAAGGUAUAAAAGAUGGUUGAACGCCACACCGAGAGGGUGAUAAGUUCAAAGACUCGGGUUGAUGCCAUCUAGCUAGCUAGAUAAGUCAAAACGAGACUCAAACGAAUGAAGAGAGGAGGCAACCCCACAAUCAAGUUUUUUUAAUAAUAAAAAUGUCUAUGAUAGAGGAUCACGCACAGACCAAGAUCGAGUUGUCAAGUCACGGGGAAAAUCCUACGAAAGCUUUAGACGCUUAGAUUUGAAACGAAACAGAAAAAAUUAAAUCUUAGAAUUCCAGAUCUGAAACAUAAACCCCAAAACAAUAAAGAAUCAGCCAAGAACCGAAACACUUAUUAAUAGGGGAUUCUUGGAAGCCAAGAACAUGAAAUUGAACUUCAAGAAAGAAUCCAAUCAGCCGAAUCUGACAAUUGAACACAAAACAGCAAGUUAAUUCCAAAACUCAGCAAACCGAAUUGAAUCAGAGAUAGGAUAAUUGGGCGGCAAGAUCAAUUACAAAUUAUGAAUAGAAAACAUUUUCUUGCUUCCAAGAAGGGUGCCGAUCAGCUUCUUGAAGAUUGAAAAGGGUUGGAAACACAACAAGAACGAAUAAAACAAGUUAAUCAAUGAAUCGGCACAAGCUGAAAAAAUCUAAUGAAAAAUAAAUAGCAAUAAAGAUAAGGAAAAGUCCUAAGAAGCCUUGAAAUCAAAAAGAGAUUUCACAACUCCCUUCAAACGGCUCUAAUCUCCCCUCUAAUGUAGGACAAUGGCAAGAAGAAGGCUGAAGAUGGCUCCCAUAAUAAAAAAGAUUGUUAAAACUACUUCUAAAGAAAAUUCAAGAGAGAAUUCUUGGAGAAAACUCAAAGAGAAUUUUUCACUCAAUAAAAUCUGAUUUCAAUGUGUAAUUCAAUGUGUAAUGUGUAUAAGGGUGGCUGGCCAAGCCAUACAUAUAGGCCUUUUAACUAUUUUCCUAGUCCUAAUAGGAAAACUAAAAAAAAACUUUUUUUUUACUUUCAAGGGAAAUUCGGCCAAGGACUUUAAAUGGGCAUCUUGGACUGAAUUUUUACAUAGAAAUUUAUUCAUAAAGUCUAAAAUUUAAAACUAAGUAUUUAAAGAAUUAACACUUAACAAAUUGGGCCACUUUGACAAUUUGGCCUGAUUUUCAACUAAGUCUAAUUUAAAUUUCUUGAUUGGGCUUGAAACAUCUUAUUGGGCCAUUUCUUCAAGCAUUUGGGCUUGUAAUCCGUUCUCUCUCGAAAUUGGUUCGUUGAUGCUCAUAACUGAGAUCCAAUGCGCCUUAGCUACAAGAUUCGGUUUCUUGGACCAAGAUUUCCAAGAUUUGAAAUCUUGAUUUUCUUGAUUCUUGAAAUCGCUCAAAACAGCAAAAUUGGACCAAGAUUCGGUUUCUUGAUUUUCUUGAAAAAAAGAAAGUGAAUAUUGAUUUUGUUUUUCCUUCGUGUAUGACAUCUAAGGCCUUGCUAAUAAAUUCUUGAAUGGUUUCAUUUAGUUUUGAACGCAUUUGUCUGGCCUUUAACCCCGUUAUUGGGCCUUAUGGUAAUUUGGGUCCAUCACGUCCUUGAGCUUGAAUUGGGCCUUUGUGACUCGUAUCAGUCUAACCGGUUUACAAAGAGAAACAAACUAUUUAUAGUUUACAUAUGAUAGCCAAAUAGACAAACUUAAGGACUAAGCAAUUCGGCUUUAAUUGUGUGAAUUAAUCUAGCAAUGUAUUUCCUAUUAGCUAAGCCUAUAUUUGGCUGAAUGGGGAGUUCAAUAAUCAGCUUCGAAACCAAGGAAAUGAAUUUGGCAACUUGUGAACGUAUGGGAGACCAACGGGCAUGUCUAGGUUCUACCAAAGUUUGAAUGGUCUCUCCAAAAGAUGCUUCUUGGCCGAAUAAGUGCAUAAGAGAUCAAUGGACAGCAAUCGAUGCAUGUAGAUGAACAUUCAUGCACUCUUCCAUUCAUUGUAGUGAACAAUUCAUGUACCAUUCUUAAAGCAUUCAUUCAUUGAAGGUAGUCAUUCUAGCACCCGCACGUACAUUGAACCAACAUGUUCAUGAAUUCUUCAUUGAUUGUGUUCCCACAUUCGGCUGUACCUACAAAAGCCAUGAACUAAUUAAAAACAAGAUAUAUUCGGCUGAACCAAGCUGUGUUCAGAUCAAACUCAAUAAUUAACAAAAUAAUAAAUUUAAAGCUAAUUGAACUUGAACUUAGCUAGCACAAUUAAUUCGGCUAACUCUUAAACAUGUAAAACAACUUAAUAAACUAGAUUGAGCUGGUAUAUUCGGUCAUGAGCUGUAGAGAAUUAUUUAAAUUAAAUCUAAUACUCAAAUUAUUUAAAGGAUAAUAGUAACGAGCUGAUUAGAAACUAAAUUGAGCUUGAAUGAGCUGAAUUGAGCUCAAAUGAGCUGGUUGGAGCUAAAACGAGCUAAAGGAGCUAAAACCGAGCUAAAAUCAGCUUGCACUAAGGUGUAUGGAUCCUUUAAUGGAUUAUACCAAGCUUUCCCUUCGUUAACAAGCUGAUCCUCCUUCCAAAAUCUAAGAAAUAAUGCUAUGACAGCUUUUUGAAGUCGCUUGGAUCGAGCUCGAGUCAUUGGUCCCUUUGGGAGCUUGAUGGAAUCAAGAUGAGGACCUGGUGGAGCUUGGGGCGUGGUGACGUGACCACGUCCCAAGCUCCACCAAUCCCUCAUCUUGAUUCCAUCGAACUUCCAGAGGGACCAAUGACUCGAGCUCGAUUUAAGCGACUUCAAGAAGUUGUCUACGCAUUAUUUCAUAGAUUUUGGAAGGAAGAUCAGCUUGCUAUCGAAGGGAAGCCUCGGGCUGAUCCAGUGAAUAAUCCAUGCAGCUUAGUGCAAGCCGACUUUAGCUCAAUUUCAGCACCUUUAGCUCAUUCCAGCUCCAACCAGCUCACUUGAGCUCAAUUUCAUCCAUUUAAGCUCCAAUUAGCUUCCUAUCUGCUCGUUAAUUUCAUCGUUUAACUAAAUUGAGUCUUAGUUUUAUUUUAAUUAUUUUACUACAGCUCAUGAUUGAAUUCUCUAGCUCAUUUUAGCUCAUUAUGGAUUUCAUCCAUGAUUGAGCUAGCCGAAUUUAUUAUUAGUUUUGUUUUAUUUCUGUGUUUUUAAAUUUGUUAAUUUUAAUAUGUCUUGUUAUUAUCUUUUCUAAGAUCAGCCGAAUAUAUAUUGAAUCUAAUUUGCUUAUAGCUUUUGUAGGUACAGCCAAAUGUAGGAACACCAUUAAUGAUAAUUCAUGAACGGGCUGGUUCAAUGUACGUGCGGGUACAUGAAUGACUACAUGCAAUCAAUGAAUGCCUUAAGGGAGAUACAUGUAUGGUUCAUUACAAUGAAUGGAAGAAUGCAUGAAUGAUCAUCUACAUGCAUCGUCUGCUGUCCAUUGGUCUCCUAUGUACUUAUUCGGCCAAGAAGCAUCUUUUGGAGAGUCCAUUCGCACUUUGGCUGAAUCUAGACAUGGCCGAAUUUCUUCCAUGCAUUCACAAGCAGCCAAUACAUUUCCUUAGCUAUGAAGCUGAUCAUUGAACUCCUCAUUCAACCGAAUAUAGUCUUAGUUAAUAGAAAAUACAUUGUUAGAUUAAUUCACACAAUUAAAGUCGAAUUGCUUAGUUCUUAAGUUUGUCUAUUCGGCUAUCAUAUGUAAACUAUAAAUAGUUUAUUUCUCUUUGUAAAAAGGUUAGACAUUUUGAAUUAUUAAAACUAGAUUGUGAGGUUGCCUCCUCUCUUCUUUCGUUCGAGUCUCGAAGCGACUUAUCUAGCUAGCUAGUGGCGUCAAUUCGAACUCAAUUGAACUUAUCACCAAAACAGUGUGGUGUUCAACCAUCAUUUUAUACCUUUGGUUCUUACCUCAUUAUAGGUAACGGGUCAAGGUUCGCCUUUUACUUUUGAUCUAACCCACCUUAAGCAAUAUAAGACUCAGGGCAAUACUUUGAUAGUAUUGAAUCAUUCUUGAAGCUUGAGUUCGUUUCUCCAUUCCCUUAAUCUAUCAACUUACAAUUCUAUUUUCCUUUGUUAAGCCGAACGUAUCAAUCAUCAAUCCAAGCCAUCUUUGAACCCAUUUUGACUACUUCCGCUUAUAAAUCAACCUAACUCCAUCUAUCAACAAAUUUGAACGAACUUCUCAUCGACGAUCGUGCAAUUUAAGUGAAUUUGACUCAAUCAAUCAAGCUAGAUCACAUCAUUUGGUAUCAGAGCUUACAAAACGAGGAACACCGACGUUCGUAGCUAUCCCGAAAGAAGGUUCGUGAAUUGAAAAAAAAUUGUUAUUCAUUGUAUUCAGCAUAUUGUGUUUGAGAAGUAAAAAAAAAGAAAAUUCGAGUAUUAAAAAAAAGUGAAGUGUUGAAAAUUCUGUUUCUUCUUUUAAGUAUCGCAUACGAGAGUUCUACAUUAUUUCCUUUAUUCUACCUCAAACGCCACACUUAUACCCUGAUUUUAUUUUGUUUUAGCCUACCCUACACCAUUUCUGAUGUGUGCUUACCUGCGAACCAAGAGGAGUUCGAACAAGAGGCCAUCAAGUUGCCAAUUGGUCUGAUAACGAGAGCUCAAGUCAAACAAUUUAAGGAAGCUAUUUCAGCAAUGUUGGAACGAACAUGGGAAAGUGAAAGCAAGGAGCUCAAAAACGAAGUCAAUAUUUUCAAUUUUUGGGAGGCCGAAUUUCGUUCCAGCUAAUAUAUUUGCUUGCUGGAAUUUGGACCAUUUAAAUUAAGCAUUUACUUAAGUUUUACUACAGCUUAUUAAUUUGUCUUUAAUUAAUAUAAAUGUUUAAUUUGUCUUGUCUUAGUUAAAUUAAAUAUGUCUUGAAUUAAUUAAGUUUGUCUUAAUUUAAUACAUGUGUUAAAACUGUCCAGCCAAAUUUAUGAGUCAUGUUAGUUAAUAUUUAAGUUGUCACAAUGUUAAUUAGAAUGUUUACAUUAUGUUUUUAAACUAGUUCAGCUGAAUUUAUUUAAUUUAAUUAAGUUCAUGUCUGUUGUUUAGGUGCAGCCAAAUUUGAAGAUACAUUGGACAGAUUCAUGCAUGUAGAUUCAUCCAUAGGGAGAUGCAUUUGCAGCUGGUACAUUUCAUGCAUUGAAGAUGAAUUAAUUUGGGAUUAUUCAAGACAACUAUUCGGCCAUGAGUUAGUAGCCAUAUCAAUCUUCAAGGUUGGCCGAUUAUCUUCCCAAAGUAGCCUAAUGCAUUUCACACCAACCGUUCACACCUUGGCUGUUCAGUUCAACUCGUUCACACCAUGAGGCUUUCCAAAACCGUCCAUUCACACCUGAAUUGGCUGCUCAAGUUCCCUCUUUAAUUCUGGUAAUUUUUUAGCAAAAGUUGCUUAUUCAAUGAGUCCAUUAAACUCAUUAAUCGAAUUUAGCUGCUGCAUGAAUCUCCAAAUUUAGUUGCUUAAUUUAGAAGCUGCCCCUUGAUCUCCAUUCAGCCGAAUCUUUGCUACAGCCAUCCAAUGAAUCAAAAGCUGGAAUUUAUUUCAAGAUUACUUAGUUUUUAAGUCAUGAACUUGUCCAUUCAGUUACUAGACUUUUAGGCUAUAAAUAGUUGCUGAUUUUCUUGUAAAAGGACUUAUUUGCCAAAAUUCUGAAUGAACUAUAUUUUUGGUGAGUUAAUUCACUCUCCUUAUUCUCCAAAGCUCAAUUGACUUAUCUUCACAAGUGGCGUCAAUCUGACUUUGUUUCCAAACUUAUCCCCCUUGGUGUGGCGUUCAAAAUUAUACCGAAGGUUCCUAUUUUGCUAAAUAAAGGGUCUCAGUUUUAUUCCUAUUCAUUCCUUUUUCUUUGAAACCUUUUAAGCCUGGGUCCUUAUUUGCUAAUAAGGGUUUGAUCUUGUUUCAUUGAAUUACCAUCAUUGUUAACCCUCUAUCAUAAACCCAACUACACCUUUGUUUGAACAAGUUAUUCAAUCUUUGAAGUUCUUUGACUUAAAACUCAUUAUCUAACACUACCUAAAUUCGAUUGGGAAUUAUUACGACUCGUCACAUCUUCUGAGAUGAGCUCGUAUCAAUUUCAUCAUUCCAUUUGUUACCCAUUUUGAAACUGACCCAUAAGAAGCAAAUUAAGUCUACCGAGAUGAAUUACAAAAUUGUGAGAUGAGGUCGAGUGGUAAAAGGCAAGAGUGAAUUACAUCAAAGAAAAAGCCAGAAUUGAGUGCAAAUAUGAGUGCGAGUGAUAAUUAUUUCUUUCCGAGUGAUGCAAACCAGCCCGAGUGAAUCGAAUUGCUUCUCAUAGUUUCCCGGUCGUCAAUGAGGAGUAGUUGGAGUUGUCAAAAUUGGGUGAAUUAGGCUAAGGGUUGCGGAAUCUUUUAAAGGGGUUUAGAUGAGUGGUUUGGUGUUGGUAGGUUCGGUUUAGAAUAGAAACAAGGUAGGAUAGAAAAGGUAAUUGAUGGAGAUGGAUAAUAGAACUUAAACGUCAAGAAAGUUUUAGUACUAUGAUGAGUAUCGCACCAAAUCUUAUAUGGUGUAAGGUGAAAAGAUGGAAACAGGAAUAUGGACCUCGACUCGUUACUUAGCAAAGUAAGAACCGAAGGUAUAUUGAAAUGGAUGAACGUCACACCAGGAUUGGUGAUAAGUUUGGAAAGAGUUCAGUUGACACCACUAGCAUGCUAGAUAAGCCAAAUUGAGACUCACACGAAAUAUGAGAGGGAGAAUCCUCACUAGAACAAUAGUUCAUUAGAAAUUUGACAAAAAGUCCUUUACAAAAAUCAAAUAACAACUACUUAUAGGCAAAGCUAAGGCUAGCCGAAUAGCCACAUACAUCCUUAGAAAUGAAGCAAAUGAAUUCAUCUAAUGGCCUUAGCUAAAUUCAGCUGAACAUGGACAACUUCUAGAUUAAGCAUUGAAUCUUGGAAAUUUAAGAAGGUGCAUGGAAGAGCUAAGUUCGGCCAAAUACCUUAAAUAAGCUCAUUUAAGAUGCAACUUUUGGCUGAAAAGUGACCAGUAAUUAAUAGGAAAUUGAACAGCCAAUUGAAGUGUGAAAGCUCAGCUUUGAAGAAUCCUUGAGUGUGAACACUAUGAACCGAACAGCAAAGACAUAUCCAGCAAUGUGAAAGAAAUAAUUGGCAGCUUUAGAGUAGUAAACAUUAGUUCCCUUAGCCUAAUAGUCACAUAGGAAUCUUCAAAAAUCAGCACACCAUUUUUAUUGCAUUCCAUGCAUGUAUCGCCAAAUAUAUUGAAUCCAUCAUGCAUGUACCUUACUUAAAUGCACUCUCACAUUCGGUCAACCUACAGAAGGAGCAAAUGAACUUAAAUUAAUUUAUAUUCAGCUGAAACAUAAUUAAAACAUAAUCUGGACAAUUUAAAUUCACAUAAUUAAAACAAGACACAAUUAAUUAAAUUAAGACCUAAUUAAUUCAGUUAGGACAAGACACAUUGAAAACAUCCAAUAAAACAUAUGUAUAAGCUGUAGGAAUUAAGAUGAUUUAAUAACAUGUAAUAAAAAAAAUUAACAUCCAUAAUUAAAUUCGUCUAGAUUUAAGACCAAUUAAACAAUGAAAACUAAUUGAGCUGUGUAUAACUAAUUAACUAACUCAAAUAAUUAUUCUAGCAACUAUAUUAUCGCAUAAAUGGAAUUAAGCUAGAUUUGAGCUGAUUCGAGCUCAUUGACCUAAAAUGGAGCUUAGUUCAGCUCGCAACAAAUUUUUGAAUGGCGCUUGAUGAAUUGAACCAAGGAUGUUUUCGCGGCAGGGUCGUAUCACCGAGAGUUUUGCAAGUGAGGUAUUUGUGAAAGGAUUACACAUAUCAUUUUUUGUUAGGCAUGGCAUCCAUGGUCGAUUGUACAAACAAGGUACUUGUCAUGAAGCGAAGUCUAAGUAUUCAAAAUUCAAAAAACCAGCAGCAAAGAGAGAACAUCUUUCAUUCUCAAUGUCAAGUGCAAGGAAAAGUCUGUAGUUUGAUUAUUGAUGGUGGAAGUUGUACCAAUGUGGCAAGUUCCCUCAUGGUAGAUUGACCUGGCCUCCCAACCACUAAGCAUCCAAGUCCAUAUGAACUCUAAUGGCUCAAUGACGGUGGUGAAAUCAAGGUAACUAAACAAGUUCGUAUUACCUUUUCAAUUGGCAAGUAUGAAGAUGAAGUGCUUUGUGAUGUUGUCCCUAUGCAUGCAAGUCAUUUACUACUAGGAAGACCGUGGCAGUAUGACUGGAGAGUUAUCCAUGACGGAUAUACAAAUUGGUACACAUUCAAAUAUUUUGGAAAGAAUUUCACGCUAGUUCCAUUGUCCCCCAAGUAAGUUUUUGAAGAUUAAGUAAGAUUGAAAUCCUCUGUAACCCAAAUGAAAGAAAAAGAAAAGAUUGAAAAACAAAGAAGAGAAAAUGAAAAAGAAAAGAAAAGUGAAAUAAAAAAGUCAACAAUAGAGAAAGAAAGUGAAAAGAAUAUUAGAAAAGAAAAAGAAAAACACAAUACAAAAAGAAGUUUGAUUGUGAAAGAAGGUGAUUGAUACGAGUCACAAAGGCCCAAUUCAAGCUCAAGCACGUGAUGGGCUCAAAUUACCACAAGGCCCAAUAACGAGGUCAAAGGCCAAGAAAAUGCGUAUAAAACUAAAUGGAAUCAUUCAAGGCUUUUUUAGCAAGGCCUUAGAUACGUAUACAAAGGAAAAAUAAAAUCAAGAUUCACUUUCUUGUUUCAAGAAAAUCAAGAAAUCGAAUCUUGGUCCAAAUUUGUUGUUUUGAGCGAUUUCAAGAAUCAAGAAAAUCAAGAUUUCAAAUCUUGGAAAUCUUGGUCCAAGAAACUGAAUCUUGCAGCUAAGGUGCAUUGGAUCUCAGUUACGAGCAUCAGCGAACCAAUUUUGGGAGAGAACGGAUCACAAGCCCAAGUUCUUGAAGACACGGCCCAAUAAGAUGUUCCAAGCCCAAUCAAGAAGUUCAAACUAGACUUAGUUGAAAAUCAGGCCAAAUUGUCAAAGUGGCUCAUUUUGUUAAGUUUUAAUUCUUUAAAUACUUAGUUUAAUUUUUUAGACUUUAUGAUUAAAUUCCUAUGUAAAAAAAUUCAGCCCAAGAAGCCCAUUAAAAGCCUUAGCCGAAUUUCCCUUGAAGUUAAUAAUUAGGUUUUCUUUAGUUUUCCUAAUAGGGUUAGGAAAAUUGAUAGAAGGCCUAUAAUAAGGCUUGGUCAGCCACCUUAUACACAAUUACAUUGAAUUACACAUUGAAAUCAGAUUUUUGUUGAGUGAAAAUUCUCUUUGAGUUUUUCCAAGAAUUUUCUCUUGAGUUUUCUUUGGAAGUAGUUUUAAUAAUCUUUUUGAUUGUGGGAGCCAUCUUCAGCCUUCCUCUUUCCAUUGUCCUACAUUGGAGGGGAGAUUAGAGCCGUUUGAAGGGAUUUGUGAAAUCUUUCUCGAUUUCAAGGCUUCUUAGGACUUUUCUUUAUUUUCUUGUUGUUUAUUCCUCUUUAAUUUUUCUGCUUGUGCCGAUUCAUUGAUUAAAUUGUUUUAAUCUCUCUUGUUGCGUUUCCAGCCCUUUCAAUCUUCAAUAAUCUGUUCGGUACCAGUCUUGGGUAUCAAGAAUCGUUCUUGAUUCAUAAUUCUUCUUUUUCUUACCGCACAAAACCCAGUUCUACUUCAAUUUGGGGUUUCGUGAUCUGUUGAGUCUAAUUUUUCUGUUUUGUGUUUACUUGUCAGAUUCGGCUGAUUGGAGACUUUUCUUAAAGCUCAAUUUCAUGUUCUUGGCUUACAAGAAUCCCUAUUAAUAAGUGUUUCAAUUCUUGGCUUAUUCUUUAUUGUUCUGGGUGUUUCGUUUCAGAUCUGUUGAUUCUAAGUUUAAUUUUCUGUUUCGUUUCAGAACCAAGCGUCUAGCGUUUUCAUAGGAGUUUUUCGUGACUUGGAAACUCGAUCUUGGUCUGCGCUCAACCCUCUAUCAUUUGGUAUCAGACUUUGGGCAUUUCGGGUGUUCUGGGUUGAUUUCUAAACUGAUCUCCUUUUAAAAACAGUAAAUAGCAGUUUUUUACCCAGAAAAAUUUUUGGAAAAAAAUUCAUUUGAGUGGGUAAACGUUGUCCAAUUUGUCUGAAAUUUUAUAUGUAUAUUUGUGGCACUGUGAUAGAAUAUUAAAAAAUAUUUUCCACAAAAAAAUCAGUAGAAAAAGUCAAAAAAUUGAAAAAGAUGAAAUCAAACAAAAAUUUAAAAAUAUUUAGCGGGUUGAGUUUAGUGCUGAAACUUUCCAGAUCAAUAUACAAUAUUUAGGGACAUUCCAGUUUACAUUUCGUGAUUUUUGGAGAUCAGGAACACCUCGAACGAAGUUUUCAAGCUACUCCUGCAGUUUUUUCAAGUUUUCGGGUGUCAGCAAUUUUUGUUGAUUCUUAGCUGUAGGUUUUCAUUUUUUUUGCUUUUAUUCUUCCUUUACACUAUCUAACACCUUAUUUUUUCUUGUGUUAGUAGGAUUUAAAACUGUGCACAAUUCUUCCUCGGUGCAACACAAAUCAAUUGGUGUCUCGUCACUUUUUGGAUUCAUAAUGCAAUUAGGAUUCUUUGGUAGUUACGGUUCAUAUACUUUCUAAUUGAUUGAUAUAGACUCUACUAAAGAACUCACAAGGCUGAAUUCUACCUCUUUGAGAAUUUGCUUUUCCUUUUUGAGUGAUUAACGGUGAGGUUUGUUAAUUUUCUUUUUCGAGUGUUGAGUGUUUGUUUUGCAGGUAUUCCAAAAGAAAAAAAUAAGAUGCAUAGACUCAGUCAAGUCGAUGAUGAGAAUAAUGACCAUAAUAAGGUCAAUGAUAAAUUUAAAGAGUUCCAACAACAGUUAGACGAACAGACUGCUGCACUCAAACAAGCAAAUGCCAUACUUCAAACAUUGAGUGCUACUAUCAAUGAGAUGCGAUUGGACUGAGUGGAGAAAAGAGCCCAACGAGGACAACUUAAUUCAAGUGAAAGGGGAAAAAUGAGACUGCCAAGAAAACGAACAUCCAACGAAUAUUCGAGAAGAGAUUCAUAUCAUGAUUCCUAUUCAACGAGAAAUUCAAGACGAUACAAAGCAAUUUUCGAGUGUGAAGUUUUCCAAGGUGACGAACAAGAAAUCACAAGUAAUCCUUCGUAUGCCCCAAGGAACUCAUCCACUGAGAAUCAAUUUUGAAAAGGUGAUCAUUGUUCGUAUGCAAGUCAUUCCGUACAUACCCAACGAGAGUCUUUUCAUUCUAAUUCAUUUGUAACAUCUCUAUCUUGUAAUGAAAGGAAGACAGAAAAAGAAAUCAAAAAAGAAAAAGAGAAUGAAAAAGAGCAAAAGGAGAUUGAGAGUGAAAAGGAAUGUGAAACAGACAAGAAAAGCGAAAAAGAAAUUGAAGAAAGAACAAAAAAUGAGUUAGAAAAAGAAACAAAAGAAAAAGAUGAGGAACAUGUAGUGAGGAAUGUUUCCACUAACCAAGAUAUGAAUUUUUGUUGUGUUGCUAGUUUUUAGGUUCCCGAAACACCGAAAGAUAACUUUCAACGUCAAUACCUUUCCGAUGAAAGACGCUUUCAUACGAUCAACAUAGGCAAGGUUGAAGAUGAAAUCACACUACAUGAGCCCGAAGGUAAACGAGGUAAGGAAAUUUUAGCAACCGAGUCCCGUGCAGAUUUGAAAAUUAUUGAUAAAAAUUUUGGUGACUUAGUUCUUAAAAGAUCCCCUUAUUUUGAUCCGAUUAAUUGUUAUUCUUCGAUUGUGGUUGAUAAAGUAAUUACGAAAGGAAGCGUGAGUUGUUAUUCUCUUGAUUUGCCUUGUGUAAAAUCCGCAAAUUUGUGCAAAUAUGUUUUGGAAAAUAAAAAAAGUUUUGAAUGUAUGUUGGUAUGCAUGUGAAAAUCCUCAUGGUUUAACUUGAUUGGUUUAAUGAAAUCUUUGUUACACUUCGGCAUGACUAAUCAAAAUCAAGUUUUUAAACCUAGAAUCUGUUUUGGUAUAUUUUGUUGAAAAAUCAAGCAUCAUCUAUUGUGUGCAAAUACUUUCUAUUGUUUUGAUACUUGGUUUUUGAAAAAGGUAACAAAAUUUGCAAAAUUUGUUUUCAAUUUGUAUUCGUGCCUUACACAGUUUCUGUGGUUAUACAUGAAGUUUGAGUUCCAUUUGACAAAGGUUAACUCAACAACGGAGCUUCGACUACACUAUACCCCCGAUGAGUGAAGGUUUGUAUUGAAUGGAAAAGGUAAAAUCGACCCUUAUUCUUCUGCUUAUAAAGGUAAGAUGCUUGAAACUUUUGACACACUUUUGUACUCCUCGGAUAGUGACAAAGAUCGUGUUGAUGAUUUAAUUUUUGUAAAACACUUCGAUCGAAACGUGCUUGACUAUCCUAUUUUAUUUAUUGAUGAUCUAUCUGUUUGGUUGGUUGAUAAAAAGAUUAUUGUUUUUGAUAAUUUUUAUGAUGCAUGUGUGAGUGAAUCUAUAGUCCAUCGAUUAAUGCAUGGUAUGAUUGUGAAACUCUGUGAACUGUGUGAACCUUUUCAAAUACCUACUUGUGACGAUUACGUUUACCAUUUGAUUUAUUACUCGCAAUUUAUUCAUGGUUUGUGGAAACAAUUUGAGAUGAUUGAAUGCCUUAAAACAUGUCCAUCUUUGUUUCGAAUAUUUGACGAGGCAUUAGCAAGUAAAUUAGCAAGUAAAUUAGCUUAUGAUUGGACAUCAAGUUUGUUUGUGUUGCUAUUUACUAACUCAUGGCUAUUCUUUUUAGUGGACUCAAUUGCCAUUAGUCCCGUUCGAUCGAGGAAAGUCGAGUAAGAGGAUGAUACAAGUCACAAAGGCCCAACUGAAGCUCAAGAACAUGAUGGGCACAAAUUACCACAAUGCCAAAUAACGAGGUCAAAGGCCAGACAAAUGCGUUCAAAACUAAAUGGAACCAUUCAAGAAUUUAUUAGCAAGGCCUUAAAUGCGUACACGAAGGAAAAAGAAAAUCAAGAUUCACUUUCUUGUUUUCAAGAAAAUCAAGAAACCGAAUCUUGGUCCAAUUUUGCUGUUUGGAGCGAUUUCUAGAAUCAAGAAAACCAAGAUUUCAAAUCUUGGAAAUAUUGGUCCAAGAAACUGAAUCUUGCAGCUAAGGCGCAUUGGAUCUCCGUUACGAGCAUCAACGAACCAAUUUCAGAAGGAAAUGGACUACAAGCCCAAGUUCUUGAAGGCAAGGCCCAAUAAGAUGUUCCAAGCCCAAUCAAGAAAGUUAAAUGAGACUUAGUUGAAAAACAGGCCAAAUUGACAAAGUGGCCCAAUUUGUAAAAUUUUAAUUCUUUAAAUACCUAGUUUAAUUUUUAGACUUUAUGAUUAAUGCCUAUGUAAAAAAUUCAGCCCAUUAAAUGCCUUGGCCGAAUGUUUCCCUCUAAAUUUAAUAAUUAGGUUUUUUUUUAGUUUUCUAAUAAGAUUAGGAAAAUAGUUAGAAGGCCUAUUAAUAGGCUUGGCUGGCCACCUUGUGAAAACAUUUGAAUAAUACAUUGAAAUUAGAUUUGUUUUGUUGAGUGAAAAUUCUCUUUGAGUUCUCCAAAAAUUUUCUCUUGAGUUUUCUUUAGAAGGAGUUUUAACAAUCUUUUGAUUGUGGGAGCCAUCUUCAGCCUUCUUCUUGCCAUUAUUCUUCAUUGAAGGGAAGAUUAAAGCCGUUUGAAGGGAGUUGUGAUAUCUAACUUGUUUAAACUCUCUUGUUGCGUCUCCAGCCCCGUUCAACCUUCAAGGAUUUGUUCGGUAUCAACCUUGGACAACAAGAAACAUUUUGAUUUCACAAAACCCCUCUUUAUUGCCGUCCAAACCCUAGAUCUAAUUGAUUUCGUGAUCUACUGAGUUUUUUUGAAAUUAACUUGCUGUUCUGUGUUUUUCUUUUCAGAUUCGGCUGUUUGAAACCUAUCUUGAAUUCAAUUCCAUGUUCUUGGCUUCCAAUAUUAGCUAUCCAUAGGUGUUUUUAAUUCUUGGCUGAUCUUUUAUUGAUUUGGGUAUUUUCGUUUCAGAUCUAUUUGAUUCUAAACUAAAUUUUCUGUUUCAUUUCAGAUCCAAGAGUUUAGAAUUUUCGUAGGAGUUUCCCGUGACUUGACAACUCGAUCUUGGUCCGUACGCAACCCCUAUCAUUUGGUAUUAGAUUUUGGGCAUUUUGGGUGUUCUUAGCUGAUUUCUAAACUGAUCUCCUUUUAAAAACAUUAAACAGCAGUUUUUACCCAGAAAAAUUUUUGGAAAAAAAUUCAUUUGAGUGGGUAAACAUUUUUCGAUUGGUCUGAAAUUUUACAUGCAUAUUUGUGGCACUGUGAUAGAAUAUUAAAAAAUAUUUCCCGCAAAAAAAUCAGUAGAAAAAGUCAAACAAUUGAAAAAGACGAAAUCAAGAAAAAAUUUAAAAAAUAUUCAGCGGGUUGAUUUUAGUGCCGAAACUUUCCAGAUCAAGUAUACAAUAUUUAAGGACAUUCAAGUUUAAAUUUCGUGAUUUUUGGAGAUCGGGAACACCUUCUUCUUUCUUGUGUUUGUAGGAUUUAAACGUGUGCAGAAUUCUUCAUCGGUGCAACACGAAUCAAUUGGUGUCUCGUCAUUUUUUGGACUCCUAGUGCAAAUUAGGAUUCUUUGGUAGUUUCGGUUCAUACACUUUCUAAUUGAUUGAUAUAAACUCUACUAAAGAACUCACAAGACUGAAUUCUACCUCUUUGAGAAUUUGAUUUUUCUUUCUGAGUGAUUAACGAUGAGGUUUGCUAAGUUUCCUUUUUGAGUGUUGAGUGUUUGUUUUGCAGGUUUUUGAAAAAAAAUGUCUAGGAUUGGUUAAGUUGAUAAUGACCAUAAUGAUGUCCAUGAUGCAUUUACAAAGUUCCAACAACAUUUUGACGAACAGGUGGCCUUACUUCGAACAUUGAGUGCUACUAUCAAUGAGAUGCAAUUGGAUCAAGAGCCUCAGUAUCGGGGUCCAAUUAAAGAAGAUGUGGAUAAUUAGCCUCCUGCUCAUAGGCGCGCUCCUAGACGUGUACCUAUAACUGACUAUGAUUUUCAUGAUUGUGGGCAACCCUCUUUGGCAAAACCAAAGUUCACAAUUCCUCAAUUUCAUGGUAAGAAUGAUCCAGAAGCUUAUUGUGAAUGGGAAUCUAAAAUUGAGCUUAUGUUCCUCGUUUAUAAAUGUCCGGAUGAUGAAAAGGUAGCUUUAGCAACACUGGAGUUUUCAGAUUAUGUAUUAAGUUGGUGGACUCAACUUGGGGUAAAUCGUCAUAGGAAUUAUGAAGGUGAGAUUAUGACAUGGGAGGAGUUAAAACAAGUUAUGCGUAAAAGAUUUGUUCCACCUUAUUACUAUAGAGAAGUUAAAACAAAGCUUAGACGACUUAUUCAAGGUAGUAGGGCGGUGGAUGAAUACCUUAAGGAGAUGGAGAUGCUCAUUUAGAGAGCUAAUGUGGAGGAGGAUGAUGAAACAACAAUGGUUCGAUUUAUUGAUGGUUUGAAUAGGCCAAUAGCUAAUACAUUGAGGCUAAAAACUUACAUUGAUUUAGAAGAAGCAGUUCAUAAAGCCAUUGAGAUCGAGCAUCAAUUAAAGGAAUAAAGGUUUGGUUCCUUCUCUACUUCACAAUAUUACAGAUGUAAUACUUCCAAUUCUGAUUUUAAAAGUUCGAAAUCACCUUUUGUUACUAAUAAGUCUUCUUUGAGUAAUGGAAGUAAGCAAUCAGUUUGGAAAAAAGGGGCUCCUGUUAAAGCGCAAACACCUUCUAAGCAGCCCAAUUUAGGCUAUUGGAAUGUGAAGAGGACUCGUAAGAUUGAUGUUUCAAGUGCAAAAGGCGUGGUCAAUAUAGUAGGGACUGCCCUAACACGAGAUUACUUCUUAUGAAAGAUAAUGGUGAGUACACUUCCUACUCCGAUAAAAUAGAUCCAGAUAUGCCAGAACUUAUGGAUGAUAGCGAUAAUGGAGAAGAGUUGGUUGAACCACCAAAAGAAGGGGACUUUGCCGAUUUUCAAUGCCUUGUAGUUUGCUGCACCCUUAACAUCCAGAUGAGGACGAUGUUGAUAACCAAAGGGCCAAUAUUUUCCAUUCUUGGUGUUUUAUAAAAGGUAACUUAUGUUCACUUAUUAUUGAUAGCGGGAGUUGUUCAAAUGUUGUGAGCAGUUAUUUCGUGGAUUCUUUAAAGUUACCUUGUACCAAGAACCCUAAGCCGUAUCAACUUCAAUGGCUUAAUGAAUGCUCAAAAGUUAAAGUUACAAAAUAGAGAAUUAUGAGGAUGAGGUCUGGUGUGAUGUGGUCCCAAUGCAUGCGACACACUUGCUCCUUGGAUGGCCUUGGCAAUUUAUCGUGAUGUUACACACCAAGGUAAGCUCAAUAGAUACUCCAUUGUGCUUAAAGGCUGAAAAUUCACUUUUUCUCCUUUAAAUCCCAAUGAUGUAUACAGAGAUCAAUUAAAGAUGAUGAAACUUUGUGAGGGGGUAAGGGAGAAAGGACAAAUACAAAAGAUAGAGAGAAAAGAGGCUAGUAGUGAAAAAAGUCAAAAUUUAAAUGGCCCAAUGGUAAGUGAAUCCGCAAGUGGUAAAACUAGAGUGAAAAUUUUGAUGGCAACAAAAAAAGAUGUGCGGAGAGCCCUACUCAAUAAACAGCCUUGUAUCCUUGUGAAGUUUAGGCAAAACUAUUUAUCUUUAUCUAACAUUAACGAAAAUUUGCCUAGUGCGUUUCAGUGUCUUUUGUAGGAUUAUGAGGUUGUUUUUAGUGAGGCUCCUAAAGGUUUACCACCUUUACGUGGGAUAGAGCAUCAAAUUGACUUAGUACCCGGAGCUUCAAUACCAAAUUGACCAGCCUAUAGAAGCAAUCCCGAGGAGACAAAGGAAUUGCAAAGGUAAGUUGAGGAGUUACUAGACAAAGGGUACAUUCGUGAGAGCCUAAGCCCUUGUGCCGUUCCUGUCUUAUUGGUACCAAAGAAAGAUGGUAUGUAUAGAAUGUGUGUUGAUUGCCGCCCAAUCAACAAAAUAACGGUAAAGUAUAGACAUCCAAUUCCUCGACUUGAUGAUAUGCUUGAUGAUUUACAUGGUUCAAUUAUAUUUACUAAAAUUGAUUUAAAAAGCGGUUAUCAUCAAAUUCGAAUGAGGGAAGGGGAUGAAUGGGAAACAGCCUUUAAAACAAAAUUUGGAUUGUAUGAAUGGUUAGUUAUGCCUUUUCGCCUUUCUAAUGCACCGAGUACAUUUAUGAGAUUAAUGAAUCACGUUUUAAGGCUUCACUUGGGUAAAUUUGUAGUAGUUUACUUUGAUGAUAUUUUAAUUUACUCCAAGACAUUAGAUGAUCAUGUUUUCCAUGUUAGAACCGUUUUAGAUAUUCUGCGAGCUGAAAAAUUGUUUGCCAACCUUGAUAAAUGCACAUUUUGUUGUGAUAAGCUAAAAUUUUUAGGUUUCAUAGUCAGUGCUCAAGGUAUUCAUGUUGAUGAGGAUAAAGUCAAGGCAAUCAAGGAGUGGCCGACUCCUAAAUCGGUAACUGAGGUGAGAUCUUUCCAUGGUUUAGCUAGUUUUUAUAGACAAUUUGUGAAAGAUUUCUCCACUAUUGCUGCCCCAUUAACAGAGGUUAUCAAAAAAUCCGUGGGUUUCAAAUGGGGUGAAACUCAAGAAAAGGCUUUUCAGACCCUAAAAGCUAAGUUAUGUUUGCUCCUCUUCUUAAAUUACUUGAUUUUACUAAUACUUUUGAAUUGAGUAUGAUACUUCAGGAAUUGGCAUUGGCGCCGUUUUAAUGCAAGAUAAGCAACCAAUUGCUUAUUUUAUUGAAAAAUUGAAUGGUGCAUAAUUAAACUACUCAACUUAUGAUAAAGAACUUUUGGCAUUGGUUCGUGAACUUCAAGUAUGGCAACAUUAUUUGCUGCCCAAUGAAUUUGUCAUACAUACAGAUCAUGAAUCCCUCAAGUGGUUAAAUGGACAAGGUAAGUUGAGUAAACGACAUGCCCGAUGGGUAGAAUUCAUUGAAACAUUCCCUUAUGUGAUAAAAUAUAAAACAAGUAAAGAUAAUGUAGUUGCGGAUGCUUUGUCUAGACGAUAUGUUUUAAUAACUACAUUAAAUGCUAAAGUAUUAGGGUUUGAGCGUAUUAAGGAAUUAUAUAAUGAUGAUGCUGGUUUCGGCCAUAUCUAUAGAAAUUGUGGACAUACUACUUUUGAGAAGUUUUAUCUCAUAGAUUGCUUUCUUUUUUGUAUAAACAGGUUAUGCAUACCAAAGUGUUCCAUGCAAGACUUAUUAAUGCAUGAGGCUCAUAGUGGGGGUUUAAUGGGACAUUUUGGUGUGGCCAAAACACUAGACAUCUUGCAAGAACACUUCCAUUGGCCACAUAUGAAGAAGGAUGUCGAAAAGGUAUGUUCUAAGUGCAUUACAUGCAAACAAGAAAAAUCGAAGGUAAUGCCUCAUGGCCUUUACACUCAUUUACCGAUUCCUACUUCACCAUGGGUAGACUUAUCCAUGGAUUUUAUUCUAGGUUUGCCACGAACUAAGAAAGGAAGAGAUAGUAUAUUUUUUGUUGUUGACAGUAUUUCCAAGAUGACACAUUUUAUUCCUUGUCACAAAACAGAUGAUGCUACUCAUGUGGUAGACUUAUUUUUUAAAGAGGUGGUAUGACUUCAUGGCAUCCCUAAAACAAUUGUUUUUGACAGAGAUGUCAAAUUCCUUAGCCACUUUUGGAAGGUAUUAUGGGGUAAGCUUGGUACGAAAUUACUUUAUUCAACUACAUGUCACCCCCAAACCGAUGGCCAAACUGAAUUAGUUAAUCGAAUAUUAGGAGCCUUAUUACGAUUUGUUGUGGGAAAAAACAUUAAAAAUUGGGAAGAAUGUCUACCAUUUGUCAAAUUUGCAUAUAAUAGAUCUAUUCAUUCUACAAAUAGUUAUUCUCCAUUUAAACGUGUUUAUGGUUUUAACCCACUAAUAGUACUUGAUCUUGCACCAUUACCACUUGAACAUAUUGUUAAUUUAGAUGGCGAACAGAAAGCCGAGUUGGUGAAAUCCUUACACGAGAAGGCUAGGCAACGAAUAGCCAAAACAAAUGACGUCAACACCAACAAAGAAAACAAGGGGCGCAAACGUGUUGUCCUUGAACCUGGAGAUUGGGUUUGGGUCCAUAUGAGGAAAGAAUGAUUUCCUACAAAAAGAGAGACCAAGUUGGACCAAAGGGGCGAUGGGCCUUUCCAUGUACUCGAGCGGAUCAACGAUAAUGCAUACAAAAUUGAUCUACCCGGUGAGUACAAUGUAAGUUCUACUUUCAAUGUGGCUAACUUAUCUCCAUUUGAUUUUUUAGAUUCGAGGAUGAAUCUUUUUGAGGAAGGGGGAAUGAUACGAGUCACAAAGGACCAACUUAAGCUCCAGAACGUGAUGGGCUCAAAUUACCACAAGGCCCAAUAACGAGGUCAAAGGCCAGACAAAUGUGUUCAAAACUAAAUGGAACCAUUCAACAAUUUAUUAGCAAGGCCUUUGAUGCAUACACGAAGGAAAAAGAAAAUCAAGAUUCACUUUCUUGUUUUCAAGAAAAUCAUGAAACCGAAUCUUGGUCCAAUUUUGCUGUUUGGAGCGAUUUCAAGAAUCAAGAAAAUCAAGAUUUCAAAUCUUGGAAAUCUUGGUCCAAGAAAUCAAAUCUUGCAGUUAAGGCAUAUUGGAUCUCCGUUACGAGCAUCAACGAACCAAUUUCGGAAAGAAACAGACUACAAGCCCAAGUUCUUGAAGGUAAGGCCUAAUAAGAUGUUCCAAGCCCAAUCAAGAAAGUUAAAUGAGACUUAGUUGAAAAUCAGGCCAAAUUGUCAAAGUGGCCCAAUUUGUAAAAUUUUAUUUCUUUAAAUACCUAGUUUAAUUUUUAGACUUUAUGAUUAAUGCCUAUGUAAAAAAAUUAAGACCAAGCAGCCCAUUAAAUGCCUUGGCCGAAUUUUUCCCUCUAAAUUUAAUAAUUAGGUUUUUUUUUAGUUUUCUAAUAAGAUUAGGAAAAUAGAAAGAAGGCCUAUUAAUAGGCUUGGCCGGCCACCUUGUGAAAACACUUGAAUAAUACAUUGAAAUCAAAUUUGUUUUGUUGAGUGAAAAUUCUCUUUGAAAUCUCCAAGGAUUCUCUCUUGAGUUUUCUUUAGAAGGAGUUUUAACAAUCUUUUUCGAUAGAGGGUUGCACGCGGACCAAGGUCGAGUUGCCAAGUCACGAGAAAAUUCCAAAGAAAGCUUUAGACAAUCGGAUCUGAAAUGAAACAAAGAAAUCAAACUUAUCAGUACCAGAUCUGAAACGAAAACACUAAAACCGUGGAUAAUUAGCUAAUAAUUAGAACAUGAAUUAAUAUGGUUCCUUGGAGGCCAAGAAAUGAGAUCUAAGUAGUAAGAACGACUCUCCAAGCUAAAUCUAAACUGGAGAAAACGAAACAGCAACUUAAACUCAAGUGAUUAAAAAACCAAAUCAGAAUAGGAAAUAGAGUACUUGGGCGGCAAGAAAUCUGAAAAAAAAAUGAUUAACGAACGGUUCUUGAUGUCAAAUGUGGUGCAAAGAUAGAUCUUGAACUUUGGGAAUGGUCGAAACGAACAAGAACAAUAAAAUCUGAAACGAAACAGCAAGACCAAUGUAGAAUCAAUUAGAUCUGAAAUUAAAAUAAUAAAAACAAUAAAAGAGGGGUUUGGACGGCAAGAAAGAUGGGUUUGGAGAAUCAAAACAUUUCUUUAUGUCCAAGGGUGGUGCCGAUCAGAUUCUUGAAGGUUGAACGGGGCUGGAAACGCAAUAAGAGAACGUAAACAAGUUAGAUAAUGAAAUCGUCACAAGCAGAAAUUAAAAAGAGAUUGAACAGCAAGAAAAUAAAGAUAAAGUCCUAAGAAGCCUUGAAAUCCAUAAAGAUUUCACAACUCCAUUCAAACGGCUCUAAUCUUCCCUCCAAUGAAGAACAAUGGCAAGAAGAAGGCUGAAGAUGGCUCCCAUAAUAUAAAAGACUGUUAAAACUACUUCUAAAGAAAACUCAAGAGAAAUUUCUUGGAGAAAAACUCAAGAGAAUUUGUAAGCAAUCAAAAUCUGAUUUCAAGUGUAUUGUUGUAUGUAUGGCCGGCCAAGACUUACAUAUAUAUAGGCCUCUAUUAUAUUCCUAACCUAUUAGAAAACUAAAACUAAAAAAAAACUCCUAAUUAUUUCAUUUAAAGGGCAAUUCAGCCAAUGGCUUUUAAUUUGGCCUCUUGGACUAAAUAUACAUAGUAAUUAAUUUAUAAAGUCUAAAAUUGAAAUUAAGUAUUUAAAGAAUUAAAAUUUUACAAAUUGGGCUACUUUGACAAUUUGUCUUGAUUUUCAACUAAGUCUGAUUUAACUUUCUUGAUUGGGCUUGGAACAUCUUAUCGGGUCUUGCCUUCAAGAACUUGGGCUUGUAGUCCGUUUCCUACCAAAAUUGGUUCGUUGAUGCUCAUAACGAAUAUCCAAUGCGCCUUAGCUGCAAGAUUCGGUUUCUUGGACCAAGACUUCAAAGAUUUGAAAUCUUGAUUUUCUUGAUUCUUGAAAUCGCUCCAAAUAGCAAAAUUGGACCAAGAUUUUGUUUAUUGAUUUUCUUGAAAACAAGAAAGUGAAUCUUGAUUUUCUUUUUCCUUCGUGUACACAUCUAAGUCCUUGCUAAUAAAUUCUUGAAUGGUUCCAUUUAGUUUUGAACGCCUUUGUCUAGCCUUUGACCUCGUUAUUGGGCAUUGUGGUAAUUUGAGCCUAUCACGUUCUUGAGCUUGAAUUGGGCCUUUGUGACGCGUAUCAUUACCCCCUUCCUCAAAAAUAUUCAUCCUCGAAUUAGAAAAAUCAAAUGGAGAUAAGUCGGCCACAUUGAAAGUAGAACUCAAAUUGUACUCACCGGGUAGAUCAAUUUUGUAGGCAUUAUCGUUGAUCCGCUCGAGUACUUGGAAAGGCCCAUCUCCCCUUAGGUUCAACUUGGUCUUUCUUUUUAUAGGAAAUCGUUCUUUCCUCAUAUGGACCCAAACCUAAUCUCCGAGUUCAAGGACAACCCAUUUGCGCCCCUUGUUUGCUUUGUUGGUGUUGACGUCAUUUGUUCGCCAACUCAGCUUUUUGUUCGCCAUCUAAAUUAACAAUAUGUUGAAGUGGUAAUGGCGCAAGAUCAAGUACUCUUAGUGGGUUAAAACCAUAAACAAGUUCAAAUGGAGAAUAACUAGUUGUGGAAUGAAUAGACCUAUUAUAUGCAAAUUCAACAAAUGGUAGACAUUCUUCCCAAUUUUUAAUGUUCUUUACCACAACAGAUCGUAAUAAGGCUCCUAGGAUGUGAUUAACUAGCUCAGUUUGGCCAUCGGUUUGGGGGUGACAUGCAGUUGAAUAAAGUAAUUUCAUACCAAGCUUAGGCCACAAUACUUUCCAAAAGUGGCUAAGAAAUUUGACAUCUCUGUCAGAAACAAUUGUUUUAGGGAUGCCAUGAAGUCUUACCACCUCUUUAGAAAAUAAGUCUGCCACAUGUGUAGCAUCAUCUGUUUUGUGACAAGGAAUAAAAUGUGUCGUCUUUGAAAACCUGUCAACAACAACAAAUAUACUAUCUCUUCCUUUCUUAGUUCGAGGCAAACCUAGAAUAAAUUCCAUGGAUAAGUCUACCCAUGGUGAAGUAGGAAUCGGUAAAUGAGUGUAAAGGCCAUGAGGCAUUACCUUCGAUUUUGCUUGUUUACAUGUAAUGAACUUAGAACAUACCUUUUCGACAUCCUUCUCCAUGUGUGGCCAAUGGAAGUGUUCUUGCAAGAUGUCUAGUGUUUUGGCCACUCAAAAAUGUCCCAUUAAACCCCCACUAUGGGCCUCAUGCAUCAAUAAGUCUCGCAUGGAACACUUUAGUAUGCAUAACCUGUUUAUACGAAAAAGAAAGCCAUCUACGAGAUAAAUCUUCUCAAAAGUAGUAUGUCCACAAUUUCUAUAGAUAUGGCCGAAAUCAACAUCAUCAUUAUAUAAUUCCUUAAUAUGCUCAAACCCUAAUACCUUAGCAUUCAAUGUAGUUAUUGAAGCAUAUCGUCUAGACAAAGCAUCCGCAACUACAUUAUCUUUACCUAUUUUAUAUUUUAUCACAUAAGGGAAUGUUUCAAUGAAUUCUACCCAUCGGGCAUGCCGUUUACUGAACUUACCUUGUCCCUUUAACCACUUGAGGGAUUCAUGAUCUGUAUGUAUUACAAAUUCAUUGGGCAGCAAAUAAUGUUGCCAUACUUGAAGUGCACGAACCAAUGCCAAAAGUUCUUUAUGAUAAGUUGAGUAGUUUAAUUGUGCACCAUUCAAUUUUUCACUAAAAUAAGUAAUUGGUUGCUUAUCUUGCAUUAAAAUGGCACCAAUGCCAAUUCCUGAAGCAUCACACUGAAGUUCAAAAGUAUUAGUAAAAUCAGGUAAUUUAAAAAGAUGAGCAAACAUAACUUAGCUUUUAGGGUCUAAAAAGCCUUUUCUUGAGUUUCACCCCAUUUGAAACCCACAGAUUGUUUUAUAACCUCUGUUAACGGGGCAGUAAUAGUAGAGAAAUCUUUCACAAAUCGUCUAUAAAAACUAGCUAAACCAUGGAAAGAUCUCACCUCAGUUACUGAUUUAGGAGUCGGCCACUCCUUGAUUGCCUUGACUUUGUCCUCAUCGACAUGAAUAACUUGAGCACUGACUAUGAAACCUAAAAAUAUUAGAUUAUCAUAACAAAAUGUGCAUUUAUCAAGGUUGGCAAACAAUUUUUCAUCUCGUAGAAUAUCUAAAACGGUUCUAACAUGGAAAACAUGAUCAUCUAAUGUCUUGGAGUAAAUUAAAAUAUUAUCAAAGUAAACUACUACAAAUUUACCCAAGUGAAGACUUAAAACAUGAUUCAUUAAUCUCAUAAAUGUACUCGGUGCAUUAGAAAGGCCAAAAGGCAUAACUAACCAUUCAUACGAUCCAAAUUUUGUUUUAAAGGCUGUUUUCCAUUCAUCCCCUUCCUUCAUCCGAAUUUGAUGAUAACCGCUUUUAAAAUUAAUUUUAGUAAAUAUAAUCGAACCAUGUAAUUAAUCAAGCAUAUCAUCAAGUCUUGGAAUGGAUGUCUAUACUUUACCAUUAUUUUGUUGAUUGGGUGGCAAUCAACACACAUUCUAUACGUACCAUCGUUCUUCGGUGCCAAUAAGACAAGAACGGUACAAGGGCUUACGCUCUCACGAAUGUACCCUUUGUCUAGUAACUCCUCAACUUGCCUUUGCAAUUCCUUUGUCUCCUCGGGAUUGCUUCUAUAGGCUGGUCAAUUUGGUAUUGAGGCUCCAGGUACUAAGUCAAUUUGAUGCUCUAUCCCACGUAAAGGAAGUAAACCUUUAAAGGUCUCACUAAAAACAUCCUCAUAAUCCUACAAAAGACACUGAAACACACUAGGAAAAUUUUCGUUAAUGUUAGAUAAAGAUAAAUAGUUUUGCUUAACCUCACAGGCUGUUUAUUGAAUAGGGCUCUCCACACAUCUUUUUUGUUGCCAUCAAAUUUUUCACUCUAGUUUUACCACUUGCGGAUUCACUCACCUUUGGGCCAUUUAAAUUUUGAAUUUUUUCACUAGUAGCCUCUUUUCUCUCUGUCUUUUGUAUUUUCUCCUUUCUCCCUUACCCCCUCACAAAAUUUCAUCAUCUUUAAUUGAUCUCUGUAUACAUCAUUGGGAUUUAAAGGAGCAAAAGUGAAUUUUCGACCUUUAAACACAAGGGAGUAUCUAUUGAGCUUACCUUUAAGUGUGCUGCAUGCAUUGGGACCACAUCACACCAUACCUCAUUCUAAUAAUUCCCGAGCUUAAAAGUGAUCAAGGACUGUUUUGUAACUUUAACUUCUGAACAUUCAUUCAGCCAUUGAAUGUGAUAUGGCUUAGGGUGUUUGGUACAAGGUAAACUUUAAAGAAUCCACCAAAUAACUGCUCAUCUACAUUCGAACAACUCCCACUAUCAAUAAUAAGUGAACAUAAGUUACCUUUUAUAAAACACCUAGAAUGGAAAAUAUUGGUCCUUUGAUUAUCAAACAUCGUCUCUCAUUUUGAUGUUAAGGGUGAGGCGGAAUACAAGGACCGCAUUAUAUGGGCAUUAUUCUCAUCGUCCGGCUUGACCAAUUCUAGACAUCCUUAUUUUAAACAAAACACUGCAAAACAAACACUCAACACUCAAAAAAAAAUUAACAAACCUCACCGUUAAUCACUCAAAAGGAAAUCAAUUCUUAAAGAGGUAGAAUUUAGUAUUGGUGCGUUCUUUAGUAGAGUCUAUAUCAAUCAAUUUGGAAAGUGUAUGAACCGUAACUACCAAGAAUCUUAAUUGCACUAGAGUCCAAAAGUGGAACGAGACUCCAAUUGAUUUGUGUCGCAUCGAGGAAGAAUUGUGCACACUUUUAAAUCCUACUAACACAAGAAACAAGAAGUGUUAGAUAGUGUAAAGGAAGAAUAAAGGCAAACAAAUGAAAACCUACAGCUAAGAAUCAAUAAAAAUUGAUGAAACCCGAAAAACCCGAAAAAAACUGAGGAGUAACUUGACAACUUCAAUCGAGGUGUUCCUGAUCUUCAAAAAUCAUGAAAUUUAAACUGGAAUUUUCUUAAAUAUUUUAUAUUGAUCUAGAAAGUUUUGACACUAAACUCAACCCGCUGAAUAUUUUUAAAAUUUUACUUAAUUUCGUCUUUUCAAAAUUUUUGACUUUUCUACUGAUUUUUUUUGAGGAAAAUAUUUUUUAAUAUUCUAUCACAGUGCCAAAAAUAUGCAUGUAAAUGUCAGACCAAUCAAAAAACGUUUACCCACUCAAAAUGAAUUUUUUUCCAAAAAUUUUUCCGGGUAAAAACUGCUGUUUAAUGUUUUUAAAAGGAGAUCAGUUAGAAAUCACCCAAGAACACUCAAAACACCCAAAAUCUGAUACCAAAGGAGAGAGGGUUUGUGCGGACCNNNNNNNNNNNNNNNNNNNNNNNNNNNNNNNNNNNNNNNNNNNNNNNNNNNNNNNNNNNNNNNNNNNNNNNNNNNNNNNNNNNNNNNNNNNNNNNNNNNNNNNNNNNNNNNNNNNNNNNNNNNNNNNNNNNNNNNNNNNNNNNNNNNNNNNNNNNNNNNNNNNNNNNNNNNNNNNNNNNNNNNNNNNNNNNNNNNNNNNNNNNNNNNNNNNNNNNNNNNNNNNNNNNNNNNNNNNNNNNNNNNNNNNNNNNNNNNNNNNNNNNNNNNNNNNNNNNNNNNNNNNNNNNNNNNNNNNNNNNNNNNNNNNNNNNNNNNNNNNNNNNNNNNNNNNNNNNNNNNNNNNNNNNNNNNNNNNNNNNNNNNNNNNNNNNNNNNNNNNNNNNNNNNNNNNNNNNNNNNNNNNNNNNNNNNNNNNNNNNNNNNNNNNNNNNNNNNNNNNNNNNNNNNNNNNNNNNNNNNNNNNNNNNNNNNNNNNNNNNNNNNNNNNNNNNNNNNNNNNNUAUUAUCUUUUCAAGAUCAGCCGAAUAUAUAUUGAAUCUAAUUUGCUUAUAGCUUUUGUAGGUACAGCCAAAUGUAGGAACACCAUUAAUGAUAAUUCAUGAACGGGCUGGUUCAAUGUACGUGCGGGUACAUGAAUGACUACAUGCAAUCAAUGAAUGCCUUAAGGGAGAUACAUGUAUGGUUCAUUACAAUGAAUGGAAGAAUGCAUGAAUGAUCAUCUACAUGCAUCGUCUGCUGUCCAUUGGUCUCCUAUGUACUUAUUCGGCCAAGAAGCAUCUUUUGGAGAGUCCAUUCGCACUUUGGCCUGAAUCUAGACAUAGCCGAAUUUCUUCCAUGCAUUCACAAGCAGCCAAUACAUUUCCUUAGCUAUGAAGCUGAUCAUUGAACUCCUCAUUCAACCGAAUAUAGUCUUAGUUAAUAGAAAAUACAUUGUUAGAUUAAUUCACACAAUUAAAGUCGAAUUGCUUAGUUCUUAAGUUUGUCUAUUCGGCUAUCAUAUGUAAACUAUAAAUAGUUUAUUUCUCUUUGUAAAAAGGUUAGACAUUUUGAAUUAUUAAAACUAGAUUGUGAGGUUGCCUCCUCUCUUCUUUCGUUCGAGUCUCGAAGCGACUUAUCUAGCUAGCUAGUGGCGUCAAUUCGAACUCAAUUGAACUUAUCACCAAAACAGUGUGGUGUUCAACCAUCAUUUUAUACGUUUGGUUCUUACCUCAUUAUAGGUAACGGGUCAAGGUUCGCCUUUUACUUUUGAUCUAACCCACCUUAAGCAAUAUAAGACUCAGGGCAAUACUUUGAUAGUAUUGAAUCAUUCUUGAAGCUUGAGUUCGUUUCUCCAUUCCCUUAAUCUAUCAACUUACAAUUCUAUUUUCCUUUGUUAAGCCGAACGUAUCAAUCAUCAAUCCAAGCCAUCUUUGAACCCAUUUUGACUACUUCCGCUUAUAAAUCAACCUAACUCCAUCUAUCAACAAAUUUGAACGAACUUCUCAUCGACAAUCGUGCAAUUUAAGUGAAUUUGACUCAAUCAAUCAAGCUAGAUCACAUCAUUUGGUAUCAGAGCUUACAAAACGAGGAACACCGACGUUCGUAGCUAUCCCGAAAGAAGGUUCGUGAAUUGAAAAAAAAUUGUUAUUGUUAUUCAUUGUAUUCAGCAUAUUGUGUUUGAGAAGUAAAAAAAAGAAAAUUCGAGUAUUAAAAAAAAGUGAAGUGUUGAAAAUUCUGUUUCUUCUUUUAAGUAUCGCAUACGAGAGUUCUACAUUAUUUCCUUUAUUCUACCUCAAACGCCACACUUAUACCCUGAUUUUAUUUUGUUUUAGCCUACCCUACACCAUUUUGAUGUGUGCUUACCUGCGAACCAAGAGGAGUUCGAACAAGUUGCCAAUUGGUCCGAUAAGAGAGCUCAAGUCAAACAAUUUAAGGAAGCUAUUUCAGCAAUGUUGGAACGAACAUGGGAAAGUGAAAGCAAGGAGCUCAAAAACGAAGUCAAUAUUUUCAAUUUUUGGGAGGCCGAAUUUCGUUCCAGCUAAUAUAUUUGCUGCUGGAAUUUGGACCAUUUAAAUUAAGCAUUUACUUAAGUUUUACUACAGCUUAUUAAUUUGUCUUUAAUUAAUAUAAAUGUUUAAUUUGUCUUGUAUUAGUUAAAUUAAAUAUGUCUUGAAUUAAUUAAGUUUGUCUUAAUUUAAUACAUGUGUUAAAACUGUCCAGCCAAAUUUAUGAGUCAUGUUAGUUAAUAUUUAAGUUGUCACAAUGUUAAUUAGAAUGUUUACAUUAUGUUUUUAAACUAGUUCAGCUGAAUUUAUUUAAUUUAAUUAAGUUCAUGUCUGUUGUUUAGGUGCAGCCAAAUUUGAAGAUACAUUGGACAGAUUCAUGCAUGUAGAUUCAUCCAUAGGGAGAUGCAUUUGCAGCUGGUACAUUUCAUGCAUUGAAGAUGAAUUAAUUUGGGAUUAUUCAAGACAACUAUUCGGCCAUGAGUUAGUAGCCAUAUCAAUCUUCAAGGUUGGCCGAUUAUCUUCCCAAAGUAGCCUAAUGCAUUUCACACCAACCGUUCACACCUUGGCUGUUCAGUUCAACUCGUUCACACCAUGAGGCUUUCCAAAACCGUCCAUUCACACCUGAAUUGGCUGCUCAAGUUCCCACUUUAAUUCUGGUAAUUUUUAGCAAAAGUUGCUUAUUCAAUGAGUCCAUUAAACUCAUUAAUCGAAUUUAGCUGCUGCAUGAAUCUCCAAAUUUAGUUGCUUAAUUUAGAAGCUGCCCCUUGAUCUCCAUUCAGCCGAAUCUUUGCUACAGCCAUCCAAUGAAUCAAAAGCUAGGAAUUUAUUUCAAGAUUACUUAGUUUUUAAGUCAUGAACUUGUCCAUUCAGUUACUAGACUUUUAGGCUAUAAAUAGUUGCUGAUUUUCUUGUAAAAGGACUUAUUUGCCAAAAUUCUGAAUGAACUAUAUUUUUGGUGAGUUAAUUCACUCUCCUUAUUCUCCAAAGCUCAAUUGACUUAUCUUCACAAGUGGCGUCAAUCUGACUUUGUUUCCAAACUUAUCCCCCUUGGUGUGGCGUUCAAAAUUAUACCGAAGGUUCCUAUUUUGCUAAAUAAAGGGUCUCAGUUUUAUUCCUAUUCAUUCCUUUUUCUUUGAAACCUUUUAAGCCCGGGUCCUUAUUUGCUAAUAAGGGUUUGAUCUUGUUUCAUUGAAUUACCAUCUUUGUUAACCCUCUAUCAUAAACCCAACUACACCUUUGUUUGAACAAGUUAUUCAAUCUUUGAAGUUCUUUGACUUAAAACUCAUUAUUUGACACUACCUAAAUUCGAUCGGGAAUUAUUACGACUCGUCACAUCUUCUGAGAUGAGCUCGUAUCAAUUUCAUCAUUCCAUUUGUUACCCAUUUUGAAACUGACCCAUAAGAAGCAAAUUAAGUCUACCGAGAUGAAUUACAAAAUUGUGAGAUGAGGUCGAGUGGUAAAAGGCAAGAGUGAAUUACAUCAAAGAAAAAGCCAGAAUUGAGUGCAAAUAUGAGUGCGAGUGAUAAUUAUUUCUUUUCGAGUGAUGCAAACCAGCCCGGGUGAAUCGAAUUACUUCUCAUAGUUUCCCGGUCGUCAACGAGGAGUAGUUGGAGUUGUCAAAAUUGGGUGAAUUAGGCUAAGGGUUGCGGAAUCUUUUAAAGGAGUUUAGAUGAGUGGUUUGGUGUUGGUAGGUUCGGUUUAGAAUAGAAACAAGGUAGGAUAGAAAAGGUAAUUGAUGGAGAUGGAUAAUAGAACUUAAACGUCAAGAAAGUUUUAGUACUAUGAUGAGUAUCGCACCAAAUCUUAUAUGGUGUAAGGUGAAAAGAUGGAAACAAGAAUAUGGACCUCGACUCGUUACUUAGCAAAGUAAGAACCGAAGGUAUAUUGAAAUGGAUGAAUGUCACACCAGGAUUGGUGAUAAGUUUGGAAAGAGUUCAGUUGACACCACUAGCAUGCUAGAUAAGCCAAAUUGAGACUCACACGAAAUAUGAGAGGGAGAAUCCUCACUAGAACAAUAGUUCAUUAGAAAUUUGACAAAAAGUCCUUUACAAAAAUCAAAUAACAACUACUUAUAGGCAAAGCUAAGGCUAGCCGAAUAGCCACAUACAUCCUUAGAAAUGAAGCAAAUGAAUUCAUCUAAUGGCCGUAGCUAAAUUCAGCUGAACAUGGACAACUUCUAGAUUAAGCAUUGAAUCUUGGAAAUUUUAAGAAGGUGCAUGGAAGAGCUAAGUUCGGCCAAAUACCUUAAAUAAGCUCAUUUAAGAUGCAACUUUUGGCUGAAAAGUGACCAGUAAUUAAUAGGAAAUUGAACAGCCAAUUGAAGUGUGAAAGCUCAGCUUUGAAGAAUCCUUGAGUGUGAACACUAUGAACCGAACAGCAAAGACAUAUCCAGCAAUGUGAAAGAAAUAAUUGGCAGCUUUAGAGUAGUAAACAUUAGUUCCCUUGGCCUAAUAGUCACAUAGGAAUCUUCAAAAAUCAGCACACCAUUUUUAUUGCAUUCCAUGCAUGUAUCGCCAAAUAUAUUGAAUCCAUCAUGCAUGUACCUUACUUAAAUGCACUCUCACAUUCGGUCAACCUACAGAAGGAGCAAAUGAACUUAAAUUAAUUUAUAUUCAGCUGAAACAUAAUUAAAACAUAAUCUGGACAAUUUAAAUUCACAUAAUUAAAACAAGACACAAUUAAUUAAAUUAAGACCUAAUUAAUUCAGUUAGGACAAGACACAUUGAAAACAUCCAAUAAAACAUAUGUAUAAGCUGUAGGAAUUAAGAUGAUUUAAUAACAUGUAAUAAAAAAAAUUAACAUCCAUAAUUAAAUUCGUCCAGAUUUAAGACCAAUUAAACAAUGAAAACUAAUUGAGCUGUGUAUAACUAAUUAACUAACUCAAAUAAUUAUUCCAGCAACUAUAUUAUCGCAUAAAUGGAAUUAAGCUAGAUUUGAGCUGAUUCGAGCUCAUUGACCUAAAAUGGAGCUUAGUUUCAGCUCGCAACAAAUUUUUGAAUGGCGCUUGAUGAAUUGAACCAAGGAUGUUUUCGCGGCAGGGUCGUAUCACCGAGAGUGUUGCAAGUGAGGUAUUUGUGAAAGGAUUACACAUAUCAUUUUUUGUUAGGCAUGGCAUCCAUGGUCGAUUGUACAAACAAGGUACUUGUCAGAAGUCUAAGUAUUCAAAAUUUGAAAAACCAGCAGCAAAGAGAGAACAUCUUUCAUUCUCAAUGUCAAGUGUAAGGAAAAGUCUGUAGUUUGAUUAUUGAUGGUGGAAGUUGUACCAAUGUGGCAAGUUCCCUCAUGGUAGAUCGACCUGGCCUCCCAACCACUAAGCAUCCAAGUCCAUAUGAACUCUAAUGGCUCAAUGACGGUGGUGAAAUCAAGGUAACUAAACAAGUUCGUAUUACCUUUUCAAUUGGCAAGUAUGAAGAUGAAGUGCUUUGUGAUGUUGUCCCUAUGCAUGCAAGUCAUUUACUACUAGGAAGACCGUGGCAGUAUGACUGGAGAGUUAUCCAUGACGGAUAUACAAAUUGGUACACAUUCAAAUAUAUUGGAAAGAAUUUCACGCUAGUUCCAUUGUCCCCCAAGUAAGUUUUUGAAGAUUAAGUAAGAUUGAAAUCCUCUGUAACCCAAAUGAAAGAAAAAGAAAAGAUUGAAAAACAAAGAAGAGAAAAUGAAAAAGAAAAGAAAAGUGAAAUAAAAAAAUCAACAAUAGAAAAAGAAAGUGAAAAGAAUAUUAGAAAAGAAAAAGAAAAACACAAUACAAAAAGAAGUUUGAUUGCGAAAGAAGGUGAUUGAUACGAGUCACAAAGGCCCAAUUCAAGCUCAAGGACGUGAUGGGCUCAAAUUACCACAAGGCCCAAUAACGAGGUCAAAGGCCAAGAAAAUGCGUAUGAAACUAAAUGGAAUCAUUCAAGGCUUCAUUAGCAAGGCCUUAGAUACGUAUACAAAGGAAAAAUAAAAUCAAGAUUCACUUUCUUGUUUCAAGAAAAUCAAGAAAUCGAAUCUUGGUCCAAAUUUGUUGUUUUGAGCGAUUUCAAGAAUCAAGAAAAUCAAGAUUUCAAAUCUUGGAAAUCUUGGUCCAAGAAACUGAAUCUUGCAGCUAAGGUGCAUUGGAUCUCAGUUACGAGCAUCAGCGAACCAAUUUUGGGAGAGAACAGAUCACAAGCCCAAGUUCUUGAAGACACGGCCCGAUAAGAUGUUCCAAGCCCAAUCAAGAAGUUCAAACUAGACUUAGUUGAAAAUCAGGCCAAAUUGUCAAAGUGGCUCAUUUUGUUAAGUUUUAAUUCUUUAAAUACUUAGUUUAAUUUUUUAGACUUUAUGAUUAAAUUCCUAUGUAAAAAAAUUCAGCCCAAGAAGCCCAUUAAAAGCCUUAGCCGAAUUUCCCUUGAAGUUAAUAAUUAGGUUUUCUUUAGUUUUCCUAAUAGGGUUAGGAAAAUUGAUAGAAGGCCUAUAAUAAGGCUUGGUCAGCCACCUUAUACACAAUUACAUUGAAUUACACAUUGAAAUCAGAUUUUUGUUGAGUGAAAAUUCUCUUUGAGUUUUUCCAAGAAUUUUCUCUUGAGUUUUCUUUGGAAGUAGUUUUAAUAAUCUUUUUGAUUGUGGGAGCCAUCUUCAGCCUUCCUCUUUCCAUUGUCCUACAUUGGAGGGGAGAUUAGAGUCGUUUGAAGGGAUUUGUGAAAUCUUUCUCGAUUUCAAGGCUUCUUAGGACUUUUCUUUAUUUUCUUGUUGUUUAUUCCUCUUUAAUUUUUCUGCUUGUGCCGAUUCAUUGAUUAAAUUGUUUUAAUCUCUCUUGUUGCGUUUCCAGCCCUUUCAAUCUUCAAGAAUCUGUUCGGUACCAGUCUUGGGUAUCAAGAAUCGUUCUUGAUUCAUAAUUCUUCUUUUUCUUACCGCACAAAACCCAGUUCUACUUCAAUUUGGGGUUUCGUGAUCUGUUGAGUCUAAUUUUUCUGUUUUGUGUUUACUUGUAAGAUUCGGUUGAUUGGAGACUUUUCUUAAAGCUCAAUUUCAUGUUCUUGGCUUACAAGAAUCCCUAUUAAUAAGUGUUUCAAUUCUUGGCUUAUUCUUUAUUGUUCUGGGUGUUUCGUUUCAGAUCUGUUGAUUCUAAGUUUAAUUUUCUGUUUCGUUUCAGAACCAAGCGUCUAGCGUUUUCAUAGGAGUUUUUCGUGACUUGGAAACUCGAUCUUGGUCUGCGCUCAACCCUCUAUCAUUUGGUAUCAGACUUUGGGCAUUUCGAGUGUUCUGGGUUGAUUUCUAAACUGAUCUCCUUUUAAAAACUAGUAAAUAGCAGUUUUUUACCCAGAAAAAUUUUUGGAAAAAAAUUCAUUUGAGUGGGUAAACGUUGUCCAAUUUGUCUGAAAUUUUAUAUGUAUAUUUGUGGCACUGUGAUAGAAUAUUAAAAAAUAUUUUCCAUAAAAAAAUCAGUAGAAAAAGUCAAAAAAUUGAAAAAGAUGAAAUCAAACAAAAAUUAAAAAUAUUUAGCGGGUUGAGUUUAGUGCUGAAACUUUCCAGAUCAAUAUACAAUAUUUAGGGACAUUCCAGUUUACAUUUCGUGAUUUUUGGAGAUCAGGAACACCUCGAACGAAGUUUUCAAGCUACUCUUCAGUUUUUUCAAGUUUUCGGGUGUCAGCAAUUUUUGUUGAUUCUUAGCUGUAGGUUUUCAUUUGUUUUGCUUUUAUUCUUCCUUUACACUAUCUAACACCUUAUUUUUCUUGUGUUAGUAGGAUUUAAAACUGUGCACAAUUCUUCCUCGGUGCAACACAAAUCAAUUGGUGUCUCGUCACUUUUUGGAUUCAUAAUGCAAUUAGGAUUCUUUGGUAGUUACGGUUCAUAUACUUUCUAAUUGAUUGAUAUAGACUCUACUAAAGAACUCACAAGGCUGAAUUCUACCUCUUUGAGAAUUUGAUUUUCCUUUUUGAGUGAUUAACGGUGAGGUUUGUUAAUUUUCUUUUUCGAGUGUUGAGUGUUUGUUUUGCAGGUAUUCCAAAAGAAAAAAAUAAGAUGCAUAGACUCAGUCAAGUCGAUGAUGAGAAUAAUGACCAUAAUAAGGUCAAUGAUAAAUUUAAAGAGUUCCAACAACAGUUAGACGAACAGACUGCUGCACUCAAACAAGCAAAUGCCAUACUUCAAACAUUGAGUGCUACUAUCAAUGAGAUGCGAUUGGACUGAGUGGAGAAAAGAGCCCAACGAGGACAACUUAAUUCAAGUGAAAGGGGAAAAAUGAGACUGCUAAGAAGACGAACAUCCAACGAAUAUUCGAGAAGAGAUUCAUAUCAUGAUUCCUAUUCAACGAGAAAUUCAAGACGAUACAAAGCAAGUUUCGAGUGUGAAGUUUUCCAAGGUGACGAACAAGAAAUCACAAGUAAUCCUUCGUAUGCCCCAAGGAACUCAUCCACUGAGAAUCAAUUUUGAAAAGGUGAUCAUUGUUCGUAUGCAAGUCAUUCCGUACAUACCCAACGAGAGUCUUUUCAUUCUAAUUCAUUUGUAACAUCUUUAUCUUGUAAUGAAAGGAAGACAGAAAAAGAAAUCAAAAAAGAAAAAGAGAAUGAAAAAGAGCAAAAGGAGAUUGAGAGUGAAAAGGAAUGUGAAACAGACAAGAAAAGCGAAAAAAAAAUUGAAGAAAGAACAAAAAAUGAGUUAGAAAAAGAAACAAAAGAAAAAGACGAGGAACAUGUAGUGAGGAAUGUUUCCACUAACCAAGAUAUGAAUUUUUGUUGUGUUGCUAGUUUUUAGGUUCCCGAAACACCGAAAGAUAACUUUCAACGUCAAUACCUUUCCGAUGAAAGACGCUUUCAUACGAUCAACAUAGGCAAGGUUGAAGAUGAAAUCACACUACAUGAGCCCAAAGGUAAACGAGGUAAGGAAAUUUUAGCAACCGAGUCCUGUGCAGAUUUGAAAAUUAUUGAUAAAAUUUUUUGUGACUUAGUUCUUAAAAGAUCCCCUUAUUUUGAUCCGAUUAAUUGUUAUUCUUCGAUUGUGGUUGAUAAAGUAAUUACGAAAGGAAGCGUGAGUUGUUAUUCUCUUGAUUUGCCUUGUGUAAAAUCCGCAAAUUUGUGCAAAUAUGUUUUGGAAAAUAAAAAAAGUUUUGAAUGUAUGUUGGUAUGCAUGUGAAAAUCCUCAUGGUUUAACUUGAUUGGUUUAAUGAAAUCUUUGUUACACUUCGGCAUGACUAAUCAAAAUCAAGUUUUUAAACCCGGAAUCUGUUUUGGUAUAUUUUGUUGAAAAAUCAAGCAUCAUCUAUUGUGUGCAAAUACUUUCUAUUGUUUUGAUACUUGGUUUUUGAAAAAGGUAACAAAAUUUGCAAAAUUUGUUUUCAAUUUAUAUUCGUGCCUUACACAGUUUCUGUGGUUGUACAUGAAGUUUGAGUUCCAUUUGACAAAGGUUAACUCAACAACGGAGCCUCGACUACACUAUACCCCCGAUGAGUGAAGGUUUGUAUUGAAUGGAAAAGGUAAAAUCGACCCUUAUUCUUCUGCUUAUAAAGGUAAGAUGCUUGAAACUUUUGACACACUUUUGUACUCCUCGGAUAGUGACAAAGAUCGUGUUGAUGAUUUAAUUUUUGUAAAACACUUCGAUCGAAACGUGCUUGACUAUCCUAUUUUAUUUAUUGAUGAUCUAUCUGUUUGGUUGGUUGAUAAAAAGAUUAUUGUUUUUGAUAAUUUUUAUGAUGCAUGUGUGAGUGAAUCUAUAGUCCAUCGAUUAAUGCAUGGUAUGAUUGUGAAACUCUGUGAACUGUGUGAACCUUUUCAAAUACCUACUUGUGACGAUUACGUUUACCAUUUGAUUUAUUACUCGCAAUUUAUUCAUGGUUUGUGGAAACAAUUUGAGAUGAUUGAAUGCCUUAAAACAUGUCCAUCUUUGUUUCGAAUAUUUGACGAGGCAUUAGCAAGUAAAUUAGCAAGUAAAUUAGCUUAUGAUUGGACAUCAAGUUUGUUUGUGUUGCUAUUUACUAACUCAUGGCUAUUCUUUUCAGUGGACUCAAUUGCCAUUAGUCCCGUUCGAUCAAGGAAAGUCGAGUAAGAGGAUGAUACAAGUCACAAAGGCCCAACUGAAGCUCAAGAACAUGAUGGGCACAAAUUACCACAAUGCCAAAUAACGAGGUCAAAGGCUAGACAAAUGCGUUCAAAACUAAAUGGAACCAUUCAAGAAUUUAUUAGCAAGGCCUUAAAUGCGUACACGAAGGAAAAAGAAAAUCAAGAUUCACUUUCUUGUUUUCAAGAAAAUCAAGAAACCAAAUCUUGGUCCAAUUUUGCUGUUUGGAGCGAUUUCUAGAAUCAAGAAAACCAAGAUUUCAAAUCUUGGAAAUAUUGGUCCAAGAAACUGAAUCUUGCAGCUAAGGCGCAUUGGAUCUCCGUUACGAGCAUCAACGAACCAAUUUCAGAAGGAAAUGGACUACAAGCCCAAGUUCUUGAAGGCAAGGCCCAAUAAGAUGUUCCAAGCCCAAUCAAGAAAGUUAAAUGAGACUUAGUUGAAAAACAGGCCAAAUUGACAAAGUGGCCCAAUUUGUAAAAUUUUAAUUCUUUAAAUACCUAGUUUAAUUUUUAGACUUUAUGAUUAAUGCCUAUGUAAAAAAUUCAGCCCAUUAAAUGCCUUGGCCGAAUUUUUCCCUCUAAAUUUAAUAAUUAGGUUUUUUUUUAGUUUUCUAAUAAGAUUAGGAAAAUAGUUAGAAGGCCUAUUAAUAGGCUUGGCUGGCCACCUUGUGAAAACAUUUGAAUAAUACAUUGAAAUCAGAUUUGUUUUGUUGAGUGAAAAUUCUCUUUGAGUUCUCCAAAAAUUUUCUCUUGAGUUUUCUUUAGAAGGAGUUUUAACAAUCUUUUGAUUGUGGGAGCCAUCUUCAGCCUUCUUCUUGCCAUUGUUCUUCAUUGGAGGGAAGAUUAAAGCCGUUUGAAGGGAGUUGUGAUAUCUUUCUUGAUUUCAAGGCUUCUUAGGACUUUAUCUUUAUUUUUCUUGCUGUUCAAUCUUUUUAAUUUUCUGCUUGUGUCGAUUUCAUUAUCUAACUUGUUUAAACUCUCUUGUUGCGUCUCCAGCCCCGUUAAACCUUCAAGGAUUUGUUCGGUAUCAACCUUGGACAACAAGAAACAUUUUUAUUUCACAAAACCCCUCUUUAUUGCCGUCCAAACCCUAGAUCUAAUUGAUUUCGUGAUCUACUGAGUUUUUUUGAAAUUAACUUGCUGUUCUGUGUUUUUCUUUUCAGAUUCGGCUGUUCGAAACCUAUCUUGAAUUCAAUUCCAUGUUCUUGGCUUCCAAGAUUAGCUAUCCAUAGGUGUUUUUAAUUCUUGGCUGAUCUUUUAUUGAUUUGGGUAUUUUCGUUUCAGAUCUAUUUGAUUCUAAACUAAAUUUUCUGUUUCAUUUCAGAUCCAAGAGUUUAGAAUUUUCGUAGGAGUUUCCCGUGACUUGACAACUCGAUCUUGGUCCGUACGCAACCCCUAUCAUUUGGUAUUAGAUUUUGGGCGUUUUGGGUGUUCUUAGCUGAUUUCUAAACUGAUCUCCUUUUAAAAACAUUAAACAGCAGUUUUUACCCAGAAAAAUUUUUGGAAAAAAAUUCAUUUGAGUGGGUAAACAUUUUUCGAUUGGUCUGAAAUUUUACAUGCAUAUUUGUGGAACUGUGAUAAAAUAUUAAAAAAUAUUUCCCGCAAAAAAAUCAGUAGAAAAAGACAAACAAUUGAAAAAGACGAAAUCAAGAAAAAAUUUAAAAAAUAUUCAGCGGGUUGAUUUUAGUGCCGAAACUUUCCAGAUCAAGUAUACAAUAUUUAAGGACAUUCAAGUUUAAAUUUCGUGAUUUUUGGAGAUCGGGAACACCUUCUUCUUUCUUGUGUUUGUAGGAUUUAAACGUGUGCAGAAUUCUUCCUCGGUGCAACACGAAUCAAUUGGUGUCUCGUCAUUUUUUGGACUCCUAGUGCAAAUUAGGAUUCUUUGGUAGUUUCGGUUCAUACACUUUCUAAUUGAUUGAUAUAGACUCUACUAAAGAACUCACAAGACUGAAUUCUACCUCUUUGAGAAUUUGAUUUUUCUUUCUGAAUGAUUAACGAUGAGGUUUGCUAAGUUUCCUUUUUGAGUGUUGAGUGUUUGUUUUGCAGGUUUUUGAAAAAAAAUGUCUAGGAUUGGUUAAGUUGAUAAUGACCAUAAUGAUGUCCAUGAUGCAUUUACAAAGUUCCAACAACAUUUUGACGAACAGGUGGCCUUACUUCGAACAUUGAGUGCUACUAUCAAUGAGAUGCAAUUGGAUCAAGAGCCUCAGUAUCGGGGUCCAAUUAAAGAAGAUGUGGAUAAUUAGCCUCCUGCUCAUAGGCGCGCUCCUAGACGUGUACCUAUAACUGACUAUGAUUUUCAUGAUCGUGGGCAACCCUCUUUGGCAAAACCAAAGUUCACAAUUCCUCAAUUUCAUGGUAAGAAUGAUCCAGAAGCUUAUUGUGAAUGGGAAUCUAAAAUUGAGCUUAUGUUCCUCGUUUAUAAAUGUCCGGAUGAUGAAAAGGUAGCUUUAGCAACACUGGAGUUUUCAGAUUAUGUAUUAAGUUGGUGGACUCAACUUGGGGUAAAUCGUCAUAGGAAUUAUGAAGGUGAGAUUAUGACAUGGGAGGAGUUAAAACAAGUUAUGCGUAAAAGAUUUGUUCCACCUUAUUACUAUAGAGAAGUUAAAACAAAGCUUAGACGACUUAUUCAAGGUAGUAGGGCGGUGGAUGAAUACUUUAAGGAGAUGGAGAUGCUCAUUUAGAGAGCUAAUGUGGAGGAGGAUGAUGAAACAACAAUGGUUCGAUUUAUUGAUGGUUUGAAUAGGCCAAUAGCUAAUACAUUGAGGCUAAAAACUUACAUUGAUUUAGAAGAAGCAGUUCAUAAAGCCAUUGAGAUCGAGCAUCAAUUAAAGGAAUAAAGGUUUGGUUCCUUCUCUACUUCACAAUAUUACAAAUGUAAUACUUCCAAUUCUAAUUUUAAAAGUUCGAAAUCACCUUUUGUUACUAAUAAGUCUUCUUUGAGUAAUGGAAGUAAGCAACCAGUUUGGAAAAAAGGGGCUCCUGUUAAAGCGCAAACACCUUCUAAGCAGCCCAAUUUAAGCGAUUGGAAUGUGAAGAGGACUCGUAAGAUUGAUGUUUCAAGUGCAAAAGGCGUGGUCAAUAUAGUAGGGACUGCCCUAACACGAGAUUACUUCUUAUGAAAUAUAAUGGUGAGUACACUUCCUACUCCGAUAAAAUAGAUCCAGAUAUGCCAGAACUUAUGGAUGAUAGCGAUAACGGAGAAGAGUUGGUUGAACCACCAAAAGAAGGGGACUUUGCCGAUUUUCAAUGCCUUGUAGUUUGCCGCACCCUUAACAUCCAGAUGAGGACGAUGUUGAUAACCAAAGGGCCAAUAUUUUCCAUUCUUGGUGUUUUAUAAAAGGUAACUUAUGUUCACUUAUUAUUGAUAGCGGGAGUUGUUCAAAUGUUGUGAGCAGUUAUUUCGUGGAUUCUUUAAAGUUACCUUGUACCAAGAACCCUAAGCCGUAUCAACUUCAAUGGCUUAAUGAAUGCUCGAAAGUUAAAGUUACAAAAUAGAGAAUUAUGAGGAUGAGGUCUGGUGUGAUGUGGUCCCAAUGCAUGCGACACACUUGCUCCUUGGAUGGCCUUGGCAAUUUAUCGUGAUGUUACACACCAAGGUAAGCUCAAUAGAUACUCCAUUGUGCUUAAAGGCUGAAAAUUCACUUUUGCUCCUUUAAAUCCCAAUGAUGUAUACAGAGAUCAAUUAAAGAUGAUGAAACUUUGUGAGGGGGUAAGGGAGAAAGGACAAAUACAAAAGAUAGAGAGAAAAGAGGCUAGUAGUGAAAAAAGUCAAAAUUUAAAUGGCCCAAUGGUGAGUGAAUCCACAAGUGGUAAAACUAGAGUGAAAAUUUUGAUGGCAACAAAAAAAGAUGUGCGGAGAGCCCUACUCAAUAAACAGCCUUGUAUCCUUGUGAAGUUUAGGCAAAACUAUUUAUCUUUAUCUAACAUUAACGAAAAUUUGCCUAGUGCGUUUCAGUGUCUUUUGUAGGAUUAUGAGGUUGUUUUUAGUGAGGCUCCUAAAGGUUUACCACCUUUACGUGGGAUAGAGCAUCAAAUUGACUUAGUACCCGGAGCUUCAAUACCAAAUUGACCAGCCUAUAGAAGCAAUCCCGAGGAGACAAAGGAAUUGCAAAGGCAAGUUGAGGAGUUACUAGACAAAGGGUACAUUCGUGAGAGCCUAAGCCCUUGUGCCGUUCCUGUCUUAUUGGUACCAAAGAAAGAUGGUAUGUAUAGAAUGUGUGUUGAUUGCCGCCCAAUCAACAAAAUAAUGGUAAAGUAUAGACAUCCAAUUCCUCGACUUGAUGAUAUGCUUGAUGAUUUACAUGGUUCAAUUAUAUUUACUAAAAUUGAUUUAAAAAGCGGUUAUCAUCAAAUUCGAAUGAGGGAAGGGGAUGAAUGGGAAACAGCCUUUAAAACAAAAUUUGGAUUGUAUGAAUGGUUAGUUAUGCCUUUUCGCCUUUCUAAUGCACCGAGUACAUUUAUGAGAUUAAUGAAUCACGUUUUAAGGCUUCACUUGGGUAAAUUUGUAGUAGUUUACUUUGAUGAUAUUUUAAUUUACUCCAAGACAUUAGAUGAUCAUGUUUUCCAUGUUAGAACCGUUUUAGAUAUUCUGCGAGCUGAAAAAUUGUUUGCCAACCUUGAUAAAUGCACAUUUUGUUGUGAUAAGCUAAAAUUUUUAGGUUUCAUAGUCAGUGCUCAAGGUAUUCAUGUUGAUGAGGAUAAAGUCAAGGCAAUCAAGGAGUGGCCGACUCCUAAAUCGGUAACUGAGGUGAGAUCUUUCCAUGGUUUAGCUAGUUUUUAUAGAUAAUUUGUGAAAGAUUUCUCCACUAUUGCUGCCACAUUAACAGAGGUUAUCAAAAAAUCUGUGGGUUUCAAAUGGGGUGAAACUCAAGAAAAGGCUUUUCAGACCCUAAAAGCUAAGUUAUGUUUGCUCCUCUUCUUAAAUUACUUGAUUUUACUAAUACUUUUGAAUUGAGUGUGAUACUUCAGGAAUUGGCAUUGGCGCCGUUUUAAUGCAAGAUAAGCAACCAAUUGCUUAUUUUAUUGAAAAAUUGAAUGGUGCACAAUUAAACUACUCAACUUAUGAUAAAGAACUUUUGGCAUUGGUUCGUGAACUUCAAGUAUGGCAACAUUAUUUGCUGCCCAAUGAAUUUGUCAUACAUACAGAUCAUGAAUCCCUCAAGUGGUUAAAUGGACAAGGUAAGUUGAGUAAACGACAUGCUCGAUGGGUAGAAUUCAUUGAAACAUUUCCUUAUGUGAUAAAAUAUAAAACAAGUAAAGAUAAUGUAGUUGCGGAUGCUUUGUCUAGACGAUAUGUUUUAAUAACUACAUUAAAUGCUAAAGUAUUAGGUUUGAGCGUAUUAAGGAAUUAUAUAAUGAUGAUGCUGGUUUCGGCCAUAUCUAUAGAAAUUGUGGACAUACUACUUUUGAGAAGUUUUAUCUCAUAGAUGGCUUUCUUUUUUGUAUAAACAGGUUAUGCAUACCAAAGUGUUCCAUGCAAGACUUAUUAAUGCAUGAGGCUCAUAGUGGGGGUUUAAUGGGACAUUUUGGUGUGGCCAAAACACUAGACAUCUUGCAAGAACACUUCCAUUGGCCACAUAUGAAGAAGGAUGUCGAAAAGGUAUGUUCUAAGUGCAUUACAUGCAAACAAGAAAAAUCGAAGGUAAUGCCUCAUGGCCUUUACACUCAUUUACCGAUUCCUACUUCACCAUGGGUAGACUUAUCCAUGGAUUUUAUUCUAGGUUUGCCACGAACUAAGAAAGGAAGAGAUAGUAUAUUUUUUGUUGUUGACAGUAUUUCCAAGAUGACACAUUUUAUUCCUUGUCACAAAACAGAUGAUGCUACACAUGUGGUAGACUUAUUUUUUAAAGAGGUGGUAUGACUUCAUGGCAUCCCUAAAACAAUUGUUUUUGACAGAGAUGUCAAAUUCCUUAGCCACUUUUGGAAGGUAUUAUGGGGUAAGCUUGGUACGAAAUUACUUUAUUCAACUACAUGUCACCCCCAAACCGAUGGCCAAACUGAAUUAGUUAAUCGAAUAUUAGGAGCCUUAUUACGAUUUGUUGUGGGAAAAAACAUUAAAAAUUGGGAAGAAUGUCUACCAUUUGUCAAAUUUGCAUAUAAUAGAUCUAUUCAUUCUACAAAUGGUUAUUCUCCAUUUGAACGUGUUUAUGGUUUUAACCCACAAACAGUACUUGAUCUUGCACCAUUACCACUUGAACAUAUUGUUAAUUUAUAUGGCGAACAGAAAGCUGAGUUGGUGAAAUCCUUACACGAGAAGGCUAGGCAACGAAUAGCCAAAACAAAUGACGUCAACACCAACAAAGAAAACAAGGGGCGCAAACAUGUUGUCCUUGAACCCGGAGAUUGGGUUUGGGUCCAUAUGAGGAAAGAAUGAUUUCCUACAAAAAGAAAGACCAAGUUGGACCAAAGGGGCGAUGGGCCUUUCCAUGUACUCGAGCGAAUCAACGAUAAUGCAUACAAAAUUGAUCUACCCGGUGAGUACAAUGUAAGUUCUACUUUCAAUGUGGCUAACUUAUUUCCAUUUGAUUUUUUAGAUUCGAGGAUGAAUCUUUUUGAGGAAGGGGGAAUGAUACGAGUCACAAAGGCCCAACUUAAGCUCCAGAACGUGAUGGGCUCAAAUUACCACAAGGCCCAAUAACGAGGUCAAAGGCCAGACAAAUGUGUUCAAAACUAAAUGGAACCAUUCAACAAUUUAUUAGCAAGGCCUUUGAUGCAUACACGAAGGAAAAGAAAAUCAAGAUUCACUUUCUUGUUUUCAAGAAAAUCAAGAAACCGAAUCUUGGUCCAAUUUUGCUGUUUGGAGCGAUUUCAAGAAUCAAGAAAAUCAAGAUUUCAAAUCUUGGAAAUCUUGGUCCAAGAAAUCGAAUCUUGCAGUUAAGGCAUAUUGGAUCUCCGUUACGAGCAUCAACGAACCAAUUUCGGAAAGAAACAGACUACAAGCCCAAGUUCUUGAAGGUAAGGCCCAAUAAGAUGUUCCAAGCCCAAUCAAGAAACUUAAAUGAGACUUAGUUGAAAAUCAGGCCAAAUUGUCAAAGUGGCCCAAUUUGUAAAAUUUUAUUUCUUUAAAUACCUAGUUUAAUUUUUAGACUUUAUGAUUAAUGCCUAUGUAAAAAAAUUAAGACCAAGCAGCCCAUUAAAUGCCUUGGCCGAAUUUUUCCCUCUAAAUUUAAUAAUUAGGUUUUUUUUAGUUUUCUAAUAAGAUUAGGAAAAUAGUAAGAAGGCCUAUUAAUAGGCUUGGCCGGCCACCUUGUGAAAACACUUGAAUAAUACAUUGAAAUCAAUUUUGUUUUGUUGAGUGAAAAUUCUCUUUGAGUUUUCCAAGGAUUCUCUCUUAAGUUUUCUUUAGAAGGAGUUUUAACAAUCUUUUUCGAUAGAGGGUUGCACGCGGACCAAGGUCGAGUUGCCAAGUCACGAGAAAAUUCCAAAGAAAGCUUUAGACAAUCGGAUCUGAAAUGAAACAAAGAAAUCAAACUUAUCAGUACCAGAUCUAAAACGAAAACACUUAAACCGUGGAUAAUUAGCUAAUAAUUAGAACAUGAAUUAAUAUGGUUCCUUGGAGGCCAAGAAAUGAGAUCUAAGUAGCAAGAACGACUCUCCAAGCUGAAUCUGAACUGGAGAAAACGAAACAGCAACUUAAACUCAAGUGAUUAAGAAACCAAAUCAGAAUAGGAAAUAGAGUACUUGGGCGGCAAGAAAUCUGAAAAAAAAAAUGAUUAACGAACGGUUCUUGAUGUCAAAUGUGGUGCAAAGAUAGAUCUUGAACUUUGGGAAUGGUCGAAACGAACAAGAACAAUAAAAUCUAAAACGAAACAGCAAGACCAAUGUAGAAUCAAUUAGAUCUGAAAUUAAAAUAAUAAAAACAAUAAAAGAGGGGUUUGGACGGCAAGAUAGAUGGGUUUGGAGAAUCAAAACAUUUCUUUAUGUCCAAGGGUGGUGCCGAUCAGAUUCUUGAAGGUUGAACGGGGCUGGAAACGCAAUAAGAGAACGUAAACAAGUUAGAUAAUGAAAUCGUCACAAGCAGAAAUUAAAAAGAGAUUGAACAGUAAGAAAAUAAAGAUAAAGUCCUAAGAAGCCUUGAAAUCCAUAAAGAUUUCACAACUCCCUUCAAACGGCUCUAAUCUUCCCUCCAAUGAAGAACAAUGGCAAGAAGAAGGCUGAAGAUGGCUCCCAUAAUAUAAAAGACUGUUAAAACUACUUCUAAAGAAAACUCAAGAGAAAUUUCUUGGAGAAAAACUCAAGAGAAUUUGUAAGCAAUCAAAAUCUGAUUUCAAGUGUAUUGUUGUAUGUAUGGCCGGCCAAGCCUUACAUAUAUAUAGGCCUCUAUUAUUUUCCUAACCUAUUAGAAAACUAAAACUAAAAAAAAACUCCUAAUUAUUUCAUUUAAAGGGCAAUUCGGCCAAUGGCUUUUAAUUUGGCCUCUUGGACUAAAUAUACAUAGUAAUUAAUUUAUAAAGUCUAAAAUUGAAAUUAAGUAUUUAAAGAAUUAAAAUUUUACAAAUUGGGCUACUUUGACAAUUUGUCUUGAUUUUCAACUAAGUCUGAUUUAACUUUCUUGAUUGGGCUUGGAACAUCUUAUUGGGUCUUGCCUUCAAGAACUUGGGCUUGUAGUCCGUUUCCUACCAAAAUUGGUUCGUUGAUGCUCAUAGCGAAUAUCCAAUGCGCCUUAGCUGCAAGAUUUGGUUUCUUGGACCAAGACUUCAAAGAUUUGAAAUCUUGAUUUUCUUGAUUAUUGAAAUCGCUCCAAAUAGCAAAAUUGGACCAAGAUUUUGUUUCUUAAUUUUCUUGAAAACAAGAAAGUGAAUCUUGAUUUUCUUUUUCCUUCGUGUACACAUCUAAGUCCUUGCUAAUAAAUUCUUGAAUGGUUCCAUUUAGUUUUGAACGCCUUUGUCUAGCCUUUGACCUCGUUAUUGGGCAUUGUGGUAAUUUGAGCCCAUCACGUUCCUAAGCUUGAAUUGGGCCUUUGUGACGCGUAUCAUUACCCCCUUCCUCAAAAAGAUUCAUCCUCGAAUUAGAAAAAUCAAAUGGAGAUAAGUCGGCCACAUUGAAAGUAGAACUCAAAUUGUACUCACCGGGUAGAUCAAUUUUGUAGGCAUUAUCGUUGAUCCGCUCGAGUACUUGGAAAGGCCCAUCUCCCCUUAGGUCCAACUUGGUCUUUCUUUUUAUAGGAAAUCGUUCUUUCCUCAUAUGGACCCAAACCUAAUCUCCGAGUUCAAGGACAACCCGUUUGCGCCCCUUGUUUGCUUUGUUGGUGUUGACGUCAUUUGUUCACCAACUCAGCUUUUUGUUCGCCAUCUAAAUUAACAAUAUGUUCAAGUGGUAAUGGCGCAAGAUCAAGUACUCUUAGUGGGUUAAAACCAUAAACAAGUUCAAAUGGAGAAUAACUAGUUGUGGAAUGAAUAGACCUAUUAUAUGCAAAUUCAACAAAUGGUAGACAUUCUUUCCAAUUUUUAAUGUUCUUUACCACAACAGAUCGUAAUAAGGCUCCUAGGAUGCGAUUAACUAGCUCAGUUUGGCCAUCGGUUUGGGGGUGACAUGCAGUUGAAUAAAGUAAUUUCAUACCAAGCUUAGGCCACAAUACUUUCCAAAAGUGGCUAAGAAAUUUGACAUCUCUGUCAGAAACAAUUGUUUUAGGGAUGCCAUGAAGUCUUACCACCUCUUUAGAAAAUAAGUCUGCCACAUGUGUAGCAUCAUCUGUUUUGUGACAAGGAAUAAAAUGUGUCAUCUUUGAAAACCUGUCAACAACAACAAAUAUACUAUCUCUUCCUUUCUUAGUUCGAGGCAAACCUAGAAUAAAUUCCAUGGAUAAGUCUACCCAUGGUGAAGUAGGAAUCGGUAAAGGAGUGUAAAGGCCAUGAGGCAUUACCUUCGAUUUUGCUUGUUUACAUGUAAUGAACUUAGAACAUACCUUUUCGACAUCCUUCUCCAUGUGUGGCCAAUGGAAGUGUUCUUGCAAGAUGUCUAGUGUUUUGGCCACUCAAAAAUGUCCCAUUAAACCCCCACUAUGGGCCUUAUGCAUCAAUAAGUCUCGCAUGGAACACUUUAGUAUGCAUAACCUGUUUAUACGAAAAAGAAAGCCAUCUACGAGAUAAAACUUCUCAAAAGUAGUAUGUCCACAAUUUCUAUAGAUAUGGCCGAAAUCAACAUCAUCAUUAUAUAAUUCCUUAAUAUGCUCAAACCCUAAUACCUUAGCAUUCAAUGUAGUUAUUGAAGCAUAUCGUCUAGACAAAGCAUCCGCAACUACAUUAUCUUUACCUAUUUUAUAUUUUAUCACAUAAGGGAAUGUUUCAAUGAAUUCUACCCAUCGAGCAUGCCGUUUACUGAACUUACCUUGUCCCUUUAACCACUUGAGGGAUUCAUGAUCUGUAUGUAUUACAAAUUCAUUGGGCAGCAAAUAAUGUUGCCAUACUUGAAGUGCACGAACCAAUGCCAAAAGUUCUUUAUGAUAAGCUGAGUAGUUUAAUUGUGCACCAUUCAAUUUUUCACUAAAAUAAGCAAUUGGUUGCUUAUCUUGCAUUAAAAUGGCACCAAUGCCAAUUCCUGAAGCAUCACACUCAAGUUCAAAAGUAUUAGUAAAAUCAGGUAAUUUAAAAAGAUGAGCAAACAUAACUUAGCUUUUAGGGUCUAAAAAGCCUUUUCUUGAGUUUCACCCCAUUUGAAACCCACAGAUUGUUUUAUAACCUCUGUUAACGGGGCAGUAAUAGUAGAGAAAUCUUUCACAAAUCGUCUAUAAAAACUAGCUAAACCAUGGAAAGAUCUCACCUCAGUUACCGAUUUAGGAGUUGGCCACUCCUUGAUUGCCUUGACUUUGUCCUCAUCGACAUGAAUACCUUGAGCACUGACUAUGAAACCUAAAAAUAUUAGAUUAUCAUAACAAAAUGUGCAUUUGUCAAGGUUGGCAAACAAUUUUUCAUCUCGUAGAAUAUCUAAAACGGUUCUAACAUGGAAAACAUGAUCAUCUAAUGUCUUGGAGUAAAUUAAAAUAUCAUCAAAGUAAACUACUACAAAUUUACCCAAGUGAAGACUUAAAACAUGAUUCAUUAAUCUCAUAAAUGUACUCGGUGCAUUAGAAAGGCCAAAAGGCAUAACUAACCAUUCAUACGAUCCAAAUUUUGUUUUAAAGGCUGUUUUCCAUUCAUCCCCUUCCUUCAUCCGAAUUUGAUGAUAACCGCUUUUAAAAUUAAUUUUAGUAAAUAUAAUCGAACCAUGUAAUUAAUCAAGCAUAUCAUCAAGUCAUGGAAUUGGAUGUCUAUACUUUACCAUUAUUUUGUUGAUUGGGUGGCAAUCAACACACAUUCUAUACGUACCAUCGUUCUUCGGUACCAAUAAGACAAGAACGGUACAAGGGCUUACGCUCUCACGAAUGUACCCUUUGUCUAGUAACUCCUCAACUUGCCUUUGCAAUCCUUUGUCUCCUCGGGAUUGCUUCUAUAGGCUGGUCAAUUUGGUAUUGAGGCUCCAGGUACUAAGUCAAUUUGAUGCUCUAUCCCACGUAAAGGAAGUAAACCUUUAAAGGUCUCACUAAAAACAUCCUCAUAAUCCUGCAAAAGACACUGAAACACACUAGGAAAAUUUUCGUUAAUGUUAGAUAACGAUAAAUAGUUUUGCUUAAACCUCACAAGGAUACAAGGCUGUUUAUUGAAUAGGGCUCUCCACACAUCUUUUUUUGUUGCCAUCAAAUUUUUCACUCUAGUUUUACCACUUGCGGAUUCACUCACCUUUGGGCCAUUUAAAUUUUGAAUUUUUUCACUAGUAGCCUCUUUUCUCUCUGUCUUUUGUAUUUCUCCUUUCUCCCUUACCCCCUCACAAAAUUUCAUCAUCUUUAAUUGAUCUCUGUAUACAUCAUUGGGAUUUAAAGGAGAAAAAGUGAAUUUUCAACCUUUAAACACAAGGGAGUAUCUAUUGAGCUUACCUUUAAGUGUGCCGCAUGCAUUGGGACCACAUCACACCAUACCUCAUUCUAAUAAUUCCCGAGCUUAAAAGUGAUCAAGGACUGUUUUGUAACUUUAACUUCUGAACAUUCAUUCAGCCAUUGAAUGUGAUAUGGCUUANNNNNNNNNNNNNNNNNNNNNNNNNNNNNNNNNNNNNNNNNNNNNNNNNNNNNNNNNNNNNNNNNNNNNNNNNNNNNNNNNNNNNNNNNNNNNNNNNNNNNNNNNNNNNNNNNNNNNNNNNNNNNNNNNNNNNNNNNNNNNNNNNNNNNNNNNNNNNNNNNNNNNNNNNNNNNNNNNNNNNNNNNNNNNNNNNNNNNNNNNNNNNNNNNNNNNNNNNNNNNNNNNNNNNNNNNNNNNNNNNNNNNNNNNNNNNNNNNNNNNNNNNNNNNNNNNNNNNNNNNNNNNNNNNNNNNNNNNNNNNNNNNNNNNNNNNNNNNNNNNNNNNNNNNNNNNNNNNNNNNNNNNNNNNNNNNNNNNNNNNNNNNNNNNNNNNNNNNNNNNNNNNNNNNNNNNNNNNNNNNNNNNNNNNNNNNNNNNNNNNNNNNNNNNNNNNNNNNNNNNNNNNNNNNNNNNNNNNNNNNNNNNNNNNNNNNNNNNNNNNNNNNNNNNNNNNNNNNNNNAGAGUCUUUUGGGAUGACACAGAAGCGUUUCCAUCUGUGGUAUCGGACCAAGGGCCAAAUUUCCUAACACAGUGUCAUCGGCAGUUUAAAUCUUCGUUCUUGAAUAAAUUUUUCCCUAAAUCUUUAAAAAAAAGUCUUUCCACAUUUUCAUUUGGAAAAUUAGAGGUAAUUGGAACCGCUGAUGACUCUGGUUCAUUAGUUCUUCUAACUUUUCUUGGCGGCAUAUUCAAUACUAAAUUAUGCUAGAAGAUAAUGAAAUAUCAAAAAUAUUACUAAGAGAAUAGUAAAAAAAUUGAUUAGGAACCCUUAACCUUGAGUAUAGAUGCGUCAGAUUCCUCGUACAGCUGUCAUCCUAUGAAUGCUUUGUCUUGGUUCCUACUAUUAAGAAAGAGUGGGUUUUUAAUUUGAGAAAAGGGGUUUUAGGGAUUUGAUCUUUUUGAAAUAAUUAGAAAGGGUUUUAAAAUUUAGAGGAGGUUGAUUAUGUUUAAGGGUUGAAAUAAGGGUCAUAUUAAUGUUAAAAAUGGGUUAAAACAGGGUUUAUGCCACCGAGUUGUGCCAUCGAGUCAAGUCGACCUUGCAGAAAAUUGCAGCGAUGUCACAACACAGGGGUUCCAUGUCGCGAUGUCGGGGUUCCAAGUCGCGACACACUUUGAAAGUUUGGAACCCUAGGUAAAUUGUCUUCUAUGUCAUGACACCGAGGUGCUGUGUUGCGACAUGGAGAUGGUUUUCUCGAUUCCCUUGAUUUUGGAUGUAGUGUUGCAACACAAGAGUUCCAUGUUGUGACACCGACGCUAUUUUAACCCAAAUUUCCAAUUUCCAAAGUGCCUCGGGUUCUAUUUAAUAAAAAAUCUAAUAACAGUUAAGGUUUAAACUAAUUGGUUAGUUAAAAGUACAAUAUUAUACAUAAAAUUAACAUUUAAUUUUAAAUUAUCAAUUCUUGCUGCCAGAUUCGUCUGUCAGCUCAAUUAAUGUAUCCGGGGAUGCUCAUUUGGUUCUAUUAGUAUUUAUCUAGCAUCCAUCAUGCCAUUCAACUUUACUUUACUUAUCCCGCUCUCGAAACUUGCUCGUCUGACCUGCACUAAUUACAGAGAAUAGUUUCCCUAGCUCAAGGUAGUUAAGUUUUUGAAUAAUUAUUUUGUAAUAGGGCUUUCCUAACUUUUCCCUAUUUUCCUCAUUCUGCUGGUGACCACAUUUAAACAUUUCUAUCUCACCAUUGAUCUUCAUUGUUAAUUAAAUAUUUUUUAAGUCAAUGGUGGACCGUGAUAUCGCCAAGAAUGGUCUAUGCAACAGAAUGGGUAUUUCACGGUCUUCCUCAAAGUCUAAAAUGACAAAAUCUAUUGGGAUAAUAAAGCUCCUCACUUUAACCAACACAUCCUCAAGUACUCCUUUAGGUUGUAUUAAAGACCUGUCAGCUAACUAUAGUGUAAUUUGUGUGUUCUUUAACUCCCUUAACUCAAGUUAUUCAUAAAUGGAGAGAGGCAUUAAAUUAAUACUGGCUCCUAAAUCGCAGGCCCUACUGAAAUGGAUAUCCCUUAUCUCUAUGGAAAUUGUAAAAAACCCUAGGUCUUCUAGCUUUGGGGGAAACUUUCAGGAUAUAAUUGCACUAUAUGAGGUGCUUAUGUUAACUUGCUUUCCCAUUUUAAUUUUCCUACUCCUAAACAUGAUUUCUUUUAGGUAUUUGGCGUAUUUAGGAACUUUUUUAAUCAAAUCAAUUAAAGGAAAGUUAACAUUAAGGGAUUUAAAUAAGUUAAGAAAACUUACAAAUUCAUCCUCAUCCCAUCUUUUUUUUCCUCCAACCGUGAAGGGAAUGGUACUUAUAUAAUUGCAAGUUCCUUGACUGGCUCUUCUUCCGGCUCAGCUACUAGUUCGACUACUCUUUCUAGUUCUAGUUCCUUCCAACUUCUUGGGGGUUCUUUUGAAGAUCUUCUAAAUCCUCUUGGUUUUCCUCGUGAGUUGGUUUUUCUAGGCUACUCAGUAUUUUACCCGAACAGAAUGUUAUUGCCUUUACAUGCUCCUUUCCUUCUCUCCAAGGAUUAUUUUUGUGUUACUCAGGAUUCUAGUGCCAAUUUGCCUUUUGAUAUCUCCUAUCAUGCUCAUUAAUUGACUCAUCUGAUCUUCAAGUUUAGUCAACAUUUUUAUUAUAGUGGUACACUCAAACUAUGCCUGUUUCACUUCCUUCCUCAUUGAUUGCAUCUCACCCUCAAUCCGAUCCAGAUGUUGACCACAUAUACUAUGAUAAUUUGGGUUUGCCCUUUCCUGAGGUGUUUGUAAAUAAUGAGGUUGAUAAAUAGAAUUUUUAACUUGGUUAGAAUCAUUACCUACUCCCUAGUUUCCGCCCCAUCUCAGGUUUGCGUGAUCUCUCCAUCCGGGAUUAUAAGUAUUUGAAUAAGGGUUUCCACCCCUAUUCCCGAUGUAGUUCAUAUCAUCGAUAGGAUUAUUGAUUUAAUGGAAGAGAGGUUUAUCUCCUCCAUAUAUCGAUGAUACACUGGAUGAGGAUUCUAUACAGUUUAACCUAUCCAUUAUCUGUUGGUAUCUAUCAUCCUCUUGGACAGCUUUGACCGUAGAUCGCUUCUAGCUGUAUGUGUAGUAUUUUGUUGGCCACUGGCAGGAUUUCAUCGCCAUACUUGUAAACUCAAAAUUGUAUAGGUUUUUUCUAGCACUUUUACCCCCUUUUUACUUAAAAAUAAUACUAAUUCCAAGUAUUUGUUAAUUCAUUAAGUGAAUUUUGUUUGUAUUCCGAUGAUGUGCAUGAAUUUAUAAAAAUGCAAAUAAGAGUAUUAUUUUAUUAUUUUGGUGUAUAAAUUAUAUUAUUUCAUGUUAUUUAUUAAUGUGUUAUAUUUUAUUAUGCAAGGUGUUAGAGUAUGCCCAAAGAUCAAUCAUGAGAUGGUUGUAAUAACAUACUUGAUUUAUCAUGUUUAUUAAUAUAAUGCGUUACCAUUAUUAUUUCAGUUUCUUUUCUGUGUGUAUAAAUAAAUUGUUUUAUAAUAAUGUCCUGAGAAUAAUAUGAUUAUUCUUAAAAGAUCCUUAGUCAAGUAUUAUUGUUGGAUAGGACAACGAUAAUGCAUUAAGACUAACAUGCAGUUGAUUGAUGAUAAAGAGUUGUCAUUGAUAUGGAAUGUCAGAAUCGAUGCAUGAAUAUGUGUGUUAGAGAACAACAUAUUGGACUGACCCAUUAUGAGUAUGUUUCUUGGAUUAUUAUGUAAUUUUCACGACAUUACUCAUAGUGAUUAAUAUGUAUAUGAUCCUCAGACUUGAGAUCAUCAUAAUCCCAACAUCGUGAGUAGUAUAUCUUGAUACAGUCAAACGUACACCGUAACUGGUUGUUCUAUAAAGGCUAAUGUUGGAUAUACCACAAUCGAUGUAGAGGGAUAUGGUUGGUCGAUAUAGAAUAAGUCCCUCCUACAUAAUGGGAUUAAUAUCUUAGGCCACUUGAUUAAGUGAGACUAGAAAUGCAUGGCCAUGCUCAAAUAAGUUGAUAUGAGAUGUCAUACUUAUUUGUAUAUCGUAGUCUGCUUAAGAUAUCAAGGAACAUGGAAUGGACUAUGCAAGUGUGACUAUUCCAUGACUUGUGUCCAAUCCAGAGAUAAAGGACUUAAAGAUUAUUGCAUAAAAGGUUAAUCAUAAAAUGGUUAUGUCGAAUCAUGAUCUCUUGUGACUUAGGUAGCAAUGAUGCAUUGCUAGAUGCCACUCAUUGUUUGUAACAUUGGAAUCGUUCUAGUAUUACUGCUAACGUUAGAGGAACCUACAAGGUCACACCCUAUAGUUGAAAUGAACAGAAUAAGCCAUAGUUGGUAUUGUUUUUGGGGGUCACUUGAAUUAAAUUAAUUAUAAAAUUAAUUUAAUUCGGUAAUCAAAUUUCCAACACAUUAUGUACAAGGUUGUUGUACGCAUAAUGAGGACAUGAAUUUGGUUAGCAUAUGAAUUCAAAUAAAUAUAUAGUUUACCGAAAUUAUAUUAUAAUUAAUGUAAUUAUAAUUUUCGGUUUAAAAUAUUAUUAUAUUUAUUUAAUUCCUAAAAACCCUAUAAAUAAAAGAUUUAUAAGGAUCCUGUUUUUCCUUGGCUUGGGUCUAGCAGCCGUCAAAGAAAAAUCACUUUAAAAAAUUGUUUUGGGGAUUUCUUCCGUUCGUAGUCAAAUGGGUGGAUUACGUAAAGGUCGGGAUCACGAUAGAUUGCGGCUUGGUUCGACAGCAAAUCAGACUACUCGUUGUUGAGGCGUUGCCGUCUACUUUGAAUAAACAUUAGGUAAUUUCACAACCUUUUCACCCCAAUUCGUUCCUCACACAUGGAUUCCUAGUUGGGAUCGCCGAAUUAUUAUUUUUCCCCUGCGCCUUAGGGGUGCCGGCGAUCCAACACAAGGGACUAUGAAGUUGAUUAGAUAAAUAGCCUAUUAUAAUGUUGCAUGAACAUGAGUUAUUUUCUUCCUAUGUUGGACAACAAAACCAUGUUAAAUGGGUCAUUAAUAUGUUACUUUGACCUAGAAAAAAAUGAUACAUGAUGGACAAGUCUAACAAGUUCAGUGGGUUCUAAAACCGUCUAACCUUAGAGAAGAGAGGCCUAAAUUUGGAAAAGGUAAUUGGGCAGCCAAGAAUCAGCUUUUGGGAUAAUUAUUUGGAGGUCCCAACAUUUGAAGAAUCUUUAGAAAUCAGCAUACAGAGAUUGCCCUUGAAACCAUCCAACCCAUGCCUAAAUUUAGCAUGAUUCUAUCCUCAAAUAAAGGAGCCAUCAUCCACCUUCUUCCAUAAUGUGGUCGGCCAAGCAAUGGAGAAAAUGGAGGGAUUUCAAUCCCUACUUUUAGUAAAUUCUACCAUCUAUUUCAAGUAUAAAUACCCCAUAUCCAACAUCUCUUACUCAUUUCCCUCAUCUCUCAUUUCAUAAGCAUUCUUCCUCUCAUUCUUUCUUCUCUUCAUUCCCAUGUAUAGCACCCCAUGUAACACCAUUAACUCGUAUUCGUCAUCAAAAUAGGGUUAUGGAGCAUUACCAUAGUUUACAUUUCAGAACUAUCAAAAAUUUUAAAAAAAAUUAAUUCAUAUAAUCAAUCACAGCAAAACCAAUCAAUAGCAUAAAUAUUGUCCCUUAUGCAAGCCCUCGAGGCGCUAAAAACACAUUAGAAACAAAUCGUGACUAAAUCAGAAACAUAUAGAAAUUUCAGGGAAAAGAUGAAAAUUUAUAAACUGCAGGGGUCAUAUGACCGUGUGGCCAAGCCAUAUGACUAACACGACUAAGAGACAUGGCCAUAUUUUAGGCUGUGUAGGCAUUCAAAAUAGGGACAUACGGCCGUGUCCCAGCCUAUGUCCGUGCCCGUGUAACUCACUGACUUGGGUUACACAACCAAGCCACAAGCCUGUGUGCCAGGCUGUGUACCGUUCGAAAUAACCUCACACACCCGUGUGCCAGAUCGUGUGCUAGGCCGUGUAAAACCUAACUUACAACCCUUUGAAAACUAUAGGGGACACACGACCAAGCUACCUGGCUGUGUCACACACGGCUGAGACACACGCCCAUGUCUCUGCUCGUGCAGACGAAAAUAGGCCAUUUUACAAGCCAUUUUCCCUUUUUAACAUGUACCUGUAAUCCCUUUUGCACAUAUACACAAGCCAUCAAAAGGCACCAAAAUCAUGCAUAAUCACGCUAAACACAUAUGGUAUAAUAACAUCCAACCAAUAUGCCCAAAGGCACCUCAAAUGACAACAUUAAAACAUUUAUAACCAUGUACUCAAUUUGGCCAAAAUAAUUAAUUAACUUCUAACUAAGUUUGCUUCAUUACAUACCAUUAAAUUUAGUUACCAUAACAUACCAAAUGGUACUAAGUAUACCAUUCAACCACUAGCAUCAAUAGUCAAAUAAGUCAUUCAUAACAAAGUACUAAUUCACCAUAUUUACAUAUGCCACAAGACAUUUACAAUAUGUACAUUUAGACUUUAAUUUCAUCUUCCAUCAUUCAAACAUAGCAAACCAAAUAUUCACCAUUUUAAGGAUAAUAUUUACAUGCCAAAACUAAAUUCAUUACACUACCAAAAUGUCAUAAGUUAAAGCCAAACCAAAUGGCCAUAUCAACAACCAAAACACAUAUGUCAACAUUAGCCAAAAUACCUAUACAUGCCAUUAUAACCUUAACCAAGACAUCAAAAUCUACUGAUAUAAUCGCUGGAUAGUGUGAUAAAUCUCCGACGAGCUUUCAACCAGGUCGAGCUUCCGAUAAUCUAAAAAAAUAAGGGAAAAACAAUUACGUAAGCAAUGAAUGCUUAGUAGGCUCGUAUAAAAUUUAAUUAUGUCAAUCCAUUUCAAAUAUGAAAUUUAUACAUAUCAAGAAUAAUCCUAUAUCGAUACCGCAAGAUUCAUGAAACCAUAUUCAACAACUCACAAAAUGGAUAAAUUCACGACAUACCAUAUACAUCUCAUCCCUAGCAUAGUAGGAUUUAUAAAACUUAAAACCCUUUCAAAUUUUCUUAUUUUCAUUUGUAUUUCAUUACUUUCCAUUGCAUUUACUUUCUUUAACUUAAAUAACAAUAUCAAUUCAACUUAUCAUUCCCUUUUUCAUCAAUUUACACUUCAAGUAUGAACAUACUAUUUCAUUAUCUUUCUACACUCGUUUCAUAUGCAUAACACACAAGACAUAAGCAUAUAGCGAUCAGUUAGUGCAUUUAAACAUAGCUCUUUUGGAAUUAAUCACAUGAUAAACCAUUUCAUAAGAAAUUACAUAAUUUAAACCUUACCACUCUUUCAUAAACACAAGCAUAUUUCCAUUUGGACACUCACCAUUACAAUACAUAACCUAUAAAUUAACAUGACAUGGUCCAACUAAAGCUUGGCAAAAGCCUAAGCAUUCACACCAAACAUGUUAGCAUACAUGAUACAAACCAUAAACACAUUAACAUGAAUAGCCCUUUAAUCUCAACAUAUAUCACUUGAAUCUAUUACUCAUCUUAACUUACAUAAUUUCCAUGUAUCACCACAUCAAGGAUAUUCAUAUAGUUUCAUCUCUUAAUUCAUAUCAUUCUCUUUACCAUUUCAUUUGCAUAACACAUAAGGCAUAAACAUAGCAUCAUUUAAAUCAUACUUUUCAUAAUCAUGAAUGUUCUUAAUUUAAUCAUCGAUACAUCAUACCUUUCUACAAUUUUCAUAGUGAAAUCAAUCGAAACCCUUACUGGUUCAUCCCUUUUCAUGCCCAUUGAACCAUUUAGAAUAAUACCAGAUAUGUGAGAAAAGCUCACACAAAGUGUGCUAAACAUAUAGUCGUAGCUCACACGAGCUGUAAAAUGGGUCUGCUUACACAAGCUAUCGAGUAUCUGCAACUAAUGCCAAACCUCAGCCAUUGGUAGGACAUUCAAGACCAACACCCGAAACAUGGUAACCUAGGUCUGCUCACAAAAGCUAUCGGUCAGAACGCAGCUACAUAGUGCUGCUCACACAAGCUGUCAAGUAACCGCAACAUAUGCCAGCAACUCAGCCACCGGUAGGACGUUUAGGACCAGCACCCGAAGCACAAUAAUCCAAAUGACAUGUCAUUUGUAUCCUAUAUAUUCCUAAGGUUCAAACGGGACUCGAUAGUCAUCGUACGUUAUUGAAUUUCCCUCGUUUCAUUACAAGAUAAAUUGUAUAAUCACAUAUAUAUAUAUCGGUUCAUUUUCAGUCAAUUUUAUAUAAUAACAUUCAAUUUAAUCAACAAUAUACAUAGUACAGUUCAUAUGAACUUACCUGGCUAAAUUACAAAAAUAUCAAAGUUUAGGGGCAUUUUAGAAAUUUUCUAUUUUUCUCGAUUUUCCACCCAGUCUUGAUCUAAAUUAAUAAUUUCAUCCAAUUUAUCAAUUUAGGUAGUAAAGCACUGUAAUCCAUGAAAUUUGGUCAUUUUUGACAUUUUUACAAAAUUAUCCCUAAAGUUUUACUUUUAUUCAAUUUAGUCUCCAAGCCCAAAACAUGCAAAUUAACCAUUUUUCAUACAAAUCCAAGCUAGCCGAAUGUUCAUAGUAUUCAAAACAUCACAUUUAUGCAACAAUUUCACAUUAAAUCCUUGUACUUUUAUUAAUCAAAAUUAAUAUUUUGUCCCAUUUAUAAACAUCCAAAAUUUCAUGCUUUUCGUUGCCCAAAGCCGUCCACUAUAUUUUUAAAUGGUCUAAUUACCAUUUAAGCCCCUUUUCCUUUAUUCAAUUAACCAUUUAAUCACUCAUAUCAAAUAGUGAUUAAAUUUUACAUCUUUUACAUUUUAGUCCUUUUAAUUAAUUUACUAUCGAAACGUUAAAAUUUUUCAACGAAACUUUAGUACCACCUUAAUGACACUUCAUAAAUAUUUACAAAAAUAUUUACGGCUCCAUUUCUAAAAAUGAGGUCCCGAUACCUGAAUUUCUAAAACCACUUGACCUUAGGUUCAUACCACUUGAACUUGGUCAUUUUUAUCAUUUUUACAAAAUUUUUCCUAAAGUUUUACUUUUAUUCAAUUUACUCUCUAAGCCCAAAACAUGCAAAUUAACCAUUUUUCAUACAAACCCAAGCUAGCCGAAUGUUCAUAGUAUUCAAAACAUCCCAUUUAUGCAAAAAUUUCACAUUAAAUCCUCAUACUUUUAUUAAUCAAAAUUACUAUUUUGUCCCUUUUAUAAACAUCCAAAAUUUCAUGCUUUUAGUUGCCCAAAGCCGUCCACUAUAUUCUUAAAUGGUCUAAUUACCAUUUAAGCCCCUUUUCCUUUAUUCAAUUAACCAUUUAAUCACUCAUAUCAAAUAGUGAUUAAAUUUUACAUCUUUUACAUUUUAGUCCUUUUUAAUUAAUUUACUAUCGAAAUGUUAAAAUUAUUCAACGAAACAUUAAUACCACCUUAAUGACACUUCACAAAUAUUUUAAAAAAUAUUUACAGCUCCAUUUAUAAAAAUGAGGUCCCAAUAACUAAAUUUCUAAAACCACUUGACCUUAAGUUCAUACCACUUAAACUUAAUAAAUUGCUUAUAAAAAAAUCACUAUAUCAAAAACCUUUUCAAAGUCACAAUUAACUCGUAAAUAUUUAACAACUUACUCAUCAAAUUUGGUGGCUUCAAAACCACAUUUUCUGACACCAUUGAAAAACGGGUUGUUACAACUCUUCCCCCUUACAAAAAUUUCGUCCUCAAAAUUUCUCACCUGAUAAUAGUCAUCAAGUCGAGUAUUUUUAUCUUCUUCUUAAUGGUAACCCACAGAUAAGUCCAUCAUAACUCAUUUCGAUUCAGAAAUCAUAUCAAAAGUCACAUCAGAAUUUGAUAUUAUACCGAAUUUAAUUGAGUAGCCAUGAUGUUCUCCUGUCACAAAUUUAUCAUUAGCAGCAUAACUACUGAGAAAUUCCCAGUGAUCGUCAGUCAAAACAUAACCGAGAAACCCGGAUUAUCAGCUCUGACUGAUGAUUCUGACAUAUUUGUAUCUGUAACUUUCAACUGAUAUAUGUUCCCAUUUUUCUUGAAAAGCGUCAAGCAAUAUCAUUUAACACAAGCACGAUAGCUUCAACUAUUAAGACGACUUUAACUUAAUAACAUUCCAUGAUUAUAGCUGAUUUGCUAGAUAUAUCUUUAUAUCAUGUCUUUUAGAAUAUGAUUUCUUGAUUCAGACUAUCCAUCUAUUUACCCGUGAAUCCACAAACUUUAUUCUCGAACCUGAGGAUAGACUCAAAUGCGUAUAACUCAAUUAACUUUUCAAAUGAAUAACCCGCUCUGAUUAAAAUUAUAAAUCGAAUAAUAACAUUCAAUUUAAUCAAAAAUAUACAUAGUACAGUUCACACGAACUUACCUGGCUGAAUUGCAAAAAUACCAAAGUUUAGGGACAUUUUGGUAAUUUUCUAUUUUCCUCAAUUUUUCACCCAGUCUUGAUCUAAAUUAAUAAUUUCAUUCAAUUUAUCAAUUUAACAGUAAAACAAUGUACUUCAUGUAACUUGGUCAUUUUUUACUUUUUUACAAAAUUGGCCUUAAGUUUCACUUUUAUUCAAUUUAGUCACUGGGCCCAAAACAUGCAAAUUAACUAUUUUUAAUACAAACCCAAGCUAGCCGAAUGUUCAUAGUAUUCAAAAACAUCCGAUUUAUGCAAAAAUUUCACAUUAAAUCCUUGUACUUUUAUUAAUUUAAAAAAUUAGUCCAUAAUCGCAAAAUUCAUCAAAAUCACCUAACAAAAUCCUUUUAAAUAUAAAUCAACAUUCCAAAUUCACCAUGUAACACCCCUAACCCGUAUCUAUCGCCAGAAUAGGGUUAUAGAGCAUUACUAGAGUUUACUAAUUAAUUUUCAGACUUUUCUUUUCAUCAAGCAUUCAUAUUUAUAACCAAUCAAAAUCAAAACAUUAAUGAGCUAAUGUUAACCAAUUUCACUUGUACAUGCCAUUAUAACCAGAAUCAAAUCAUCCAAAAUUAUCGAUAGAACCAAUGGAUAAUAUGAUAUAUCUCUAACAAGCUUCCAACUCAAUCAAGCUUCCGAUAAUCAUUUCAAUGCAUCAAAUAAUUAUACAUAUUAUCAAUAACAAUUCAAUUCCAAUAAUAAAACACACACAUAUAUAUAAUAUUCAUUGCCAAAUAGCAUUCACUUCAAUUAAAAUUGAAGAAAUACGAACUUACCAGGCUAAAUUGAAGAAAUACCAAAAUUUAGGCACAUUUUAGAAAUUUUCUAUUUUAGUCAAAUUUCCACCUAAUCUUGAUCUAAAUUAAUAUUUCAUUCAAUUUACUAAUUUAAAUAAUAAAACAAUUCAUUUCAUGCAAUUUGGUCACUUUUUGACCUUUUUACAAAUUUACCCUUAAAGUUUUACUUUUAUUCAAUUUAGUCCCUGAGCCUAAAACGUGCAAAUUAUUCAUGCUAGCUGAAUAUUCAUAUAUAUAUAUUUUCCUCCUCUUCCUCUCCAUUCCACAUCCUUAAUUUAUAUAAUAUGCUUAUAAGUAACAUUAUCUAUGAUUUUACUAUUUACUUGUAAAUUUAUUCAAAACUGUCCAUUUGAGUCAUAACCACUAAAUUAUUUUUAUCUUGAGAUUCAAAACUCCAAAUUAGGAUAUGCUAAUUUUUCCUGAAACUAGACUCAUAUAUAUUCUUACCAUAAAAUCUUUAGAAUUUUUGGUUUAGCUAAUAAGUACAGUUUAUUCUUUAAAGUCACCUCUGUUCUGCUAUCUGACAGUUCCGAUACUUCUUCACUAAAACUUAAUAUCUCCUUGUACAUAAUUCAGAUGAUAUCUCCAUUUGUUUCUAUUGAAAAUAUACUCUUUAAGUAUUUUAAGAAUGUAAAUUAUAACCCAUAAUUAUUUUUGUACAAUUUUUUAUGAUUUUCCAAAGUCAGAACAGGGGAACCCGAAAUCAUUCUGACAUUGUCUCACAAAAUCUAUUAUAUCUCAUGAUUUACAAUUUCAUUACUUACACCGUUUCUUCUAUGAAAAACUAGACUCAGUAAAAUUUAAUUCCAUAUUUUUUUCAUCCUCUAAUUUCAUUUCCACAAUUUAUGGUGAUUUUUCAAAUUUAACCUACUGCUGUUGUCCAAAACUAUUUUAGUGCAAAAUGUUAAUUACUAAGUUUAUAACUUCCUUAUUCUCUUUCUCUAUAAUAUUUCCCAUCACUUUCACUUAGUUCUCUUCACUAAUAUAUCAAGAACAUAAGAAUUUAUAUAAGAAAACUCUACUAUAACAUCUUUUCCAUGCUAUUUCAAUAAUAUCAAACUUAAAAAUAUAUUGAAAUAUCAAUGUUCUUACCUUGUCCUAUUGAUUUCAACCUUUAACUUAAUUUUCUCUCUCCUCCAGCUUCAAUUUCUUGAAUCCAACUUGAUAUUCUAGCUCCCCAUAGUCUCCUUGUUAUCUUUCUCUCUUGAUGGCUAUGGAAAUUCUUUUGAUUUCUAAUUGAAAAUGGUGAAUUUUUUUGGUGGAAGGACCAAAUUGUAAAGAAAGCAAAACUUUCUUUCUUCUCUUCUCUUCUAACGUGAUUUGCAUGGAAAGGAUGGUGGGUUGGUUCCUUUUCAUCUUUCUUUCCACUUAUAUAUAAUAAAAUAAUAAAAUAAUAAAAUAUCAUUUAAAAAUCAAAUUAAAAUAUUAAUAAACUAAUAUUUAUUUAUUUAAUUAAUCUAAAAUAUCUCCAACAUCAUCAUUAUCUUCUAGAUUUCUCUCUCUUCUAAAUGACCAUUUUGCCCUUUAUGAUCUUUUAAAAUUCCAUCGUUGAGUCAUUACUUAAUUUGGUAAAAUUACGAUUUAAUCCCUCAUAAUUCUUCACCUAUUCAAUUUGAUCCUAAUUCAUCCAUUUUCCUUAGUUUCUAGAUUAUUCCAACCUUAAAAUAUUUGCAUUAUUGGUCAGUAAGAAGUAGAGCAUGAAUCUUAUUUAUCCAAAACGGAUCUGUGUUUUAUUUUAUAAGUUUGAUUUAUGCUUAAAGGAGAACCCCAUUUUUUGAUUCUUCCACGGUAGGGUCCAUUAUCAGGUGAGAAGGUCGAAACUAUUCUAUAUAAUUAUUUUUAUAGAUAGUUUUCAUGAAUAAAAAAAUCAAAAAGGAAUCCUAUGGUUUUAAAAAUUGGUCGUUGUACAAUGAAAAAGAAAAAAAAGAAGUCUUUUUUCUUCUCUUAAGUUUAAGUUAAGUAAAAAAAGGUAAAAGCAUUAAAUUGAAUUUUAAUCAGACAUCUUUGGCUUUUGUUAGAACCUUUUGAAUCAAGUAGUGGAGCGAUUCAAAAGGUUCUUGACAGCUUACAAUAAGUUUUCUUAUACUUAUAUAUAAUAUAUACGCCGUCCUGUGUUAGUAUUUGUUAGGCCUAGCCUCUUUAUUCAAUUCAAUUAGAUGUUAAUUUAAUGUAAAUGAACCAUAACUAUGUAAACCUAUUCCUAAUAGAUUGACCCCAAAAUAGCAUAUCCAAAUUAUAAGAAAUCCCAUAGAAGCCACAAGUGCGGAAUUUACACCUUCCAAAUUUGUAUUUGUUCGGGUAUGGAAAUAAAUCGCGAAUAUGGUCCAAGUAAUAAACGCCCAAGUUUCCUUUGGGUCCCAAUUCCAAUAUGAUCCCCACGCCUCAUUAGCCCAUACGGCUCCCGAAAGAAUUCCUAUGGUUAAAAAGAUAAACCCGAGACUAAUAAUACGAUAACUCCAAUGAUCCAAUUGUUGAGUCAAUUGAUAUCUGUAAUAAUUUUUAGAAGAAAGAAAAUAAGUGUUUAGUAAAACAUUGCUUCUUUCAUUCAUGUAUUGGAUUUUCCCAAACGAAAAUGCAAAAUUAUUGUUUUCACCAAUAAUCUUUAUGGCCUUUCGAAUUGUAAUGACUAGAAGAGCUACUGAUAAUAAUGAUCCACAUAAAAGAGCUGCAUAGCCUAAUACCAUCAUACUUACGUGCAUCAUUAACCACUGGGAUUGGAGAGCGGGUGCUAAUAUUGCGGAUUGAUGCAUUUUGGUUAAAAGACCCGAAGUGGCAAAGCCUUGGGUAAAAAUAGCACUUGGUGCGGUUAUUGCACUUAAAUUAUUUUUGCGCUUUUUAAAUUUGAAAUAGGAAACCAUAUGAAUAAGGGAGAAACCCCAUGAAAGAAAGAUUAAUGAUUCAUAUAAAUCACUUAAUGGGAAAUGUCCUGAAUAAAUCCAACGAGUGAUUAAUAAUCCUGUUAUACAGAAAAAAGGUGACUAUCAUGCCCUUUUCUGAUGAAUCAUAUAGUCCUACGACUUCAUCUACUAAUAAGAAUAAGGUUAAAAAAUGAAUUGUAAUUACAAUUGAAACGACUGAAAAAGAUAUAUGAGUUAAUAUAUGCUCUAAAGUUGAAAAAAUCAUAAAAAUUAUGAAAAAAGCCUAGGUUUCUCGAUUUUAUGGAAUGGAAAUCAGGAAUGAAAUUCAUUUUCAUUAUAGGACUUAUUCUAUCUCUUUUAGAAGAUACUAUGCCGCCACUCGGACUCGAACCGAGAUGCUCUAGCACUGCUUCCUAAAAGCAGCGUGUCUACUGAUUUCACCAUAGCGGCUUGCUCGAAAUCAUAAUAACCCAUUUUUAGUCAAUCGUCGAGAUUGAAGGUGAAGGGGUCAAUUCAAUGUAAAAUGCCAAAUUUGUUAGGAAGCAUUUCAUUUUUAUUGAUAAAUAACAACUCGUUGAAAUAGCAAUUUGAAGGUUCAAAAAGAAUCUUUAGUAUUUAUUGUAUCAUUUUAUUUAUUUAAUUAUCCUUUCUAUUUAAUUAGGUCGUCAAUAGAGAUUUUUUAGUUUGUGUUUUCCUAAAAGAGAACUCCUUUAUUGUAACUAAAUUAACUAGUUGUAACUUCAAUUCAUAGAUAAAAUUCAACAAAACAAAAAAGGGUUCUUUAUCAUUUUCAUUUUUUAAUGAUUCAUUUCUCAUUCUUUUGUAUGAUUUUUAUGAAUCUAUAAACAAAUGGUUAUUAAUUGACUAAAUAAAUGAAUGAAAAAAAUAUGAUUUUUAGAGAUCACAAUUUCAGCACCACCCCCAACAAUUUCAAAAGAUUUAGGUAAUUUUUGUAUUAAUCGUUAGCAUUUUGCGUUUGUUUUAAGGAUUUAUCAAACCAAAUUGGGUUGUACCCGUUACGUUAUAUAAAAAGCGUUUCGAUUCCUGUCAUAAUUGUACCAUACUUCAAAAAAGUAUUUCGAAUUUCAAAUUCUAAAAAUAUGUCUUGAUUUAUUUUCUUACAUUUUCUUAUACAAACAUAGGAUUUCUUUAGAUCACUUCAAAUUGAUACAUUAUUUGUAUAUCCACUAAAUUAGAAAAGGGGUUUUCUCCAUUGGGUUGAAAACAGGGGAAGGAGAUAUAGUAAUUCAGAGAAAUAAUGAUUCAUAAAGUUACAAAAUUGAAACUUAAUGGGUUAGUUUCGACAACCCAGUUAAAGCUCUUAUAUAUAUGUGCUCCGCGAUCCGCUAUAGUAUAAAUAGAAAAAAAAUAAUUAUUCUAUUAUUUAAUUAUUUAUUAUUAUAAAUUGAAUAUUAUAAAAAUAACAAAUUAUUAUAACCCUAGCAAAUUAUUAUAACCCUAACAUAACAAAUACAAAUGGGCGAUGGGGAAAAUAAGAAUCCCCCCCCCCCGGAAAUGAAAAAAAAAGAUAUUCAAAAAUUCAAAAAAGUAAAACCUUUGUAUCUUAUUCGAGUUAAACCAAUUCAGAUUACUCCAAAUUUAUUUGGCGUACAAAAAAACUUUUUGAAUUCCUCGUAGAAAGAGAUUUGGCUAAUGAAAAAGCUUUCAAGGCCGCCCAAUAUCCUUUCUUUUUCCAAACAUUUUUUUGAAUACGCUUUUUUGAUGUAGAAGUACGUUUUUUUGGAACUGCCAUUCAAAAAAAAGUUAUUCAGUGCUAUAGUUGGAUGUCAAAGACAUCUAUUUUUAAAACAAAACGAUCGGUCUUUUGAUGUCAUUAUUUAUCUAUUCCUAUAGAUUUUAUAAAUUAUAAUUAUAUAUAUACUACAAUACAAAUUGCAUAAAAAAUGAAUAGAGAUGGGAAAAUCGCAUAAAAUGCUUCUAUUCUAGAACAAAAAAACAAUAUAACCCUUUUUUAUUUAUAUUCCAUACACUAUCCAGAAAAAAAAAAGAAGAAUUUGUAUUUAAUUUAUUGAUACCUUUCUUUUUUAUAUCUCCAUUCAAAUCUAGAGGAUAGAUUAGGAUCUAUAUUAAUCUAUUAUGAUAUAUAAAUCGAAUUGAUGAAAUCAAAAAAAUGCAAAAAAAAGUCUUUCUUUUUCUAUUUCCGCCCAGUUUUUUGUUGUCUUACAUUUAUAAUUUAUACAUCUCCAUUUAUACAUGAAAACUACAUCAAAAUAAAAAGUGUAAAACCCAUUUUAUCUACCUAUGCAAACUUGAAUUUUAUUUUUUUUCCAUAAAUUGGUAAUUGGUCAAGCUCGAAGAGAGGGUAUGCCCAAUUUUCAUUUUCAACCAAAUUCGAAUGAGACUCGUAGUUAAUCUGUUAAAGGAUACAUAAUUUUGAAAAAAAAAGAAUAUUAUAUUAAUAGUCAUUUUUCUUUUAAUUAUAUGGAAAUAGAAAGAAAAUAUCGAAUAGUCUUUCCUACAAGAAAAGGUUCAUUUAUUGUAGUGGAAGACAAUCAAUUAGUUUCGCGAUGAAAAUGAACUGGUUAAUAAGUUCGAAUAAACAAACUCAAAUAAUUCGUUUUUCUUUUAAGUUCUAGGACAUCCUCUGAUUUAUAUCAUACUUUUUGGGGGUGAUUUCUUUGUAUUUUUGAUCGAUGUAUCUAACUUAUUAUAAAUAGAAAUUAUUGUAAUAUGUAAUAAUAAAUAAUAAUUGAUAUUUUCAGAAAAAUAUUACUAUAAUGAAAAAAAGAAUUCUUUUGUUUUUCAUUAUAGUAACUCGGCGAGAUCAUUUGAUUACUUCUAACUUCGAAAUUUGACUAUUUUUGAAAUAGUUGUGAAAGAUUAAAAAAUUAAGAAUAGAAAAUUCCAGUUAACUUUGUAAUCUCUCUGUGACAGCCCUAAAAUGACCCUAGUCGGAAAGUGGUUUCGGGACCGCUAAACCGAGGCACCAAAUUAUUUGAAUAUGAUAUUUAUUGUCUAAAAUAUGUGAAUAUGAAUGUGUGAAAGUUUUGAGCUUCGAUUUAGUCGAUUGCAUGUGAAUUUAGUAAUAGGACUUAUGUGUGACACUUUUGAAAUGUGAUAGGUUAAUCCAUAAGGAUCUAUUAGUGCAUGUAAUCAAAAGGGUGGACUUGCAUGUCAAUUUCCCCCAUUUAAUUACUAGUGGCCAGCCAUGACAAAGGGUGAUGGGCAAAACAUGUCAUAAAACAUGUUGUGCUAAUGGUUUAUGGGAGAAAGGAUAAAAUAAUAAUGGGAAGGUAAAUGAUGACAAAAAAAAAUGUGUGUGGUUGCCCCCCCCCUUCCAUUGCCGUGAAUUGAAGGAAGAAAACAAAAGAAAAAAAAAUGUUCAUCUUCUUCUCCUACCUCUCUCAAGCCGAAACUAACCAAGAAAUGGAAGAAAGCACACCUAAGGCAUUUGGCCAUCUUGUGUGGGGGGAAUUAAGGUAUGAUAUCAUGUGAUUCUUUUGGAAUUUUUGUGAAGUUGAGUUUGUUUUGGUGCUCAUAACAUGACCCAUGUGUUAAUUUUUGAGUUUGUGUUGCAAGAAACAUUUGGUUAUGUCCUUAUAUGUCAAAUUGAUGAUAAAUUUUUGAUAUUUGGUGAAUGAAUAUGGGUUUCGGUCAUGGUAGAUAACAAAGAAUGUGGUUGUUGUUCUUGUUAAUUUGGAUGAAUUUUUGGUGGAUAGGUGCUUGAAUCAAACAAAUGAUCAUGUGUGUACACUAGGUGCUAGUUGAGAAGAAUCGGUCACUAUAUUGGAGGCCAUUGCCGAAUAUGAGUUUAGUUAUUGAGUUGAUGGAAUAAAAGAAUGCUUAAAGAUGUGUCACAACAAAUUAUAUGUUAAGCUAAGGUUGUUAAAUUAUCAAUCUUUCUUCCUAGCCGAAUAUGUGUUUAUAAAGUUGAGUUGUUAAAUAGAUUUUGAAGUUAGCCCAUGCAUUUAUUUUUGAAUUUAAGAAGAAUGAUACAUUCGACUAUGCUUUGAUGUGCUUGGAUUGUUGUUCAUUGAGUAAAUGAUUGAGGAAUGGUUAGAAGAAUUUGAAUGCUAAACUAGUUGAUUUGUUUGAUGAUAUAUAUAUAUGUAUUCGGCAAUGGGAUAAAAUGUGUAUUAAGGUAAGUUUCAUGGUGAUUAUGCUUGUGAUGUUGGGUUAAUAUUCGGCAUUGAGUAAUGUGGGGUAAGGUGAUUAAUUGGCUAUGAAAUUAGCUAAAUUGAAUAGGUAUGUUUAAUAAUAUGCUUAGUAUAAUGUACGAUCUUAGAACUCGGUUUGGUAUUGAGAUAAAGGUUAGAUGUAUGAUUGGAUUUUGGUAUGUGUUAAAUUGGUCAAUCAAAGAUUAAAUGAUAUGUGAUUGCCAAAUGUGAUUGUUAAGUGAAUAAUAUUAGUUAAGUACUUAAGCAAAUCUAUUGUUUUACUUAAGCUUAAGAGCAAAGAGGAUCAAAGUCGGAUAGGGGAAAAGAGAAAGUAAACGAAUAGCCGUGGACAUCUAAUCGUCGACCACUUCCGAGGUAAGUUUUAAGUGAUUAAACGUUGAGUAAAUUCAAUCAUAAUAGGACAUAAUGAGUUGAUUUAAUAAGAUAUGAUGUGGCCAUGAUAUGUCUUAAACUCAAAUGGUAAGUUCAUAUGUGUUUGGACUUGGAAAGUUAAGAGCAAAUUGUAAUAAUUUGCUUUGGACAGCAGCAGUAACGUGAUUUUAGAAAAUCACUAUAAAUUGUUGGUGUGGAGUUAUAGGCUGAAUAAAAUAUGUAAUCAAGGCUUAAUUAGUCUAGUUUCUUAUAAAAGAGACCUUGUGAGUAAACAAAUUUCCUAUAAAGAGAUAUUUAAAGUUGUGUGAGACGGUGUCAGAAUGACUCCGAAAUCCUCUGUUCUGUAUUUAGAAAAUCAUUAUAAAUUGUACAAAAAUGGUUAUAAGAUAAAAUUUAUAUUCUUAGACUCCUUAAUGAGUCUAGUUUCAAAUGAAAUCAAAUACAACACAUUUUGAAUUCUGUAAAAUGAGAAAUUUGAUUCGUAGUGAAGAGUGGUCAGAUUAGUCAAACAGUGAAACAGGGGAAACUUUAAGAAAAAUCUGGUAUUGAUUGGCCAAACCUAAAAUUCUGAAAAUUCUAUGGAUGGAAGAUAUACGAGUCUAUAUUCAGGGAAAAUUAACGGCAAGUGAUUUGGAGUUUUUUAGCUCCAGUUAUAAAUAAUUUAGUGACUACUGCUCAGGAAAACAGCUCGUAGUGAAUAUGUGAUUUUGUUGUAAACAUGGAUAAAACUUGUUUUAGUUACUCAUAAGCUAUUGAUUAAACCCAUACGUGAAUUCUAAAUCGUGAUAUUGUAAAACGAUACAUGAGUGUUAGAUGGAUAUUUGAUAUUAAAAUUUGUGAAAUUGUAAGUUUAUGAGUAUUCGAAUAUGAAAUGAUAGUAUGGCGUGAAAUUGAAUUAUUCAUUGGGAAAUGAUUAAUGUAGAUUCGGCCAAGACAAAGUGUAUACAUGAUAGUAUAUGUGAUAUGUGAAGUAUAUUUGGAUAAUUGUGAUGUGAAUGUAUAUAUAUGUGAUAAGGCCUAAUGGCCGGUGUGAUGAAUGUGAAAGUGUAUAUAUGUGAUAAGGCCGAAUGGCCGGUGUGAUGAAUGUGAAAGUGUAUAUAUAUGUGAUAAGGCCUAAUGGCCGAUGUGAUGAAUGUGAAAGUGUAUAUAUAUGUGAUAAGGCCUAAUGGCCGAUGUGAUGAAUGUGAAAGUGUAUAUAUGUGAUAAGGCCUAAUGGCCGAUGUGAUGAAUGUGAAAGUUUAUAUAUAUGUGAUAAGGCCUAAUGGCCGAUGUGAUGAAUGUGAAAGUGUAUAUAUAUGUGAUAAGGCCUAAUGGCCGAUGUGAUGAAUGUGAAAGUGUAUAUAUGUGAUAAGGCCUAAUGGCCGAUGUGAUGAAUGUGAAAGUGUAUAUAUAUGUGAUAAGGCCUAAUGGCCGAUGUGAUGAAUGUGAAAGUGUAUAUAUGUGAUGAGGCCUAAUAGCCGAUGUGAUGAAUGUGAAAGUGUAUAUAUGUGAUGAGGCCUAAUGGCCGAUGUGAUGAAUGUGAAAGUGUAUAUAUGUGACAGAGCCGAGUGGCCAACGUGAUGGAUGUGAAAGUGUAUAAAUGUGAUAAGUCCCGAAGGGCAAUUGUGUCAGUACUAUAUCCGGGUUAAAACCCCGCAGGCUUUAUGCGAGAGUAUUAUCCUGAUUAAUGUCCGUAGGCUUCGUGCUCGUACUAUAUCCGAGCUUUAAAGACCCGACGGCUAAAUGCUAGGAUUCAAGUAAGACUUUGAUAUUGAGUAUCUGCAUUAAGUUACCAUCAAAUAAGUAUUAUGUAUUCAAGAUGUUCAGGUACGUAUUACUUACUCAUCGGUGGAGUGAUUUCGAGGUGAAUUAUCAGUAUCAAAGAGGUAGGUAAAUGUGAUUAAUAUUAUAACUCCAAAUGUGAGAAUGUGCUUUGGAAAUAUUUGACCAUCUAGGUCAUUAUUAUUCGAAAGUAUAUAUGUGGCAGCCAAGUGUUGCGUUUAAUGAUAUUAUAGAUCGAGAUGAAGCUCUAGAUUAAUUCAUCGAACAGUUGAAAUGAAUGACCAAUAAUAUUGAUUGAGAACACCUUGUCUUGCUUAAAACUUACUAAGCAUUAAAUGCUUACUCCGUUCUUUGAAUCUCUGUUUUAUGAUUUUGGUUCGUCAGCUAUCGGACUCGGGAUUAUUGAAGUCGAAGUCGCCCACACUAUCAAAGCCCUUUCGGUACACUUUUGGUUGAACUUUGAAAAUGGCAUGUAUAGGACUACCCUUUUGUAGUGGGUCAUGGACCCUUUGGAUUUGUAUAAUUUUGGAUAGCCAUGCGAAAAUGGCUUAUAUAUGUUUGAGCAUAAUGUUAUAAUCAUUUGGUAUGGAUAUGGUUAUUGAGAGGUGUGGAUAUGCUUAACAAGGAUUGGCCAUGGGAAUGGUUAAUCACUAGCAUAAUUUGUGCUAUUUAUGCUAAAAGGGCUAGUUGAAUCAUGGAAACUAUUAAUAGGUAAAGUUUACCUUAAAGGCAGAUGCUGACAGCAGCAGUGAUGUAGAUUUGGAAACUCACUAAAAAUAGUAGGAAUAGAAUUAAAUAGUGAAUAAAUUAUUUAAAUGAACCUUGAUGAAUCCACUUUCAUAUGGAAGAAACGAAACGGUCAUAUGAGUGGUAUGUUAAGAGAUAAUUAGGUUUUCGUGAGACAGGGCCAGAACGGUUUCUGGAUUCUCUGUUCCGACUUUGGAAAUUCAUUAUAACUUAACCAGAGAUAAUUAGGAGUCAUGCAAUAUAUUUAUAAAUUCCUCUUUGAGUCUAGUUUCUAUAGAAACAAACGGCAUCAUGAUUGAAGCCCUGUACAGGGAGAUAUCCAAAUCGUAAUGCAUGAAGGUCAGUGUAGUCGCACCCUGUAACAGGGGAGACUUUAACUAAUAAACUGUACUAAUUGGCCCAACCAAAAAUUCUAGAAAAAAAUAUGUAGAUGGAAAUAUGAGUCUAGUUUCAGGGAAAAAUUACGAAACUGAUUUUCGAGUUUUAGAACUCAAGAUAUGAUUUUUAAGGUGACAGUGACACAGUUAGCCAACUACCUGGAAAUUUUUAAAUUGGACUGCAAAGAAGUGAUUUAAGUCUGCAAACCCCUCGUGUCCGACUCCGGCGACGGACUCAGGUACGGGGUGUUACACUCUCGAUUUUUUUAUUGCUCCUUUUCAAUCAAAAGAGAUAAGAGCCGGUGAAUCAGAAACGAUUAAUUAAGAAUUAAUAACAAAAAAGUUUUUAUGGAGCAUGCAUAUAAAUAUUCAUGGAUCAUACCUUUUGUUCCACUUCCCAUUCCUAUUUUAAUAGGAAUGGGACUCCUACUUUUUCCGACGGUGUCGGGGGUUCAAAUCCCUCCUCGCCCACAACCGGCCCAAAAGGGAAGGACCUUUCCCUCUGGGGGUAGGAAAAUCAUGAUCGGGAUAGCGGACCCAAAGCUAUGGAACUUGGGCGUGGGUCUUUUGCCGAAAUGGAGUGGCCUUUUAUUUAUUAUUUAUCGUAUAUUUACUAUUCUAUUUUAUAUUUAUAUAUAGUAUUACCGGCCAAAACAAAAUAAGCAUAUUUUUUUUGUUUUACGCCCCGUAACUCUUCCUCAGCCAGGCUUGGGCAGAAUAGCAGAGCAAGUACAAGUAUUAGUAGCAUAGAAAAAAUGCGCUCCUCGUCAUUAAAUUAAUGUGUUUGCUCGCGGUAAUUGUGGCCUCUCGGGAGAAUCGAUGACUGCAUCUUUGAGGCAUUUGCUAGUACUAGUCCAUCUGAGAAUUCUUAAUUGGCUGGUUGUAAAUAGCCCCGGGACUAUGGAACAAAGGAUUAUCCCGGACACCUACACCGAGGUAUUGACGGUGAUUCUCAAAUAUCGCAGAACAGAAUGUGAUACGAUGAGAUAGAAUGCAAUAGAAACAAAGACACAGGGAAUGGGUUACCUGCUCUUAACGGUCAAAGCGAACCCUUUCAUUCUGACAUUCUGAAUUCUUUAAUUCGGAAUGAAUCAAAUCUCCUCAAGUAGGAUUCGAACCUACGACCAGUCAGUUAACAGCCGACCGCUCUACUGCUGAGCUACUAAGGAACAACGGGAGAUUAGAUCUCAUAGAGUUCAAUUCCCGUUCUCAACCCAUGACCAAUAUGAACUCGAAGUUUCCUUCGUAACCCCCGGAACUUCUUCGUAGUGGCUCCGUUCCAUGCCUCAUUUCAUAGGGAACCUCAAAGUGGCUCUAUUUCAUUAUAUUCCAUCCAGAUCCCAAUUCCAUUUUUAUAUUGUCAUUGACAUGACAUAAGAGAUGUCGGUUCUAGUCUAUCUUUUUCUAUUUCUAUAUAUGUAUAUGGAAAGUUCAAAAAUCAUCAUAUAAUAAUCCAGAAAUAGAAAAGAAAAAAGGGAGGUUAAUGAUGAUUUUAAAAUCUUUUAUACCAGGGAUCUAAUAUCCUUAAACAUGACGAUAAUCAAUUCGGUCGUUAUGGUCGGACUCUAUUAUGGAUUUCUGACCACACUAUCCAUAGGUCCCUCUUAUAUCUUCCUUCUACGAGCUCGAGUUAUGGAAGAAGGAGAAGAAGGAACCGAGAAGAGAGUAUCAGCAACAACUGGGUUUAUUGCAGGCCAGCUCAUGAUGUUCAUAUCAAUCUACUAUGUACCUCUGCAUUUAGCAUUGGGUAAACCUCAUACAAUAACUGUCCUAGCUCUACCGUAUAUUUUGUUUCAUUUCUUCUGGAACAAUCACAAAGACUUUUUUGAUCAUAGACGUCCUACCAGAAAUUCAAUGCGUAAUCUUAGCAUUCAAUGUGUAUUCCUGAAUAAUCUCAUUAUUCAAUUAUUCAACCAUUUCAUUUUACCAAGUUCAAUGUUAGCCAGAUUAGUCAACAUCUAUAUGUUUCGAUGCAACAACAAUAUGUUAUUUGUAACAAGUAGUUCUGUUGGUUGGUUAAUUGGUCAUAUUUUAUUGAUGAAAUGGGUUGGGUUGGUAUUAGUCUGGAUACAACAAAAUAAUUUAAUUAGGUCUAAUGUACUUAUUCGAUCUAAUAAGUAUCUUGUAUCAGAAUUUCAAAAUUCUAUGGCUCGAAUCUUUAGUAUUCUGUUAUUUAUUACCUGUGUUUACUAUUUAGGCAGAAUACCGUCACCCAUUCUAACUAAGAAACUGAAAGGAAUUUCCGAAACGGGAGAAGUGGGGGAAAGUGAGGAAGAAAGAAACAUAGAAAUAGAAACUAUUUCCGAAGGGGGAGGGGCUAACCAGAAACAGGGGACCGAAGAAAAUACUUCUUCUUCCCUUUUUUCGGAGGAAGAGGUGGAUCCGAGCAAAAUGGACGAAACAAAAAAGCUGCGAGUGACUGGAAAGAAAAAAAAAGAAAGGGCGAACUCCACUUUUGUUUUAAAGAGACAUACUCUAAAAAUAGACCGGUUUAUGAAACUUCUUAUCUGGAUGGGAAUCAAGAAAGUUCGAAGUUAGAAAUAUUAAAAAAAAAGAAGAUAAAUAUUUAUUAUGGAUUGAAAAACCUCUUGUGACACUUCUUUUUGAUUCUAAACGAUGGAAUCGACCUUUGCGAUAUAUAAAAAAUGACCGGGUUGAAAAUGCUAUAAAAAAUGAAAUGUCACAAUAUUUUUUUUAUACAUGUCAAAGUGAUGGAAAAGAAAAAAAUAUCUUUUACGUAUCCACCCAGUUUAGCAACUUUUGGGGAAAUGAUACAAAAAAAAUAUAUUUUUUCACACCAGAAAAAUUGUUUUCUGAUGAAUUGUAUACUGAUUGGAGUUUUAUCAAUGAACUAAAAAGAAGAAAUUUUAGUAAGGAGUUUAUAAAAAGAGUCGAAUCUUUAGAUAAGGAAUCUUUUGAUCUGGGCAUACUUGAAAAAAGGACUCGAUUCUCUAAUAAUGAAACUAAAAGAGAAUACUUGCCUAAACUAUAUGAUCCUUUCUUGCAUGGACCCUACCGCGGAAGAAUCAAAAAAUGGGUUUCUCCUUUAAGCAUAAAUCAAACUUAUAAAAAAAAAAACACAGAUCCGUUUUGGAUAAAUAAGAUUCAUGCUCUACUUCUUACUACUGAUUAUCACGAACUUGAACAGACACUAGAUACACUCAAUAUAAAAUCAUUAGCAACAGAAAAAGAACUCUCUUUAUUGACAUUGACAGAAGAUGAACAGGGAAAUAUCGAUUCCGAGGAUCGAGUCAAAAUUUUGAAAUUUUUAUUCAAUAUAGUUAUAACUAAUCCCAACAAUCAAACAAUUAGAAAAAAAAUCUAUUGGAAUAAAAGAAAUAAGUAAAAAAGUUCCUCGAUGGUCAUACAAAUUAAUCGACGAUUUAGAACAACAGGAGGGCGAAAACGAGGAAAAUGUAACAGCAGAGCAUGAAAUUCGUUCAAGAAAAUCCAAGCGCGUCGUGAUUUUUACUAAUAACCAGGCAAACGCCGAUACUUAUACUAAUACCAAGGAUGAUAAUGAUCCUGAUCAAACAGACGAAGUGGCUUUCAUACGCUAUUCGCAACAAUCGGAUUUUCGGCGUGACAUAAUAAAAGGUUCCAUGCGUGCCCAAAGGCGUAAAACAAUUACUUGGGAGCUGUUUCAAGCAAAUGUACAUUCCCCCCUUUUUUUGGACAAAGUAGACAAACCACUCUUUUUUUCUUUUGAUAUUUCUGGACCGCUGAAACGAAUAUCUCGAAAUUGGAUAUGUAAAAACAAAGAAUCAAAAAUUUCUGAUUAUACAGAAAAAAAGAUCGAGAAAAAAGAUGAGGCCAAAAGAGAAAAAUACAAAAGAGAAGAGAAAAUGAGGAUAGAAAUAGCAGAAGCUUGGGAUAGUCUUUUACUUGCUCAAGUAAUAAGGGGCUCCGUGUUAAUAACCCAAUCAAUUCUUAGAAAAUAUAUUAUAUUACCUUCACUGAUAAUAGUUAAAAACAUUGCCCGUAUGUUAUUAUUUCAAUUUCCUGAGUGGUCUGAGGAUUUAACGGAUUGGAAUCGAGAAAUGCAUGUUAAAUGCACUUAUAAUGGUGUUCAAUUAUCCGAAACAGAAUUUCCAAAAAACUGGUUAACAGACGGUAUUCAGAUAAAGAUCCUAUUUCCUUUUUGCCUGAAACCUUGGCACAGAUUUAAACUACAACCCUCUCAUAAAGAUCCAAUGAAAAAAAAGAAAGGUCAAAAGAAUGAUUUUUGCUUUUUAACAGUUUGGGGAAUGGAAACUGAACUACCUUUCGGCUCUCCUCGAAAACGGCGUUCAUUUUUUGAGCCUAUUUUUAAAGAACUAAAAAAAAUAAAAAAAUGGAAAACGAAAUGUUUUAUAGCUUUAACAAUUUUAAAAGAAAAAACUAAAUUGUUUCGAAAAGCUUCAAAAGAAACAAAAAAAUGGAUCACUCAAAGCAUUCUAUUUCUAAAGGGACUAAUAAAAGAACUUUCAAAAAUAAAUCCAAUUCCAUUUUUUGGGUUGAGAGAACCAUAUGAAUUGGGCGAAACUAAAAAGGAUUCGAUAAUCAGUAAUAAGAUGAUUCACAAAUCAUCCCUUCAAAUUCAAUCUAUGGCGUGGACAAAUUAUUCAUUAACAGAAAAAAAAAUAAAAGAUCUGACUAAGAGAACAAACACAAUCAAAAAUCAAAUACAAAAAAUUCUAAUUAUAAAAGAGAAGAAAAACGAAUUUCUAACUCAAGAAAUAAAUAGUAGUUCUAACAAAAUAAGUUAUCAGGAUAAAAUAGUAGAAUCAGCAAAAAAAUUUGGCAAAUAGUAAAAAGAAGAAAUAUUCGAUUAAUCCGAAAAUUCUAUUUUUUUAUAAAAUUUUUCAUUGAAAAGAUAUACAUGGAUAUUCUUCUAUAUAUCAUUAAUAUUCCAAGAACCAAUACCCAACUUUUUCUUGAAUCAACAAAAAAAAUGAUUGAGAACUUCAUUCACAAUAAUGAAGCAAAUCAAGAAAGAAUUAAUAAAACAACUAAAAAUACAACUCAUUUUAUUUCAACUAUAAAAACCUCACUUUCUUCACUUUCUAAUAUUAGUAUUAGAAAUAAAAAUGAAAAAGCUUUUUGUGACUUAUCCUCCCUCUCACAAGCAUAUGUAUUUUACAGAUUAUCACAAACCCAAGUUAUUAGUUUUUAUAUAUUCAAACCUAUCCUUCAAUAUCAUGGAACAUCUCUUUUUCUUAAAAAUGAAAUAAAAUAUUAUUUUGAAGAACAGGGAGUAUCUCAUUCCAGAUUAAGACAUCAUUAUGGGUUAAGACAGAAAAUCGUUUGGCAUUCUGGAAUGAAUGAAUGGAAAAACUGGUUAAGGAGUCGUUAUCAAUACGAUUUAGUUCAGAAUAGAUGGCUAAAAUUAGUACCAAGACAAUGGCGAAAUAGAGUCAAUCAACACUAUCUGGCUCAAAAUAAAGAUUUAACAAAAUGGGAUUCAGAUGAAAAAGAAAGAUUAAUUCAUUACGAAAAAAAAUGAUUUUUUUUAGAAUAGUAAAAAAUUUUUAUUAUAUAAUUCGAAUAAUAAUAA
rnacentral:lncRNA from 1 species